GAGUGUUUAACGCCUAUGAUUAAACAAUUCUUAGUUAGCUUAACUUCGAUAUCGCAGUAGCAACCGGCCUUAGCUUUAUAGACGUUCUAGACCCAGUGUUAAACAUAGCUAAUUUGUUUAGCAGCCUUAGGGGUUUUACCGUGUAAGAGCUUCUCGGCAUAUAAGAAGAACGACUAGUUGCUACUAGUGUUAUAGUCCGUUAGGGCAGUAUAUAAACUAGGGUGGCUCUAUACAAACGUUCCAUCUAUUAAAAGAGAAGUUGUAACGACGUAGAGAAAACCCCUCUGCCAACUCAAAGGGGUAGAAAAGAAGACGAGAAUUCAGGGACUUGAAUAUUUCAGAGCAAAGGCAUCACCUGGUUAAGCAAUUGCAUGGUGGCUCGGUAAAAACUAAUUAUUUUACUCUGGCUCGGGAAUAACGUCGACUACGAUGACUUAGGCUACGAAAUAAAAACCAUGGCUGCUAAUUCUUCGAAAAAGGGGAUGAACUACGUAGUUUUUGAUUUAGUGUCCGAAGACUAUUUUUUGCUCGUCAAGAUCGCUCUAAACAUUAUACUUAUGGAAAUGCGAAACGUCUCUACAUUCCCCGGUAAGAUCCUAAGGUAAAGAAUCAUGGUACUGGUUUUACUUGAGGACGAAGGUAGUAGAGAAGGUUUAACUACAAGGUUAUAGAAGAACAGUAAAAAAGGGUGUGAAGGAAAAACAAAAAAGAAAAAGAAUAAUAAUUGUUUCUCUGCUCCAUGGAACUUUAUUUAUUAACAAGGCUACCUUGGAAGAUGGCCCCUAACUGGUAGCUAUGUGCCGUGUAUUUAAAAAAAUUAAUGAAUAAAAUAAAUAAUGAUUUAGUUAUUAGUCUGGUCAUAUCAAUUUUCUAUCAAUUUCAAUUUUACUUAGGCGAGAAUCCUUAGUAAUUUAGCGUAUUUACUAACAAGACUACAGAGUACAUUUAAACAGAGUACCUUUAACAAACAGCGCGUUCUUGUUUUAUUAAGAGAUACCACAUUGUUUUAUAGAGAGUAAAGGUUGAGCUUAUCUAAAAAAGAAAACUAAAGGUUUAUUUACAAAAACAGAACGGAACUUGCCACGUGUUUAAAAACCUUAGGCCAUGGUUGUCCAUAUUAGGGGGGGUCUUGUUGCAAGAGAAAGUCCGGAAAGUUGGUUAGUUAUGCUGGAGCAUCUCGUCGAAAACGAUUUUGAGCUCGCCAAAGAACUUUUGAACGAAGCCUAUACUUUGAAACUCAUAAGUCUCUGCGAGAACAAUAAGGGUUAUUCUAACGGGCUAUUGUCUAGCUAAGCAGGUUUCGUGCGGGACGAGCAAGGCGAGCGUUGUUAGGCUAAUUAAGAGGUCCGCUUUUUUGUAAUCUGUAAGGUAGAAGACUUUGGUUGUGAAAACUACAAUGAACUGCAUGUUAUUAGAGAUAUACAGAUAAUACCUAGACAUGGGGGACCCUAGCUAUUUGGAAAACCUAGAAUAAUUGGUUUCUCUAUGCUGAAACCCGAUACCAAUCGAGUCGAGGUUAGUUUUUGGGGGUCCCCUAGGGUUCUUAAGAACCAUACGCAAGCAAGGUUGGAAGUUGAGAGGAAAGCUCCAAGUAGCUAUCACUUAGUUAGCUUGCGUGAAGAUUCUAAACAAGAUGAAAACCUUCUGGAACGCAAUACAGUGGUCUAGAGCUAAAAAGUAUAUAUUUACAUUGAUUACAUAGAGGAAGCAUUUCCUAAAAGGGUAUUACUGGUACUUGUCAACGAGGUCCUCAUCGGUUUAUUCCGAAUCGACUAGAAUAUUGAUUUCUCAGCUGUAAUUGUUAAUUUUAAACUGGUCUAAAAAAAUGCACACCAAGCAUAAAUUUAUCUGUAUGUAAAAGUGUUUAUUUAACAGGUUCCGAUUAAAACCAGCUACAGAGAAGUGUUAUUAGUACUACCUUUUUCGUGGUUAAGUUUACCUUACCCAAGUUUUACUACAAUGACGUACCUAGCCCUAAUAUUUAGGAGGAUAAAAGUAGAUAAUUUGUCAUAAAUUCAUGAACUUCAUGAACCUUUUAGACAAAGUUUAACAGUUCAUCGUUUAUAAAGAAAUUGUGCUAGACUAAUACUCAAUAAUUUACCAUUCUACUUAUUUUUAAGCGAUAAAAUCCAUGUUAUCGCGGAUUCUCUGGAUUUCUUAGGGAUUAACCUUAAUCCCCUAGGCUAAGAAAACAGUUUAACAAUAUAAAGCUUGAUAACUUACCUGGUUAAGCUCUUGUUAACCUACUACUGUUUUAAUAGUUUCUAACCGUAAGGAAUAAAGCUAAGUUGUUGCAUGGUUAUCAAGGAACUACAACCGAUUCACUAACUUAGAAGCGGAACCUUAUUUUCCCUAACUAUAACCACGCUAGAUUAGGUAAUAGCCCUUAGUUAGGCCUUGAACGGGAUAGUAUGGAAAAAGGCCAUAUGCUUUAUCACCUGAACUGAUUGAGUUAAGAAUACUUUAGCGCUUAAUCUAGUAAACGGGAAUGGAGUUGUUUCCUUCGUACUUGGAGAAGAUAUUUUGGUAAAACAAGAACCAGGGUUAAGUUAUGAUUCGUUCAGGCUUGAUUAACUUAUGAACACACUAUUUAAGGAGCUUAACUGAACGGUAAAGGUAUUUCCUAUAUUAACUGUUGAGAUUCAACCUGUAAUAGGAAAAGGACGUUCUAUAGGGCUCCCUUUUCACAACGAUUUAAAUAGGGUAGCCUAUAAAGUAUACACUGAUGCCCAGCUUGGCUUUGUUUUAUGAAAAAGAACCAUCCACACUAGGCAACUUGUAUCUAGGUUAAAAAGGUAAAAAAACUAAGAAAUCUUAAAAAAAAAAGGCAAAGACCACCAUAUUUUUACGGCGACACGGACCUAUAGAAUAGACAGAGAGGUCCUUUUACUUAUAGAGGUCUUUUCUAAAAUUCAAGUUAUAUAAAAAAAAAAGAGAGGUGAGCCUGAUUAGGCGCAUGAGCCGAAGAACAUAAAUAUAAAUUUCGCUCAGCACAUAGAUGAGGUUACUAUGAUAACAAGGCCUGGUAAUAAUUACUCCUAGGGCCAUUCUAUACGUGAAGAAGCUCUUACUUUUUUUUGACUAGAUGAAGGCAAACCAUAAAGCCUGAUUUAAGAAAACGAGGAGCUAUGAGUUAGUUUAGAAGAAAAAAAUACUAACUUAGGUGGAGAUACCAGGGUAUAAAUCAUUAAGGCCUUGACGAAGAAGACAUAGCACCUAGUAGUUUUAUUCGUUCUUAUGAUAAAGAUGCAUUUUAUGGUAAAUACCCAUAAAGUUAGCUUUAUGGUUUUGUCCCAUAAUCAAGAAAGAGAGCAAGAACUAGUAUAACAUUACCCUACUACUUAGAUAAAGAAGCGAAAAAGCGGUUCUUUAGUCCUAAGAGAACCUCUUAUCUUCCUAUAUACUUUAAGGUUACUGGUAACCUAUACUAAGCUAGUUCAGAACUUAUCAGUUCUUAAAAGGAUAGAAAAAAUGGUCUUCAUAGGUUGUUAAAUACAGAAUGAACUAGUAAUCAGUAACUCCCCAAUCUCUAUAUAGAAGGAAGUUGUCUUUCUCUUAUUUGUAAGUAAACUAGAACUAGGAACACCUCGCUUUUUCUGUGAUAUGACCUAGACGUGCCUGGAGGACGAUUAUAGGUAUUUACUGAACAAAAACCAUUAUCUACUUGUAAUGGUAUACAUAUAAGUCCACGUACCAUCUGUAGCCAUGAGGUCACGUAAAGAGGGAGACUAAGUCUUAUUUAUACAAAAGCAUGGGAGAGAAAUUUUACUUUUCAUCUGCAAGGUCGUGCUUAGAGUCGUUAGUGAACAAGACUAAGAUGUAUAACUAGUAAAACUUGAUUUUAGUUUGAAAAACCGCCUUAUCAGUGUAAUACAUAUUAUAGGGCUGAGAGUUAUCAAUGUAUGUUCAGAUAUCUUGUAUCUUUUCGCCCUACGGGUACUGCCCAUGCACACCCUACUUGGUUUAGGAGUAACUUAAAAUAAAAAGGUAAUCUUCCUCGAGCAUGUACAAGACGUCAUGGCGGACACUUAUGAGGCGGCCAUACUUUUCAAGAAUUACAAUCAACUCAGGGGCCAAGGGGUUAACUAACUGGGCGUUAUUAUGGAUGCCGAAGAGGGUUAAGCUGGUCUAGCGGUACUCACCCUGAGGCUGGUAUUGUAUUAACUGUCUAGGUUCUACAUGAGGACGUUCAUUUCCCCCAAGCUUAUAUAUAACCAACACGAGCUUUCCAAUACUUAGCUAACUGUUCAGGUUAGGGUUAUAGAACUAAAGCUCACCGUUACGUAGCAUCUGGCUUAGUUAAUGUUAAUUAUUGGGCAACUCCAUAGAUUUAUUGGAUCGGUUACUUUUUUAUCUAUUUUGCAUUUAACAAAAUAGAUAAAAAAAAAAGAACUGGGGAUAUUAAUAUAUAUUAUGAUGUUAUGUGAUUUCUUGGUAUCCUAAAUAUAUGAUUAAUGAUUCAAGUUGGUGAGUUGAGAAAGAAAUGGUUGAAUCAAACUAAUUCCUUUUUUGAAGUUCAAUUUCUAUCAGAGGACAAUAUGAAUGUUAUACCAUGUUACAUUAAAACACUCAAGGGGUUAUAUGAUAUAUCGGGUGUAGAAGUAGGCCAAUAUUCACAUACACAUAGGGUUUACAAAUCCAUGCCAAGUACUUAUCACUUCUUGGGUCGUAAUUGCUAUCUUGUUAGGUUCAGUCAUCAUAGCUGUUCGGAAUCCACAAACCAUUCCGACCGACGGUCAGAAUUUCUUUGAAUAUGUCCUUGAAUUUAUUCGAGACUUGAGCAAAACCCAGAUUGGAGAAGAAUAUGGACCUUGGGUUCCCUUUAUUGGAACUAUGUUCCUAUUUAUUUUGUUUCUAAUUGGUCAGGUGCUCUUUUACCUUGGAAAAUCAUACAUUUACCUCAUGGGGAGUUAGCUGCGCCCACGAAUGAUAUAAAUACUACUGUUGCUUUAGCUUUACCCACGUCAGUGGCAUAUUUUUAUGCGGGUCUUACCAAAAAAGGAUUGGGUUAUUUCGAGAAAUACAUCAAACCAACUCCAAUACUUUUACCAAUUAACAUCCUAGAAGAUUUCACAAAACCUUUAUCUCUUAGCUUUCGACUAUUCGGGAAUAUAUUGGCUGAUGAAUUAGUAGUUGUUGUUCUUGUUUCUUUAGUCCCUUCAGUAGUUCCUAUACCUGUCAUGUUUCUUGGAUUAUUUACAAGUGGUAUUCAAGCUCUUAUUUUUGCAACGUUGGCCGCGGCUUAUAUAGGCGAAUCCAUGGAGGGUCAUCAUUGACUAGUUUCGAAAUAGUCUUUUUUUUUAGCUUAUCCCAAUUCAUGCAUGGUUCAAGAUAAUCUGCUUGGUUGGAGAACAUAAUAGAUAUAAAUACGUAUGAAGAUAUGACCUAGAGUCGUAGGAGAGAAGAUGAACGAUAUUACGGAAUUGUAAAAAAAAAAAUGGGUUGGGGAGGUCAACUAGAUGUAUGUAAUGUCUAUAAGUCCAGCCACUUUUUUGUGGGUUUCAAGGAAUGAUUCUAUAAUCCGAUUCAAUAUAAAAUGCGGCCAGUUACGUUAUGGAAGAAAGAAAUGUAUAUGUAAUAUGUAUAUGCAAUAUUAGAUAUUCACUAGUUAUAUAGUCCUAUCUAUAUAUAAAUAUAAGUCCUUAUACCCUACCUUAUACCCUACCUAUAUACUAACUAACUAUAUAUAUCUAACUAUAUGCUAUACAUAAUAAAUAUAUAUAUAGUUAGUUAUAGCAAAAUAAAAAAUAUAUAUAUAUGUAUUGAUAUACAUAUUGAUAUCGUUAUAUUGAUAUAUUGAUUCGUUGAUAUCGAUCAUAUUGAUAUCCAUUGCAUAUAUUGAUGAUUGCAUAUAUUGAUUUGAUUGCAGUUUACUGCAUUUAGAUUAGAUGGAUUACAAGAUAAGUCAAGUCCUUUCUUCUGUUUCAUUUGUGAUUGUGGAUUGGAUGAAAAAACAGAUGAACUCAAGGAUAUAGAAGAGUAAAGAACGAAGGAUUGAAUGAAAGAAUGGUUGGAAAGAAAGAAAUGCAAUAACUAGAACCGUAUGUAUAUGGAUUUACAAAAACUUCAUCAUGGGUAGAAACUAAAAACGAGAUAUCGAAGUAGUUCUGACGAGUCAGUAAUAUUAUCAUUAGUUUUUAGUUACUUCGACCCAAUAGAUCUUAAUGAUCAAACUUAAUGAUAAAAUUAAGUAAUAAUUCAUUGGUCGAUUGUAUCAUUAACCAUUUCUUUUUUCUUUUUUUGGUGCGAGGAACUUACCAUGAAUCCACUGAUUUCUGCCGCUUCCGUUAUUGCUGCUGGAUUGGCUGUAGGACUUGCUUCUAUUGGACCUGGAGUUGGUCAAGGUACUGCUGCAGGCCAAGCUGUAGAGGGUAUUGCGAGACAACCAGAAGCAGAGGGUAAUAACGAGGUACUUUAUUGCUUAGUCUAGCUUUUAUGGAAGCUUUAACAAUUUACGGACUGGUUGUGGCAUUAGCGCUUUUAUUUGCGAAUCCUUUUGUUUAAUCCUAGAAAUGUAAAAAAGUACCUUAGAUUACAUACUCUUUUUACUUUUUUUCUUAUUUUAUUAACUUGAAAUUAAAUUGCCGUUUCCUUCUUCGAAUUAUAUCAACACUUUACUCCUAUAAUUACUUAUUUGUUGAGACUCCAGGAAGGACUGCUUUGAGGAUGAGGAAUUACCAGAUCACUCGCUUUCUUCCUUCCCGUCUUAGUUAGUACAAUGGAAACUUUUUUCCUUUUAGGAAACGUUUCCACAAACGAUAUAUUUCGCAUUGAAAUGAGACCUAAGACCUACCUAAAUGAAAUUACUAGAUUUAAUCUAUUCCCAUUAAAAAGGGGGAAAUUCAAUUAAAAAUAAUAAAAUGAUCAAAAAAGAAAGGGCGAGCGAAGUGAUAGAAAAAGAACUUGUUCUUUGUCAGUCCUAUCUAUAAGAGGAGAGCAUAUGAAAAAUGUACCGAUUCUUUCGUUUUCUCACGCCACUGGCCAUCCGCCGGGAGUUGGGUUUAAUACCGAUAUUUUAGCAACAAAUCCAAUAAAUCUAAGUGUAGUGAUUGGUGUAUUGAUUUUUUUUGGAAAGGGAGUGUGUGCGGGUUGUGAUUUCAAGAAUAGGUUGGAUCCAUCCGGCUGCACUUUACUUUAUUUAUAGUUAUUUAUAGUUAUAGUAUAUUUAGGAUAAAUAGGAAAAAAGGUGCACGAUCUCGACGAAUUACUUCUGAAUAAAUUCAAAAAUCAUAUGUAAGAACCAUAGCAUUUCGUGACUUAUUGGUAAAUCAACUUUGAUUCUCUAUCAACCAAUAUGUGAGACCAUUAACAUGGUUAAAGCUAAACUGUUUGAAGUCCAGGCAAAACAUGGUCUCUUCUACGACUACAUUAGUACUGAAAUGUUUUCCAAAUGAAUAGUUGGUAAUUUAUCUGAUAUAGAACACUCAUAUCGAUAAAAGGAUUUGAACCAUUUACUAGAAAGAAAAGGCACUCUGCCUUUUUUAUCCAAUGCCGAAUCGACGACCUAUGUAUAAAAAAAGAGGAAUUUUUGGAUUUGAAAGAAAAAGAAAAAAUCUAAUUCCAAAUUAGAAAUUUUUUAAAUUUAUUUAAUUAAAUAAAAAAGAAAUUUAAUUAAAUUAAGAACAAAUACAAAUAAAGAAACAACUUUGCUGACAUUAUCGAUUUUUAUCUGGUCGGAAGAGUCCUCCUAAUAUUUAUUCUGGUCUUGUAUCAGUUUAGAUAUCUUUGAAUACAAACAGAAAAGAAAAGAGAGGCAGGCUCAUUACAUUAAAAAAAAAAGAUAUGGGAAUACCCAUAACAAAAAAAUCAAAUAAAUAAUUGAGCGUGAGAGCCAAAUGAAUCGAAAGAUUCAUGUUUGGUUCGGGAAGAGAUCAUGAAAGUUGUGAAAUUAAUGGUAAGAUAAUCUACUUUCAUUAAAUGAUUUAUUAGAUAAUCGAAAACAGAGGAUCUUGAGUACUAUUCGAAAUUCAGAAGAAUUACGUAGAGGGGCCAUUGAGCAGCUCGAAAAAGCCCGGGUUCGCUUACAGAAAGUGGAACUGGAAGCAGAUGAGUAUCGAAUGAAUGGAUACUCUGAGAUAGAACGAGAAAAAGAAAAUUUGAUUAAAGCUACUUGUGAUAGUUUGGAACGAUUAGAAAAUUACAAAAAUGAAACCCUUCAUUUUGAACAACAAAGAGCGAUAAAUCAAGUCCGACAACGAGUUUUCCAACAAGCCUUACAAGGAGCUCUAGGAACUCUGAAUAGUUGUUUGAAUACCGAGUUACAUUUCCGUGCGAUCCGUACUAAUAUUGGCAUUCUUGGGGCCAUGGAAGAAAUAACUGAUUAGCCCUUCCACUUUUACUUUAGUUUACAAUUUAGGCAUUAUUUUUUUCCCUUUGCUUCCGAAAAAGAAUAAAGAAACACUAAUGGUAACCACCGGUACCGUACUUCAAGUAGGCGACGGCAUUGCUCGUAUUCAUGGUCUUGAUGAAGUAAUGGCAGGUGAAUUAGUAGAAUUUGAAGAGGGUACAAUAGGCAUUGCUCUGAACUUGGAAUCCAAUAAUGUUGGCGUUGUAUUAAUGGGUGAUGGUUUGAUGAUACAAGAGGGAAGUUCUGUAAAAGCAACAGGAAGAAUUGCUCAGAUACCUGUGAGUGAGGCUUAUUUGGGUCGUGUUAUAAAUGCUUUGGCUACACCUAUUGAUGGGAGAGGGGAAAUUUCAGCUUCUGAAUCUCGGUUAAUUGAAUCCCCUGCCCCCGGUAUUAUUUCGAGACGUUCUGUAUAUGAGCCCCUUCAAACAGGGCUUAUUGCUAUUGAUUCGAUGAUCCCUAUAGGACGCGGUCAGCGAGAAUUAAUUAUUGGGGACAGACAGACCGGCAAAACAGCAGUAGCCACAGAUACGAUUCUCAAUCAAAAAGGGCAAAAUGUAAUAUGUGUUUAUGUAGCUAUCGGUCAAAAAGCAUCUUCUGUGGCUCAGGUAGUGACUACUUUCCAGGAGCGAGGGGCCAUGGAAUACACUAUUGUCGUAGCUGAAACGGCGGAUUCACCUGCUACAUUACAAUACCUCGCCCCUUAUACGGGAGCAGCUUUGGCUGAAUAUUUUAUGUACCGUGAACGACAUACUUUAAUAAUUUAUGAUGAUCUCUCCAAACAGGCACAAGCUUAUCGCCAAAUGUCUCUUCUAUUAAGAAGACCUCCCGGUCGUGAAGCUUGAGUAUUCUAUAGUGUCACCUAAAUAGCUUGGCUUUUGGAAAGAGCCGCUAAAUCAAGUUCUAGUUUAGGUGAAGGAAGUAUGACUGCUUUACCAAUAGUUGAGACUCAAUCUGGAGACGUUUCAGCUUAUAUUCCUACUAAUGUAAUUUCCAUUACAGAUGGACAAAUAUUCUUAUCCGCCGAUCUAUUCAAUGCUGGAAUCCGACCUGCUAUUAAUGUGGGUAUUUCUGUUUCCAGAGUAGGAUCCGCAGCUCAAAUUAAAGCCAUGAAACAGGUAGCUGGCAAAUCAAAAUUGGAACUAGCGCAAUUCGCAGAGUUAGAAGCCUUUGCACAAUUUGCUUCUGAUCUCGAUAAAGCUACUCAGAAUCAAUUGGCAAGAGGUCAACGAUUACGUGAGUUGCUUAAACAAUCCCAAUCAGACCCUCUCACGGUGGAAGAGCAGAUAGCUACUAUUUAUACCGGAGCGAAUGGAUAUCUUGAUCCGUUAGAAAUUGGACAGGUAAAGAAAUUUCUUGUUCAGUUACGUACUUACUUAAAAAAGAAUAAACCUCAAUUCCAAGAAAUUCUAUCUUCUACCAAGACAUUCACCGAGCAAGCAGAAGCCGUUUUGAAGGAAGCUAUUCAGGAACAGAUCGAACUAUUUCUACUUCAGGAACAACCAUAAAUUUAUCAUACUUAUUCUUAGCAUGAGAGUAAUCAUUGAGAAAAAUUUCUGAUUUGAAUCAUUCAAAAAGGGUUUCUUAGUAUAGACAUUUAAGAAAAUAGAUGGAAAAAAAAUUGCGUCCAAUAGGAUUUGAACCUAUACCAAAGGUUUAGAAGACCUCUGUCCUAUCCAUUAGACAAUGGACGCUUUUCAUUUCUAUUUUCUUCUUUCGUAUUCUUACUUUACUCUUGUUCAAAUAAAAAACGAUUAUAUGGAAAAUAUAUCUUUUCGGGAAAAAAGGAUGCAUAUCCAAAUUGAUGACGCAUAUACAAUAAUGAAUAUGGAGCGGGUAGCGGGAAUCGAACCCGCAUCGUUAGCUUGGAAGGCUAGGGGUUAUAGUCGACGUUGGUUGAUCAUUUUUAACGUCUCUAAUUCAAAACCGAACAUGAAAUUUUGGUUUCAUUCGGCUCCUUUAUGGAAGGUCCAUAUAUUUCCAGAGAAAAAAUUAGAUCCAUAACAUCUAUGUCAGCUUUUCUGUAUGAAUGCAUCUAAAGCUACUCGCUUUCUAGAUGAUCCCUCUAGAGGAGAGAGAUUAUACCAAAUCUAUCUAGUCUAGUUACUUCGUUCCCUAUUUUCACUCCCAGGAUCCUCAGGAAAAGAAUUUGGUUUCUACCGAGCUGAAACAAUAUGCUGAUGGUUCUAGUAAACCAAAACUAUCGUUUUUUAGCUAUUUGGCUUCAAUUUCCUUUUACAACACAAAAAUGGAAGAUCUAGUUACGAUUGGAAAUAAACUUUUGUAUCUUCAUCCAUAGACCCUUUACCUAUACUUAUUCAAUUGGAAUAGUUAAUCCAAUUCAAAAAAUUAUGCUUCGCGAAUCCAUAUCCAUAAUCCAAUUUUUUGAUGCAAUUCCUAAUUGGCCUUUGGAUACAAAUCGUGAGAACGUAUAUUUUUCCUCAAAUAUGCUAUUGAGAGGAAAAGGAUUAAACCUUUUUAAGAAAUAAAGUUUUUGAUCGGAGUUUGAAAAAAAAAACCGAUGGACCCCUUAACUAUUUUAGUUGUUAAUAGAACGAAUCACACUUUUACCACUAAACUAUAUAUAUAUAUAUAUAUAUAAAGUUUAAAUAUGUAUUUUUAUUUUUGUAACUGGUGUUGUUGAUUUCCCUUGUGUUUGUUCUCAGUAGCUUGGUUUUUUUUAUUUUUUUGACAGAUAAGUAUUAUGCUAUCCGCUUCGUUUAUUUCAUUUAAAAAUAAACAUAGCUGAAAAUGUGAAUCAAAUAAGAUUUGAACUUGGGUCUCUGGUACCAACCACCAAGCCGUAUUUCCAGUAGCUUUGUUGUAUGAGUUAUUAAUGUAAUAAAGCAAAUCAUCGUAAAUACGUACGUACCACUCAAUAAUUCUGUACUUAGGUCGAUGUAAUAUGUGAAAUAUUUAUUCCGUUUAGUUUAUUGUAAUCUGCAUCAGUAAAAUAAUAAUAAUAAAAAAAAAGUGGAUUAGGAAGUAAGUUUAUUUACAUUUGUGGAUUGUUUACAGUUUCUUUAUUUAAUCAUCAAAUAAACCAAUAUUUAAUUACUUUUUCUUUUUUUUUUCUGGGAUUGGUUGUCUAAAUUUAUGCUUUAUAUAUAUAUAUAUUAUUGAUUUUACCAUAAACCGCAUAAUCACUUUUUAAAUUGUGCACCAUGUUAAGAUAUAGGCUCAAAGCAUGAAUCAUAUUAGGCUAAACCCGAGAGACGUGAUGAUAAUUGUGGANAUAUAUAUAUAGAGUUGAGCUGGAAUACUAUCGGUAGCAAACGGGCUCCGUUGCCACCCAUUUGUUUUCGAUGAUGGAGCCUCCGAAUCGAUGAUCGACACCGUUGAACAUGAUCUAUACCACUUGAAGCAUAUAGAAAUCAAAUUUCAUGCUUUUCCGAUAUUAUUUUCUUGUCUAUCAAGUGGAGACAAAAUGAACGGCUGAAAAUGAAUAUUCUUCAAAAAAUGAUGAUAGAAAUCUUGUAAUCAAGAUCGAGAGUAUAGAUCUUAUUCUAAAUAGUUUAAAAAAUUUUCUAACCAAAAUUCAAUUGAUUUGGAUAUCUUUACACCGUUAAACGAGAAAACGCCUCAUAUCGACCAUUAAAAUUACAAAUUUUGAAACUCUUUGAUCAUUAGGUCAAUGAUGUCCAAAAGAUUUGAAAUUUGAUUUCUAGAUACUUCAAGUGGUAUAGAUAACGUUCAACGGUGCCGAUCGUCGAUUUGAAGACUCCAUCAUCGAAAACAAAUGGGUGGCAAUGGAGCCCGUUUGCUACCGAUAGUAUUCUAGCUCAACACUAUAUAUAUAUAUAUAUAUAUAUAGAACUAGGCUUGAAUACUAUUAAUAGCACCAAUGACUUGGUGCUAUUAAGUUUUCUGCUCUUGGAUUAAAAGAUGUGCGGUUAGGAUGAUGUGGGCCCCCUAGGGUUGAGUGGGUGGUUGGUUGAAUAGUAUAAUCCAACGGAUGAAAAUGAUAAAAGAGGUAGAUCAAACGGCAGAAAACUUGAUAGCACUAAAUACUUUGUGCUAUCGAUAGUAUCCCAGCCGGACUCUCUCUCUCUCGAUAUAUAUAUAUAUAUAUAUAUAUAUAUAUAUAUAUAUAUAUAUAUAUAUUGUUUUUGCUUUAAUCUUGUUUUUAUCUUUUUGAUAGAGGACUACUUUGUUUAACUAUGUUACCCUAAUUAAUAAAAAGGCUACUGAUUCCUAUAUUUCUCCUGUUUGUAUCCUCAAUAAACUAGGGCUCUCUCUCUCUCUCUCUUUCUCUCUCGCUCAACUAUACACGCGCUUCUCCGUCGCGUGCGUAAUCUCUCUCUCUCGUUCUUGCACGCGCCCACUAAGGCCUUUGUUUCUCAUUCUCCGAUGUCGACACUGCUGCUACACUUCUUCAUUGUUGGUGCCAUUUCGUUUGUUACCAACGUCAUUCUGUUUGGUGAAGGCACCUUGUUCACUGUCGCUUCCUUCAUCAUCAUCUAAAGGUUUUCUAUUUUGUUCUCUUUAUCUUUUUUGCAUAUUUUUGAAAGUAUCAUUCUCUUGAUAGGUUUUAGAUCUAAAAACUAUUUUAAAAAAUAAUAAUAAAUCUGACAUUUAAGUUAAAAUAUUGAUCUUGAAUCAAUAAAGUUCUUAAAAUUGUUUGAACCUCUGUACACCCAUUAGAUUCCAAUAUAUAGAUUUCUUGUAUUCAUAUGUUAUUUGGAAUUCAUACGAAGUGUUUGACUAAAUGUGUAAGAGAAUAAAUAUAAAUUUUGCUUCCGAAUUUGGCCUAAUCGGAUUACAAUUAGUAGACGUUUGUUCCUAUCUGAAAAUUAUUCUUUCGAGUAUUUGAACCUUCGGUUUAAUUUUUUGAAUCCUAUUCAUGUUCCACUACUUUUUUGAAUAAUAUAGUCCAUAGAAUUCUUCCUUUUGAUUGAUAGUUGAGAUUCCUCAACUUAUUAUGUUCAAAGUCUUUUUCCUAUAUGAGAUUGGCCUUUUAGCAACUAAUUAAGACUCGUGCUAAUAUCUAGUUGAGUCUAUCCAAAUUAUGUUGUUGGGUAACGUCAUGUUUCUUAUGAAGUAAUUAGUCCUAUGUCAGAGGGAUUCGACGUCUUUUCGGGUAUUGUUUGGUUGGGGAGCUAUAGGGGGAAUAAAGGGUUAUCCCCCUUUUGUUCCUUAAACAAGAAUUGAGCUAAGGUGCACCCCUGGGUGGAAUUACGCUAUUCCACCCUCGUUCCUCUCGCGCAACUUUUGCCCUUUCCUCUCUCCGAAGCUCUCCUUCCCUUUUCCUCUUCGUCUUCCCUCGCAGUUUACUGUACUCCUCCGAUCGGCUAGGUUUUUCCAUUCUUCAGCUGAUCUGGUGCCACCGGAUCUCCUACAUCUCAGCUAUGACUACCUUCUCUUCCUCCGAAGCAUGCCUUUGCCUCUCCUCCCUCGCCCUCGGCUUCUUCCUACUUCUCGGGUUGCCGUACAGCCGCGAUCGGCUUGAUUUUGGGCCUUUCAAUUGAACCGUAGACAUCGGAUGUACUAGAUCUGGAUCUAUUUUACACAAGUGAAACCCUUGUGUGCAGGUUCGCCUUGCUUCCUCUUCCUAUGACGCCCUCCACCUGUGCAAGACCCUCUCUGUGGCCUUGCAUCUCUCCGAAGCUCUGCUCUUACUUUCCUCCAUCCCUCACUGCUUCUUGCUGUUGAUUGAGUUGUCGUACGACUGAGCUCCUCAGCCGCUUCCUCCCUUCGGCCGAUCCCUAGGUGCAAAUCUCGUAGAUCUGAUUCUAUUCGCUUAAGUUUUGUAAAUUUUGCAGGUAAUUUUUUUUGGCAGCAUCGUCACUUCAUCUUGAAGCCCCUAUUGUUUUACGGGUAGAAAGCCAUAGGGUCUGGAUCUCCCAGAUCCUGCUUAAUCUUUGUGCGGCCUACGCAAGAUCAUCUUCGUGCCUCCCCUGUUUAAGGUGUCCCGAUCCGCUUGCAUAAGGUUUGGUAACCAAGGUUUCAUUGCUCAUACUUAUGUUUGCUCUAACCUUUUAUCCUUGGAGGAUAUAUUAUUUACUCAUUUGCAUGAUAAUAUUGUAAGGAACUAUAUCCUAUCUUCAUUCAUGGUCACUCUAUGUCGUCCCUAAUAUUGUGAACCCUGUGCUAGCAUGUUGGAUUUUAACUGUGAUAUGUAUGAUUGCCGAAAAGUAAGACAGUGUGUGGAAUUGAAAAUAGUAUUUUGUAUGGCAAUGAAGGUUGCGAAAGAUGAUUUUGGCGAUGAUGACGAUUUCCAGAAGCAUUUGAUGGAUGGCAUGGAUCUACAAUUCAAAGCACCCCGAUGCUUCUUGGAAACCACUUUGAGCCGCAUGACCCAAAAGACCACCAUAAGAUGCAGAUUUAUGUCUCAUUAAAAUCUCUUCCUAGUGCAUCCUUCGUCUGUAAUUAGUUCUAGUUGUCAUAUGGCUUCACUUGUAUUUCAUUAUAAUAAGUUGCUACUACUUCAGUAUUGGAAAUAGUCUUGCUAGUGUUUGGACAUAGUCAAACAUAUAUUUGCUUAGCUGCUGCUACAUGUAUAGUUCCCUUGCCAUCUUUAUUAGCUUCUUGACCGUAAUGUAUGUCUAAUGUUGUGUGCUUGCUGCGUACACAUAUUUAAUUGUGUCAAUCCACAUGAAUGGUUUUUGGUGAAGUGCUUUCUUGAACUACAGAUGCCUCCUGUCAAGAAACCAUCUAAGUAUGUUCAUAAGAAAGGUGUGGUGUUCGAAAUCCCACCAACUGAAAAUUUACAGAUUGAUGAUAGUAGCAGAUUGCAUAACCAAACUUGGAAGCAAACUCAAAAUUGGACCAACAGUUUAGAUGCAAGUAUGCUAAGUCAGCUGACAAAAGAACACGCUUUAGGAAACUACACCAAUGGGUCUUUCACAAACGUUGUGUGGACUAGGAUAAUAACCGAUUUCAACUCUAGGAACAAUAUGAACCUGACAAGGGAGCAAAUAAAGAAUCGGCUUAAAGUUCUAAAAAGAACUUUUAUGCUGUACAACUGUCUUGAAAAUAAGAGCGGGUGAGGAUGGGAUUAUGUCUACAACAUUCCCACGGUUGGUGACGUAAGUGACUGGGAUGCAAUAAUUGCAGUACAAUUUAACGACUUUCAUUUCAACUUAUUAUUACACUAGAUUCUUUCUUUCAUUUCCAUAAUUAUAAUAAUCUUUAUUUAGGAGAAUCCGGCGUAUGCAAAGUGUAGGGAUAAACCCUUUCCAGCCUAUAAGGACAUUGCAUUCCUUACUUCAAAGACAAUGGCUAUAGAAAGAUAUGGUUUUUUGUUAGGAAUGGCGCCAGCCCCUACGAUAGAUAGCUCAUCCUCAUCGUCUCCUGGUGAGGAUGAAAGUAUACUUGGAGAGAGAAUGUCUGCAUUCAAUCUUUCACCUACUCCCAUCGAAUAAGGGUCAACUGGCUCAGCUUUCAAUGCCAAUCCCUGAAGAAAUAAUACCUCACGAUCCACUAGCCCUACCGCUGCUCCCACCACUGCACGAGCAAGUGCUAGUGGCUCUGGCCACUCCUUUGGUGGGAAAAGGCCUCAUUCCCCACAACAUGCCAAUCCUCCACGGAAACAAGCAUCGUCAUCUAGAAGACGAAGCAAAAAAAGUGAAACCGCAAGUGACGCGGUAGUAGAGAUGGUAGAACUUGGUAAACAAAAGCUAGAUCUAGUACGACAAAUUUACCAUAGUGAGGUCGGCAAUCGAGCAAGCAUCCCUUCGAUCGAUACGUGCAUGACAAGUGUGUAUAAUCUACUUGGGAUGACAAAUGAGCGAAUUUUGGCAGCAGGUGAUGCGUUAAGAGACGACAAGAAUCGUCAAGUUUUUAUGACUAUGAAUGAUAAGGUAGCAUGAAUGUGGGUUGACCGGCAAGUUGCACUGCAAAAUGUUUUAUACAAGCAAUAAUUUCCUGGCAUGUAGAGCAAGGGUUAAAUGUUGAUGGACGUUACUUACUACUUAUGUUUAGUUAUUUUUGCAUUAAUCUUUGCAUGUAUCUGAUGUUUUAGUACUAUUUAUGUAAUCGUAAGCUUUAGACAUGUCUUUACUUACAUGUAAUGCUUAUCUUUCACAUAAUGGUAGAUCGCAUUGCUAAGGUAAAGAAUUUUCAUAUAUUAUGUUUUAUUUAGUUCUUUACUACAUGUUAAUUAUGUGAGUUAUGUUCUUUUUACUUCAUGCAUCGCGAAUACAUGUCAAGCAAUGUAACUAUAUACAUGAUUCUAAUGUUGUGGUGAUGAAUAUGAAUUUCUUGCAGCAGUGAUGGGUGAGUUUUUAUAUUCCACUGUGUUUUCUUCCCUAGUCAUAAGCAAUCCAAUGACAAUAUUAGAUGAAGCUGAUGACUAUUGGGAUCAAGUAUUCGUAAUGCUCAUUGACCAAGGAUACUUGACAUAUAGUAAUACGUAUAAUAAGCGACAAUGUCUUACGAGGCCUUUUACUGGCCAUCAAUUGAUUUGUGAUAUCUUGAAUGGUCAUCCUGAUCGUGGGUACAAUCAUUUUUGAAUGACGACCAUUGCAUUCAUUGCUCUCUGCAAUGAGCUUGUCGGAAGAGAGUUGAUAAAUAGCACAAGGAAUAUGACUGCUGACGAACAGUUAGCAAUUUUUCUUUUUUGCGUAGGGCAUGGGGUUGCAAAUAGGAUGUUGGCAGAAACUUUUCAACAUUCAGGAGAAACUAUUAGUCGACAUUUCAACAAUGUGCUCUAUGGAAUUGUGAUACUGAAAGAUUAUUACGUAACUUUGCCACCGAGUAAUGCUGCAAUGCAUCCAAGAAUUAGGAAUAAUUUUAAUUUUCAUCCUUUCAAGGUAAAGUAGAAGUAAUAUAUUAUCUUGGUCUGCUUGUUAUCUAUUAUUUGUUAUGAAUUGAUUAGUAUGUUGUUGGAUGAUUUGUAUAAUGCAAUAGGUGCGGUGGACGGUACGCAUAUUCCGGUAGUUGUCCGAAAGAGCAAGCAACCACGAUUUCAGUGUCACAAGGGUUUACAUCGCAAAAUAUGAUGGUUGUUGUAUUAUUUGAUCAUAUAUUUCUAUUUGUAUGUACAUGAUGAGAAGGUUCAGCGGUUGAUACUAGAGUACUAAGAUAGGCUUGUAAAAGUGGAGGUUUUACUAUCCCUGAAGUAUGUACCACAUAUUUGCUUCAUAUAUUAUAAUGUAAAUACUUAUGAAUGAUCAUACAUUAUUAUUGAGACUUGCAUUUGUCGACAAUGUUCGCAGGGAAAUAUUACUUGGUAGAUUUUGGAUAUGCAAAUAUAGAUAAAUUCCUUGUGCCAUAUCGCAGAGAGAGAUACCAUCUUAGUCAAUUUGAUGGUAAUACACGUGGCCGCACACAUCGAAGUCCGUGGGACUUUAUAAUCAUCGACAUGCUCAAUUAAGAAAUGUUGUAGAGAAGACUUUCGGCAUCUUGAAGAAGCAUUUCAAGAUCCUAAAUCAUGCAACUCCAUUCCCCUAUAAAGUGCAAUGUCUGAUUGGUAUGGCAUGUUGUGUGAUGCACAACUUUAUUCGACGACACCAAGAAAUGAUAGAUAUUUUACUGAAAACCUUGACCCAUUGUCUUCAGAGGAUGAAAAGGAAGACCCGAGCGAUUUCGGCGGCACAUCGGACUCAUGCAGGGGUGACGAUCUUCGAACUAGUAUCACAGACCAAUUAUGGAAUAGUAGAAGUUAAUUAUUUAAACUGUCGGUUGUAAUGAAUUAUAUUAAAUGGGUUUGCACCCAACUGUGAUAAUGAUAUGUGAUUGCAUGGUAUAUUUAGACAUGUAUUUCUUUGCUUGCAGGUAUCCGUCUUGAGUGGUACACUUUGUAAUGUACAUAUUGGAAUAUUUUUAUGUCAACAUGCUUUAUUGUAAAUGUCUGGUACCGUUUGUAAUAUAUGGUUUGUUGUGGAUAUUACUAAAUUAUGCUAAACUCACAAAUGUUUGGAAUUUUCAUAUAUUGUUGCUUCCAUUAUGAUGAUAUUGUGUGCUUCAUUACUUAUAUGAGUUUCUGUACAAUUUAGACAUUUUGCACAUGGGAUACUUGUUAUUUACAAGUGGGCUUACGAGAUUUAAAAAUUUCAAUACAAUACAACAAUGUUAACAACCUUAAUUUCGUUGUAGUUAAUUAUUUGCUCACAUGAUUGUAAACCUUAUUGCAGUGUUAUUAAAUAUAUUUAUUUAUAAGGCAAAUUUAUUUUAAUAUUGGCAGAAUAAAUAUUGAAAUAAAAUUUAUGUUUAAUUUUAUAAUAUAUUAAUUUAUUGAACUAUUUAUCCUAUCAAAUUAAAUCAAACUAUAUUUAUAUUUAAUUAUACAUUCACAUUUUGCUUAUAUAGCAUAAUAAGCACGAGGAGUAAUAUCAUCAUUUUAACUUUUAACUAUCUUCUAUUCUUCUUAUUCUAUCUUAUACAUCCAAACACUAUUUUUCUUAUACCUGGUACAAACCUAAUACUCAUCCAAACACAAAAUCACAAAAGUUCUAGCUCGUUCUAGCAUUUAUACCUAUCCCUAGAAUAAGAAGUUCUAGCUUAUACCCGAACCAAACGGUAACUUAGAGACUCGAUCGGAACCUAGUAAAGCUUUGAUUAUUUUUGUGUUUCGUUCUUGUAAUGAUAUUUUGUUCCUUAUGUUAGGUUUCGUGGAAUUAAUUUGAUAUCCGACGUUUGACCGAACGACACUCGGAUUAAUUGAAGGUAAGUGACUUAACAGCCGUUAGUUUUUUGGCAAAAUUAUAUAAAUAUGUUACGGUAACAAAAAUCCCUUUUGUCUAGUUCUUUCUCAAAAUAAGGGUUAAGUAUGUUUAUAUAAAUUACAAAUCGUUGAAAGAAUAUAAUUUCUAAAAGGUUUUGCACUGAUUGUUGUGCAAUAUUUGGUAAAAAUUUAGCAUUCGAAACUUGCUCUCUUUUAAAUGUUGAAUGGGUGAAUGACCUUAAAAUGUAGUCUCUUGGUAUUUUGCUUUAAUUAUGUUGGCCAUGUCGACAUGAAUUUUGUGAUAGAGGCUAACUUUGAUUUAUGAUGCACCACUAAGUGCAAUUUUGUCACGCCUCUUCAGGUGCAAUUUUGUGAUGCACCUUCUGGUGCUAUUUAGAUGACUUUCAGAUGAUUUUGCUUUGCAAUCGUGCCUUCGGGUGUCUGUGAUGUGUGUUUAGGACCUUUGCCAAUAGGUCGCUAGAGACUUUCGGUUCAAAUUCUAAUUUUAAAAUAAGAAUGGUUUUGUUUAAAUUACAUUUCUCUUUGUUCCUUUGUGAAAUACACUUGUUAUAAGACUCAAUAAUUCAAAAUUGAGAUUUUUGAAUUUUGCUAAACUCAGUCGUCGCUAUUUUUUAUAACAAAGUUAUAUUUGAAUAUUUAGAAAAUAUUUUAUUUGCAUUCUUAAUCCAAAUAAUAUGGUGUAUGGUUGCUUACCAAGGUAUGGAGUAUGUGGUGAUGGGACCGAGUGAUCACUAAAUGCUAAGAUUCUUUUGUUUCUGAAUUAUUGUUAAUAAAAUUAGAUUGUUUAGUUUAAAGUUUAAUUUGUGACUAACAUAAAAUAUAUUUGCUUGGUUAGAAUUGUUGCAAAAUGUUGUGAACUUAGUUGAGUAUUUGUGAAACUUUCAGCCAUAAAUUUAAUUGUGAAUUCAAAUCUGAAAAGUAUUUAAUUUGAUUUAGUGAUAGACUAUUUUUGCCCGAUAUCUACAUAUUUUGUUGCCCUGCAUGUUUGUGAUUGAAUAAUUACAGAUAUGCGGUUUUUGUUAUGUCUCGGGUUUAGGGCAUGACAGGCGCAUGCAAAGAGAUAAACACGACAAAAAUGAAAAUGCUUUGAAAUCACGAGCUCAAAAUAGGAUUCUAUCUAAUAAGGAUGUUCCAGCAAAAAUUAUUCAUAAAAACGCAGCACAGAUAUAAACGUAUACCGAUAAUAAGUCUUAGUGAAAAAGAACCAAACAAGAAUAUUUAACUCAUUCAAGUUAACAAAAUACACACUCCUAAUAAAACAUAAGAACCAUUUAACAAUAUAUUAAAAGUGGGAUGAAAAAAGAAACUAUACCUCACAAUGAUAAUAAUUAUGAAAUUUUCUUCACAUAGAGGCCUCUUGCAAACCAACUACAAAAACCAACGACCAAUAGUCCUCAAUAAAAGAACAUUAACAGUCAAAUAAAAUAUUAACUGUAUCUAUUGUUUCUUAUUUGUUAUUUUCUAUUGGAAGUAUGUGUAAAAUUUGUAAUAUCCGAUAUUUUGACAAUGUAACUAAACCCUUUGUUGACGAUGUUUUUGUGUGUAAUGUAAUUACUUAAGCACUCGUCAAAUUUCAGGAGAAAACGAGUUAGGAUGGAGAAGUUAUGCGACCGGUACCAAUUACUUAAAGUGAAUAGUAACUCCAGUUUUCCGGAGAAGCCAAUGAAUGGAGAAGGCUUCUGGUGCGUAUUGGACUCCGAUCAUAGGGAUCCAAUAGCUCGUUUUCGACGGUUUGACUAUCCUAGACCUAAUGGCACUGACGGAUUUGGGUUCUGAUGCACGGUUUUUGAGAAAAAGGGGUUUGAUUGGAUUUAUAUAUAUAUAUGUGUGUAUAUAUAUGUGUUUUAUAGUGGAAACAAAGAGGGUUGAUUUCGUCGUGAAUCGGCGACCAAAUCGGACGAAGCGAAAUGCUAGAUUCGAUACCCCAAUCGUGCUGAACGCGCUGGCGCGAUUCGAUCGGAAAUCCGACGGACGGAUCUUCGGGAAUCUAGAAAUGUUCACUGAGGGAUCGAAUUGGCCAAAACGGAAAUUUCGCGAAAGGUCCAGUAUUUUAUGCACCGUUUUGCGCGAUUUCGAACGUCGAGGGGCUAGUGCGCAAGAUACACGCAUGGUAAAGGACUGGGUUGAGAAUUUUCAGAAAAAUGGGACUUUUUUGUAAUUAUACUACCUAGGUAUAAAUGCUGGUGCUAGGUUUUCACAAAGGAAACCCUAACACGAGUGCACCCUGCUACCAGCUAACCCUAGCCGUCGUUAGCUCGACCCUGCCCUUGUCGUGAGCGCGCCCUGGCUGCCGGAAAACCCGGCAGCACUUUCCUUUCAUCCCCUCUCGGCCACCCUCUCCUCCCUCUCGGCCGAGGUUUGCUGGAAAGCACUCGAAAGCCCUGGAAGCAUUUCCCUUGGCCGAGAUUUCCUCUUCGGCGCCAUCACCGGUCGUCCCUACCGUCAACACCGCCAGAGCCACCCAUGCAAGCCGCGGCCAGCCUGGGUCAGCUCGGGCCGAGCUGACUUCAGCUCGGGGCCCGUUUGUUGAAGCCACCUUAGCGUCGGUCCACAGCCCCGAUUCCCUCCAACCUCCGGCGACCUCACGACGCGCUCCCCGCGGUCCCCGCGCGCCCGCCGGCCACCGCUCGUGCACCCUGCAGGCCGCCCAGAUUUGUGUGGGCCGAGGCGGAGCUACCUCGGCCAUCGCGUGUCGCCGCCGCCACAGCGGGCGCAUCACUUUCUCCUCGGCCUCGGCGACGGAUCGCCGUCGCCCCGAGCUCCUCCGGCAGCCGCCUUGCCGCCGCGGACCUUGAACCAAGACAAGUUGCGGCUUGAUCUCCUCCGCCGCGCACCGGCUGCCGCCCGCCGUCGGCUAGCACCCGCCCCGGACCCCUCCGACCGGCCGCACCCGUCCCCGGCCGGAGCGCCCGCCGUCCGGCCGCCGGCGACCAUCCUCGGGCUCCACUGCUCCAGUAAGGCUGUGUUUAUAUUUCAGCACCUUAUUUUGGGGUUCCGGUCGCCUUUCCGGCGAUCCGAAGGCACCCCGAUAAAUGUGGAAGUGAGCACGAUGAUCUGGUUUCGUGCUGAACAUCGUGCUCACCUCCGUUGGGGUCAACGAUGCCCUAGUUAGCGACUUAGACGCGACAUAGGCACUGUGCGCGCUGUUUCACUGAGGUUCGCGUCGCUCGUGCGCCCGCCAAAGUGGCCGGCAGUACUCCGAAGGGUGAGCACGGCCUCCGGCACGCCGAGACCUGUCAGCAGGUGUCUCGGUUUGGCUGAUUGACCUCUGGUUUGCAUGGACGGACCAUAAAAGCCCACAAAUCACAUAAAAUAAUAUGAUUUCAUGGAAUCGGGAGGGCUUUUAUGCAAAUAUGCUUGUCGUGGUUACUAUUAGCAGCAUGUGUGGGCAGUGGGUAACCUCUGGACUUGUUGUGCAAGGCUCCAAGUCUUUCCGGAAAUCAAAUGUUGAUUUUCGGUGCGUUUUCGGCGAAAUUUGCCUACAGAACGCGAUUUUAGUUCGGAAUUCUUCCGACGGUGCCUCGGGAACUAUGGUUAUGUCGCUGAGCCUUGUUGGCUGGUCACCACGUCGUUUCGGAGGUUCGGAAACGACGGGUGAGCGACAGUGGGUUCCAGUGUCGAAAUCGACACUCCCGGGAACCCGGAUCGGAACGAUUAUCCGACGAUAAUCGUUUCGAUGUGAGGCGAUGUGUUCGCUGCCAAGAACCAUGGAUAAUGAUGUUUUGUGGCAGCGGGUGACUCGUAGUAUGAGUCAGCGAGUUCCGAGACAGUUAGUGGGUCCCGGCAGAGUUCCAGUGCGAUUUUCGGGACUCCCGGUGUUACAGCAGUCAGUUUUGAAAAACCGAUGCCCGUGGGGCUACUAGUGGGGAUUGUGAGUUAGUGGUACUUGUUAGCGGGUUAGAUUCUAACCCGGUGGACCUUUCGUAGGUCCGGUUGGUAUUUCCUCCGCAGGCGAAAGAUUCAUACAGUAUUAGUACAGGUGGGUACUUCGAUCCGAAGUCGGUACAGUGGUGCAUGCUCGGUGACGUUCUUUUAACCCCUUGUUGUUUAUAUUGCAUAUUAUAUCAGUUAAGCCUUGCACCCAUGUUGUUCCCGUAUUACUCUACUCAGUUGUUUCCAUGUUUAGUAUCAUGAGUAGGAGUAGAGUAGAUUUAUCUGCAUAUAAUAUCCGUGACCUGGUUGGUCGAUUUUCAUAUCUCGUAUCUGUGACCUGGUUGGUCGAUUUUCAUAUCUGGUAUCUGUGACCUGGUUGGUCGGUUUUCAUAUCUUGUAUCUGUGACUUGGUUGAUUUUCAUAUCUUGUAUCUGUGACCUGGUUGGUCAGUUCUCGUAUCUUGCAUAUGUGACCUGGUUGGUCCAUUGGACUCCUUGAUGACCUAUACGGUCGGUAUGCCCUGAGGGGCAGGAUUGUCGGCUGGUUGCCGACGUUGGCCAUUGAGCAUAUCAGCAUUGAUCGCCAGAUACUCGUCGCAUUUCACGAACACCAGCAGUCUAAUCCACCGCAAAAGGGUGUUCUUUUCCGGAAAAGUGGUUGCAGGUGCCAACCUGUGAGCCCAAGAGGGGUUAUAUGCAUGGUAGAGUGGCAGUGGUAUUGUCAGGAGGUCUGCGGUGCGGACCUCCAGGGCACAGGCUUGAGGUUUGCGGUGCGGACCAACAGAGCAUUGGUUUCAGAUUGGGUAUUUUUGGACUGGUCAUCCGAUUGAUGCAUGCAUACAGUAGCUGUAGUGUUUUAUAUAUAUACAUCUCGUUUACUUGUUUAUCAUAGCUACUGUACUACCAUUAUCUAUACCUUUGUUGUUCUCCGUGACUGGUGAGUACCCCUCGCCCUCGUCGGCUUGUGGUACCCACUGAGAGGGGAGACAUAUUUACAUGUUCUCACCCCCCGCCCCCAUUACAGGUGACGUUGCUGGUCCUAGUGGGACGGUUUGUGAGGAGCGCUUGUAGUGGUUCGUUAGAGCUUCCCGUCCCGUCAUUUCGUUUAAUUCCUUAAACUCCAGCUUUCUUCAAUAAAUUAGAUAAUUUAUAUGGUUCAACAUUUUAUUACAAUUGAAUUUGGGAUUUCAUGUAUGUAAUAAAGGAUUUAUGAAUUUUCGUGAAAUGGAAAUGGUCUUCUACCCCUCGUGGUAGCAAGGUUUUAAAAGGAAAAGGUUUCCGUGUGGGAAACAGUUUUAAAAAGGUUUUCUCGUGGUUUUUCGUGAUUUAGUAUUUCAAAACCAGUUUCCGGAUAGGAAACAUUUUAAACUAAUAGUCGUGGAUUUAUGAAUAACUCUGAAUGUGAAUGUGAAUGUGAAUGGUGUAGAUAUGUGUAUGUGCAUAUGUGUGGUUGUAUCGUGUAUGGCAAUUCUUAUACUUGUACUUAUGUGACGCCGUGCAAAUACAAGGGAGACUCUGUCCGUGUGAAUAAUGGACGCGGAUCUGGCAUACCUUGGGGGUCUGGAUUUUCAAAAAAAAAAAAAAAAAAAAAAAAAAAAAAAAAAAGGCACUUCCACUAUGGUUUUAAAUCAAAAUGGGACCUCGGGGCGUGACAAAAUUACUCUAUAUAAAUAAUAACAUUUGGAUCUUAGGGUUGUGAAGCCCAAAUCCUUCUCCAGUCGUUGUCUCUCAAAUGCAAUAGUAUCAAAGCACCAAAGAAGGGAUUUGGAAAAAAAAAUUCCAUCAUUACGAACAAGUGGAGAACCGAUUUGGACUUUCUUCACCGAUCAGGCCAACCCUUCCAUCCGUGUGCCUCUUUUCUUCACCGAUCAGGCCAACCCUUCCAUCCGUGUGCCUCUUUUCUUCACCGCGUUGCUGCUGCUGAUUCCCUCCCGCUGUUGUCUCCUUCAUCUGUUGUUGUGCUUCACCACCUGUUGCUACAUUUUUAUCUCUUGAAGCCUCAAUUCUUCAAGACCUGCUGCCAUCAUCUUCAAGCUUUUCCUGCUACUUCUAAGUUUCAAUGAGUAAAUUGUAAAGAGGAUUCGUUUUGCUUUAUAAUGUUUUGGAGGUGAAAAUGUUCAUCCAUAUUUUGCUGGUUGCAUUCUGAAAAUUAUGUUUGAAGAAGAAACAGGGCCCAAUGCGGUCUCAUUGAGUGGUCCAAUGAUGAGCACAGCUGUGAUGGAUAGCCUAUCUCUCCAAAUCAGCCCAAUCAAACUUGACAGUCAAAAUUAUUAAAAUGGAUGGAACGAUUAUAGUUUGUGAAUUAAUCGACAUGUAGUGAAAGUGUUGGGACAAGUCCGAAUUAAUUUUGAUGUGAAACUGAUGUCACAAUUAAUUCCAAACUAGGGAUUUAUUCUCAGCUAGAACACACUAGUUUGGUGAAGCUUGUGGCACAUUACACCAAAGCCAACCACCCCUAAUUGGGAAUUUGGAUUGUUGCAUCCAGUUGGUAGUUGGCCUCCCAUUCCCUCAUUCUUCUUCCUGUUCUUUUCCUUCUCCUUCUUCUCUUCCUCUCCCCGCUGUCCUCCUUCAUGCGCAGGCUGCCAGCAGCAUUCAGCUGCUGUCACCAGUAAGCAGCAACAGCAGGCAGUAGCAUCAGCUGGAACAACAGUAGCCCUGGUAGAAGUAGUGGCUGGUCAUUUCGAAAUUGGAGGUUCUACUUGUUGGGUUAGUCUUGCUGGUGUUCUUGGUGAAGGGAGAGGGCUCGAGAAUGUGUAAUUCCAGCUGGAAUUUUGGUAAGUUGCUUAAUAGCUGAAAUUGAUGUUUUAAGCUGAUUUUGGAUAGUUCCUGGAUUUUGAUGGAUUUCCUUUGAAUCCUUCUCUUAAGCUGCGCUUUGGAUGGGUUGGAGAUGGUCUUAACUUCAUCUAUCACUGGAUGGGAUCUUGUUUGAGCUGAAUCGGAGGUUAUUAGUGAGGGAGUUUUAAUUGUAAUUGAGUUUCCUACCAAAAUGGUCCUAUGCUGAUUUUAGUAUUUUGAUCCGAUGCCAACUUUGUUUGCUGAGGCUCGUUGGAAUUCAUUGGAUGUUUUUAGUGUGAGGAGCUGAGGAUCAUCUUAUCUAAUUUCCCUCUCUCUCUCCCUCUCCCUGUUUCUUGCCACUGCACGCAAGCUGCAGCUUCAGCUUGCUGCCAGCUGCAGGCAUGGCAGCAGCAGCAGCUAGAAUGCAGGGUCAGCAGCAGAGUUUGAGGUGCAAUUGAGCUGAAUUGAAGCUGGAAUUUGCCCAAUUAGAUCUUGCUUAAGUGCUAGCUGAGAGAGGAGAACUCUUGGACCAUUUCAUUUAGUUGGAUUUCUAGUUAGUGAAUGAAAUUGAUGCUUUUUGGAUCUUGAAGCUGAACUUUCAGCAUAUUGAUGGAUUCUUAAUCAAUUUCUACACUCAAACUUGAUAGCCGUGUCUUGCUGAUUUUUGCUGGUUUAUCCUCCAAGUCCUUGAAGUGGUGGAGCUCAAUUCAUACCUUUUUCUAGCUGGAGUUUCAGGUUUGUGGAUCUAAUUUCGAUUUAGAAUCAUGAAUCAAGCUGAUUUUUGGAUUCUUGUUAGAAUAUCCUUGAUUCUUGUGAUCUGAUUCUUAAAUCUGAAUUUUAGAUGCAAAAUUGAGCUUUGGUGGGGGAUGUAGUGAGGAAGUGAAGCUUGUGAACUCAUUCCUCCAACCCAAUUUCAGGUUAGGAGGAGUUUAAUUGGUGAAUUUUCCUUAUAAUGCUGAAAUUUUGAGAAUUGAUGUAGUUCAUUGAUGUUUCAACUCAAAUUUCUUCUAGUGAGUUAUUUAGAGGAUUCUGGUUCUUGCUUCAAUUCCAACUAAUUUAAAGUUUCCCCCAGCUGAAUAUUAAGGUACAUUGAUCAAAUUGUUAAAGUUAAUUCGGAUCUGAAGUCGAAACUGCAUUUCGUCAAGCUUCAUUGACAUGCAGCGAAUCCAUGGAUGGAGUGGCUUUCUCUUGGUUCCUUCCUACUUAAAGUGAAGUUAAGAGCUAGAAGGACAUCAUAUUUAGCUUAUUGCAAGGUUGUCUGAGCUAAAUUUCAGGGAAUUGCUGAUUUGUUAGUUAGAUUCCCGCAUUAAUGCAAUUUGUUUAUUACUCUAGCUUCAUUUCGUGCUGAAUUGUGGAGCUACCUUGAUUUAAUUCUUGCUGGUUUUGACCGAAGGAGGGGUGUACCUCGUGGUCGAAUCCCUGCCAUGGUUGGAUUAGCUCCAGAGGUGGGUUGAAGUUACCGGAUUCAUCGGAAUUCCUUCUAAGUUGUAUGAAAUUUCAGCAUGCCAUAUUAUCCCUCAAUCAUGUUUAGUAGCUCAAGCUGUAGAUUUGCAUGUCCUUAUAUGAAAUCUGAAUUUGGAACUUAACUUAGUGAUUUUUGGUGAUUUUAUAUGCUGAAUUGGGAAUUGACUUAGGAGAAAAUCUACACAUUUCACUUUUUGAUGAUGUUAUCAGAUCUAAUUUCAGGAGCUAUUUUUACCUUUGUACCAUUGCUGUUAAUGCGUCGUGGAUACUCGGAUUAGUGUAUGUUGAGAUUACGCUCGUGCUAAGAUGCCAAAAUGACUUUUACGGUGUGAGUUUAGAUUGUUUAGUGUCGGCGGGUGCCGUCCGGACUGACGGUGGACCUGGAUCUUCACUUUUCGCAUCAGAUUGUGCCGAGGGCGCGUGAGCUCUAGUUUUUGGAUCUGUUUGACCCAUUCGCAUCGAUCAUAGCCUACGUGAGCCUGAUUGAGCUCGACAGAGACACACUUCUAUACUCGAUGGGGUCGCACCCCUCGAGUGCCACUCCGGAGUCUGACUUUCUUGCAUUGAUGUCGCAGCAUCCCUUUUUGAGCCUUUUACUUGGUCCGGCCACCCCUGAGCGUAGUGUGCGGUGUAGUUUUGGUACAGGCUGGACGGGCCGAUUGGCAGUCCCUUUAGAUUGGGUUAGUAGAGAUUGGUUUCAUGUCAGUGAUGCAUAUAUAUAUAGAGAAAGAGCUUGAUGUGAGUAGAGUGUUUCCCAGCUUUACAUUUCUGCACUUUACUUAGCAUUUACCUUUCAGCUUUGAGGACUUAGUGGGUAGGCCGUUGAUAUCAGUGACGGUACCCACUGAGGGCUACUUUGUUUUACAGAGUUUUUACAGCCUUUGUUGCCACUUCUCUUGCAGAGCCUUCGAUUGCUGUUGUUCCUUCUGAUCGAGGUAAGGAAGCCAUGAGCUAGAUCCUGGUCCACCCCGGUAGACGUGCUAGAGGAGUACCUUAUUUUGGAGAUAGAUCAUUUUGACAUACAGUUAUAAUUAUAUGUGAUCAAAGAUGAUGAAGUACUGAAUAUACAGUUGUAUACAGUUUCUUAUUUUGGACUACAUGUAUGUAUAGUUGGCCCUAUGUAUAUAUUCCAGUUUUUGGUAGUUGUGCUUAUAUUGUUUGCAGGUUCAGCUACCGCUUCGUGUACACAGGAAUUUCCUAUGCAUACGGCAGAUCUGUUGGCGAGCUCGUGUGAGUUGGAACGCGGGGCGUGACAAUUAUGUUGCUUGGUCUCGAUCCUAUUUGCUAAUUUAUUAAAGCCAGAGGGCUUUAUGGCUAUAUAACAGAUAGUAGAAAGAGACCUAUAGAAGAAGACCCUCUUAUAACUCAAUGGAAAUAUGAAAAUUGUCUAGUUCUGUCGUGGCUUUUGAACUCAAUGCAACCGGCACUUGCACGUUUCUUGACACUGCUCAUAAGAUUUGGAGCGCUACAGCACAAACUUACUCUAAGGUUGGAAAAUGAUGCUUUAGUUUAUGAGAUUAGAGAAAAAAUGUACAAGACUAAACAAGAUGAUAUGACGGUAGCACAGUAUUUAGUAGUCUUUGGCAAGAAUUAGACUACUAUCAAGAUUUCUAAGCUGACUGUCCAACAGAUGCAGCCGAGUUUCAGAAGCUGGUAGAAAAAGAAAGAGUUAUGAUUUUCUGGCUAGUCUACAAUCUGAGUUUGAUCCAAUUAGGGUCCAUCCAUCAUUGCGGGAAACUUAUUCCUAUGUAUAGCAAGAGGAAAGUAGGAGAAAUAUUAUGCUGCAUCAGUUGGCCGCUGAAAAUUAGAUUUAGCAGCAUCUAAAUCUAUUUCACGAAUAACGAGGGCAAGACUAGUGGACUUGAUCCUUUUAUGGUAGAGAAGGAUCAACUUCCAUGUAACAAUUGUGGGUGACAGACGCAAAAAAAACUUGCUGGAAGUUACUAGGAUGUCCCACCAAGGGAGGAAGAGGAAGAAGUAGCACUGGUCGGGGUUCUGGAAGAUCAUUAGCAUAUCAGUUUGAGAUAGUAGAAGUCACUUCUCAAGAAAAUAGCUAUGUUGAAACUGGGGGAUUGACUCAGGAGGAUCUUCAGACCAUGCAGAGAUUAAUGUCAAACUUUGGCUUUCUAGUUCCAGUUGCUUUUCUAAAUCUGUUCCUACCUCGAAUUUCGCCCUUGCAGGUACUUCUUACAAUGUUUUUCAAACCAAUCUAAAGUUCUUAUCUCCUUGGAUUAUUGAUUCUAGUGCAUCCGACCAUAUGACAGGCUUGUCAAAUAAUUUUUCAUCUUACAACCCUUCUUGAGGGAGGAAUAAGGUUUGAGUUGCUGAUAGGUCUAUAUCCCGUCUCUGGCAAAGGUUAUAAUAUUUGUAUUCCUCUAAUCUUGUCUUCUGUUCUUCAUGUCCCAUCAUGUCCAAAUAAUCCCAUCAUGUCCAAAUAACCUACUAUCUAUUAGCACCAUAACUAGAGAUCUCAACUGUAAAGUCAUCUUUCUCCAUCAUAUUGUGUUUUUCAGGAGCUCGGGACAGAGAGAACAAUUGGCUAUAGUAAAAUGCGUAAGGGCCUCCACCCAUUGGAGGAAGGAUAUGACCAAACCUUUAAUCAUUAUGCUGCGCAUCAUACCAAAAAAUGCAUAAGGGCCUCCAUCUCUUUGAGGAAGGAUUUGACCAAACCUUUAAUCAUUAUGCUGCUCAUCAUACCGACUCAAGUUCAGCAUGUCAAAUGAUAGACUUAUGGCAUCGGCGAAUGGCAGCCUUUCAACAAAUGAAAAGAGUGUUUCCUAAGCUUUUCAAGCAUCAUAGUUCAAAAACAAUAACAUGUGAUGCCUGCGAGAUGGCAAAGUGCACACGUGUCCAUUUUCCAAGUAGAAAUAAUGAAAGCGCCCAAUUUCGUUAUUUCGAUAAUCGUUUCAGUGUUUGAACGCACACAUGACAUGCGUUCAGCUCCAAAGGCAGCCCCAACACCACAUUGCCACAUAAAAGUGACAUGAAGUCACCAACAAUACCCACAGCGCGACUGGAACAUCGGUUCCAACUACUGAUUUUCCAUUUUUGCCGAUACUCACAUAAACUCUCUGGAAUAGCCAUCAAGUGUCCUGAAUCACAUUAUGCAUCCUAAUAUCCUAUUCGCUAUCCUGAAGUGCACCAAUUUAGGUACCAGGGCAGCCGCUCACAAAGUGCAACUGAAAGGGAUUUCGGUACCGAAAAUAUGCUAUUCUGGGCUCCGAAAAUGUUGUUUCCGGCAUCGAAACCCACCAUGAGCAUCCUUCUAUCACUAUACACACAAGACGGCAAAGGUUGACCAAUCAGGAAGGCUCAACAAUGUCCAAAGGCCGCCACAACAACAUUCGCAUGAAUUUUAACCCGAAACUGCAUUAUAACAACAAUUUCGGCAACAAAAGUGCGGAAAAGGCUCAUUUCAGCUCUAAAUUGAUUUGCGGACUUAGGACAACCAGUCCAGUGGUCCAACAUACAAAAUAUAUGCUGUGCGACGUGAAAAUGUGUUUCCACCUAUUACACUAUUCAUUAUAGAAAACGGAGUUUCAACUCAUUACCUAGGUUUUCGCUAUUGGGAAAGCCGAACCUUUGCACACAUGAAAUGAUAACUUUUCGAAAUGUCUCGCAGUCCUCUACCUGUCAAAGUCCUCAGUUUCAAAAAAUUCUUGUUUUUCACACAUGUAAUGAUAACUUUUCGCAUAUUGCUCCCUUUUUUUCAUUUUGGAGAAUUUGCAUUUCAGCCUUUCCAAUUCAUAGUUUCUUACCCAAAACUCACCCACAUGUGUAUUUUGUUCAUAAGUCCUUCUCACUAUGAAAGCUCACAAUUUGAUACAUAAAAUGUCGCCCUUUUUGCAACAAAACUCUAUUUUAUCAGUUCCUCUCUCGAUCAUUUUUAUCUCCAAAAUAUUUCUUUAUCACGCAAAACUGCACGAAAGUCUCUCUCAUGACUUACAACACCGUCAGACCUUAGGAGUGGCAAAUUUGUUACUUUGAAAACUGUCCAAUUACAGAAUAGUACCCUAUCUUUAUGAAAACUACCGCAAGAAAAACUUCUAGUACUACGUAAUAGUAAAAAGAAAUGAUUCACAAAAGACAACAGGAUCCAAAGAUUAUCAAACAAAAGAAUUAGAGGUAAAGGAUUUGGGAAAGCUAAGAUAUUUUCUAAGCAUCAAGAUGGUGCGGUCUGAACUGCACAAAAGCUACAUAUCGGUCUGGUCAAAGUGGUCAUGGAUCACAAAAGCUGGGCAUAUAUAACAAUCAACCGAAUGACUCAAUGGAUCUAGAGUUCAACCAAUGAGAAAUCUGCACUAUCAUCUCUCUCAAAUAGGUCUAGUUCCAAGUGGUCGCAAAUCACAAAAGCAGCAGAUAAGUCUAGUUUGAAGUAAUCGUGGAUCACAAAAGUUGUGUAUAUGUAACAAUGAAAAUAAAUUGAAUCACUCAAUGGAUAUAGUGCUCAACCAACGAGAAAUCUAGCACUACCAUCUCUUUCUAUUAAGUCCAGUUCUAAGUGGUCAUGCAGCACAAAAGCUGGGCAUGUAUAACAAUGGACUGAAUCACUCAACAGAUGUAGUGUUCAACCAAUGAAUUAAAAUUAAAAUCUGGCACUAUCAUAUGAUGUAGCUUUGAGAUAUGCUUUGAUUAUGCAUCAAGCUAUUCAAAAGAGAAACUCACAAUCUUCAAAUAAAAUGUUUCGCUCCAAUGUCCUUCACAUCUCCCUGAGAAACAACAGAGUCAAGGGGUAUAUUGUUACCUCGGACUGACCUAACCAAAUUCGAAUUCUGAUCAUUACGAAACUCUGCUAGGAUGCCUCAGAGAUCAUCAAUGAGCACAUGCAAUGCGACAUGCAUAAGAGUCAUUUUCAUAUUUCAGCCGUCAACUGGGAUAGAGGUUUCUCACUUCAAUAACUUGCUGUGUCCUAUUAAUCUCACUGUAAUAGUGGUAUUUUUCAAAUCCUUCUCGCUCCCUUAGACAGAUUAAUCAUUAUUUCCACGACAUAUGCAUAAAACAAAUCAACCUUCUACUUCGUAGGACGCUUAUUUCUUAUUUCACCCCAAAUAUAUAGCCUAAUUUUUACAAAUAUAUUUUUUGCUUGAACCACAAAAGAAAGAAAGAAAGAAAAUAAAAAAAAUAAAAAAAAAAAGAAGAAGGAAAUGCAUACCAUUAUACGUUCUGAAAAGCCCACCGUUAUCGUUGUAUUAGAAUUAGGUAAUCAGCAGGCAGGUGAUUGAUUGAUGAAACACAAAAGGGAGGAGGAGGAGGAGGAAAAGAAGAAGAAGAAGAAGAAGAAGAAGAAGAAGAAGAAGAAGAAGAGGGUUUACCUCAUUUUUCCCGGGUGGUUCAAUAUCGACGGCGUAGAGUAACGGGACCUUUGCCUCAUAUGAUGAUGAUGAUGAUGAUGAUGAUGGCGCGCGUUCAGAUCAUAAAGAACCGAUGGUCGAUAUAUACCAGUGUUCCCCCUCCGGCUCCAACCAACCUCUUCCCUGUCUCUGUUCCUUGUCGUCCUUGGCAAAUCUUGAGGAUGGUAGAGGCGAACCAACCUCCAGGAAGGAAGCAAAGAGGGGAGGCGACCGGAAACUUCAAACUGGCAAGCACACUAGCAUUAUUCAAGCUUUCUCCUCUGACUAUUUUUGGGCAGCCUAAUUGUAUAUAUCCUAUUUAAUUUGCUAGACGGUGGGGGAAAAACACAAUGAAUUUUAGGGAAAACUUCAAAAACCCCCUGUGGUUUCGUGCAUUCUCACUUUGCUACCCUGUGGUUUAAAACGUAUCAAUUUACCCCCCUGUGGUUUCAUUUUUAUCUUUUCGGAAGCUUUUUUGUUAAUAUUUCGCUAAAUUAUAUACAAAAAACUUCAGAUAACCAUCUAUAUUUAUCGAAUAGUCACUUUAGUAUCCUUUAAUUUUAACUUUGUCACUGAUUUUAAAAAAUAAUAAUAAUAAAAUUGAUAACAAAAAGAUAAAAACGAAACCACAGGGGGGCAAAUUGAUACGUUUUUAAACCACAGAGUAGCAAAGUGAGAAUGCACGAAACCACAGGGGGGGUUUUUGAAGUUUUUCCUUAAUUUUAUAGAUGCCACGGUUAAAAAUAUUUUAGUAAAAAUUUAUAAAUUAAAUAAAUAAAUAAAAUUAUAAAAAAAGUUUAUAAUAUGAAAAAUAUAGAAAAAAAAAACUUUAGAAGGAAAUUACAAUCUAAUAGAAAAUAAUGUAAGAAACAAAAAAAAAAAAGUUAAAAAGCAUAGGAGUAAGAAAAUGAUCAUAUAGAUAACCUAUAGAGAUAUUUAGAAUGUUGUAAAAAAAGUAUAACAAAUGAUAAAAGAUAAACUGAAGAGGUUUAAAUUUAUAUUUAUCUAAUUAUAUAAAAAGAUUUAUCUGGCAUAUUUUCUUUCCUAACUCAAAUUAGUUUUUUCUUAAACACCAACUAUUAUUGCAUGUACCUUUGGACAUCUAAAUUGUAAUACCAUAUAGAAUUAGCGCAGAAUGUAAAGGAACUGAAGAAAAAAUAGUAAGCAAUAUAUGACAGUCGUGUAAAUAAAUUUUAAAAUUAAUAAUAGUUAGUUUUAACUACCUAAAUUGUAAAGACCCAUUUUCAUACAUCUAUGAACCAAACAAUCUAUAUAUUAUUUUAGUCUAUUGAUGCAACAGGACAAUUUAAUCAGUGUUCUUAAUAAUUUACUCCGUCAAUUUUUAUGCAACUCAAAUAACUUAUUUAUGAAUAGUAAUGUACAAUAAAAGAAAAGAAAAACUUAAGGAAUAAAUUUUUCUUUCUUUAUCAUUUAUUAUGAGACAACGCCUCGUAAAAAGUAGAAAUUAAUGAGGCAGGAAGCCGACAAGAUAACGAUUUUACGGAGAAGACGAACGGGUACACUACGGAUGAGCGAAUAAAGAGCGAAAUGAUUGGAGAGUAAUAUUUAAUAAGGGGGAAGCCGAAAAGGCAAUGAUGUUAUGGGAAAGGUGUCACGCCCCGGGGUGCGUUUUGUAAAGCCUUUUUGAAUGAAAGGGGCAGUUUGAAAUAAAACCAGCGGAAAAAGACUAUAUUUUUUUUGAAAUUAAAACUUGUCCCCAAGACGUAACAGACCCGCUGUAUAUACAGAAAUCUCUCUAACCACACUCACAGAGUCUUUCCUGCAUCUGCACGGCGUACCAAUAUAACAUAUACAACAACACACUCAUCCACUCAUACAAACAAUAUACACAAUGCAAAUGUCAGACAACCAUUCAGCUAACCAUCCUUACGAUGAUGCAUGUUCUAAACACUCCUUAGGCGAACGAUGAUGCAUGUUCUAAACACUCCUUAGGCGAACGCUGAUGCUAAUGCACAUACAGCAAUCAAUUCUAUUCUUUUAAAAGUGUUUCCCAUCCGAAAACUCUCUUUAGAAACACAAGAUAUCGAUAAAUCCGAAAAUCGUUUAAAAAUUGUUUCCUACACGAAAACUCUAUUUAAAAACACUAGAUAUCGAUAAAUUUGAAAAUCCUUUAAAAAAUAUUUCCCACACGGAAACCCACUUUUGGAAAGCCAGCUACCACGAGGGGUAGAAAACCACGAGCGAUAAAAUCACGAUUAUCAUCCUGAAUUAUUGAGAAUAAACAAUCAUUCGCAACACACGGAAACCCACUUUUGGAAAGCCAGCUGCCACGAGGGGUAGAAAACUAUGAGCGAUAAAAUCAUGAUUAUCAUCCUGAAUUAUUGAGAAUAAACAAUCAUUCACAAUAUUCAAAAUCACUAAAUAGCUGAAUAACUGAAUCACAUAUAAUCUAGUUUAUUAACCACUAAAAUGAGAAGGGUCAUGUUAAAGCACAAAAAAAAAAAAAGAAAAAAAGAAAGAAGGAGAGAAAAUUUGAAUCCAACUUUUAGGAAUAUAGUGUAUGAGAUGAUCUAUACACUAGGUGCAUAGAAGAAAUUUGAAUUCAAAUUUUGAACAUGGUGCAUAGGUUAACCUAUGCACUAGGUGCAUAGACUACAAAAAAAAAGGGAAGAGAGAGAAUGCUCUCAUAAGCAUGCAUAGCUAUUAUAUAUGUACUAUUUAGCAAAUUAGUCCUUUUCCUUUCAUAUAUUUGUAAGAUGCUCCACUUUAAGCAUAUAAAUAUUUUGUUAUUUAUAUAUUACUCUUUUAUUUUAACUGAAGUAUAAUAUAAACAAACAAGAUAGGUUAAUCUGCAAUAUUAUGCCCAUAAUACCAUUACAACUUUCCACAACCUCCACCACAUGCACGUUCUAAAAAAAAAAAAAAAAAAAAAACCCAAGUAGUUAUAGCUUGGUCUAUAAAUAUCUCAACAAACAAAAGGUGGAUCACUGAAGAAAAAAAAAAAAAAAAAAAAAAACCUUUUGUUUUUCAAUCUCAAACUAUCCUAACAAAAAAAAAAAAAAAAAAAAAACCAUCCCAUUCCCUGUUCACGAAAGAAAAAAGGUAAUAUUAAUAUUUUUUUUUUCCUUCACCAUUGAUGCAGCAUCAAAGCUCUCUCUCUUAAAAAAUAAAUAAUAAGAAAGAGAAGAAGAAAAAGCUUUCUUCCCUCUCCACGUUCUUGUACAAGCUGCGGGAUCAGGUGGUGUGUCCGCUCCCCAACGGACUCCUCGCCGCAGCCGCGUCGCGCCCGCGGCUACGCGCUCGGGUAGGUGAAGCGCAACUGUGGCGGCGUACUACCCGGCGAUCCAGAUCGCGGCCGUGGUUGAGGACAAUGAGAUGUUCGCGAGCCCGCGCAGUAGCCUCAUCGCGCUCCUCGUCCCGGCCAUGACCAACGUCUACGCCGCGCUCGCGCGCCUCGGCCUCGACGACGCCAUGAAGGUCUCCUCCCCCAUCGCCCUCACCGCGCUCCGCGCCUCGUACCCGCCAUCCGCGGGCGCGUUCCCAAACGACCUCGCGGAGCGCGUAAUGCGCCCGAUGCUCGACCUCCUCUGCCACACCGACUCCUACCUCAUGGUCAACGCCUACACCUUCUUCGCCUACUCCGCUGACGCCGCCACAUCCCUCGACUACGCCGCCAUCCGCCCCGACACCGGCCUCGUCACCGCUCACCAGGUGUUCGAUCUACGUCCGCAACGAGCAGCACUUCUUUAAAAGGAGGCUUCUAUAAGUCUACGCCCCCUCCGGCAGCAGCCGUUGCAUCUCGCUCAUCGCCUGCGGACUCUUGAUUCCCCACAACGAAGAUGACAACAUGUGGCAGUAGCGGUUGGAGGAGCCAAAAUUCGAUGCCGACAGCACCGUCGACGAGCAUUUGGACGUCGUGCCGUGCGGGCUGCACCCAAUCUAUGUCGACAAGUCCCGGCGCCGGUACCUGGUCAGCUCCGACCUCAUCAACCACCCGCUCUUCCGCGUCCUCAUCGAGCGCUCGGACGGAGGAGAGGGAAUGCCAUCGGCGGUGAUCAUCGUGCGCGAAGUGGUGCUGUUAGAGCACCUGCUGCGGAUGCUGCGGAACGUCGGCGUCCAUCCAUCCCGAGUUGACGCCCGACGACUUCGUCGAUUUCUUCACCUUCGACCUUGCCACUACAUCGACUAUAUCAUAGCCGCGACUUCCAACUCUCUGCUGCAAUUCCAAAGCAAUCGGAGUUGCGCAACGCAUCACGCCCACCAAUUGUUUGACGAAAUGCCCAAGACGCAUUUUUCGACGGCGAACCUAACCUGCAUAUAGAGAGAGAGAGAGAGCGGUGCUCUUCUCUUAAAAAAAAAAAAUGUGUGUUAUCAAAAGAGAGAGAGUGGUGCUCUUCUCUUCGUAAAAAAAUAUAUCAUCAAAAGAGAGAGGGAGCUUCUUUACUUAGAGAGGCAAAGAAGGAUUAUCCAUCUUUAUUGUCUUGUACCUUCAAAGGAGAUAAAGAAAAAAAUACUCUCUUAAUUCUCUUAUAAUUAAGAGACAAAAGAAAUCAAUCGGAUUGUUGAUUGUUAUUCUUUUGAUCGUCUUUUUAUUGGAAGAACAACGGGAUGUUCGAAAAAUAAUCGAUCCCCUUUUGAUUCUAUUCAGAGUCGAAUCUCUCGAUUUGGCCAAAUUAGAUCAAAUUGAGAUUUAAUCGCAUUGGACGCUUUAUGCUCCAAAUUAGAUUAAGUCAUGAUUAUUAUAAAAAAAUGUAUUCAAAAUUUUAAGCAGUGAAUUUAAUUUUGAAUCAAAUAUUUAAAUUUUCAAUGUUAACAUUUUGAUCUCCACAAGUCCAAAAUAAUCUCUGGCUAACCACCUCAAAAUAAAAGAUCUCUUAUGGACCAAGCCCAUACUCACCUAAAAUCACAUAACUCAAGCUCAGCAUAACUUAGGUUCAGCCCAAACUUGAAUCUGAGCCCAAUUCUGUAGCUUGCCCAAAGAAAACUUGGACUUAAGUCAUACGGGCCUAAACUAGAGCCUAAGCGCAUAUCCAGAACUUAAAUUCAAUUCAGGCUGGCCUCAACUUGAAUUCAUACCAUAUGGGCCUGAAUUUAGCCCAUGCCUGAAUGCAAUUAUACGGGCCCGAAUUUGGACCAUGCUUGAAUCCAUAGUAGAAUUGAACCAUAACUUGAAUUACAUGAAGCCAUACCUAGCCCAGGCCCAAGUUUGAAUCCAAUGAGAUCCAUAUACACGGUCUCGUUUUCCAACUGAUUUGAGAUUUCUAUACACAAUCCCAAUCAGCCUACUUGAGAUUCAUAUACAUAAUCUCAGAUUGAAUCGAAGUAAAUAAACUUGAGGUUCAUCUACAUAAUCUCAGGUUAUUUAAAUUAAACUAAUCCACUUUGGAUUAGAUAAUAAAAAAUGGAAUCAGUGUAUAUGAUUCUAUUUAUAUACCAAACUAGUUAAGAUUUGUUUACAAAAUCUUAAACUAAAUCGUAGUUACACCAUCGUUAUGCUGAGAUCGAAUUACACGAUCUCUUAACCCAAUUUUUCAACCAUCCCGAGUCAGAGUAUAAGUCCAACAUGGAUCGGAUACACCGAAUCCAAGUUCUCACCUAAACUAACUAUUCGUAUUAAAGUUUAGAACUAAACCCAAUUUAAAAACCUAAACCACGACCAGAUAUACUCCUCUAGGUAGUAGACUUAACCAAAAGUCAUGUUUGUAUCAAACCUAAUCANAUGGUGAACCCAAAGUAAAUAUGAUUAAGCUCUAACACAUAAGCGUAGAGCCUAAUUACACUAGACUCUAAGAUAUAAAAUUAGAGUCCAAUUCAAAAUAUUUGGGCUAAUCCUAACACAUACAUUUAGGAUGAAAGCUUAAAUUAAAUCAAACUCUAUUGGACUUUAUUACAUACAAUUAAAGUUCAAUUAACCAAAUCAAACUCUAAUGCAUCUAAUUAGAGUUUAAUUCGAAUCAAAUCCGAUUAAGUCCCAAUGCAUAUACAUGGAAUUUAAUCAAUCCUUCAUCUUAGGGUGAACAAUGUUGAGCUCCAAAACAUAUAGGGCCCAACAAAAUCAAUUUGAUCAUGUACUUUGAGCAUCUUUGAAUAUAUAACCAAGGUGCAAUCAAAAUUAAGUUCAGUUGACCAUCAUAUCGUAAAAUUAAGCACUUUUCUUUUUUUAUGCUCUGUUUAUGUACACUGAGGGUAUGCCCUUGGUUAAAGCCAUGCAAUUGAAUGAUAAACUAUAUUAUAAAAUCUUUUUUUUUUGUUCAAUUCCAGUUUAUUUCUCCUUCAGUAUUUCAAAGGUCUCUUAAUCGAAGGUACCCUAAUAUUUUAUAGGAGUAAUUAACAGUAAAUGCUUGCAUUUAUUGGAAGCCAUGAAUCCAUAAUACUUGAUAACCAUACAUAUUCAAAUAAUAAUCUGAAUCAUGAAUACUACCCCACGGUGAAAAAUCAAAAUCAAAUUAACCGUGCGAGGUGCAUCAUUCGUGGUCGCAGACAGGAUAGAAUAACCAAAAGCUGACAGGUCGGGACCCCUAUAGCUCGCUAGUUACCACACCUCACAUACCGUCCCGACUCCUACCACUGAGAUCACCUGAAAAACGGCGGGGGGUGAGAACAUGUAAACAUGUCUUCCCUCCGAGUGGCUACCGCAAGCUGACGAAGGUGAGGAGUACGCAUCAGCAAAGGAGAAACAACAGAUAGAUAUGUAUAUAUCAAGUACAGUAACGAUAACGGAAAACAGGUAUAAACAGGUAUGAACAACUACUGCUACUGUGAAUAAUGAAGACUAGUGUAGGAACCCGCGCAAUGCGGCGGAUAUAAUCAUAUUUGAUUAAAUUUAAUAAUAUAAAAAAUACUUUAAAAUUUUUAGAAUUGAAUUAUAAUUCAAUGAAAAACAAUGAAAGAUUAAAAAAACUAUAGAAGAAAAAAGUUUGUUACAUAGAAAUCGGACCCUUCUGUACCCCUAUUUAAGGCAUUCUCUACUAACACCGACGAUUUCGUGAAGUACCACAGUGCCUUCAACCCUUUUCAGCAAGUCCAUAUCUUAGUCGAUACUUCUCAUCCUUGAUGCCAUUAGAGGAGAGGGAUAUACACCCUUUGCAUAACUAUGCAUUACAAAUUUAAGUGGUCGAGAUCGAGGAAGGAGGGUUGGGGGCUAGGGUUAGAGUUCGAUUCACCCAGUGUUGACGGCGAGGGUGAGGGCGAGGGCAGAGCACCUGCGGGGAUUGAGGUUGCAGCGGACGUAGUAGGCGAGGUCCUUGUCGAGGACGCUAUAUGUCAUGCCCACAGGCUCCUCGGGCAACGUCUCUUAGAAAAUAAAAAUUAAUGAUGCGGGAAGUCAAAGCAGCAAUGUUACAGAGAAGAAAUUAAUGAGACGAAAAGCCGAAGAGAUAUGCAUUACCGAGAAGGAAUUAAUGAGACGAAAAGUCGAAGAAGCAGACGUUACAGGAAAGGAAUUAAUGAGACGGAAAACCAAAGAGACAGGCGUUAUGAGGAAGGCGAGCAGUCGCAAUGAUUGGAGAGUAGAAUUUUGAGAAGAGAUUAUGGUGUCACCACGUGGCAAAAGCUUAUGAGAAAUAAUGUAUGUGUAUAGAUAGAUAUGCAUCAACUGUAGAUGAAUUGAAAACCUAAUAACUGUGCCCUAUAGAUCCAAAGAUCGCAGACUAUGUCACAGUAUGCUCACCAUAUAUAUCAAGUACAGUAGCGAAUAAUGGAAAACAGGUAUACACAAGUAUGAAUAACUACUACUACUGUGAAUAAUGAACAUAUGCAUCAACUGUAGAUGAACGAAACCAACUACCAAAAUCACUGCCGCAUUGGUCGAAAGACCUCAGGCUAAACCAUGUUUUGCUCGCCCACCUGGCAUAUAACCCUAACAGGCACCUAGUAGGGCUAACAGGUUAGAUGUACGACCAUUUUUCCGAAAAAGAACACCCUCUUGUGGUGGAUCAGAUCGCUGGUGUACGUGAAGAUGCUCACGAGCUGUAGCAAUCGAUGCAAUAUGCUCAAUGGCCCACAACGACAACUAGCUGAAAGAGUAAUUCACAAAUAUCUGACCGAAUCAGGUCCACUAUUCCUGAAGGAAAUGUCACCAUGUCACUGACCUAUAAGGUCUAUAUAACUAAGUCACCUUGUAUGAGAUGCGAAAAGUCAUCAUGCAACAGAUAUGUAAUAUCACUGUGUAAUGAAUACGAAUGUCACCGUGUCACUGACCUAUAAGGUCUAUAUGAUCAAGUCACCAUGUACGAGAUAUGGAAGUCAUCAUGUCACUAUAGUCAAAUUAUAACCCCUAAUCAUAGCCUACUCUAUAACUAGAUUAGAAUAUCAUAGAUGAGAAAUAAACUGUAGAGUAGACAACAGAAAACCAGAGAGGUGUAAAAGCUUAGUAGACAAGCAUAUAUAUAUAUAUAUAUAUAUAUAUAUAUAUAUAUAUAUAUAACUCCAAUCAAAGAGAGUAUGAAAGGAAAGAAAUCACCGAGAAGGCACCGCUGAACCAACUUCGGAUCGAAGUACCCACCUGUACCGAAGAAUCAAGCCAGGUCGUAGACACCCGUCCAUGUCUCUCGCCACAGUCCGAACCUAUGUAAAGUCCCAUCAAAAUUGCAAUUAGCUCAAACCCGCUAAUCACAAAAGCUAUGGUUUCAAGUGAAAUCAACAGGUGAGCAAUCGGGUUUCCGGAUCCCAUCCUACGGUCACCGAAACAUCGCCCGAUUGUUGCACCGACUCUUCGAAAUAUCGCCCCAACCCAUGGGGUAUUCCAAAACAAUUCCCACACCAAGCCUACCUCUCCCGCUGUCCCAAUACACCAAUUUAAUGUUAAUGGGACAGACGCAUGAAUAGUACGCCGAAACGGCAAGCCAAUACCCCGACAAUCAUCGGUUUGGCUCCCGGGAUGCCUAUUUCGGCACCGGGACCACCUGCAGCCAUCAUGCUACGACCAGAAGUGUCAAACCUCACACAAGAGAUAGCCAAUAAGGCUCAAACUCUACUGCGAAUAGCAACAACCUGCACGAUAAGAAACUACGCACCGAACCACCCUGUUUUCACGUUUCAGAAUGCCCACUAAGCCACGAAAUGUUCCAAAACACUCUUUGGGUCGAGCGACCACCCUCGCUGCCCCAAAACACUCACUUUUGGGUGUUGGGAUAGCCGCACGCUGAGUGGCACGAUUCGGGUGCGAAAACUUCGAAAUCCGUCGUACCAGGUUUCCAGAAAUCGCCGAGAUAGGCUCCGAAACCUCCUGCCGCUAACCAGCCACCUUCAUACUUCGAGGAUGGCAGUAGCAACCAGUCAACAAGGCAUGGCAGGGUUCUCAAGCAAUCCACAACACUAGAACAUCAAAACCCACCAACGAACCUCGUUCAUUCAGCAAAUUUUCAUCGAACGACACCGUGGGCCACAAACUAACACCGCAAUUGUUCUCGAACCUUUGACGGUCAAUCAAGAGGUUGUUAACAGCGUCUUCACACUAUUCAAGGCAAUACACGGUAUUCCCAAAGCAUAACAAAAGCAAACAGUCCACAAUAACACUAAGUUCUAUAUAAAAUAAUGCAUGAACAACGAGUUUAGAGCUUGUUACCCUGAUCCGUAACGCAACGGAUCAAACCAACCAGUUAAUCUGAAUCGACUCGAUACAAGGAUGCCCAUGCUCGCUGUCCGAAACAGCGAGAGAACCACCAAAAAUAAAGUUCCGGAAGCGGCCACGGCCUUCAUGUGCAACGGGGCUUCGCCGAUCGUAGUGAAGGUGAGCGCGGCACGGAGGCUCGAGCCCUGGCAAGGAGGUGGUCCCCGCACCCGGAGGGAGGGAUCGGGACCUCUGGCCGGAGACGAGAUGGAGUAGCGGCGCGGCUGCGACGGCAAACUUUUAAACCAGCCCGCUACUAGGGCAACUUGGCGCGGCGUAGCGACAACUCAGGGACAGCCAGGGACGGCGGCGGCCGGGUGGCUCUCCACGGCUGCACGGCUGUUGCAGCUCCUCCUUGGCCGCGGCGCAACCCCCACGGCACAGCGGCGCCGGGGAGGCUCAGGGAUGGCUGCCCGACGGAGUCAAAGGACCAUGUCGGCGGUGGUCUUGAACGGCGACGGCGUAGGGAUGGCCGGCUCAAGUCCCCCCUCACACACCAAGAACAUAGGAGAGAGAAAGAUGGAGAGAAGAGGAAGUUAGGUUCCUCCCUGAUUCCGGUGACCGGCGACAGCGACAACAGUGACGGCGCGUCUCAGGAGGAUCAGAUAGGGGAAGGGGAAGCGUGGCUAGGGCUAGGGUUAGAGGAGCUCUCUCUCUCUCUCUCUCUCUCUCUCUUUCUUUCUCUCUAAGAAUCUCUUUCUCUCUCCUAGAGUGGAAUCAAAAGGAGGAUUUGAUGAAGCAGAAGACUUGGAGGCGAAGAUUCUUCCUCUUAUUCUUUCUUGUCUCAAGAGAAGGCUAGGUUUUGAGGUAAGCUCCUAGAGCUCUCAUGGUAGAACUUUAGGGUUUGGUUUAAAUGCCCUAGGAAUGGAUCUAGAUGAAUCUCUAGAUGGUAUUAUGCUUGCUAUNUACCCCAGUCCAAAAGUUUUUUUUUUUUUAGAUCAAUGAAGGCGACAUGAAAGUUAGAUUGUCCCUGGGCCCCGCACUGUUAAUUUGGUUGGUGGGUGAGUUGGGAUCCCCUGAUGAUAGUAGGAUUGGUGUGUAGGAAAGUAGGUUGCCGGUUUUUGAGUUAUUAUGGUUCCCGAACCAUGAUAACUAUCAUAUCGUCGUAUUAAUAUAUAUAUAUAAUGUGUGUGUGUGUGUGGAUGUAAACACUCAGUUUUUAACUAACCGACGGUUGGUAGAAUGUGAAAAUUAUAUGGUAUGCCAGAUCCGCCACAAAUAUAAAAAAUUCAUUGUUCACACGGACAGAGUCUCCCCUGAAUUUGCACGGCGUCGCGCAAAUACAAGAUGUCCAAACUGAGUAUAACCAGGAUACAACCACAAUAUAUGAAUAGACAAUUCUCAACAUUUAUUCACCAUUCACCAGAUAUUUACCAUUCAAUGUUUAAACAUAAAAACCACAAGAAAAGAUCUUUUGAAAGCUGUUUCCCACACGAAAACUUUUUCUUUUUAAAACGCUACCACGAGGGGUAGAAAACUAUUUUUCCUUUUCACAAAAUCCACAAGUUCUAUAGUUCAUUCAAAACCACAUAAAUUCGAAUAACAUAAACCAACUGAACAAUGAAAUAUCAAAGCUAUUAAUAACAAAAGUAAACAGGGCAGGAACUAAACCAACAAGCCGGGUCGGAAGCUCUAGCGACCAUUACGAACGUGUCUCACGUAUCGUCUCUACUCUCACCGCCUGCGACACCUGAAAAAUGGUGGGGGAGGAGCUGAAAAAGACAAAGAGGGAGGAGAAGUAGCUAACUCUGGCGGCCGGAGACGCGCACCGGCGGCCGGGGUACGUACAGUUAGGGCAGGGGAGGUAGAUGGAGUGGCUGGGGGUGCGGCUAAGGUCUAGGGUUAGGGUUUCCAGUGCAAAACCCUAGAAUACCUUAUAUAUACUUAGCUCCAAAUUGCGAAAAAGCCCAUCUAGACUCGAUAAUUCUAUCCGCGUCCCUCACAGCGCGAGUAAAUCGCGCAGAUACCCUUCCACGUCCGAUUUCAUGCAAAACGGUACAUAAAAUGUCGUGACUUUUGCGAAAAUACCGUUUUGCCAUCACCGAUCUCUCCUCGAUCAACGCGCAAUCUCCGCAGAUCCGUCUGUCAGAUUUGUGAACGGAUCGCACCAGUGCGAUCAGUACCACAGAGACAACAAAGCUACGAUUUUGGUUCGCCUCGAUCGGUCACAGAUUCGCGAUGAAAUCCGAUCCAUCUCUCCAACAGAAGAACUACACACAAAUACAUAUAAAACACGUAUUUUCAGAUUUUCUCGAAAUUCGUGCUUCAAACUCAAAAUCUGUCAGUGCCAUAAGUUCCAGAAUAGCUAAACCGGUCGAAACGAGCUAUUGGACUGCUAUGAACGGAGUCCGGUACGAGCCAGAAGCCACCUCUACGCAUUGAGCUCUCCGGAAAACCAAGUUACUAUUCACUUUAAGUGAAACUUGGAAAUCGCGUAGAAUCUCCGUUCUAACUCGUUUUCUCCCGAAACUUGACGAGUGCUUUUGUAAUUAAACUACACACAAAAACCUCGUCAAAUGAGAGUUUAGCUACACUGCCAAAAUCUCGGUCCUUACAUUAAUAGUAUAAUCUAACGGGUGGAAAUGAUCAAAGGGUAAAUCUAACGGUAGAAAACUCAAUAGUACCAAAGGCUUGGUACUAUCAAUAGUAUAGUAGCCGGUCUGUCUGUCUGUCUCUCUCUCUCUCUCUCUCUCUUCGCCCCAUCGAGAAAUGGAUGCUCGCCCCAUCGAGAACUGGAUACUCGCCCCAUCGAGAACUGGAUACUCAAACUCAAUCUCAGCCUCGCUUCUCGCCCCAUCGAGUACGGGAAUCCGUAAACUCAAUACUCAACCCGCUCCUCGCCCCAUCGAGAAAUGGAUAUCACAAUCUCAACACCCUGCCCACUUUGUUCCCGCCCCAUCAGGAAGUGGAUGUACUAAACUCUGUUCCCGCCCCAUCGGAUCACCUAACCCAUUACUGUACUUAUCGUAUUCACCUAAACGUAAGUAUGGGACUAAUCUGUAUCAUAUACAAUCACCUAACGUAUUGAUACAGCAUAAACAUAAGUAAUGUAGCAACUUCGUAUAAUAGUACUAUCAUCCGAAUAACGAUCAACUAUAAAGUACGUAACGAACGUAAACUACCGUGUUAUCUAGUAUCAACGUCAAGUUAUAGAUAGAUAGAGAGAUAGAUAGAUAGACACGGUCGAAUCUGGAUCACCCUUCUAGCCGCCUCAGCCGCCGGCUUGGGUGACCCUUGAUAUAAAAAAUAUCAAGAGUGGGGCACACCAAAACCCCAUGUCCAUGUGUGCACUCGCCUGGCCGUCCUCUAGCGCCAUUCCCGUAUCGCGGGAUCGAUCGAUCAUCUCGAAAGGAUAACAUGAUCUCGUGGGAGCACACGUACCAAUAUCUACUGUACUACAUAAAACCUAUCGAUCGUAAUAUAUAUACACUAUACUAAUACAUAAGUAAAACCUUCGAAUUUACAUUGGUUCAACAUAAUUUACAACUUACAGUUUACACUACAUUAUCUGUCAGUAUAGAGAGAAAAUAAGUGAACAAAUGCGAACACUACGAACGAGAACAUUACAAGCCGUGACCAACACGGGAGCGAUAACAAAACUAGUACAUACAUAAGUUCAACUAAAGGACCCUUGAACAACAUGUACUAGGACAACAAAUCGGAACCCGCCUGUCCCCUCCACGACAGGUAAGCCGCAGACAAGCUGCGCGGGCCUAGCAUGGUUUAACCAUCGCCAGGGCUCCGCACUGUUAAUAACAUAAUAUAUAUAUAUAUAUAUAUAUAUAUAUAUAUAUAUUUCUAUAUAUUCAGCAAUAUUUUCAUGAANAAUUCCGAUUUCAGCACAGGUCAUUCCCAACUUAUAUUUCACUUCUCUAAAUUCAAUAAAAAUAGUAUCUCAUACUAUUUUUAUUUAUUUCUAUUUUUUAUAUUUAAAUCCGGUAUAUUACAUUACACCGCAACCUUACCGGAACCAUUCAAAUGGCUCUCUAACCAAAUGGACACCGUAGCUUCAUAAUUUUAGAAGUCCGGUACCUUACAAUAAUCACCACCAAAUCCCUCCGAUUAGGGUUUAGGGUUUAGGGUUUAGGAUUUAGGGUUUAGCAAAAAUACGACCAAAGUCACUCAACAUAAACAUUCUCUCAUAGAAAGGUCCCUGCCCGAGGGUCCACACACAAAACGGAGCAACGGUAAGCUUUAAAAAGCAAAAACGAUAAAGAACAAAAAUCCUUUUAGCGAUAAAAUCGAAUUUUCUCGAAAGUCGUGUGUCAAAACCACGAUCCGUCAGUGCCAAAGGGUCCAAGAUAGUCGGACAGUUGAAAACGAGCUAUUGGAUCACUAUGAAUGGAGUUUGAUACUCGCCGAAAGCCAUCUCUUCCAUUGGCCUCUUUGGAAACCUGGGUUACUAUUCACUUUAAGUGAAAAGUAAAGAUCGCGUAAAAUCUCCAUCAUAACUCAUUUUCUCUCGAAACUUGGCAAGUGAUUAUAUAAUUAAAAUACACAUAAAAAUAUCGUCAACAGAGAAUUUAACUACACAGCAAAAUGCUCAGUCCUCACAGAAGGCGAGUGGGCACACUAUGGUGGAGCGGACGAAGAGCAAAGUGAUUGAAGAGUAGAAAUCUAAAAAGGGAGAGACUUUGGAGGUGGGUCCCAUGGGUAAAACUUAAGGAGGGCAUGCUACGUGGACUAAGAUUAUAGAGAUUAAUAGUGUUUUAUAGAUAGUUCCCUGCAAAGAUAUGGAAUAAUCAAUAUAUUCCUACGAAACUUAUGUUAUCAGAUUUAUUUUUUCAAAAAAUUUUUGAUUUUGAAAAAGAAUUCCUCCAAAGUGUUGAUUCAUUCAUAUAUAUUCCUAUAAUUUGAUUCCCUAUUCGUUUUUCAGUAAUGGAUGGAUAAAUGACUAUUUUGUCUUUACAAAUUUCUUCCUGUAAAAAGUCAUCUUUCUUUCUCUCUCUCUCCUCGCCUUCGUCACGACACGUACAACAUACCUCAUUUUUGCCAUAACUGAGGGCCUCGCUUCGACAUCGCCACAGCCAUAGGUCUUAUCGUCGCCAUGGAUAAAGAGAAGAGGGUGAGAAAGAUGGCACUACUCAAUAUUGGAAUACAAAUUAUAUAUAUAAAGGAAAAAAAGGUAGUUUUAUCUUUUAGCUAAUUGUGGUCAGUUUUUUUUAACUCAUGGUUAUCAAAUUUUGGUAAUAGAAGGAUAUAUUUGCAGACGGCACGUACAACAUACCUCAUUUUUGCCAUAACUGAGGGCCUCGCUUCGACAUCGCCACAACCAUAGGUCUUAUCGUCGCCAUGGAUAAAGAGAAGAGGGUGAGAAAGAUGGCACUACUCAAUAUUGGAAUACAAAUUAUAUAUAUAAAGGAAAAAAAGGUUGUUUUAUCUUUUAGCUAAUUGUGGUUAGUUUUUUUUAACUCAUGGUUAUCAAAUUUUGGUAACAGAAGGAUAUAUUUGCAGACGGGAGAACUUUUGAAAGGAUAAAUCUGAUAUCUUAAGUUUCGUAGAUGUAUAUUUGUUAUUUGAUACUUUUGUAGGGAGCCAUAUAUAAUUAUCGUAAAAAAACAUAUCGCCUAAAAUCUUAAGGCUACAUUUGGUUCCGAUAACUAAAUUUUGAGGAUGACUUUUAUUAUUCUUGAAAAUAAAAAAUAUUUUGGUAUGAAAUAAAACAACUGCGAAUUUACGUUUGAAUGUAUUUAUAGAUAUUUUAGGAAGAUACCCUUAAAUUCACCUCAAAAAUUGCUAUAAUUGUACACCAUAAAUUAGAUGCUUGAAUAGGUUGAUGUUAGAGUUUUUUUUUAUCAGAUGGAGUGAUUGCGUUAAUUUUUCUCCCUCUAUCCUGCUUUCAUAUCGUGUAUUAAAAAUAUAAAUACAACAACCAUAAACUAUCUGAAAGGUCAGAAAUUAAAAUCUCUGUAUAUGCGAUCAAACAAAAAAGAUUCGAGCACUUCUUUUGCAAACUCUUGAAUUUAGCAAACAAAGUUUUGUUACAGAUGAAUCAGAAUUACUGUAUUUAAUCAAACUCGAUGAAUAAAUAAAAAAUUAUCCUAUUUUUAUUUAUCUACUGUGGAAACUAAAUAACUAUAAAUUUAUUGUAGUAGUAUACUUCACGCAUACACGGGUUUAUUAGUCAGUAUACUUCACGCGACUCUUGCAACAAUAGAUUCAUUAAAGUAAGUAAUUAGCUUAAAUUUUGAAAAAUUAGGUAGCUGAUUCAAAAUGGUCCAUAGCUUAGGUGAGUGUUGUAGUUUUUACCAAAUUAUCUUUUCCCCGCUCUCUCUCUCUCUCUCUCUCUCUCUCUCUCUCUCUCUUUUUCUCUUUCAAAAACCCCUCAAAGUGUUACCAAAAAAAGAAAAAAAACAAACAUAUGUAGCUCGUAGAGCACGAACAUAAACGAGUUUGUUCACUCACUCGACCAUGCCACACAACGUCGCCACCAUUUCACUAUCAAAAUCCAAUGUCCCAUGCCCCCUAUCCAUUAUUUUAAAAAAAGGGUUAUUUGCAUACACGUCCCUGCAAACAUAGUGAAUUGCGGAUAUAUCCCUGCAAAACCCAAAUUCCAUAAGUUGUCCCUGCAAAAGUCCAAAGUUAUGCAGAUAUGUCCUUGCUGUUAGAGUAUGUUAGAGAAAUUUAGUUAACCACAGUUAAAUUACUUAACCAUAUUUAGUUAAUAGUGUGAAUUGACUAUUUUGCCCCUCUUAUGUUAUAUCCUAUUAACUUAACUAACUACCAUGGUGGGCCCUUAACCCUAGUUGAUUGGAACCAAAUCGCAAGGCUCUCAGGGGUUCCGCCCGAGUGCGCGAGGAGAGCGACCGCGAUGGAAGGAGGGCGCCCGCGAUGGAAGGAGGGCGCCCGCGAUGGAAGGAGGGCGCCCGCGAUCGAGGAGGUUUAUUGCUCGUCUUUCUCGCGCAAUAACAAGGUUCAGAUCAAUGAGGUUUAUUGCUCAUUUUUCUCUUCCUCUUCCUCUCUCUCACUCCCUUAUACUAGCUUUAGGUCUACCAUUACUAGGGUUUUUUCAAUCAUAUUCAUUAACGAGGUGUAUUGCUCCUCUGUUUCCAAGGAAAGCAAGGUGAGUGCACUACAUACUAUAAAUCCGAAACUUGGUUUAUCUGAUUGUUAGUUUUGGAACAAUUUCUUGUAUUUUAGGUUAAUUUUAAAACAAUAUUGGUCUCAUGAAGUAGUAAUACAGUAUAUUUUUGGGAAAUAUGUAAUAUUUUGCUUGAAUCAUCCAAGUUAGAUGUAUAUAAUUAUUGUCAUAUUUUCAUAGAGCAUACGAGUAUAGAACCUAGUCAUUUUUAUUUUUUUUUGUUUCUAUAGUGGCAGUUUGAUAACAGAUAUGGAGGAGAAUGGUUUUUUUCAAGUGAAGUUCAAUUAUGCUGGGUAUUUUAAAACAGUCAAAACUGCAUGUGGACUGAGAUAUUGUGAUGGUAAGAAGCAUUCGUUGAUGAUAGAUCUUGAUGGUUACAAUCUUAUUGAAUUUUGUCGAGAUGUACGAUCACUAUGGGAUUGGGGUGUUACGGAGAACAUUGGUGUAUGGUAUAUAGCAAGAAAUGUUAAGCUAAAGAAAUUCAUUCAAGUAUUAUCUGAGCAGGAGUUGAUGACUAUAUUUUCUAUAUAUAAUGAUAUGAAAGAAGCAUAAAUUUUUAUAAUUAUUCAGUCGCAAGGCAUUUCAUUAAACUAUAAUGGUGAAAAAAUUCCGACACAAGAGGACAAUAUUGAUAUGAUUGAUGAUACCAUUGUGGGUAUUGCUAGUGAAGGUGGUGAAGGUGAUGAAGGUGGUCAAGUUGCCGAAGAAGCAGUUGGUGAAGGAGUUGGUGAAGGUGUUGGUGAAGGUGAAGGUGUUGGUGAAGAUAUUGGUGAAGCAGUUGGUGAAGAUAUUGCUGAAAAUAUUGGUGAAGUAUUUGGUGAAAAUGUUGGUCAAGUUGCUGAAGAACCAGCUGGUGAAUCAGAUGCAGUGUUAAGUGAAGAUAGCUUUCGUUCUCUUAAAACUGAUGACUCUGAUUUAGAAGAUAAUAUGGAUCAUGUUGAAGCAUUUUCAUAUGAUGUGAAUAACCCUAUUACGGAAGUAGGAGCAAAAUAUCCAAAUGUAGCUUCAUUUAGAGAUGCAUUGACGCAUUUUGCCCUACUAAAUGAGUUUGAGUAUAACCUACAAAAAAGUGAUCUUUUGAGGGUAACUGCAACGUACGCAAAAUCUAAUUGCAAGUGGCGAAUCCAUUCAUCUAGACUUCAAGAUUCUUUAGUUUUUCAGGUAAUACCAACAUUAUCCUAUUUUUACUUUUCAUUCUUUAAUGCACUUCAAGUAUCAUUCAUUUAUAAAUGAAAGUUGCUGAUAUGUUUAACUAACAUUUAUGUGAUAGGUGAAGACUUUACAAGGAGAGCACACAUGCACGUCGGCCAAUAGGUGUCGGAAUAAAGUGGCAACACAAUCGUGGGUGUGCAAUAGGGUUAUUGAGUGGCUACGGUUGGAAGGAGAUUUGUCUACAACUGAAUUGCGGAAGAGAUUGCAACAAAAAUAUCAUGUGGACUUGACCUACUCCAAGAUAUUUAGGGGGAAAGAAAUGGUAUUGUCUAAGAUUCAUGGGCAUUGGGAGAACUCGUAUCAAAGAAUAUAUGAUUUUAAAGAGAAAAUUGUUAGAAGAAAUCCCGGCAGCCAUGUGGAGGUAAAGCUGCAAGUGAUUAAUGGAGAGUAUCAUUUUCAGCGAGUUUUUCUUGCAUUUGAUCCAUGCAUACAAGGAUUCCUCAAUGGAUGUAGACCUUACAUUGCAUUAGAUGGAUGCCAUCUCAAAGGAAAGCAUAGAGGAGUUUUGGACAGGUUUUUAAGGCUAAAACCUUAAAACCACGGUUCAGGGUGAGGUUGUAGGAGCCCUACGCACGGUCCCCAGCCCUGUGAUAGUUGCUGGGAAGUUUUUGACACCCUUUCGAGGUUUGUGUCUAGUUUGUGAGCUUAGAACGCUAAACGAUUCUAGGUCACAUAAUGUUUAAUCUGAUAUCGAAUUUAAUCUAAUUUAAUCUAAUUUUAUUCACAUUAUGGAACGAAUAUAACAAAUGUAUAAACUCUUGGCAACCAUGUUAAAGUACUAGGAUAAAAAAACGAGAUAAAGAAGAUAGGAGGUAGAAUUGGUAAUAAAAAACGGCCUAUCAUAGCUCGUAUAGUUAGUUACCAGAUACGGAUAGUAAUCUAUAGGUGCGCAACUUACUAAGUCUUUAUAACAAUCAGUUCAUUAGUGUGAAUCGUUAGCAAGGCUUAAAUGAAGCUGAGGUGUUUAUUGAUACCAAAACGGCGUUCAUAAGUUAUCGGUAACCUAAACGAAGUAUGUGGAAUCGCUACGAUCAAAGCAUUUGUAAUCCACAUAUACGAAAAUGACGCCGGGUGUCUAACAGAGAUAUCGUCAGGGGUGCUUUAAAAAAAAACUUCAACAGUAUUUCUACCGCGUACGUAAGAGAUACAAGUUGAGAACCUAUGUGUUGAACUUGCCGGAGUAGAUUCGGAAAAACAGAUAGGCUCCUCUUAUGAUCCGGAAGCCUAAGAGGAUAACGACAGAAGUUGGGUACUUCUUUAGUAAGGGUUGAUAAGCUCAAGAGGUUGAGGUGUUGUGGUUUUCGAUGACCUUUUUAAUUAAAUAAAGGCAGUUAUGAACACCGGCUAUANGAGCUGGUUGAAUUUGUGGAUUUGUGAAAUUUUGGAUUUGGUUUAUGGAUCUUCAGUUUUGGAAUGUUUGUAUACUUUGUGGUUCUCGGAUUUGUAUUUAUGGAUUUACGCAUCGUGGUUUUCUACCCCUCGAGGUAGUCGGUUUUCAAAAUAGAGUUUCCGUGUGGGAAAUAGUUUUCAAAAAUUUUUUGAAUGAUUUUCAUGUAUGAAUGAAUUAGAUUUUAAAAAUAAAAGCUUCCGUGUGGGGAGCACUUUUAAAUAGGAUGAUUGUUGUACUGUGCAUUGCAUCAUCCAGCGUCUAAGGAGUGUUUAGAGGCAUGCAUCAUCUUUAAGGAUUGUUAGCUGUAUAAAAAUGCAUAUCAUGAAUUGGUUGCUGAUUGGUAAAUGUAGGUUGUGGUUGUGAUCCUGUUCUAUCCGUUGGUACGCCGUGUAAAUACAAAGGAGACUCUGUCCGAGUGAACAGAUGAACUUUGUAUUUGUGGCGGGUCUGUACGUCACGUGGGCCAGGUUGAAAAAAAAAAAAAAUGGCACAUCUUCCGCGACUCUGAGAUUUCAAAAUGGUAAUGGCUAUUAAAAUUGGCCCCGGGGCGUGACAAUAUUGUAAAGAAAAUGAUUAAAAAAGGCUUGUGGAUCGAGGCGUGCAGAGCACUGUUCUAGAAGCGAAAUGCCCCUCCACAUGCGAGGCUUCCUGGCAAUUACUUCCAGCGAUACAACGACCACGUUCGACCCCGUUGGUAUGAUUUCAAGGUGGCGUAAGACGAACCCAACAAGCUUCAGAUCCAGCAAAGAAAACUUAGCGAAAAUCGGCGGAAAAGAUCAAUGGCGAGAACGUAGGAAAAGGCGAGGUAGGGUUUUGAUAUGCUCGGGUUCUUAUUGAACUCGUGCAACCUCCUCCAAUAUAUAUAACCAAGACAAGAAUCUUGUUUCAACGUGUCAAUUUCGUGUAGAACAAGAUAAGGCUAAUAUUAUACCGGAUACGGAUACGGAUUAGGAUAAAGAUAAAACCAAUAAAAUAAAAUAAAAUAAAAUAAACCGGGUGUAUGGACCGCGCGCAUCGCUGCCGGCCUGGCCCGGCCCGGCCCGGCUCGAGUCGUGCUCGUGCUCGUGCCGUGCGUGUGUUUAAACGAGAGCAUAACUCUCAUUUUCUCCUAAACAACUAGCUUGAGAAUAAAGGAAUAUAUAAAUACCACCCACACCCUUUUAGUUUUCAAUGUGGGACUAAACCUUACACAUGAAAACUUUAGUUUGGGUCCCAGGUAAGGCCCAUUAAACAUUGUGCUGCCCAAGAGGCCUAACAAGUUUUAAAUUACAAAAAUCCAACAUUCAGUAACCAAGGGAAUUUUGGUUUGGCCUAUCAAAAAUAUAUAGUAAACACGCAUUACUUUGUGAUAGAAAAUGACUGUAAAAUUCUUUUAUUUAAUAGAGCAAAAUAUAUUAUUAUUUACUUUAUAAAUAAAAAUAUUUUAUUAUUUAUUAAUUAUUUGUAAAAUAUGAAAAAAAAAAACCGUUGUGUAGCACGGUUCCUUAACUAGUAUAUAAUUAAGGGUUAUUUGCAUACAGGUCCCUGCAAACAUAGUGAAUUGCAGAAAUAUCCCUGCAAAUUGGAAACUCCAUAAGUUCUCCCUGCAAAAGUGCAAUGUUAUGCAGAUAUGUCCCUGCUGUUAGAGUCUGUUAGAGAAAUUUAUUUAACCACAGUUAAACUACUUAACCAUGAUUAGUUAAUAGUGUGAAUUGACUAGUUUGCCCCUCUUAUGUUAUAUCCUAUUAACUUACCUAACUACUAUGGUGGGCCCUUAACCCUAGUUGAGUGGAACAAAACCGUAAGGAGAGUCCUCAGGUGUUCCGCUCGAGAGCGCGAGGAGAGCGACCAUGAUGCAAGGAGAGCGCCCGUGAUCGAGGAGGUUUAGUGCUCGUCUUUCUCGCGCAACAACGAGGUUCAGAUCAACGAGGUUUAUUGCUCGUCUUCCUCUUCCUCUUCCUAUUCCUCUUCCUCUAGCUUCAGAUCUACCAUUACUAGGGUUUUUUCCAUCAUAUUCAUCAACGAGGUGUAUUGCUCCUCUGAUUGUUAGUUUUUUCCAUUACUAGAGCAAGGUUAGUGCACUACAUACUAUAAAUCAAAAACUUGAUUUAUUUGAUUGUUAGUUUUGAAAAAAAAAACCCUAGUAUUUUAGGUUAAUUUUUUAAAAUAAUCUUGGUCUUAAGAAGUAGGGUUGAAUUAUCCAAGUUAGAUCUAUAUAAUUAUUGUCAUAUUUUCAUAGAGCAUACGAGUAUAAAACCUAGUNACUGAAUUGUAAAGAACGAUAUAUGGUAUAUGGUUACAAGAGGCAUUGUGGUGUUAGGGUAUCACUAGCAUGUAGAGCUGUUUUAAGUCAUUCUAACAUUGAUAGUUCCAAAUAGUAGUUGCUUACGAAGAAUGGUAGUGUUAUAGAGUCAGGUGUACGUCAAAAAUGACAAAAUUUUAUGGGUCGUAUUAACUUGAAGUGAAACCUUUUUGGUACGAGGAGGGAUAGAUACUAGUUUGACGGUGACAUCUUUGUUUUUUUUUUUAUUUUUACUGAUCCAAGAUAUGAAGAAAUUCAUUCAAGCAAUCUCUGAGCAGGAGUUGAUGGCUAUAUUUUCUAUAUACAAUGACAUGAAAGAAGCAGAAAUUUUAUAACUAUUCAGUCGCAAGGCAUUUCAUUAAACUAUAAUGGUGAAAAAACUCUAACACAAGAGGGCAAUAUUGAUAUGAUUGAUGAUAACAUUGUGGGUAUUGGUGAAGGUGUUGGUGAAGGUGUUGAUGAAGGUGUUGGUGAAGGUGUUGAUGAAGGUGUUGGUGAAGGUACUGGUGAAGGUGCUGGUGAAGGUGUUGGUGAAGAUAUUGGUGGAGCAAUUGGUGAAAAUGUUGGUCAAGUCGCCGAAGAAGCAGUUGAUGAAGAUAUAGGUGAAAAUAUUGGUGAAGCAUUUGGUGAAGAUGUUGGUCAAGUUGCUAAAGAACCAGUUGAUGAAUCAGAUGCAAUGUUAAGUGAAGAUAGCUUUCGUUCUCUUAAAACUGAUGAUUCUGAUUUAGAGGAUAAUAUGGAUCAUGUUGAAGCAUUUUCAUAUGAUGUGAAUAACCCUAUUACGGAAGUAGGAGCAAAAUAUCCAAAUGUAGCUUCAUUUAGAGAUGCAUUGACGCAUUUUGCCCUACUAAAUGAGUUUGAGUAUAACCUACAAAAAAGUGAUCUUUUGAGGGUAACUGCAACGUACGCAAAAUCUAAUUGCAAGUGGCGAAUCCAUUCAUCUAGACUUCAAGAUUCUUUAGUUUUUCAGGUAAUACCAACAUUAUCCUAUUUUCACUUUUCAUUUUUUUAAUGUACUUUUAGUAUCAUUCAUUUAUAAAUGAAAGUUGCUGAUAUGUUUAACUAACAUUUAUGUGAUAGAUAAAGACUUUACAAGGAGAGCACACAUGCACGUCGGCCAAUAGGUGUCGGAACAAAGUGGCAACACAAUCGUGGGUGUGCAAUAGGGUUAUUGAGUGGCUACGGUUGGAAGGAGAUUUAUCUACAACUGAAUUGCGGAAGAGACUGCAACAAAAAUAUCAUGUGGACUUGACCUAUUCCAAGAUAUUUAGGGGAAAAGAAAUGGCAUUGUCUAAGAUUCAUGGGCAUUGGGAGUAUUCGUAUCAAAGAAUCUAUAAUUUUAAAGAGGAAAUUGUUAGAAGAAAUCCCGGCAGCCACGUGGAAGUAAAGCUGCAAGUGAUUAAUGAAGAGCAUUAUUUUCAGCGAGUUUUUCUUGCAUUUGGUCCAUGCAUACAAGGAUUCCUCAAUGGAUGUAGACCUUAUAUUGCAUUAGAUGGAUGUCAUCUCAAAGGAAAGCAUAGAGGAGUUUUGAUAUCGGCCACAAGUAUUGACGGAAAUAAAUCAAUUUUUCCAAUAGCUUUUGGUGUUGUGGAGUCGAAGAACUCGAAUAGUUGGGAAUGGUUUCUUCAUGGGUUGAAGACAGCAAUAGGAGAAUCCGAAGGCCUAGUAUUCUCCUCGGAUAGACAAAAAGGCUUAGAUGAGGCCGUUCAAGUUGUGUAUCCAAGAGUUGAACAUAGAGAAUGCAUGCGCCAUCUUUAUGACAACUUCAAAAAAAAAUUUCGUGGGGACUGCUAUAGAGACAAUCUGUGGGCCGCAGCGAAAGCAUAUAUACCUAAUGUUUACGAAACUAGCAUCGCUAAGGUGUAUGAAGCAAAUCCAAUGGCUAUUGAAUACUUGCGGCAAAACCAUAGUUAUUUGUGGAGUCGAAGUAAAUUCGGAACGAUUGCUAAGUGUGAUUACUUGACUAACAAUAUUUCUGAAUCAUUCAACGCGUGGAUAUCUAAUGAUAGGCAUAGACCAUUGAUUGAUAUGCUCGAUACUAUCCGGCAAAAAAUAAUGGUUAAGAUGGAGGAUAGAAGAAAUAGAGCAAAAAAAUAGGAUCAUGAAAUUGUACCAACGGUUCUCAAAUAUGUAAACAAUAUAAGCAAGGUAUUACACUUAUUUUAAUCUAAUUUAAUCUAAUUUAAGCUAUAGUCUAAUUUGUAAUACACUGGAUCUUAGCAAAUCGCAAGAUUCGAGUGUUUGAUCUGUGUUUGGAGCUUUCCCACAGUUUUUGAAGGGUCGUUGAUAGUGUCCCGACCCCUGGCACGCAUCCCGAGGAUGUUGGAGUGGGACUUGGCACCAAAAUUCCAAAAUCGGAAUUUUUGGACAGCUCUCGGGUAGCCUGCAGCAGGGCUUGUACCGGAACAAGACUGGCCUUGUACCGGUACAAGGGUUGAUGGUUGUACCGGUACAGCCAUCGGGCUUGUACCGGUACAGAGCCGCAGACCGCGCGACCCGAGCCUCGGGUUUGCAAUUUCGUCGGCCUUGUACCGGUACAAGAGCCCGUGUACCGGUACAAGGAGGCAGAUUUCGUGCAGUUUGUUCUGCAGGGGUGUUUUUGCUAUUGUAGCAAUACUAUAACAGCACCCACGCCCCUAGGGCUCUUCUUUGAGCUUGCCACUGCAGGGAGCAAGGUAAGGAGAGCUUCUCUUUGCUUCUCUUUGGUUUUAAUCUCCCUCUAGCCUAGAUUUUGAAGGAUUAAUCCCUUUUCUUUCCUCUUUUAUGCUUCUCCACCAUUGAUGGAGCUAGAAGCUUGGAUUUGGAGCUAAGUGGAGGAUAGAUCUUGGGAUUUAAAGGAUUUAGAGCUUGNUUCGCUUAGAGUAUCGAUGAAAACCAGGGAAGAAAACUCCAAGCGAAGCGAAGAUCAAAUCGACAUAUAGAUAUGAAAUUCCAAUAUCUCGAUUUGGCCUAAAAGAGGCUAAUAUGUAGAAAAUAGGUUUUAGAUGAAAUCCGAGCCUCUAGGGUUUCUCAAAUAUGUAUUUUCGUGAUGCUUUUUCAGUUAGAGAACCCUAAUAGCUUAUUUAUAAACUUUAGAAUGAAACGGAGUCAGAUUAGAAAGUUUUUUUCGAAAUUUGCAUUGUGUACCGGUACACGUGAGGCUGUCACCGGUAUACGAUGACGGAACAGAAAAUCUUACAUUGUGUACCGGUACAUGUUGAUGGUUGUACCUGUACACAGUUUGUAACCGGUAACAUGUUGAUGGUUGUACCCGUACACAGUUUGUAACAGGUAACACUUUCAAUGUGUACCCGUGUAAUACACUGGAUCUUAGCAAAUCGCAAGAUUCGAGUGUUUGAUCUGUGUUUGGAGCUUUCCCACAGUUUUUGGAGGGUCGUUGAUAGUGUCCCGACCCCUGGCACGCAUCCCGAGGAUGUUGGAGUGGGACUUGGCACCAAAAUUCCAAAAUCGAAAUUUUUGGACAGCUCUCGGGUAGCCUGCAGCAGGGCUUGUACCGGAACAAGACUGGCCUUGUACCGGUACAAGGGUUGAUGGUUGUACCGGUACAGCCAUCGGGCUUGUACCGGUACAGAGCCGCAGACCGCGCGACCCGAGCCUCGGGUUUGCAAUUUCGUCGGCCUUGUACCGGUACAAGAGCCCGUGUACCGGUACAAGGAGGCAGAUUUCGUGCAGUUUGUUCUGCAGGGGUGUUUUUGCUAUUGUAGCAAUACUAUAACAGCACCCACGCCCCUAGGGCUCUUCUUUGAGCUUGCCACUGCAGGGAGCAAGGUAAGGAGAGCUUCUCUUUGCUUCUCUUUGGUUUUAAUCUCCCUCUAGCCUAGAUUUUGAAGGAUUAAUCCCUUUUCUUUCCUCUUUUAUGCUUCUCCACCAUUGAUGGAGCUAGAAGCUUGGAUUUGGAGCUAAGUGGAGGAUAGAUCUUGGGAUUUAAAGGAUUUAGAGCUUGAUUUGAAGCUUCUAAGAGGUAAGCAUUACACUAUCUUCCUCUAGAUUUGAGUUUCAUUGGAUUUCAUGAGAUGAAACCCUAGAUUGUGAUAUUAGGGUUUAUUUUGGGCAUUUUGAAUUUAGGGCUUUUGAAGCUAGAUUGAUUGGAUUAGGGGCUUCCAUUAGGUUGGAUUGGAUGAGCCCUAGCUUCAUUUUGGAGCUUUAGAGGAGAUUUUUUGCACUAGAGGUGAGUUCUUCUCACCUAUACUUGAUUAGCUUAAUGAUUGAGCUAUUGAUGGUUCGUUUCGUUCGUGUGAUGCAUGUUUCUCUACCUCUAGGGUAUUAGGAGACUAGAGGACACCCUCGUUGGAGCGUACGAGGAGUUUCGUUGUCAUCGGUGGGUUUGGCUUCGGGGAAAUGGGGCGAAAUGACCCCUAUGCUCUUUCUACUUAUUGUAAAAUAUUUUUAAGUUCAUUUCUAUGCUAAAUGGGAUUUAUAUGAAUUUUAGAGCACUUAAAAUGCAUGCCUCGUGUAUUAUGAAAAUUUCGCUAUAUAGUAGAGCUAUAUGAGUAGAAUGCAUGCAUAUGGGAAAAGUGUUUAUUUUACAAGUGGAAAAUACAUCUCUUAUGAGGAUUAUGACUUGGAAUAUGUGCUUUGGAACAUAGUUGCCAUGUUUUGACAUAGAAAACAAGAGUGUCAUAAAGGGGCACUCGAAACUAGUGAACUAUGGAACUGCAACAUAGAGAUAUAUUGAUAGGCCUUUGUACAUCUGCUAUAUCUAUUCCGUGUUAGAGACAUGAUGACAUAGAGUUAGGCCUUUGGGACACUUGAUACAUUCCAUGUUAUUAGACAUGAGGACUUGGUACUUGCGACAGAUCGUUUGACUACUUGCCAUUGUGCUCAUUCGCACAUGCUUGUGAGGGUCGCUCCCUACAAGCCGGCACUCCGGAGAUAGCCAUCGCGAUACAUAUUCGCCGUGCGGGAUUGGGCGCCGAAGUGGAUUGCCGUGGGACAGGCUCAUCCCUAGGGUGGGGAUGAUGACUACCACGGGGCCAUUAGGCUCGGCACCGGCCAGACAGCCUACGGGUAGGUCUCAGGGCCAUAGACAGCCUUCGGGUGGGUCUCUUCAGAUUGGGCUAUAUAUAUAUAUCCAUUAUGACAUGUGGACAGAUGAUGACUUAGUGUACUACUUGGACAUUGAUUAAAAUAGUAAACAACGGAACUUCACUAUUUCACAUUGUGAACAUCAUGAUAGUUUGAGACAUUUACUUUAUGCAUAGUUGCUUUCAUACUUAUGCUAUUCAUGCUAAGUAGAGAUAUCAUGUCGUAGUAGGUUAUAUAUUUACUUACCUGUCGCCUUUCUACUUUUAUUGUCACUGACAUCUUUUGUAGCUUUGGGCCUUGUGGUGCAUGCACUGAAGUCAGUAAUUGCCCACUGGGAACUAUUUUUAAUAGUUCUCAUGCCCUCGUUUUAUGGUUUUCUUUUCAGAGCCUUCGGCACCGGCGGAGGCACGGGAUCGCGGCAAGGGGAUCGCGUAGCUAGCUAGCGAGGAGCUUACUUGCCUAGGUGGUUUACUCUUUCUUUUGUAGUUGAGAGAGUGAGAGUUUUGUACCCUGUAUAGAGACCACCUAUGUAUCUACUCUUAGCACUUGUAUUUGGGAUUUCCUAUUGUAUUUACUUUAUGCCUUAUUUAGUGGAUUUACAGCUUUUCCUCAUCCUUUGUUGUAGCAUUUAGACAUUUAUUAUGCUCUGAUACUCCUAGAUGUCUUUUAUUAUUGCUUUUAUUAUUGUUGUUUUCAGACGCCUUAUAUGUUGAAGACAUAUGGCGGGUCUGGGCACGCGCCGGGCGGGCUUCCGCUGGGUCCCGGGGCGUGACAACCCGUACAUAGUAUAGUUUCAAAUUUUUUUCACGUUUCGGGUUUCGCAAAGUUCCAAUACACUUUCUAAUCCACUAAACUUUGAUUAUAUGAUUCUAAUGCCUAUAAUUAAGUAUGAAUCACCAUAACGUGAAUUAAAACUUUACCUGAGCAUCGUGAUUCACGUUGUGAGUUAUUUUCUGAUUUCUUCGAUCUUCGACAAUACGCACCGAUCCUUCAAGACUCCGACUCAAUUCACGAAACUUGCCAACACACAAGACUUAACAAUCUCCUCCUUUGGCAAUUUCGUGACAAAACUCACAACUACUCAAAAAUUACAUCUUAAAAAAAAACGAAGUUCAAUUGUCAUCACCAAAAUAUUGAACCACUCCCAUGUGAUCCAAAUACAAUAUGAAAGGCAAAAGUACAUCAAAACUCCUAAAACAGACUCUAUGACUUAGAGACUCUAUGACUUAGACGCAACUAGGAGUCUUGAAGUCUUGAUUUCCUGCAAAACAAAUUAUCCAAAACGAAUUAGAAAAACAAAAUAUUAGUCAUUCUUAUACUUUCAAUGUUAAUGUCCUCGAAGUUCUUUUCUUCUCCUCUUCUCCCCCUUUGUUCUUCAAUUUUCUUCCCCUCUUUUGAUCAAUACUUGUACAUCUAUGUUCUCCCCCAUUUUUGUCAAAAAUUGCUAAAACAGAGCAUAUAGAGAGAAAACACACUGAAAAAUAUACUAGAAAACAUAUAGGAAUUUUUAGAGAGAGAAAAAGAGCGAUUUGAUUUUGGAUUUAGGAGAGAAACAAAUGAAUAAACCGAUUAACAGUUCUCAGAAUUCAAAAAAAUUUUCAAAAAUCCUUCAAAAUUAAAUUAAUUUCAUAAAAAUUAAGGAUUGUACUCCAAAAAUUAUUAUGAUGAAGAUAACAUAUUAUAAGAUUUCAAAAUACAUCAAAACAUCAAAAUUUUGUUAUAAAAAAUAACUCAAUGAUUUAAAAUCAUCAAGAUAAAACGGUUAAUGAAAAAUGACUUAUAGAAAUUCGGCAAAAUUGACACCAAUUUGUCGCAAUUCGUUCAAAAUAGAGAUUUAACUAAUAUGGCACCGGGGGUAGCUCUUUGAUCAUCUUUUCAUCCUAUCACCUUAUAACUCCGAAAAUUCUAAAAUAUUUAUUUUUUCAACCUUUUCGGCUUUUCAAUUAAAUUUCAUGUGGUAGCUUCACACACUUACCGGACGAUCGGGGUGGUAGCUCUUUCCUACAUGUGGUGGUAGUUUUCUCACUCCUUUUAGGAUGUAACUCUUUCUACAUCUUUUAAAUAUAGGAGUAUCAUUUUUCUUUUUUUAAAUAACUUCAAAUUCCCCCUAAAUUAGACAAUCUCGCAGUUGAAAGUAAUUUUGACAAAAAUUUAGUCGAUUAGAGAAUAUCCAUCCAUCAUAUCCAACACACACAACCAAGAUGAAUUAAUCACCAAAAGAUCAAAAUGAUUUCAAAAUUUUGUUGAAUAUAUGUAUUAAGAAUUAAGAAUUCAUAUAAUCAAUUAUCGUCAAAAUAAUAAACAGUGGAGUAAAACCGAUAAUUAAUAUGAAUUUAAUUCAAGAUGAAUUCUAGUUAAGGCACUUUGAAAAAUUCAUAUCUCCCCAAAAUAAAGAUUUUCAAUCAUCUCCUUCCUCAAAGAAAAAUUUUAAAUUCCCAAACACCUUUCCUCAAAAACAAUUUUAAAAACAAAUUUCACACUCGAAAAUCAUCAUGUAAUGCAAUGAAUAAAAAAUAUGCAAUAAGCACCAAACAAAGCAUUACAUAAUCAAUCAAAACAAACUAAAAUGAAGAACAAGAAAAGAUAUCACCUUUCCGGAUCCACACUUGUUGGAUCGUUGGUUGUCUCGGCUUGUCGACGUUAGGUGCCGUUUGCUUUGAUUUUUUAUCCACCUUUGGUCGUUUCAUUGUAGGUGACUUCGAUUGAACUUGUUGAUGAGACUUUGAAGUCCGGUUUGCAUGUAGGUUCGGUUGAACUUGACGUUGCGUGUGAGAAAAUCGGUUACCUCGAGGUGCUCGACUUAAUUGAUUUUGCUUUGAAUUUCGUGGGAGAAGCCGAGUAGUAGAUGAUUCCGCUUGAUGUUUCGCAGUUGCCGAUCGAUUCUUCUUUGUCUUGUUUGGGCAACUCUUUUUGAUGUGUCCUUUGAUGCCACAUUUAUGACACACCUUCUCUUUCAAAGUUGUUGAGACUUUAGAAGUUGAUUUUGAAACCUUCUCAACACAUGUUCUUUCAUAUCCGAUGCCCAACUUGCUCGUUUGAACUAAUCCAAGCAUAUGAUCUAAUUUCUUUGAACCGGAAGAGAAUUUUUGUAUGUCGGAUUGAAGUUGACGAACUUGAUUGGUCAAUGACUUGUUGGAAGUGUGCGAUUCCUCGAAUUGUUGCUCCAAAAAUCCAAUCUUGUCUUUAUAAGAUUUGAUCGUUGAUUCCGCUUCAUCAAGCUUCUCUUGGAGGAUUAAGUUAUUCUUAGAAAUCGAUUCCUUUUCCUCCUCAAGAGCACUGUUCAUUGUCUUCAAAUUUUUGUUUUCCUCUUCAAUGUCCAAUUACUGACGCCUCAACUUCUUAUUGAGCUUGGUCAUCUUUUUCGAAUCAAUAAGAAGUUGGUUGUAUGCUUCCGCUAUAUCCUCGUUGUUUGAUUCCUCUUCGCUUUCACCGAUAUCGCUCGAAGUACUUUGCACGGAAGGAGAAAUACUAGAAUUAGAAACAAUUGAGGAUAAGCACAUAACAUUAGACGAAGGCAAAGAAUUAUUAGCAAGUAAAGCAAUAUGAUCAUCCUUUUCUUCGUCACUUGAAGAUGAUUCACUCGAAGUAGAAUCAUCCCAAGUCUUAGCUUGCAAAGCCUUUUGCUUAUAAGUCUUCUUUGAAGGACAAUCCGUUGCAAUAUGGCCGUAGCCUUUGCAUUUGUAACAUAGAAUUUCGCCUUCAAAUUCAUCUUUUUCUUUCGAAGACUUUGCAAGUUUUUUAUCCUUAGAUUUAGAACUUGAAGAUUGUUUAGAAAAAGAUUUAUGCUUCGAAGAUGAAGUCUUGUCCGAAUUGUUCUUCUUUCGGAAAUUCCGUCGGAACUUCUUCGUGAGGAGUGCAAGUUGAUGUUCAAAGUCCGCAAUUGAGAUCUUUUCGUCGGAAUCCGAGUCGUCAUCUUCUCUCUUUGUCGAUUUGAGUGCAAAUCCUGUACUUUUAGAAGAAGACUUGGAAGAAGAUUGGUUAGUAGGAAAGUCAUCUCAUACGUUUGCAAAGCACCUACUAACUCUUCGACUUUCAUCUCGUUCGGAUGCUUAACGGUUUCGAUCGCGGCAACCUUUGCCCGAAAGCGUUCCGGAAGAGUUCGAAGAAUCUUUCUAACAACCUUUGAAUCCGGGAUUUUCUCUCCCAAGUUAGCGCAUGUAUUGACUACGUCUUAUAGACGCGUGUAGUACUCGAUAAAGGUCUUGUUUUCUUCCAUAAAAAUCGAGUCAAAUUUGCUUGUUAGCAUUUGUAAUUUUUGAACCUUUAUUAAGCUUGUUCCUUCAUGCAUAACUUGUAGAGUAUCCCAAAUUUUCUUGGCGGUUUCAAACGCCAAAACACGAGUAAACUCCGUUUGCGAUAAAGCAUUGAAUAAAGCAUUAAUUCCUUUACCGUUAAACGAAGAUGACUCGUUUUCAUCUUUUGUCCACUUGUUCCACGGUUUAGAGACGGUAGCACCAUCGACAACUUCGGUAGGAUGUUUCCAUCCGAAUUCAAUAGUUUUCCAUACCCGCUCAUCGAUUGCGAUUAGAAAAGCUCUCAUGCGAACUUUCCAAUAGGCAUAAUUCGUGCCGUCAAAGAGCGGUGGUCGAUUGAUGUUACCACCUUCGGCCAUUAGAUAACAAUUUAUCUAGAUCUCGCUCUGAUACCAAUUGAAAGUUUAGAGGAGCCCAAGGAUCUAUCUAGAUUGUAUCUAACACCUAGAGGGGGGUGAAUAGGUGUAAUAGCCAAAAACCACAAAUCUCAAUGCGAUAAAAAUAAAUGCGAAAAAUAAAAAUCACACCGAGAUUUACGUGGAAAAACUCCAACUUGGAGUAAAAAACCCACGGGACCAACACACGAAAAAAUAAUUCACUAAGAGAAAAGAUUACAAAGUGAUUACCGACUCCACGGACUCGACCUCUCUUAACCUCCUAUGAAUCUCGCGCAAUCCUCCGGGUUGUCCACGCCCUCACGUUCGAAUCCACGAAACGACUCCACUCCAAAUCCACAAAGCUCACGAUCCGAAUCCACGAACCGCCGUCAAUCACGCCGAAUCCACGACGCCGUCAUGAAGAACAUCAUGUGUAUGGUGAUCCUUCGCUUAGAGUAUCGAUGAAAACCAGGGAAGAAAACUCCAAGCGAAGCGAAGAUCAAAUCGACAUAUAGAUAUGAAAUUCCAAUAUCCCGAUUUGACCUAAAAGAGGCUAAUAUGUAGAAAAUAGGUUUUACAUGAAAUCCGAGCCUCUAGGGUUUCUCAAACAUGUAUUUNACUCCAAGCGAAGCGAAGAUCAAAUCGACAUAUAGAUAUGAAAUUCCAAUAUCUCGAUUUGACCUAAAAGAGGCUAAUAUGUAGAAAAUAGGUUUUACAUGAAAUCCGAGCCUCUAGGGUUUCUCAAACAUGUAUUUUCGUGAUGCUUUUUCAGUUAGAGAACCCCAAUAGCUUAUUUAUAGACUUUAGAAUCAAACGGAGUUGGAUUAGAAAGCUUUUCCCGAAUUUUGCGUUGUGUACCGGUACACGUGAGGCUGUCACCGGUACACGAUGACGGAACAGAAAAUCUUACAUUGUGUACCGGUAUAUGUUGAUGGUUGUACCCGUACACAGUUUGUAACUGGUAACACGUUGAUGGUUGUACCCGUACACAGUUUGCAAUUGGUAACACUUUCAACAUGUACCGGUACACAAUGUAAGAUUUUCUGUUCCGUCAUCGUGUACCAGUGACAGCCUCACGUGUACCAGUACACAAUGCAAAUUUCGAAAAAAACUUUCUAAUUCGACUCCAUUUGAUUCUAAAGUCUAUAAAUAAGCUAUUGGGGUUCUCUAACUAAAAAAGCAUCACGAAAAUACAUGUUUGAGAAACCCUAGAGGCUCGGAUUUCAUGUAAAACCUAUUUUCUACAUAUUAGCCUCUUUUAGGUCAAAUCGAGAUAUUGGAAUUUCAUAUCUAUAUGUCGAUUUGAUCUUCGCUUCGCUUGGAGUUUUCUUCCCUGGUUUUCAUCGAUACUCUAAGCGAAGGAUCACCAUACACAUGAUGUUCUUCAUGACGGCGUCGUGGAUUCGGCGUGAUUGACGGCGGUUCGUGGAUUCGGAUCGUGAGCUUCGUGGAUUCGGAGUGGAGGCGUUUCGUGGAUUCGGAACGUGGCGUUCGUGGAUUCGAACGUGAGGGCGUGGACAACCCGGAGGAUUGCGCGAGAUUCAUAGGAGGUUAAGAGAGGUCGAGUCCGUGGAGUCGGUAAUCACCUUGUAAUCUUUUCUCUUAGUGAAUUAUUUUUUCGCGUGUUGGUCCCGUGGGUUUUUCUCCAAGUUGGAGUUUUCCCACGUAAAUCUCGGUGUGAUUUUUAUUUUCCGCAUUUAUUUUUAUCGCAUUGAGAUUUGUGGUUUUUGGCUAUUACACCUAUUCACCCCCCUCUAGGUGUUAGAUACAAUCUAAAUAGAUCCUUGGGCUCCUCAAAACUUUCACGAGACCUUCAACAAUGCACUUUUUGCAUUUUUAUCGCAUUCGGACUUUCCGAAGCAUACCAGCUCGACAAUUAGCUGAUUCUAAACGAAGUCUAACUCUCGGAUUUUGAGAAUUCACUUCAUUACAACACUUGUGUAGGUCCCUAAUUGGAAUUGGAAAACGACAUUUAAACAUAUAUGUGACAAUCACUCCUAGGUAGUGUAUAGUAGUUGGACUUAUUGGACAUGCUUAGUGCAUAUUUGUGAACUCUUUGGACAUACUCAUUCAUGAUAGAAUAGCAGUAUCACAUGUUGAACAUCAUGCUAUUAGAGGCAUAGUGGCUUAGCAAUAUAGUACUUGUUUAUUAUACAUGUUGUCUAUUUCAGUUUCAUUAUACUACUCUUUGCCUCUAUAACCUAGUGGUGUAUUUCGCUGAGGUCGCGCGGCUUACCCACUUAGAACUAUUGACGAAUAGUUCUCAUUCCCAUUAUGUUGUUGUUUUUAUUUACAGAGCCAUCUACGUCGGGAGAGGCUAGGAAUUGCGGUAAAGGAGUCGCCUCUAGCUAGAUAGCUUGGAGUAUUAUCAUUAGGUGGUCAUCUCUUCUUUUGUUUUAGUUGGAGAGAGAUAUUUUGUACCCGAUGUAUAGAGACCACGAUUUUUGUAUUUAGUUUUAUCUUUGUGGAUCUUGUGAUGUAUUUACUUCAUGAUUUAUGAUAGUUGUUUAGCUCUUUUAUAUUUCCACUUGUCAUUAGAAACUAGUUGUAUUUAUGCUAUGAUAUUACAUUAGUUGUUCAUACUCUUGUUUUAUUUAUCAUACUGUUAUAGACCCCUUAUAUGUUGUAGGCAUAUAGCGGGUCUGGACACGCACCGGGCGGGCUUCCGCCGGGUCUCGGGACGUGAUAGUUUUGGAAGAUAGCCUACGCGUCCUUUUGGAGAACAUCUGUCGAAGGUAUUUCUUUAGAAGAUGAAAACCAAUAUGUUGACCAACUAAUGCCCCAAGUAAAGCCAGUGCGCCAAAUAAUCCACCAACUAGUAAUGGGUUUCCAAUAAAUGACGUAGGGAAGGAACAUAUAAGGGGUAACACAAAGGCUACUAGAACAGAUAAGCUCAUGGAAAAUAUCCACAUCAGCAUGAUGCUCAAACAUGAUAACCCAAAAGAUACAGCACUAGGAUAACCACCCAUUAGCAGUGAUGUAGUCCAUAAUAGUAAUCCCUGAAAUAUCAGAGUUGUGAAGCAUGGUUGCAAGCUGUUGAGAAUAUACAACCAUGUACAUACCCUGCAAAAUUAGCAAAUAAUAAUUAGAGACAGUAACGUUAUUGCAGGCACUGAUCCAUUGCCUGCAAGUUCAGGUUAUCUUAUGUAGGAUGUGAAGUCAUGUUCCAACGAUUAUGCAACAGAGAAUAAAAGAAAUCAAAACAAAUGCAAAGAAAUAACUGGGAGCUAAAGUACAUAUGCUAGAGUUUAAAAACAUGGUUGCCAAUAGAUAAUAUGGAGAAAUAACUUACGCAACAUUACAGUAAGGUAUAUGGAAAUAAUGCAACUUCGGUAACCAUAAAGUUUUAUGCAGCAUAAUAUAGGGAUAGCCUAGCCGUUUUGUUGGUCAUUAAUUUUAAGUCCACUCAGAUGGUUUGGAAAAAAAAAAAAAUAGUGAUAUAACCUUUAUUUUCUCUUUUUUAAUUUUUAGCAAUCGCAUAAUAUUGGUGCCAGUUGCAAAAUCUAAUUGAAUGAUUGGACUUUUCUGCUGCUUCAACUUAUAGUCUUGCUUUAGUACAAUCAGGUAUAAGUCUUCAUAUUUAUGGAAUAUAUCUUGUAUCCUGAAUUUUUUUUUUUUUUUUUUUUUUUUUUUGUGUGUGUUCUAUAUAAGGCUUCUGGUUCCAACAUGAGACUCAAUUAAUAUAAUAAUACAGAGAAGAAAAAUCAGCAUUCAAAGCUGUAGAAAAGGCAUACAAAUACAGAGUCUAAAAUAACAUCCAUGUAAAAGAAUAGAUGCAAAACCAAUUGAAGAACAACAUAUAAAAUACCAGAACAUCAAAAUAGAUAGCCUGAUUGUGAUCAGUUCCUUCUUCUUCCUCUAGGUUCCAUAUCCUUUUGAAGCUUUGAAGACAUAGCAGUACGAAGCAGAAAAGCAAGUAUAUUUUCCCCAAGAUGUUGAAGUGAUCCAGGUUUCAAAAGCUUUAGCUUGUCAUUCUGCAAGAAGUUUCAUUGUCAAAACUAGUUACUUAACAUAUAACUGUAGAAUGAAAUUUAGCAAGAAAGCGUCGAUUAUUUGGGUAGGAUAAGGAAUCCUUUACAAAUAAUUGUCAUUUAUUGCAUCAAAUGGAUAUUUUGAUCGUUGGCAAAUGGCUCUCUUGUGUUCCCUAGGCUUUCAUGAACAUUUACUAGUUUAUCUUAAUAUAGAAGAACAUAUCAGACCGUUUUUUAUAUGCCAAAUCGGGUGUGAGAUCAAAUCUAAGCAAACAUACACCAGUUAUCUGUCUCUGAGCUCCAACAUAUACAAUGGUGAGCAAUUGGCAUUCUCAUUAGUUCACUACAAGUCCUAAGACCUACCCGAGUGAUAACAUAAGAAUCCAGCUAUUGACAGGCAGUUCCAUUGUGAAAAGGGAAAACCACAAGAAAAUUUAUCAAGUAGCAAGGAUUUGAAGAUAAUCUCAACGAGGAAAUAUAAUAAAGACCAACCUUAACAACCAACCAUAAUGAACUGAUUUCGAAAUGUAUUCAUUUUGUUACACUUCGAACACCAGUCGUUAGAAACAUAUGAAUAUUUUCAUAAAUCAUGUCUUGUAGCGGUAGGACUAUAUUCCAUUUUGAAAAAUAUAUACCAUAUUAUCAAGGUUAAAUUGUAAAAACCCCUCCUGAAAACUUCGCCAGUUUCACUUUGCCCCCUCAAUAAUCAAAACCUAUAGAUUACUGUCUAUGGAGAUUUUCGACAUCUUAGCCUGUCAGUAGUACCAGUGCUAUUCCGGUUCUAAAAUACUUAAACCAUUUCCAAACAAAAGUUACAUUACAUAAGAACAAGUGAUUUUAUAUAAAUGCCAACACUAACAUUUGUAUGGUAAACAGCACUAGCAUCUAUAUAAGCAAAAUCAAGCCCAGGAAGGCCAGCAACUUCUUGAUAUAUUUGGAAAUCUGUGGCAGAUUUUAUUGCUCCAGAACUGCACAAAAAAGGUAUUAAUUUGACAAGCUUAGAAAUCAAGCAAUAGAUAGAUCUUUAGAAAUCCAUUUUAAGUGGUACUGAUUCAUUUGCAAUUUUGCACAAUGAAAUCGGGUUUCAAUUUCAAGAGAAAAUUGGUUAAACUACGGAGCAAUUAUACAUAUAUCAAAUAGGUCCUUAUACUGAAUCAAUAGAUGACAUCUUUUUAGGUUCAAUUAUUUUUGCUCCAACAAUAAAAAAAUUCACCAACUUGAAUACAUUUCAUCCAAGUUCCAAUUAUGUUUUUACUAAUAUGGAUGGCAUGUAAGGAGCGAAAUUGCAGGAGACCAUUGAAGAAAUUUAUAAACAUGAGAUGGCAUAUGCAUCGUGUCUAAAUAAAGAAGGGAUCAUGAAGAAAUCUAUCCAAAAUACGUCACUAAAACAUAGUGUUAACCUGUGCAAAGAUCUGGGCAGAAGGAUACUUUGAUACUGCAGCAAAAUUCUCAAGGGCCCAUGGGGCAGAACCACCCUGUGUACAAAAAUUUUAAUCGAGUAAACAUCCUGACAGAAAUCAAACUAAAUAACAGUUGCAGGAAAACAGAUAUGUUCAGAGUAUAAGAGAACAAAUAGGGCGAUAUGGGACUUGCGAUCUCGCAUGUUACAGUACAAGUUUAAAGAGGAAGGGUGGGGGUAAGAACAGUAAGAAGUUGACUACUGAACCUGCCUCCAAUUCCCGUAGCCUCCAAAUCGAUUGCAAAACGAAUUGUAUCUCUCCAUGGAUGCUGCAACAAUGUACAUGAAUCAUGUAAUGUAUAUAGGAGGUAAUGCUGUACAGACUAGAUUUAUAUGGUAACAAUCAUCAACAAAAAGUUUUAAUGGAUCUUUUAGCAGUAUUAGUAUUUAAUGCACUAGAUUAGAGACAAUUGCAGUAUUGGGUGAGAGAGAGAGAGAGAGUAUGCCGAGAUUUACUCACAAAGCAGCUAAACAAUAAAUUAACAGUGAUGAGAUUAAAAAAAAGUUAAAAAUGAAAUCAUGAAAAGUCCAACAAAUAAAUAACCAUUUCCUAUAAUGAAUUAGCUUCUUGAGGUAGUCCUUGCUUCUCUUUUUGAAGAAAAAGGAAUGCAUCCUUAAUCGUGUCGGAAGAGUUCCGUAUCAACAAAGUGACUUUUGUGAUUUGAGGACCAAUUUAGAGUCUUUAAAUAGACUGAUUGAUAAAUUGAUUAGUUUAGGAAACUAUUAACCUGCCUUAUGAAGCUGUGGGCACCAUUAAGACCCUCUUCCUCUCCAGUGUUGAAGAGAAAAAAUUACACCACUCUUGAAUCCAUGAGCCCACUGAGACACUCCCGGGCAAGCUCCACCAUCACAGCCACACAUGAACUGCAGUCUCCAGCCCCUUCGGUGAGAGAGAGAAAGAAAAACAAAUUAAGCACAACUAAACGUAGCUUAAUUUAUACUACUUGAAUCAUGCUAGUUGUAUCAUGCCACAUAGAACUUCUGAUGGAUGCACUGCUGGUGUGAAGUGCAAAAGACUAGAAAAUGCGAUGCAAAACUCUAGGUAGUUAUUUAAUUUCCAAAAAUAAAUGAGGUAGAAAUGGAAGAGCUAAGAUCGCACUGUAAUUUUUGCUAAUGAAUGAGCUAUUCAAACACACGGACAUGCACAAACUUUGAUAAACCAAAAGUUCCAGAAACCAAUAGAAUAUCUCAUGAAGCACUACCUAGAGUAUGGAUCAUCUAACUCAAUAUUGUUUCCACAUUUUACCACCAUAGAGAGGCUAUCAUUUUCCUUUCACUUACGUGGAUGGCAGGUGUCGUAGCUUAAUAGAAAAAAUGUAUAGAACAGCACAAAGAGAUUAGAAGCAUACGUAGAGAAAACUGUGUCGAUAUGAGAAGAGACCAGAAUCAUAUUUUCCUCGGCUUGUGGAAGAUACAUGGGGACAAUUUUCAGGACUACAUGCUUCAGAUCAAAGUACAAUAGUGUUUUCCCCUUGAAAAGCCCACUGACAAGACGGUUUGCACCAAUAGUUGCAUGGAAGAGCUCCACUUGAACAUCAACCUCCCAAUGAGCUGUCUUCUUGAUCUGUUCUGAUGCUGCAAACACAUACUAUGGUAGAAGAAUGUUAAAAGAAAACUUCCUCAAAGAAAAAUUGGUGAUCACUUGAUAAAAGGAAGAUCUAACUUUAAACGGAAUAUCAUAGGAAAAAAGAUAAAGAUCUUUGUACAUGCGCAACAAGUGCAUGAAAAUGACGGCAUUUUAUUGAAUGAUAGGACUAGAAAUUGCUGACUAAUUUCUUCAAGCUAUGAAUAACCAUGAAAAGCAAUACUUUUUACAUGCACUCAUAUGAUAAGCCAGAACCAGAAUAUACAUGAAUGGAAAAAACAUCUUCUCUCACAAAAAUAACAGCAUGAAAAAACUACAAACAUGAACAACUAAAAAGCAGAGAACCUGUAUUGCAAUAUCUAGAGCGUCCGAACCGACUGGAUGAGGGCCCAAGCUUGUCAAAUACUUGACAUGCUUCAUCGCAGAAAUAAUUACUUUGGCUGGGGUUGGAUUUGGAUUUGAAAUUUUAAAAAUCCUUCUCAAAUCUGACCCAUUGAUUCCCGUGCUCGAGACUUGUAUUUUUUCCUUUUUUUAAGGUAAAAUGUGUAAAGACCCCUUGAAUUUAGCAUUUUUUUAUACAAACGUAUAAAAUUUUAAUUUUGGUAAACUAGAUAUGUGAAUUUUAUUAGAUAGUUCAAUUAUAUCCUUGUGAACUCAUCUACUUCAUGAACUCACUUGAGCUGAAACUUCAACACAUUAGUUACAACAACCUAAAUCUAAGAUAAUUCAUGCACAAAUAUAUAUCUUAAAGUUAAUGAUGGUUUUUACCCAAGAUUAUACCUUCCCCUAUGUUUUAGAUCUCCGCCAAGCUGAACAACUAAACUGGAUCGAUCCCAUAACAUGUUGAAACUACAAUUGAAACUACAAAUUAAAAAUAUCAUUCUCUAACAGCUUAAGUUUUUGUAGACAAAUAAUUGUUACAUGUCAUUUAACAUAAUCUGCGUCAGCUUGCCUACAUUCACCCCUUCUUUCGAACCAUAGAUGCCCGUCGUUGGACCUCCCUUUCCACCGUCUGAACAAAAAGCUUUGCUCCCAGCAUGUCGUUUAUCUCGAUAUUCGACGCCAAACUUGCUUCGGCUGUGUCGACGAUGGCCUCGACGGUCAAGGUGAAGCCCAAGGCGGAGAGCAAGCGAACGGCAUUGGCGAUCCGACAUAUGUGCUUCCGUGUCUCUAGCGGAGUAAAAGACCCGCUUUCCUCUUCAGCGAUCGAUGUUUUCUUCUGAUCUUCCACCAACAUGCCAACAUUCUCUCCGGCUUCUACGUGCUCGCCGACCCAAAUGAAUCCAUUGCACCCAAUAAUCAAGUCGACACCGUAUUGUUCGAGGUGGUGAAAGUGUUUCUUCCGCCGCUUCACUAAGUAGGCCGGAACAGUGAGCAAUUGACCUCUUUCAAGCUGCAAUAAAAUUCCAAACAGAAUCAUUAGAUGAUGGUACACAACAUACAGAAUAAUUGGUGAUCUAUCAACAUCUAAAUCGAAAAGGAAAUUUUUUGCCGGAUUUUAACAAUCAUAAUAACAAAGAGUGGCAAGAUUUUGCCAAGAUUGCAUCGUAUUAUAUUACAACUAUAACAGUUAACUUCAAUCCUCUACUCUCCAAUCGUAGAAAUCGACUGUAAGGUGCCGAACUUCUGUAGUUAUGAAGUUGCGGUGGAAUGUAAUAUACCGGAUUUUAAUAUAAAAAUAAAAAUAAAAAUAAAUAAAAAUAGUAUGAGAUACUAUUUUUAUUGGAUUUAGAGAAGUGAAAUAUGAGUUAGAAACGACAUGUGCUGAAAUCGGAGCAAAAAAAAAUUUAGAAUUUUUUGUGAGAAACGGGGCAGAUAAAUUAACAGAAAAUGCACAAUGUCAGAAAAUUAUGAAAACUGGAGGAUAUGUCAGAAUUAUUUUUAUGAGGCUAGAUUUAAAGUUUCAUACCAUUCUAACACCCGUAGAGUGAGAAGUAAAAUCCGACAGUUAUCUGAUUAAGAUUACAGUUCGGCACAGCUUUCGGUGACCAAACGGGAUCGAAACUGAAAACUUAAGAUAUAUUCUUGCUUAGUACGUUAAACUGAGCCUGCCUGUCAAAUUUGCGCGCAAACGGACAUUCAGAAGGGCUUUAACGAAACUUAUCAGAUUUAGGGACUAAACUGGAAGGUUGAAUAGUUAAGGGCUGAUUUUUAAAAAGGGACUUAAUCCCUUUUCUUCUUCUCCUUCCUCAGCCGCAGCAGCCACAAGACCAUAUACGCACACACGCACACAUGGUGAUAGAGAGAGAAACACCUCUCUCUCUCUAGAUUUCUCCCUCAUCUCUCUAAAUCCAUCUCUCAAAUUCGGGAUUUUGGAGGAGAUGGACCUUGCGAAUGCAUGGGAGGCGACGGUUUGAGCUCUCGUGCGGCCGUUUGAGCAGUGUGCUUCCGUCUCGGCGUUCACAAUUUGGUAAGCUUCUAGGAUUGGUUUAAUCCUUGAUGUUUAGCGUUCUAAUGGUCUCUAAAGUGUUUCUAGCAUGUCGCUCCAUUUAAUUUCGAAUUAUUUGGAGGUUGUUUUCAUGCUAGGGCUAAAAAUGCUAGUUUUGUAAAUGUAGGGGUCUGAUCUCAAUUGACCCUCCGUAAAACUAAUUGCUAGGUAAACGAACGUGCUGACUAAGUCGGUUCGGCGAUUCGUUGAGCCGGUGCGAAGAUAUUAAAGAAACGGACGUUUAGGCUUCGUUUCCGACUGGAGGGCCGAGGCGACGUCCAAAAAUUAUGAAAACGGAUUUGAAGCACCGAAACAACAAAACGAAGACCCUUUUUGCCCGAGGCUGCGAAGCGAUGCGUGGUUGGUGCGCAACUGCAAGUUCGGGCGAAACCGGGCACCGGAUGCCGCGGGAGGCCGGUUGCAAGUGUCGACAAGCAAUCGGAAUGCAAUAGCAGGUGGGUUGUGCUUACCGAAGCGACUAGGUCGCCUUCAUGUCGAAGAAAAAUAUGGUUUCCUGGUUGAUGCAUAUAAUGGGUUAAAUGCUAUAUGACGCAUAUGAUGUGAAGAUUGGAUAAAUGCAUAUAAUGUGAGAAAUGUAUAUUACAUGACAAUUGCAUAUGAAUAUAAUGCAUGCUAGUUGAUAAUGGCAAAGUAAUAUGUUGAAUGUUAGAGGAAUGCAUGAACUAAAUGUUAAAGAAAUGCAUGAAAAUGAUGUUGUAGGAAUGCAUGGGCUAUAUUAUACUAGAGGACAUAUUGCAUGUGAUAGAUAAAGGCAUGAUGACAUGUAAUUGGUUGUGCUAAAUGAUCUAUGCAAGUUGGUACAUAUGCAUGUUAAUGUAUUUGUGGACUAUGUUAAGUAACAUAUGCCAAUUAACAUAUGCAUGUUGACUUGGGUCUAAAACUCUUGGAUGAUUAGAAAACUCGACAUUGAAAAUACAAGUGUAGUAUUAAUAUAAUGGUAUGGUUUGGAGCCCUACAAUGGGAUGAUAAAUGUGGAUAAGACCUAGGUAAAUGACAACCUAGAGAUUGUGUACAAGUAGAGCAUUGAGAACAUUUACAUGAUGACGAGUGGCAUAUAGUUAAUGUAAACACAAAGACGAGUGGCAUAUGAGAACCUUAGUGUAGCUGAAACACUAGAUUGAUAAGUAUAGAAACACUAGAUUGAUAAGUAUAGAAACCUAUUGGUUCUAUGUUGAUGCUAUCCUUAGUUGAUAGGAUGUUUCCAGUUUAUGUGGAUUUGGAUCGAGCUCACCUAGCCUGUCUGCGCUUGGUGUGGUCGCUCCACAUAGGUAGUGCACUCCGGAGUUGUCACCCAAGGAGGGCUGAUAUGUUCGCCCUUGGACUAAAGUAUCUGUCUACAGGCGGUCUCGGGGAUAGUUGAGUAGUGAGGCUCCUCCCCUAUGAGACUUAUAUACGUGAGAUUGAGGACGACCCCCUUCGGGUUAGCCAAGUGAUUGGGUAACAAACUUAUGAGCUAUAGUGAUUGUCCUAGUUGAGGGGAUUUAAGGCCGAGGUGCAAGUGAGACGUCCUUCGCCUCGAGUCUGGCUUUGUGCGGUACUCUGCAGACGAUUGACUCAAGACCGAGUCGGGAUUGACUCAAGACCGAGUCGGGCGGUUAGCUUUGUAAAGGUAGAUGAAACUUCAUGAUUAAAAUGGUAAAUGACAGAAAACCUUAAAUGUCAAUUGGAUGAAAGUAGUAAUCGAUUGAAUUACUAGUUGGUUGUAUAGUUGCAUUAUUGCAUGAUCUUCAUAUUGCAUAUCGCGAGGCAAUGCAUGGUAUUGUUAGUUGCAUAAUCUCGUUAUCAUAUCUAUCUGUUUAUUAAACUAACCUGCAGCUUGCCUCCUUCGGACCUGUUGGUAGAGCUUUUCCCUUGGGUGGCCGUACCCACUGGAAACUAUGGAGUUAGUUCUCACCCCACGUUGCUUUUGGGGUGUUACAGGUUCUCACGCGAGUGGCGCGGCGGCGCGAGAAAAGGGCGUAGUUCCGUAGAUAGCGCCCUACCACUGAGACCAGAGAUAGAAGUACCCCAAGUCGACAUAGCUUAGAGGUGUAGUGAAGGAAAAGAAUAAAAAUGUAUUAAAGAUAUAAAUGAUAUAAUAACUCUAGUUGCAUUUGGAUGUAAAAAGGUUUGUAAUUAAGUUGUAAGAUGUAUGAAUGUGAAUGCAUGUAAUAACAUAGGAUGUGCUAUGUUGUUGAUACCUUCCUUAUGCAAUCUGUAUGUUGAAUUCUGUUUUUGGUUGGAACAUCUUGAGUUCUAUUGAUUGUACUAUUUGUUGAGCCUUGAAUGUAUAGGGGAGACUCUGUCCGCAGUACAGGGGAAACCCUGUCCAUUCGGUGCUGUCGGCGAUCCGAACCCGACCAAAUAGGCGGGGCUCGGGGCGUGUCAUAUGAAACACAUUUUUGGUUCAGGCAGAAGUUCAAGUAGAACUGUAAUUUAUACAAAGGCUAUAUCGGUCGGCAAUUAAUCAGUUCAGUAGGAUUCAAUAAAAGCUACUUUGAUAAUAAACAUUACAGUUUUUAUUAGCACCUUCACUUCUACUUUAGCUUAUAAAGAUAAACCAAUUAAAGGAUCCAAAUCUGACUUGAAUCUGAUGAUGGUGUUGAGAAUUAAACCAAGUUCAAUUGCCUUGAUUGUCUAGGGUUUUAGACUUUCUUUGGGUUUAAACGCCAUACAAUCAUUUGGCAAACUAAUUUGAUUCAAGAUGAUGCAAAAAUCAAAGAUCUUUGUGGGAUUGCUGCAACUCAGAAAAAACAGCACAUGUCCGCAGGACAACCUACCUUUCCAUAUUUCUGACUCCUUGCUUGCAGGUGCAAACUUCCAUCAUGCUGAAAACCACGAACCUCAGCCUACAAAGCAACCAUAAGAUAAAAAGGCAGUUAAAUGUAAUAACCCUUUGCCAGAGAACAUAACAUUAACCGCUUUAGCGACUAGUGAACAGUUUGUCAAAUAAAGACAUCCGCUCUAAUCUACUUGUAGCAAUGCAACCUCAAUCUUGAGCCAAGUAGAAGCGUGAAACAGUUCUUAUGCUAAAUAUUUCAUAUAUCAGUUUGGUAAGUAAGAUGAUCAACCAUGCGUUCGAGUAUCCUUGAUCUUGUCAUAGAAGUCGUAUGUAAGAGUUGGGCCGUGGUGCACAAUAUUCUAGAGUAAUGCUAGAUAAGUUAACAAGUGGAAAGCUAGUCAACUUUCCCCUAUUGCAAGCACUAAACUACUACAGCUUAUUAAGCAUUGGGUUAAAACAUAUAUUCCAGUGAUUAGGCAUAUUAUAUUUUUAUUACUAUAGCAGAAUCGAUGGUCUCAACCAUAAUUUUGUAGCAAUCCUUCAGAAAAGUGGGUAUAGAAGUAUAAAUAUGCAUAUAUAUCAUAUGUACACAGAAGCAAUGAUGGGCUUUCCUUCUGCUUCUGCACAUCCCAGGCAGGUUUUGAGAUCCACAGAAAUCCAUAGGGGGAACUCUUGAUGGACAUCAGUCAUGCAUGCAUUGUGAAGCAGUUGUGCGAAUCAUAAAGCCAAUCCAACACAUGCAAGCUAGAACUUUCUUUAGUCAUGUUUAGAUGUAGCCUCAUGCUAAGGCAACUUAUUUCAAGACACAAAGGUACCAGCCACAAGAUCAAGAACUCCCUCGCGACUCGCUCAUAUACAGUUAGUGUAAUAUACCGAAAUUCCGGGUUACAAUGCUAACUUUGAUCUAGGGGAUCAAAGUGAAGCUUGAGCUGGAUGUGCGUCGUUCCCGAGUAUUUCUGAAGGUGUGGGAAUGAUUACUGGAGGUAUUUGAGUGUUUCGGCACAAAUCAGGUGUGAAACGAACUCGAAAGAGAAUCUUCGGAUUACAAGACUAACUUUGAUCAAAUUGAUCAAAGUGAGGUAUGAGUAUAAUUUGUGGCAUCCCCGAGUCAUUUUGGAGGCGUGGGGAUAGUUGAUGAUAUGUUUUAGAGGUGUUUAGAGGUAUUCGGCGCAAGUUGGACGCGCGAAUUGACUUCGGAACCCAGCUGCUGCCAAAGUGCAGGAUUUGUACUGGGUACCAGUGGGGCUGGCAAAUGAGCGAGCCGGCACGCGUUCGACUCGAUAUUUGGCUCGCUCGAGCUCGACUCGAAAUUAAAUGAGCCGAUCUUGAACAAACAAAAAGGCUCGAAAUUCAUUUCAAGCCAAGCUUGAGUAUUACUCGGCUCGUUCGAAUUAGGCUCGAAAAGCUCGAAUAUAUAUAUAUAUAUAUAUAGAGCUAGGCUGGUAUACUAUUGGUAGCACGGAGGCCUCCGUGCUACCAAGUUGUUUUUAAUGAUGUGACUUCCAAAUUGACGAUCGGCUCCGUUAGACUUGAUCUACACUAUUGAAAUUAUUUGAAAACUAAAUUUUAUAAUUUUUCGACAUCAUUUGGUUAGUGAUCAAAAGGUUUCAAAAUUGACAAUUUUAAUGGUAGAUUUGAUGCGUUUGUGAAUUUAACGGUGUAAAACAAUCCAAAUUUGAUGAAAUUUUAAUAGAAAAUUCGUUUCACUACUUAGAGUAAGAUCAGUAUCUCUGAUCUUAAAUUCAAGCCUUUUAUUAUCAUUUUUUGUGAGAUUUUUAUUUUCAGCCGUUCAUUUUUAGACUACUCCUUUGAUACGUAAAUGAUGCCGAAAAUUUAUGAAAUUUAGUUUCCAAAUACUUUCAAUAGUGUAGAUCAAGUCUAACGGAGCCGAUCGUCGAUUUGGAAGCCGUAUCAUUGAAAACAACUUGGUAGCACGGAGGCCUCCGUGCUACCGAUAGUAUACCAGCCUAGCUCUAUAUAUAUAUAUAUAUAUAUAGAGAGAGAGAGAGAGAGAGAGAGAGAGAGAGAGAGAGAGAGAGAGAGAGAAGAGCUUCUAUGCUAUCGAAAGUAUAAAGGAUCUGGUGCUUCCGAUUUUUUGAUUCUUAGAUCAACCCUUUUAAUCAAUUCUUACUUUUGGAUUAAUACUAUUAUUACCUUGUAGAGACCACUCAACCUUAGGGGUAUUAUUUAAUCCUAGAGGAGACCGCAAUCAUCCCAACCGUACAAUUCUUAAUCAAAGGGUCAAAAAUUCGGAAGCAUCAAAUCCUCUAUAUUUCCGAUAGCAUAGUAGUUCUACACUCUCUCUCUCUCUCUCUCUCUCUCUCUCUCUCUCUCUCUCUCUCUCUCUCUCUCUCUCUCUCUCUCUCUCUCUCUCUCUCUCUCUCUCUCUCUCUCUCUCUCUCUCUCUAUAUAUAUAUAGAGUCCGGUUACUAUACUUUUAUGAGUAUUGGCUCCUUUAUACUCAUAAGUUUUCGGCCCUCAGAUUUAUUCCAUGAUCAUUUCCUCCCGUUAGAACAUACUAUUCAACCAACUACCCAUUCAAUCCUAGGGGACCACUAUCAUUCUAAGUGGGGACCGCCAUCAUCCUAACCACACAUCCCAUCAAUCAACGGUUAAAAAUUUAUGAGUACAAAGGGUUCUAUACUUAUAAGAGUAUAGUAGCCCCAGCCUAUAUAUAUAUUAAAAUUUGGAUGGGCAAAUAUGUGAUAUUCUAAUUUGUAGGAAUAUAUUUUCAAUUGUCCCCCUUUCUUUUCCUCUACACAAUUACCAAAAAGUUUUUUGUUUUGUUUUGUUUUUGUUUUUUUGUUUUGAGAGGGACAUAAUUAAAUGAAAAAAACCAGUGNUAUAUAUAUAUAUUAAAAAAUAUAUAAAUAUAAUAUAUUUUAAUUAUAUAUAGGCUGGGUGAAUAACUGAAGUUUAGUUAAAAUUGGGCCAAUGUUGUUGGUCCAUAAAAACAAACUCAACAGACAAAUAAAAGAGCAAAAUUUUACUAAAUUUAUACUUUUUUUCUUUCUUUCUUUUUUUCACAUUUUCAAUAUGUUUCUUUCUUUCUCUUUUUCUUUGUCUCUCACCCUAAGUGGCCAAGCCGGAAGCCGUCCAAGUUACCAAGUAACAGUAUAUGCCCGCCGUUGCCUACCUUGUUACUAAUUGUAUGCUUGAGAAAAUAUACAGAAUAUUUUUAAUGUAAAAAAAUAUUAUUUAUAUAAAAUUUUAAUUUUAGUUAUAUAUGAUUCGAUAGUUUAAUCCAAUAUUUAUCUAGAUAAUUUAUUUAUUUUUGACCAUAUAAAUGAAAAUAAAUAAUAUGGGAAUUGAAGGCAGAAGAGAAGACAUGUGAGGCUGAAAAGAUUAGAUAUUCAACUCAUAAAUUAUUUUUCUUCAUAUUAUAAUACCAUAUUUCAUAUAAUUAUUUUAUACUUUGAACUAUUAAACAUAUUUUUGUAUCAAAUUAUAGAUAAUGUUCUAUACAAAUUAAACUAUUGAUUGUAUGAUGUUGGGAAUUUCAAGCGGUUCGUUUAGGGCUCGAGCUCGCUCGACUCGAAAUUAGGCUCGCUCGAGCUCGGCUCGAAUUAAUUUCAAACCAAGCUUGAGCUUAAAUUUAGGCUCGAAAUUAAUUUCAAGCCAAAUUUGAGCGGAGGUAAGCUCGGUCGAGCUCGGCUCGUUUCCACCCCUAGGUACCGGUACCAAAACAGAGGAGUACCGGUACCCAGCCCCGAAAACUGAGGGUAUUGUAGAAAGAAUUUUAGCUUUUGUGGGGGGUUUAAUUGCAAUUGUUUGCUAUUAUCUAUAACCCAGAACCCUCCACCUGCUUUAUACGUGCAGGGAGUCAUCUCUCUUCUCCUCCUCCUUAUCUCUUUCCUCUUCUCUUUCUAAAAACCCUAUGUGGUGGAUUUUGAAGGAAAGUUGUAGUGGAGUUGGUGUUUGGGCUGUGAGGAAGCUAAAGAGCAAGAAGAAAAGUCUGGUGGAGCUGAAAUCUGAGGUAAGGUUAUGCUGUCUCUUUGUUAGGGUUAUGAUAUUUACCCUAGAAAGAGUUGAGUUUGGGAUUUCUAGGUUGCUAGAAGUUGUUUUGCCAUGAAAACCUAGAGGAAAGCUAUGUAUUGUGUGUUAUGUGACUUGGGUUAGAUGUGAAACAUGUAGAAAUAUGAAUAUGACAGGAGUUUGAUCUCUUGUAUUCCUAAAUGAAUUGGUUUUGAGGUUCUUGGGUUAUUGGAGCUUGUAUUACUCCAUGUGUUUUCAUGAAACCUGUGUAGACAGAGGGUAUGUAGAGCUAAAGCUUGAAAAUGCUAUUUUGUAGGAUUGGAGAUCUAGCUUGAAAUUGAUCGCAUGAAAUCCUAAUUGAUGGUAAAACCGACGCGUUGGGAGGCUCGGAUCGAUGUUCCGACAAGCCUACACCGAGUUAUUGAGGAAAAACCUCAUUUUAGCUUCGUUUGUCGCGAGCGAGGGGUGUGAUCGAUCAUAAAUCACGGGAGGUGGUUUUCUCGCAUCUCGGCAUCACUUAGAGGUGGGUGGUGCUUUCCGAAGUCAUCGAAUGAUCUAUUAUGUUUAUGUCACUUUUCUUGAGCAUACAUGUAUAUGUUUAGUUGAUAUUCAUGCAUUAUAGGGUUGCAAUUGUUAUGUGGUUAAAUGUGAUAUGUGUUCUAAUUGUAUGCUUGGUAAGCAAAAAUACAUAUGGACAGUGGAUUGAAAAACAUAAAACCCUAUAGUGGUAUGAAUAGGUAUGGACUAUAAAAUAGUUAACAAGUGAUAUUGUGAAUAGACAUUCAUGCAUUAUAAGGUUGAGGUUAGCUUGUGGCUAAAUGUGAACAAGUUGGUAUACAUCCAAUGUAGAAAACAUGUGGAAUGAUAUGGACCAUGAAUAUAGAACCCUAUGAAUGUGUGAACUUAUAGUGAACUAUGACAAUAGUAAACUUGGUGGCAUCGUGACUAGAUGAACUGAUUAGCAUCUAGAAUUGGAAAUGGUAUCAUAGCAUCAAAAGCUAGUUAAAGUGUGGUAUUGUCAUUGUAUCCUCUAAGUGAGGAUUGGAUCGUACUCACAAGUAGUCUAAUGCUCGAGGUAGGUCGCGCCACCUUGGGCGGUGAGCUCCGGAGUUGUCAUCAACUGGGUUGGUAAGCGGAAUUCUCCCCAACAGACUGUCCCGUCGGGUUGUAGCGGAAUUCUCCCCGAUAAGAAGGGAUUUGGUUGGUGAGUUGUAGUUAACCAAAGGGUUAACUAAGUUAAUUGGGUAUUGGUAAUAUGAUAGCAUGCAUGCAUAAACUUCAUGAGUUUUAUAUUGUUCUUUCCAGCUUUGUACAGGCAUUGUAGUAGCAUUAGUUGGGUUGUAGCGGAAUUCUCCCCGAUAAGAAGGGAUUUGGUUGGUGAGUUGUAGUUAACCAAAGGAUUAACUAAGUUAUUUGGAUAAUGGUAAUAUGAUAGCAUGCAUGCAUAAACUUCAUGAGUUAUAUAUUGUUCUUUCCAGCUUUGUACAGGUAUUGUAGUAGCAUUAGUUUGGUUUGUUAUCUAAUUCUUUUCCUACAGAUGCCUGAAUAAACCUAGUGGGUGAGUCGGCAAGGUCGGCAACCGAACCCACUGGGAACUUUCAGUAGUUCUCACCCCACUAACUAUGCAGGUUCUAGCGAGUGCGGGGUGGUUGAGGAUCGUGACAAGGACAGCGCGCAAUAGAUAGCGACAUCCAUUGAGUAUAGUUGUACCUUGUACAUUUCAUAUAUUUACAGUUGAUGAAGAGAAAAUGUAAAUUAUUCAUUUGAGAGAUGGCAAAUGUAUAUAUUAGAGAAUGUGUGUAUGUAAACAAAAUGGUAAGCUUUGUAUUUGAUUUAAAGUAAUCAAGAUACAAUGUAUAAAUGUUUUAGUUAAUUUACUUUCACUUGCUUGUGUUGCUUACCCUCGUGUAAGCCAUAUAUAUUAGAAUUUUUCCUGGGCAUUUCCUUAUACAUGUUUAGUUGUCGUUGAGCCUUGGGCGAACAGAAGAGGUUCUGUUCGUUCGGCAUCUGUGUAUGGGCCCGAACUGACCAAAUUGGCGGUCACGGAGCGUGACAGUUAGACCAAGGAAUCAUUAAGCACGCAACCUAAGCGAAAAACGCCAAAACCCAAGUAACAAUGGGUGAAAUAAUGCUAAGGUGUUGAAAAAAUUUAUUCUUUCAAAAGUUGGUAGUGAAAAUGAACUCGACAAAGAUAAGCUGGACUGUAUGCGGAGAAUAUGCAAAACCCUGAAUCAAAGCCAUAAACUGCAGGAAAAACAGAAAAGAUUUAAUAAGUGCUUUUAUACUGGGUAUGCACGUUCUUUCGAAAAUUUUAAUUUUGCCUACCACUUAAAUCCAAUAUUCAGCAUAUCAUUUACCCAUAUUUCCACCAAAUAUACUCUCUUAUUUAGGAAAGCUAAAUUCGAAACCAUAGUACAACUUACAGUGUAAAGCAUAAUUAGAGGAUAAAACCGACAACAACAUGAGAUAUCCAAAAAAGUUACUACAUGAAUAAUUAACUAAUACAGCAAUGAUACGAUAACCAAACAAGAAACUAAGCUUUUACAGAAAAAGAAUAGCAUGGCGAUUAACUAAGUACUUACACAAAUUACAUCAUUUUCUUCAAAGAUACUGCGCAUGUUGAGUUCAUCCACAGCAGUUCUCCGCCUCUACCAAAUUAAAAAUUUACAGUACAAAAUGAAGUAUAUCAGGUCAAAGAGAUCAUGGAGCAGUACCAAAAACAAGAACAGUCGACAUGACAUUCAUUUAAAAAGAAGAUAAAAGCACAAUUAUUUAUCGUUCAACGCAAGGUUUUAAGUGCCCGUCGGCACGGGCCGUAUCCACCGUGUCGUACCGUGCCAACAAGAUACCGGCACGAUAAAGACCCCGUGCCGAUGGCACAGCUCAAAACCUUCUAUUCAUUAAAUUAGUAAGUAAUUUCCUCAAUAAAGUUCAAAAGAUGUGAUAAAAAAGACAUAAUAAAUAGUUAGAAUAUUUUGUUGCUAAAGAAAAUAAAUAUUUCAUGCUAUUAUGUGUCGGCACACAAGAAUUUUUUGAUCGGCACACAUCGACACGGCUCGGCACGCACCGUGUCGUACCGUGCCGGCAAGUUUCCAGCACGACCCCUUGCCAUGACACUUAAAUCCUUGGUUCAACGGCUGCCAUAUAAGCAUAUAGCAAGAAAAUGAACAAACCUGUAACGACCCAGCCCACUAGCAAUAAUAACUCGUUGGGCCCAACACCAGCCCAAAAUGCUUAAGCCCAGUUAUUAUUACUAGUGUCUAAGUCUCUUAUAAACCCAAUAACAACCCCAUUCCCAUCCGAUGUGGGAUUAUUGGGGUGUCACAAAACCAGACAGCACAUAAUCUAACAAGUUUGAUCAUUUCAAUGCAACAAUUUACUUCUUAAGAAUCUAAAAAUCUGCCUAAAUAUGUCUAAAAGAUUGGUUUGAUAUUCAUCAUGAACACUUUCUCAUAGACCCACCAUGAAUAAAGAUGUACGCAGGACCUUUAUGUUGUUACCUUUAUAUUGUUACGAAUGUAAACCUCUUCAAGGAAGGGGAACAUCUCCAAAAUCUGAAUAAUAGCAGCGAUGUACACAUUUUUCUAUAUAGAAGAUCUAUAUCUUAUUCUUAUUCUCUGAGUUAUGCUAUGCAAAAGUCUCCUUUUUACAUGCCAACAACGACCUUGUCGAAAAUUGUUAUAUGCUACCACCAUUAAGACCAAACAAAAAAGGAACCACAGUUACUUAUAAAUAGACUACGAGUUCCACAAAAUAUCUCCAUGAUGUGAAAUUUACUGUGUGAACUAAAAAAAACAUAAGGGUACAUAUUUUCUGGAACACAGUACUGAAAUUCCUAGGAACAUAAUAUCCGAGUAAACUUUGAGUCUCCAUAUAUCAACUACUUUUUCUAGCACAAAAGUAGUGAGUACAGAUUGUGCAGCAGUUGUGAAUUAUUACGGAGCUCAUUUAUGUAGUUUGGCUGCAACCUUCUACCAGUGUUUGAAAAGGCGCGAGGCGCAAAGAGGCGCAAGACUCUCCUAGAGCCUAGGCCCAAGGCGCAUUGCGAGGAGCGCACCUCAAGAAGGCGAGGCACAUAUUUACUAAGCCUAAUUUAAUUUAAUGUUCUACAUUAAAAAACCUCAAAAUAACCAUACGAAAAUAAGAUAACCAUCAAAAGUAAUGAAAACACAUGCAUAUAGGUUCUUAAAUUUUAUAUAUAUAUAUAUAUAUAUAUAUAUAUAUAUAUAUAUAUAAACCAACUUUCAACUUAAAAGUUAUAAGUGAUUGUGGUUGCUACUGCUGCUUGUUCUUGCUGUUGUUGCUCCUGUUUUUCCUGCCGUUGCAACAUGCAAACUGCUGCUGCUCUUGCUUUCUUGCUAGUUGCUACUGCUGCUACUGCUUGCUUGUUCAAUUGGUCCUGCUGACAGCGAUGGCCGAUGCUGCUGCUGGAUGCCCACGAAUAAAGAAAGGAUGUGGGAACAUGAGUGGGAGAGGAGAGGGCAGACGAAUGGGUUUCACUAGGGUUUUUUUUAGGAUCUUUUAACUAUCUUAUCGGGUUAAAAUAUAAAACUUAAAUUCGAAACCUGACAACCCAAAAAAAUUAAACCUAAACCGAUAUAAUAAUAAAUAUUGCGAGGUGCACGCCUUACACACUCCUCGCGCCUCGCCUGAGGCGCAUGCCUCAGGGCCUAAGCGCGCGCCUCAGCAAUAGUGCCUCGCCUCACUAUUGCUGAGGCGCUAAGGCCCGCGCCUCGAGCCUAGGCGCUGAGGCGCGCGCCUCAGGCACGCCUUUUCAAACACUGCCUUCCACUCAUUUGAUCGGUAAAGAGCGAACCACUUCGAGUUAAAUUUUAAUCAUAAGCUAUGUCAUUCUGGAAACCACGUAACAAUAGAAAUUUCAAAUUUUCUUAAACUUAUUCCUACACGACUACGCAAUUGGUUUCUCUUCCCUUCCUACGAACAUAUUGGUAAAAAUUUACUUCGAUUUCCAUCACUAUUAAGGCUAAAUUGCGAGAAAGAUACCGAGGAAAAAGAGAUACAAUUUUACCUGAAUACCAUCGGGCAAAUUCAUAGACGAAAGCAUUAAAACCGCAACUUGACUGAAAUUUAUCUCCAGCCUCCAGCGUUUUGGAGCAAUCUUUACAAACGGAAAAAAUAUAACAGAAUAGUUAAACUAUAGGAAAGAAGCGCAUAUACGGCGACAAUACAGAAUAGAAUAUGAUGUGCAUAUAAAUGUCUAAACAACAAAUCUUCUUUUCCGUCCUAUCAUUAUAUACACCGUAUUUAUGUCGACCAGCAUAGGAUCCCUAUACCAAAAUUUUACCUCGAUAACACGGCCAACAAUGAUAUCGCCAACCUCCGGUUUAUACCUGCGCAUAAUAUGCGAACUAUUGUUUAAAAUUUCUCAUCAUCACACACAAGCAAAUGAUCAAAGCCCAAUAACAUGAACCCAACUUUGGAAAAGCAAAUUGUUAAUGAGGGGUGUUUGGUUCUGCCGAAAAGAGAUUAGAAAACAGUUUCCGACUGAAAAAGAAAAAAAAAUUCGUGGAAACACUUAUUAGGGGGUUUUUGGUUUACACGACAAUAUUCGAGAAAAUAGUUUUUUAGCUAGAAUAGUAUUUUCCAUCCAUUUGACUUCUAGAAAAAUUAGUUUUAGUACUGUUUUCGUUUUUUGAAUUUUUUAUCAAAAAAAAGGGUGAAAAGAAGUGUUUUUUCAUAAAAGCUUUUUCUUUUAACUACAGAUCAUUUUGAUUUGGUUACUUAAUCUUUCAAUUUAUUUGAUUUGAGGCGGUCAACGACUUUUAACUUCAAAAUUUGAAUAAGCCGUUCACAUUUACAGAUUUAUUAGUUAGUAUACUUCGUGCAACUCUCGCAACUAUAGAUUCAUUAAAAUAAGUAAUUAGCUUAAAUUUAGAAAAAUUAGGUAGCUGAUUCGAAACGGUCCAUAGCUCAGGUAAGUGUUGUAGUUUUUACCAAAUUAUUUUUUCCCCCUUACCCUUUGUUCUCUCUUUCUCUCUCUCUCUCUCUAAAACCCCUCAAAGUGUUACCAAAAAACAAACAAAAAAAAAAGAAAACAUACCUAGCUUGUAGAGCAUGAACAUAAACGAGUUUGUUCACUCGCUCGACCACACCACACAACGUGGCCACCACUUCACCAUCACAAUCCAACGUCCCAUGCCCCCUAUCCAUUGAAAAAUUAAAAGAAAUUAAAAAGAAACAUUACAACAAAGAAAGAAAAGAAUGAAAAGGAGUGAAUCGUGAUUCUCACUUGAGGAUGUUAUCUUCGUGGUUUACGUGGAUGGGAUCGGCGACGGCGACGGCGACGGCGACGGCGACGGAAUAAAGGAGGGAGGAGGAGGAAGAUGGGAGGGAGUGGAGCUGCCGGAGGGCUGACUGCAGCCGCACCCGCUGCGUUUGGUUCAGCGACGGCUGCAAGUCUCUCAUCUUUCUUCACUCCCCCUUCAAAUUCUCGACGGCAGAAAUCACGAGGGAGCGGAAGUUGGACGGGGAGGAAGUUGAGCGGUAUACGAUCUACCUAAAUUUCUGUAAGAAAAAUCACAUCAAACUCAAAUUAGAAGCCUAAGAAAGAAAAUCCCUUAUAUUCUGCUAAAAAAAAACAUAAGAAAAAGAGAAAAAAAAAAUAAUGAAGAAGAUCAUGGAAGACGAAAAGCGAACCUGCUGAAAGCGCCGGUGCCGGAGUUCCAUCGAGAUAUGCGAACGGCAAAGAAUGCGCUGCCAGGAGCGUGCGAACGGCGGGGGACGGAAGAGCGCUGCCGAGGGGUCUUCGGGCGUAGAGAGAGAGAGAGAAAGAGAGAGGCGGGCGUGUGUGUGUAAUGUGUGCAAAAAAAAAAAAGGGAAAGAGGAAUUAGGGUUAGGAAGAAAAAGUGUAAAGUUGAUGCAAUAUUAUAGUUAGAUUUAAUUUAACUGUUAAAAUUUUAAAUACAAGUGGGCCUCUUUAUAAAUAUAAAUAAGUUGAGUUUUGGUUUUCAAGUAGGGCUAAAAAUUUAAAAAUAAUAAUCUAUAUUAUUUAUUUAUAUACAAAUAUAAUUGUAUAUUUAUAUAUAUAUAUAUAUAUAUAUAUAAAUUAUAUUAAUAUAAAAUAAAUGCAAUCGAGCUGUUAUUGAGCCGAACACAAGUGAACUGACCCUAAUUCAUGUUCUGCUUGUUUAUUAAACGAGCUGAAAAAUCCAACUCGAAUCGACUCGCUCGUUUAGUAAACGAGCCGAACACGAGCUUGCUCGCGAACGGCGAGCUGGAUUGCCAGCCCUAGUUGGAACCAGACAGUCGCCAAUUUUAGGGAUGUGGGCUUUUUUCAUACUCUCUCUGUCACGCCCCGUGCCCAUCCUAUUUGGUCGGAUUCGGGCAUACCAACAGACCGCCGAACGGACAGAGUUUUUCCUGUAUGUGCCAGGCAUCGCAAUCAAUAUAAUGUACGAGCUUCCAACCAGGAACAAUAUUUAACCAAAGAUUGCAUAAGGAAGUAUCAAAAACAUAAAACAACUAAGUUAUUACAAGAUUCAUCUUUAGGUGCAUUUUACAUCACAAUUACUAUUACAUUUUUCCAACUUCUGAAUACAAUCCAAGUUAUAAUAAUUUAUUACAAGUUUAAUCCAUUCAUCUUGUUCUUUUCAUUUUCCUCUACCCCUACUCUAUGCUGACUCGGGGUACUGCUAUCUCUGGUCUCUGGGUAGGGUACUAUCUACGGAGCUACGCCCUUACCUCGCGCCGCUCACGUGCGUACCUGUAACACCCCAAAACAACGUGGGGUAAUAACCAACUCCAUGGUUCCCAGUGGGUACGACCACCCAAGGGAAAAGCUCGACCAAUAGGUCCAAGGAGGCACCGCAACAUAUUAGUCCAACAGAUAUAUAUACGAAUAGGAAAAAACAUGCUAUGCCUCACAAAAUGCAAUAUGAACAUUAUGCAAAUCCCGUAACUCACGCAAGUAGAUUAAUUGAUUCUACUUCAUAUUGUUAGCCAUUCUUUACUCGUAGUCGUUCUCUACUUUAUUAGCUAAUCUUUAUUCUUAGCUAUUCUUUAUUCUUGACAUCCUUUAUUAUUAGCCAUUCUUUACUUUAUUAGCUAUUCUUAAUCAUUAGUCGUUCUUUACUUUAUCCCCUUGUCACACAACGCUCAUUGGCGAUUCUUCCUAAGGUUACCUUUACUUUAGCCAUCUAUGCCACUCGACUCGGUCUUGAGUCAAUCCACUGCGGAUAAUCCGCGCUCUGUCGGCUCGAGGUGAAGGAACUCUCGCAUGCAUCUCAACCUACCACAACCUACCGCACUCUAUGACUGAGCCACCCGGCGGCGAAAUUGUCCCACAUACGCCACGACAAUGGCUCAAGUCAAGCGGCGGUGUAAUCCACAAACCGGCAUAACUAUCCGGCGACGAAAUCGUCGCACACGCCACGUCAAAGGUUAGCCCUGGGCGGCGAAAUCGCCGCACACGCCCCACACCACUCUCGGUGUGAUCCAAAGCUCUGGGAUUCCGGAAUCCAUUUCACGUAACUUAAGGGUUGGUCUUAACCCUAUAGUGUCGACCUAUCUAGGUCCAAUGUUCUUUCUACCCUAGGUUCACUUGACUCUAGGCUUGAUGCUUUAUCACAUAACCUAAGUUUAUUUUUUAACUCUAGGUUUAUUCCACAACCUAUGUUCCACUACAAAAAUUUAGGUCUUUUGCGACCAACACUAUUUGUCGCUACAGAAUGAAAUUUUGUCGCUAUUGCUAUUUAGCGACAAAAAUAGCUUCGUCGCUGCUUCGUCGCUACCGCCCCGUCGCUAAAACUAUUUAGCGACGAAGUAAAACAGUUGGUUGCUAUUGGCUGUUACAUUUAGCGACAAACAAAAAUUUGUCACUGUAAAUGCACUAAUAGCGACACAAUAAUUGGUCGCUAGUGACCCCGUAAUUUGUUGCUAAACAUACAUCUAGAUAAUAUUUUUCGUUGCUAAAUAUAACCUAAUUGCAACAACAUCUAAUCGUCGCUAAAAGUCAUUUUUUUUAAUAAUUUUAUUUUAUUAUUUUAUGAUAGUAUAGCGACGAGACUAAUUUGUCGCAAAUUUUAUAACAAGCAAUUAAUUAAACAAAUAUUUUGCGACCAAUAAUAUGGUCGCAAAUUAAUCUAUCAAUAUACUAGCAAUCAUAUAUUAGCGACGAACGGUUUGGUCACAGUUUCAACAUUCAAUCUAUUAGCAAUAUCCAUCCACUAUUUAUAUGACAAUUUUUUACAUUUCACAAUUCAAAUUACCACCAAGCAUCAUACAUAAAUUAACAAACAAACCAAAAUAUAUUUCUAAUUCGAAGUAUCUUUAAAAUCCAAACAAACAAAAUAUAUCCAACUAAGAAUCUUUCCAGAAUAGUUAAAGUAUUCAAAUCUCGUUUAAUCAUUCUAAUACAUGGUCACUAAUAUCUAUUACUAUAUAUAAAAGUAGAACCCUUAAUGAACCCUACGUGAGAAGCUGACACGUGGCUUUAUAUAUGCUUGCCACGUGUCAAUCUCAAAUAUGGAUAUUUAAAUUAUUACUUAAUUAAUUGCGAAUUAUUAUUUAAAAUCUAAAUUUUGUAUAAAUUUCGUAUUGUCAAUUAAAAUUAAGCUGACACGUGGCUUUCUAUAUGCUUGUCACGUGUCAAUCUCAAAUAUGGAUAUUUAAAUUAUUACUUAAUUAAUUGCGAAUUAUUAUUUAAAAUAUGUCAAUCUCAAAUAUGGAUAUUUAAAUUAUUACUUAAUUAAUUGCGAAUUAUUAUUUAAAAUCUAAAUUUCGUAUUGGCAGAUAACGAUCAAACUCAAAUUUCGUAAAUUUCGUAUUGGCACGCAAUAAUCUGUUGCGAAUUAUUAUUUAAAAUUCUAUUGCGAAUUAUUAUUUAAAAUUAUUAGUUCAAAUUUCGUAUUGGCAGAAUAAUUAAUUAUUAAUAUUAUUUGGUGUGGCCGAAAAUCUAUCGUGAAAAUUAUAUUGAAAAUGAGUUGGCUUAGCGAAAAAAAGGUCAAAACUCAAAUUUUCCGUAUUUGCGGGAUAAUAAUUAUUUAAAAUUUAUUGGUGAUCUUGCGUGCGGGCGCGUGCGCUGGUGUGGUGAAAAAUCGAUAUCGGUGCGAAUUAUUUGAAUAUGGGGCCGGUGAACGAUUAGUUGUUUGUAAGCUAUGAUAGGAUGGAAAAAAGCUCAAAUUUCGGAUCAACUCAAAUUUCGUCAUGUUACGUCGCUUCAAAUUUUCUCGUUAACUCAAAUUUCGAAAUUCGCAAACAAAAUUUGACGUUUCUGAAUUUCUCAUAAAAGAAUCAACACAAUCCAAUUGCUCAAUAGUGGAUUUACGUAUCCUUCAUGUUAAGCAAUAUUCAUGACUUUGCAAUACCUACAAGAAAAAUGCGAUUUCUUGCUCCUACUCUUGAAAUUGUGGAUGCUUGUAAUGAAUACAUGCUUUCAUGUCUUUCAUGCGCCUGAAGAAAAAAUUAUUUGAGCUCUGACAGUGUUUGUAAGACAGAUGUGGCCUUAGAUGGUCCUGAAGAUGUAUGUACACCUGUAUUUCUUAAACAGUAUUAAAUAUUUUCAGGACGUUCUAAAUCCACAUGUAUCAAAUGAAGCAAGCUUGCUCGUGAUGUUAUUUGCAGAAACAUAGACAGUCUUUAGUUUAUGAAUGGAACCAGUAUUACAUGAUCAUCAAUUGGGAAAAUCAUAUACUAGAAGUCAAUAAGCUUAUCUUCUGGGCAGCAAUUGCAGGCGAGAAGGUGAUUUAUACCCCGUAUAAAAUGUGAUACCUAAUCAGACUCCAAGUACCUUUUAAUAUCAAUCGAACGAGCAAUUUUCGUUGCUGUGUUUUUUGCUCCGUAUGAAAUAAACAAGAGUCAAGGAAUCGAAUCUUUAUCACAUGUUCGGGUUAUAUCUUCCGCCGUAGACGAUACUGGUCAGUUGAUGUCAGUUAUAUGGUUGGAAUAUCAAUAGAUUUCGAAACCGUUAAGGCACGGACUUGAAUAUGCUAAUUUUUGGAGUAAAGUAUAGUUUGUUAUCCAAAACCACAAGUAUGUUUUUAUAAGAAGUGUUUCAAAAUAUUUAAAAUACGAGUGACGUCUAUUUCUUUCUUCAUGUUAUUUCAAAGAUUUACAAUUUUUCAACAAAUUCAAUUCUGUCAGUUUUAUUUUUUUAAUAAAGUUUCAGAUAUGUUUUCUGAAAAUAAACUAUUAAUAUUUUUAUGCAUAUUAGCAUCUUUACCUGUAUCUAACAACUCUCUUCAUCCUAUAUUGUUAUUGGAGCACGUACUUUCUAUUUCACUGCAAACAACAGUUUUUUAUUCUUCCUUAAUUUUCUAGUCCCUGCCGUCCUAAUACCAACAUCCUAGUAUUGUUGAUCUUGAAAAUUGUUUGUCUCUCAAUACGUAGUGCUUACUCUAAUCUGUUGUCAAAUAUGAAAGUUUAUGAGUUGAUUUCUAUAUAUCUUAAAUACAUUAAGUCAUUUGUAACUUUUGAAUCCAGCAUUUUAUUAUCAUUUGUUUUGCACAUCAAUUUAUAAUCUAUAAAUUAUUUUUGCAGAUUGAAUUAGAUUAGUAGAAACAGGUUAAAUAUUAUUUAUGGUAUUUAUUGGUCUAUAAUUUUUAUCUUCUAGCGUUAUUGUAUUGAAUUAUGUAUAAAUUAAGAUCAAUAGUAUAUUUCUUUAUUAUUUAAAAAACUAUAAUAUUAAUAUAGAAUAAUUUUCAUAUCACAUAAUACUCUAGUUAUUUAUAUACUUACUACCUCAUACUAAUUCUCUUCUUAUUNNNNNNNNNNNNNNNNNNNNNNNNNNNNNNNNNNNNNNNNNNNNNNNNNNNNNNNNNNNNNNNNNNNNNNNNNNNNNNNNNNNNNNNNNNNNNNNNNNNNUAACAUGCACAUACAAUUCACAUAUCAUUCAAGUCUAAUGCCGCUCUAUGGCAUUACUUUGCUAGGCUCAUUCAUAGCUCAAGCCCGAUGUCGCAUUACGACAUUAGCUCCCUAAUUCACAAGUUAAUCAAGUCCAAAGCCACUUUAUGGCCUAAAGUAUUCUCCUAUGUCCAAAUGAGAUUUAUGUCCAAGGCAUAUUACAUUUGUCAUGUCUACUAUAUGGAGCAUGACUCCAAGUCCCAAUUAGAAUGCUAAACCCAUGCAUAAGUCUCACUUGCAAGCUCUCUACUACAUAGAGGUCCGAAAAUGCAUUGUAUAUAACAUAAGCAUUUCAAGCAUUCUAAAAUUCACUAAUAAUGCAUCUAUCAUGAAAAUGCGUGAUUUUCUAUUUUGCGAUAAUUAAAUCCACAUAAAUGAGAUUUUCUCAUUUGUAGCGCGGUCAAACCCACCGAGAACUCCACGCGACCCUUCGUGCCCCCGACUCUCUUAGCUCCAAGACUUUAGGUGAUGUCACGAUGCUACGAUUCCGGUUUCGUGAUUUUUGGAAGCUUACGGCGCGAGCUGCGGCAAUCUGUACCGAAAUCGGCCUUUCCUUCAAUAUCUUCGCGUAGCCUCGUCGUAUCGCCGAACCGACUUCGCCAGCGUGUCAGAAAACCUAGCAAUUAGGUUUAUACAGGCUCAAUUUAGAUCGAACCCUCACAUAAUGCAAAAUCCCAUUUUUGAGCCCUAACAUGCAAUUACCUCCAAAUAAUCAAAAUUAAAUGGAGCAACAUGCUAAGAAUGCUCAUUAGAGGCUACUAGAACACCUAAGGUUAAGGAUUAAGCAAAAUCCCAAAAGUUUACCAAAAAGUGAACACCGAGACGGAAGAACGCCGCUCCAACGAGCACACGAAAGCUCGAUCCGUCGCUCCCAACGCGUUCGCAAGCUCGUUCUCCGCCAACGCCGUGAAUUUGGGCGAAAGAUAUAGAGAGAUGAGAGAGAUAUUUAGAGAGAGAAAAGGGAGGGUUUCUCUCACUACACCAUGAACGUGUGGUGUGGGGGUGGUGGUGAUGGCUGUGAAGAAGAAGAAGAAGCCUAGAAGCUUCUACUUAUAGUCAACACCCCAAUAGUAGCAUACACUAUUCACUUCAGGCAGUUCGAAAUCUGAUAUCUUUCGCCGGAGCCCUCUGAAAAUCCGAUUCAGUUCAAAUUUGAUAGUUAUGUUCGGUUUUGCUUAACUUGACGAGAAAAAUUUUAAUCUUUCAGUUUCGACCCCGUUUGGUCACCGAAAGCUGUACCGAACUGUAAUCUUUAUCAGAUAACUAUCGGAUUUUACUUUCCACCUUCUGGGUGUCAGAAUGAUAUGAAAUUUUAAAUCUAGCCUCAUAAAAAUAAUUCUGACUUAUCCUCCAGUUUUCAGAAUUUUCUGACACUGUGUAUUUUCUGUUAAAAUAACAGCCUCGAUUCACACAGAAAAUUCAAAAUCUUCUGUUCUCGCUCCGAUUUCCGCACGAGCCGUUCCCGACUUAUAUUUUACUUCUAUAAGUCCAAUAAAAAUAGUAUCUCACACUAUUUUUAUUUAUACCCUUAUUUUAAAAUCCGGUAUGCUACAUUGGGGCCUUGGACGAUCAGUCCAGAGGUUAUACUAAGCCUUAACCUGCUGCCAACAGCAGCCACGGCGAAGCGAAACGCAAACGGAUCCCUAAUGGCCCAUGAAAUCACAUUAUUUUAUGUGAUUUCAUGGCUUUAACGGGUCGUACCAGCAAACCAGGGGUCUGUCGAGGUUACCAUCGCACUUGCUGCAAGGUUUCAGCAUGCCUUAGGCCGUGCUCACCUUUCGGAGCACUGCCGGCAACAACCACGCGCGCACGAGCAACGCGAACCUCAGCGAAUCAGUGCGCACACUGUGGAAAGCAUCCUAUUCUCACUAACCAGGGCACCGUUAACCUAAAUGGAGGUGAGCGUCGUGUUCCGCACGAGCCCACGAUCACCGUGCUCACCUCCCGAGGUGCCAGGGAGUCAUCGGAUCACCGGAAAGGUGACCGGAACGCAAAACAGCAGUGCUGGAACCAAAGUAAACUACUCACCGGAGCUGUGGGAGCUAGGGAUGGCCGCCGGCGAUCGGAAGGCGGGCACUCCGGCCGGUGAUGGGAGCAGCAGGUCGGGGAGGUCCGGGGGAGGUGCUGGCCGGCGACGGGCAGCAGCCGGUGGCGCGGCGGCGGAGAUCGGGCCCGCCGACUUCCUCUCGGGUUGGAGCUUGCCGGCGGCGAGGCGGCGACCGGGGGAGGUCGGGGCGGCAAUGAUCCGGUGCCGGAGACCGAGGAGGAGGUGGUGCCCACCUCCGGGGGCAACGGCGGCGCUCGGGAGUGGCGCGGCUCCAAGGUAGGCCCGCACAGGACCCGAGCGGCGGCGGGAGGCCUUGGCGGCGGCCGGCGAGGCGCGGGGACGGUCGGGGACGCACGCGCCGGGUUGCAGGAGAUCGCCGGGGUCGACAGGGGGGCUUGGCCGCAGGGGAAAUGCGAUCCCAAGGCCCGCUACCUGAGCUCGGCCUGGCUCGGGUCUGGGCAGACCCGGCUGGCUGCAGCUUCUUCCGGCGGCUCCGGCGUCGCUCGGGGGUGGCCGGGGCCGGCGGGAGAGGGCGCCUGAGGAGGUUCUCGACCAGGGAAAGGUGAUGCUCGGGCUAACAGGGUUCUCCAAGCACCAAACUUAAGCCGGUGGUGAGGUGGUCCAAGAGAGGAAGGGAAAGUUGGCUGCAGGCUGUUUCCGGCGGCCGGGCUGCUCGACGGCGGCCGGAACGCGAGCACUGGCGGGGCAGGGAGGUGCUGGGAUGACAGGGGCGGCUGGGGGUUCUAGGGUUAGGGUUAGGUCCAAAAAAAAACCCUAGAUCCACCUAUAUAUAGGUAUGGAAAACAUGCGGAAAACCCCCUCGAAAGGAGUCGAAUUAAUCCCAGCUCUCAACCAGCAGUCGCAUAACGCACGAUAGUCCCUCUAAGUUCGAAAACUCGCAAUUCGACGCAUAAAAUAUAGGGUCUUUUCGCGAAUAAUCCGAUUACUCAAAUCAGCCCCUUCGCGGACUUUUCGCGAUUCCCGAAGAUCCGUCCGUCGGAUUUCCGAUCGGAUCGCACCAGCGCGAUCAGCACGACGGAGGCAUCGAAUCUAGCACCUCGUUUCACCCGAAAAGAUUUCCGAUUUGCGACAAAACCAUCCCUCCAAGGUUCCACCAAAAACCACACAUAGACAACUAUAUGCAAAAACCAUUAAACCCCUUUUUCUCGAAAUCCGUGCAUCCAAAUCCAAUUCCGUCAGUGCCUUUGGGUCCAGGAUAGUCGAGCGGUUGAAAACGAGCUAUUGGAAGGCUAUAUUCGGAGUCCGAUACGCGUCGAAAGUCCACUUUACUCCGCGGCCUCUCCGGAAAAUCGGAGUUACUAUUCACUUAAGUCAGACUUCCGGGUCGCGUAACUUCUCCGUUUUAACUCGUUUUCUCCUGAAAUUUGACGAGUACACUUAUAAUUAUAUUACACACAAGAACAUCGUCAAACAAAAGGGUUUACUCAAUAAAUCAAAAAUCUCAGUUAUUACAAAAAUAAAUUUAAAUAUUAAAGUUAAGACCAAAUAUAAACUCUUAGCUAAGCUCUCCACUUUCGGUGACUUCCGAAUUUUUUGAGCCAAAGUAAAAAAAGUGAGAUUUAAUUAUAACUCACUUUAUCAGCCCACUUUCGUAAAUUAACUUUUAUAUUCACUUUCGUAAACCAAACAACUGAUAAGAUGUUACUUUCUAAAAGUAUCACUUUCGAUACUAUACUUUCGGCGAACCAAACAUGCCCUAAGAGUAAUUGAAAAUUAAGUUCCAAAUUAAUCAAAAAUCAUAUACAAGCUAGCAAUUAAGAAGCUAACCUUUUCAAGUUCGAAGCUAAGCCUACUUCUGAGCUAGGAUUGAAAUUAUAUCCUCAGAAUAUCUCCUUCUUCACUUCCACCACUCCUCCAAGAAUCUCAAAACCAGCACCAUAGAGAGGAUAGAAGGAAAGAGCUCAAUUCCAUCAAUUCCCACCAAAAUUGGAAAAAAGCCUAGAGAGAGAAAGAGAAGAACUCACCCUGUGUGUUCCUUGCUUCCAGCAUGAGAAGAACACCAGCUGAUGCAGUACUGGUAUUCAGCCCCAGUACCGGUACUCACCGAGUCAGUACCGGUACUCAACACCUAACCUCUCAACCCGAGAGCUACCCAUUCUGGCAACUCUCUUGGAUACCGGUACCCCACUCAGGUACCGAUACUCAACACUCAAAACUUGCAGUUUGCCAAUUUUAGUGUCGGUAAUCCGUUCUCACACUCAUAAAGCUUCAGUUAGGUGUCAGUACACUAUCAGCAACCCUCAAAUUAACUAGAAUAGUUAAUUUCAUAUACUAUUCUCAUACUAGAACAUUACAAUUUGUUAAAGUUCAGUGUAUUACACAAAGGGUUAAAUCUAACGGCGAAAAACUUGAUAGCACCAAUUGUAAACGUUUGGUGCUAUCGAUAGUAUUCCAGCCGGACUCUAUAUAUAUAUAUAUAGAGAGAGAGAGAGAGAGAGAGAGAGAGAGAGAGAGAGAGAGAGAGAGAGAGAGAGAGAGGGCCCAAUCAGUCGAAUUCGAACCAAUGUUAAUUGUAGUGGCUGACGGCUGUUGUGGCAUUAGAAUGUAGGAGUAGCUGUGAAAUUGAAAGAUCAGCAAAGUACAAGUGAAUCCAUCCAAAUCAGCAGCUAUUUAAAAAGCUAAAUCAAGAUGAGCUCACAAAUUCGAUCUUCAUAAUCACAAAAUUUUACUCGGAUAGAUUCAACUUUAAGGCCCUGUUUGGAUGUAUAAUUAAAAAAUUCCAUAAAAUUUUUAUUCUACAGUUUUAAUCAAAAUAAAAUACAGUAUUUUAUGACUAAAAAAAAUUUCACAACAUCAUUUCUAAGCUGUUUUGAUACAUAUUGUACAAUUUCACAGAAUUUAUAACAAUUAAAUUUCUAAAAUUUAAAAAUUUAAAUUUCAAAAUUCAAAAUUUAAAAAUAAAUAAAAUUCAAAACUCAAAACUCAAAAUUUUAAAAUAAAAUUUUAAAUUUUAAAAACUAAAUUUCAAAAUUUGAAAAAUUUUUAUUUAAUUUUAUAUUUGAAAUUAUAAAUUUAAAAUUCAAAAUUUAAAAUUUGAAAUUUCAUUCAAAUAUAAAAUUUUAAAUUUUAAAUUUGAGAUUAAAUUUUAAAUAUUGAAAUUUGAAACUUAAAAUUAAAUUUUAAAAAUGAAAAUUUAAAUUUAAAAUUUUCAUUGAAAUUUAAAAUUAGAAGUUCUAUUUUUAAAUUAUAAUUUUAAAAUUAAAAGUUAAAAUUUGAAAUUUGAAAAUUAAAAAUUGAAAAUUGAAUUAUUAAAUUUGAAAUUGGAAAAUUAAAAUUUUAAAUUUUAAAUUUUAAAUUUUAAAUUUUAAAUUUUAAAUUUUAAAUUUUAAGUUUUGAGUUGUAAAUUUUAAAUUUUAAAUUUUUAAAUUUUUAAUUUUUAAUUUUUAAUUUUUAAUUUUUAAUUUGAAUUUUAAUUUUUAAAUUUGAACUUAGAAGUUUGACACUUGAAAUUUGAAAUUUGAAAUUAGAAAUCUGAAAUCUAAAAUCUGGAAUCUAAAAUUUUAAAUUUUAAACUUAAAUUUAAAUUUUAAAUUUUAAAAUGUACAAUUUAUAUUUUAAAUUUUAAAUUUAAAUUUUAAAUUUUAAAUUUUUAAAUUUUAAAAUGUAUAAUUUAAACUUUAAAUUUUGAAAUUUAAAUCGAAAAUCUAUAUUCAAAUUUUAAAAUUUUAAAUUUAAAAAUUAUUUGUUUAAAAAUUAAAAAUUCACAAAUUUAAAAAAUUUACAAAUUUAAAAUUUUAAAUUAAUUUUUUAAAUUUAACAUCUUAUAUUAAAAUUUAAAUUUGACGCAAGGAGGAGGAGAUGGGGAUCAAACUCAAGAAUGGUGGGAUCAAGCUCAAGAAUGGUGAUUUUUUUUUUUCGUUGGGUUGGAGUGGAUUAUCAUUUUACUCCAAUUUUUAGGUCAUAGUAUAACGAUGCUCUAAAAACUUGGUGCUCUUUUAAGCCUCCCAAACACCUCAUAGGAUAAAUUUUUUAUAGGUAUAGUUUAGUUUAACUAUACUACAUUUUAUAUAGUAUCAAAAUAGGAUUUUAAUAUAUAAGUGCAGUGACCCGCGCAAUACGGUGGGUAGAUAAUAGAAACAAAAUUUUAAAUUUUUUUUGAGGUAAAAAAUAAUAGUGAAAAUCAAAAUUUGAAAUGUACAUUGGUAAUGUAAUAAAAUAGAGUAGCGAGUAAGCAUAUUUUACCAUCGAGAAAAGCUUAUCGCAAAAGAUGUCGGAACAAAAGCGAAUGCAAAUGUUAUUACAUACGAAUGGAGAUGAAAGUGAAUGAACAAUCAUUGAAGGAUCUUUUAUAUAGCAGAGAAAACGGCGAGUAGGAAAUAGAAAACGACGAUGCAGCAUUCUCCCUUUUUUUUUCCUCCUCCCAAACAUGUUCCUGUACUACCCCUUCCCUCUCCUUCUCACUCACCUUCUGCCGCUCCAUCUUUUCCUUCUCACUCACCUUCCGCCUCUCCAUCUUCUCCCGGCAUUUCAAUAACCUACCAAUUUUCUCCUUCGUUUCGGUGACUUGAAUCCCAUACAAAAAAACAACAACGAAGGAAGAGGGCACAUCGUAUUCCACUACUUAAUUAGAAACAAAAAUUACAUGCACUCAUUCUACUCUUCCUUGGCCUUAACCGAAUCAUCUAUUUAUAGACUCUAGGAUACAUUGAAUAUGGCCACUAAUCAACCAUAUUUACUCACCCACUAAACCCACUAAUGCAAAAAAAAAAAAAAAAAAAAAAAAAACCCUUAUAAUUGCUGAUUGAAUCCUAAGGGUUGCCUUAUGUCCUUUAGAUUUUCGCUGGUAGUUCCAGAGCCUUUAUGUACAACAGUUACGUCUUUUAAAUUUUCGCUGAUAGUUUUGGAGUCUUUAUGUACAACAGUUAUAUGGCCCUUUGUCUCCCAUGGCUGAAGAAGAUAAAGAGAAUCUCGGUUGAAGAACAAUUUGGAAUUUAGGUUAAACAAAAGGACAAGGUUCAAAUAGGCCGGUUAGGUUCAAAUAAGAAAAAAAGAAAAAAGGCAACAGUUGAGCCGAUUCGGUUCAAAUAAAGAGAGAAAAACCAAAUUCAAACAGAGUAUAUAACAAAGUAGAUUAGUUCGAUUCGAAGAAAGAAUAGAAAGAAUAGGUGGGCCAAUUCAGUGAAAAAUUAUGUUCAACACAGAUAGGAAUGCAAAUAGAUCCGAGAUGGUGGAGCUCCCACCUCGAUCCGCUCGAAUGGAGCAGUAAACAAAAAAAUAAAAUAAAAUAAACGGAUUCGGGGCAAAACAAGGGGGUGAUUUUUAUGAUCCGAGAGGUAGGAAAUGGAAAAAAUUUUGACCUGCUCCAAAUCUGUCCUUCCAUGAUUCCCCGAACCCGCCCCAAAUCCGUCCCCAAAAUUGUUCACAUUUUAAGGAAAUACCCCUAAAAAAUAAUAUAUUCACAUAAAAGUUCAAAAUAAGAAUAAGUUAGAUAUUCUCAUUUCUCAUGUAUUUGAAACUUUUGAAUUUUAUUUCGAAUUGUGAUUGAUAUUUUAAAUUUUUAUAAUUGGUGUUAUUAAUUAUAUAUACAACUUGGUAAUAUUAUUCACUAUUAUUAAAAAUUUAUUAAUUUAUAUUCUAUAAAAUAUUAAUAAUAUUAUAAUUUGUAAAAAAAAGUAAUAGUUGGCGGAAUGGAUUCGGGGCGUAGGCGGGAGGUGGGCUAUGAGGAGGGGCGAAUUAUGGGAUAUAUUUUUUAACCCGUCGCAGAUUCGGGGCGGGAGGCCAGGCAGAAUUUUGGUAGUCGAGAUCAGAGGCAAGGCAGAACUCCCGCUUCUAGAUCUGUUCCGUUUGCAUCCCUAAACACAAAGUAUAUAACAAAAUAAGCCGAUUCUGUUCAAAGAAAGAAUUGGAAGAAGAGGCGGUUCUAAGAAAGAAUAGGCCAAUAUGGUUCAAAAAAAAAAUAAAAAGAAGUACGCCGGUUCAGUAAAGAACCGGAUUCAACACAAAGUAUAUUACAAACUAGGCCAGUUCGGUUCAAAAAAAGAAUAGGAAGAAGAUGCAGUCAAAGAAAGAAUAGGAAGAAAAGGUGGGCCGGUUUAGUGAAGAAUCAAAUUCAAUACAGUGUAUAUAACAAAAUACACGAUUCGGUUUAAAGAAAGAAUAGAAAAAAGAAGUGGGCUAAUUCAGUGGGUUCGGUUCAAAGCAACAUUACUUAAAGAUGAAACCUACAAUCCACAUAAGGAAAUAAUGUCAUGUGACAAAUUAUUGGAGUUUAAUAUAGAGGUAUAGAUGCCGUCAUCCUGGGAUGCCUUAUUCUCUGUACCUUUUUUUGGACUGAGAAAUAGCAACAAAAAUAGCAGAAUAAUUCAGUAAAAUUACUUGCUUAUCACUUACAAAUAACUCGACUUAAUUGCCAAAUAUAUUUAUUGUUCACUGAUAAAGUACAAAAAUUCAUUUGCAGUGCUACCCAAUUUGCAACAAAUGCAGUGACUUAUAAAUAACAAGCAAUAACAACAAUAAACAACACUUACCACCUAUAGACACUUUGGUACAAACAGCAUCCUGAAGAUGUUCUGUCACUAGAAAUAAAAACUCACCCAUUCAUUAGAUAGCUAACAAGCAUAUAGCACAUCUCCACCCUCCCCUCAUUUCUAGCACCUUUCUCUCUUCUCUUUCUUAACAGUUAAUUCCACAUUGCUGGACAUCAGGCCCGGUCACACGGGUGGUGAAGGGGUCGAUGCGAACCCACAGAAGGGAAAAGAUUGAAGCAAGAAGGAUGGACCAGACGACAACAAUUGUUGGAGUUCGGUUCUGCCGGCCCAUCAAACCCUUAAGGAAGGGGUAGAGAUGGACAAUCACCCAGAAGGCGAAAAAGAGCUUCCCAAAGAGAGGACCCCACGACUGGUACCCGCUGUUGAUGGCGUACGAGAUUCCAGCCACCACACCAACUAGGUUAAUUAUGAGCAGAGUAGUCGGAGGAAUGAGAAGGGUGGUCCACUUGAACAUGUAGAGCUCGGCAAAGUCGCCAUCCUCAUCUGAGGCUUUUGAGGUGACAGUGAAAUUGGUGUCAAUACCAGCAAGCACCUUGAGGAGACCUUGGAAGACAGCAAAGAGGUGGGCGGAGACGCCACCGAUGACCCAGAACUGCUCGUUCCUCCACCACUCGUCUAUCCCAACACCACUCCACCUCAUCUCCAGUAUGCCAGUAGCAAAGAUGGAAAGGAAGAGAGAAAUGAACCAAAUACUCGCGAUGUUGCUAAUCUGUGCAUCCCAGAUGGAAAAAAAGAUAAAUUAGUUGUUUAAAAGACUGGAUUUUGCAAAUUCCAAUUUUGCAUGUUAUUGUGUGGAUCAAAGUUCGUAGUGAGCUCCUCUUAAAUGCUCAUUUGAGGAGGGCUUGAAUGCCCAUUCAUCACACAUAACAAAAUGAGGGCUUGGAUGCUGUUCAUCAUGGAUAAAACCUCAGUGGGGAGCUCCCCAACGAUGCCUCGUUGGCAAGCCUGUAAUCCGCUACCACGUGUCAGUUUUGCCUCCAUCCAUGAAUUCGUUCGGUGUUUUUUAAUACUAAAACCUAAAAACCCAAAUUUAAACCUUAGAAGGAUUAUGACCUUUGGAUGGAUUAUGACCUUUGGAUAGAAGCAAAACUGACACUUGGCAGCAAAUCGGGGGCUCCUCAACGAGGCUUUAUUAGAAAAUUCCCCAAUAAAGUUUUGUCUAUUCAUCGUAAGCAAUGAUUUCAAUCCAACUGUCCAACUAACUUUUGCAAAGAUUAUUUUUUACAUAAAAUUUUGUAAAAUUUACUUCACAAUGAGAUUUUAAGAUAGGCACAUGCAAACGUGACUAGGGAUGCCAACGGAUAUGGGAGUCCGGCUCACAUGAAGCGGCCACCAACAAAUUUUAAUUGGAAGGCCCAACAAUACUGUGCCACGUGUAUUUAGUAAAUGGAAGUUUAAUGGGGCGCCUAACUACCCUAUAAUCUAUUAAAUAGAAAAAUGAAAAAUAAGAAUAGGAGAUAAUCAUGGAAUGUUAUUCCAUAUCUAGAUUGGUGAAAAAUUGUAUGCAGAGCCCCUCAACAAUAGGGCAUGUUAAAAAUAAAUCCCUUUACUUUUACUUUUCUUACUGAUAUUUUUUUUACUUCUAAUUUUUUAUUCAGUUUUUAAAUUUGAAUUAUUCUAAUUAGUGUUGUUAAAGGUUUAUUAAAUUUAAUGUUUUAUCAUUUAUUAGUAGUUAAUUGUUAUUGCUUUAUUAAAAAAAUUUUAAAUUUGAUGAAAAUAACUGAUAAAAUUUGAUAAAAUUUUUGGGGUUUAUCAUUCUUAUUUUCUAAUUAUUAAAAACCAAAAAGAGGUUGACUAAACCCUAGGGACCUUAGGAUAAAGGGUUGUAAUCUUACAACCACCCUUUAGUUGUAAACAGCAUCUCUCAAAAGAAAAAGUUUAGUUGAGGAAUUUAUGUCAAAAUACCCUAUAAUUGAGGAAAAAGUCUAGAAUGCACCAGUUAUAUUGCUGAUGUGGCGUCCCCAACCAAUUAGAUUGCUCCCUUUGGAUUAACUCGUCCCAUCAUGGUAAUUAGAAAAAUAUUUUUGUUGUACUUUUCUCACAAAAAGAGAAAUGUGAUUGACUAGUUAUUGAUGAUGUGAUAUAAGUGUGACACAGUAAACUUCCUCAUAAUUGAGAGGGGUUUCCAUACAAUUUACCUAGCCCAUAUGGAAAGAGGAGAUGCAACAAAACCGUUACUAUCUCCUCUUUUCAGGGGAUUAUAGCGGGCUAGAUGCUCCAUUAAAUUUCCAUUUGCUAAAUGCACGUGGCACAGUUUUAUUGGGCCUUCAAACUAAAAUUGUUUUAAUUGGGCCCCCAUGUGAGUUGAGUUCUGGAUAUGGUUAUCUGACAUUUUACCUGAACCCAAACCCAGUUUAAACGGUUUUAACCGAAGCAAGAUGGGCAUGGUUUCGAUUAUGGGGAUAAAAAUCCAAAACCUGAUGAUUUCAGUUUCGGUUAUGGUUUUUCCUUGUACACAAGCCCAACCUAAACCGAAACCAAACCUUAAACCCUUAAACCUGAAACCAAACCCGUAUAAUGUUCACCUAGAAUUAUAUUGAUGGUAAAUAAAUAGUGUUUACUAUCAACUUUUUAUCCUUUAGAUCGAUAAUAGCACCACCACAGAAUAGUAAACCCUAUGCAUCCAAUGAUAAAAAAGUAAAUGGUAAUCACUAUUCCUCUAUUAUCAAUAGUAUUCUAGUCUCUCUCUAAAUUUUUUUAGAUAUUUAUUUAUUUAUUUUAAUAGCUAAUAAUAUUAAUGAUUUAAUUUAAUAUUUAGUAUAUUAAAUAAUUUGGUUCGGUUUUCCGGUUUCGGGCAAGGGUUUUUCAAUUUCUUUUUAGCUAGGUAGUUUUGGUUUUGAAUUUUUACAACCGGUCGAGUUCAGGUACGGUUUCAGAUUUUGGUUUUGUUACUCGGGCUCAUUUUGGGUUCUGCAAAAGCCGCCCCGAAACCAAGCUGUUGACAUCCCCAGAUGUGGCAGGAUAUGGAGCCCUCAUAUGAUCCUUUUGUUAAGGUAGCUAACAAGGUAAUUUACCACUUAUCAAGUAUAUUAGAAAAUUACAUCAUUGUAGAAUCUAACUCAUGCAAAAAGUAUUACUAGUUUCCAAUCAUAUUAUGUAUAAAGAUAUAAAAUUUAACUUACCUGUGGAAUAAUGAACUUUCCAGUAAGUAGACAGACCGCAGGAAGUGUACAGUAUACGAGGAGAGGAACUGCGGUAAGCGGGUAAAUGGUGGUGUUGAUGUAUGCAAAUCUCUCAAGGAACUUGAGCCGUCCACCAUAUCCAUACCAUAUAGGGCAAUGCCUACUAAAAAGAAUCUCAACAGAUCCAAGAGCCCAUCGAAGCACUUGGUUCAGACGAUCUGAGAGGUUAAUGGGAGCAGAUCCUUUAAAUGCAGGCCGCUUAGGCAUGCAGUAGAUCGAACGCCAGCCUCGAGCAUGCAUCUUAAACCCAGUAAGAAUAUCUUCUGUUACAGAACCGUAAAUCCAGCCAAUCUGCAUGUAUUUGCUAAGGUUAGAUCAAGGUAUGUAAUUGAAAAAAAUGCAUUCGGAUUGAGGAGGAAUAAAGCAAAAAACCAAAACUCAGAAGUCAGAAAUCAAAGACUGAAAAAUCUGUAAUACAAUUGUGAUAUUAAUAGAACAGAGUAUGACAAUUAAACCAGUUAAUGAAGUGAGCAGAAGCAUAGUUUGGUCAGAACUAAAGUAAUAUGUUUUCAGAGAACACAAAUUAUCAUGCCAUUUUACAUUUGAUGCCGCCAAUUACAGUGAGUACUGUUUGCACUAGUGAUUGGUCCCUCAUACUGUCAUACAUAUUCUUAACCAAGUUAAGAUACUUCACAUACAUGCAAUUUCUUUCCCCAAAAUCUCAUCAAAUUAUUCCCCUCGGGACUGUCCUACACUUUAUUCUAAAAAACUAAAAUCACAUGGCGAUUCUUUUCACCUCCUCUACACAUUACUGACGGUCCAAAUGUUUAGUUUUUAUGACAUGCUUUCCCAGCAUGGAACCAUAUUGGAUCUUAGACCGUUUCCAAACUUUUCCCUACAGUUUUGACCGCCUUAGAUAAAAAAAAAAUUUCUUAUAGAUUGGCAGUAGCAUUUAUCACCAUUUUUGGACACGUGUCUGUAAGAAAAUUUUCUUAAAACAGAUUAGCAAUACAAUUGGUUGUUGAUUCCCAUAAGCAUUUCCAGAGCUUAAUUAAUCCCAUAAGCAUUUCCAGAGCUCAAUAGUAAUCUCAAGGAGUCCGGUGGCCUUUACUACUUUCAUCUUCUUCACUUAUCUUGGAGCAUUCAAUACAUGUAUGCUCAGUAUAUAACUAUUGUUUAGUAAUUUUUAAAUAAUUCUUCAAUUUCUUAAUCUCCUCAUAUCUGAUUAAUACACCACAAUCCUGGCAACAACCAACCCUAGUCUACCCAUCAAGCCAAAAGUCAUGUAAUCACAUUUAUUUUUAAGAGCAUCUUUAGAAGUGAUUUCAUAAGUCCUUCUGAAGUGUUGAUAUCAUACAUCAGAACGAAUCUAGGAAGCUCCUAAUUAUAUUUCUUUUCUGUAUACCCUAGGAGCACUAUAAGAUAUCUUAAUUAUUCCUCCAAUUUCCCCAACAUCUUGAUUUAAAUAGAACAAUAAAGACCUUUGUUUCACUAGAAAUUCCAUGUAUCACAUCAUCCAAGUCUCCACAGAGUUGCUCCUUGAGUGUCAUCUUUCUAUAUAUGUGCAUGAAUAAUGCAUUAAUUGAUUAAUUGCUUUCUUCUCCAACUAGUCUCGAAGUACUAUCUUACUACCUUUUCUUUGCACAUCUAUGACCUCAUUGUAAAUACUUCUAAAUUAUCCAAAUGGUACUCUAAGGCCCAAGUAUACUGUUUUAAGAGCAUUACUACGGCUACCUAGAAUGAGUACAAAUUUUAGUAUCAUGCUGACCCCAGCUGCAAAGCCUGUAGCUAAAUGCUUUGCCAUAUUACGCAGAUCAAUGCCCCUGAAAACAAUUAUCUUGCACAGCAAUCAGGAAAGGGAAAAAGGGAAUAGGAGAGGACUGAACUUUGGCAUCUUACCUCACUGCCCCACUCGGUCUUGUCCUCAUAGCCGCAGCUGAUCACAUGGAUAGCUUCUUUCAAAAGAGACUCGGGUGUUGCUGACUGAGGAACUCCACCAUUCUCCAUCAAAGUUGAUGCAACAAAGACAUUUGACUGGCCGAACCUUUUCUCUAAGCUCAUCUGUGACAUGAGGAGUGACUUCUCAUCAUCAAAUCCAGCCCCUAAUAGUAAAAAAAAACAGAAAAGGUGAGGUUAGAAUAACAAGGUCUACAUGAUCACUCCUCGCCAAGAAGGAAGGCAUAAAAGCAAAGAUGAUUAUAAACAGAAAUAGAGAACUAUAAUACAAUAAUUCAUUAGAACUGUUGCGCCCUAUGAAGCACAGAUACUUUAAAUUUUAUGCCGUACCCGUAUUGGAUACAUAUUGGAUACCAAUACGCGCUCGAUACGUGUCCGAUAUGGGAAUAAAGUAUCCGGCAUUUUUGAAAAAUAAAAAAUAUCGGAUAGGGCUCGGAUACGAGAGGGAUAGGGGGGGACACGGGAGGGAUACGGCCAGAUUCUUUUUUGGUCUAAAAUAAUCGGAAUUCAAAAUUUUUCGAAAAGCCCACAUCCAAACCCAUUGGAAAUAAGAAAAAGAGUGAGAAAAAUGUCAAUCUCUUUUCAAUUUGUCAUUUCAUUUCUUCUAUCUUUUUGCUUUUGAAUGGUUGAAGGCGCUUUUUCUCGUUCUAUCUCCACAGUAUUAAUCUAUGGUUUAGUCCUUUACCACUUCUCUUUUACUUCCUUUCAUUUAAUUUGUCAACCUAGCACUAAUCAACGCCAUAAAGAAUGAUUUUUUUUUCUUCUAUUAAAUUAAACAUACAUAUAUGUUGAAAAGCUAAUUAUCUGGUUGUGCAACUAAAUAUUUAUUGUCAUCAUUUAAUCAAGUUGGAUGAUAGUUGGUUAAUACUUUUGAAUUAUUAUUUCAUACAAUUGAUUAUAUUUUUUUAUAAACAUAUAUAGAACAAUUAUACAAGUUAAUGUAUAUCAAAAUAUAUUCAUUAAUACAAUUCAGACACCCUGGUUGUCCUCAAUAUAUCAUUACAUACAAUCAAAUUAUAUUUAGAUAUAUUUAGAUAUAUUUAAAAUAAUAUUUUAUUCAAAUAUACCCGGCGUAUCAUAUCGUAGAAGUUUUAGAAAUUGCCGUAUCACCGUAUCCGUAUCGUGUCGUAUCCGUAUCCCCAUAUCCGUAUCUGUGCAACAUAGGUUGCACCAGUUAUUCUUAUUGACACAGGAUACUUAUGCUCUAACUGAAGUUAUCUUCCUUUCAAAGGACAUUGCCAAAUAAUUAUUCUUAUGAUAAUUUCCAUCAACCAACAACUUCAGCAAAUGCUCUAGAAAUCAAUAAACUAAAGUCUAAAUUAGCAUAAUUUGCCAUCAUUAGACAAGUAGCUCCAACUAUGCUAGAUACAUCAGCUAAAAGUGGGAGAAACAAAACAUGCUAAUUAAUUUUCAAAACUAAGCAUGCAUGAACAAAGUAACUGUGAUAGUGCAAAUUGACUUAAUAAAGCUUGUUGAACAGAAGUGCAGAAUUUUGUUAUACCUUCGACUCCUUCCUCUAUAUCUUCCAGAUUAAAUACUGGUACAGAGCUGUCCACGUGCUUUCUUGAGGACUUCUUGUCCGAACUCUUCUUCUUUGAUUUUGUAGUCUUCUUCCUAGAGCCACCACAGCAGAGAGAGAGGAUACCACCUUUUUUCUUUUGUUGCUUAAUAGGAGGUUCAUAACCAUACAAAGCCGUCCUGUUGAAAACACAUCCUGUUCCGACGUAAACAGGCCCUUGAAUGCCAUCAAGACCUCUUAAAUUGAUCUAGAACGAACAAAAACAGAAAAGGGUUAUUGUAAGAGGAAAGAAACUAAGACCACUAUUAAGAAUACUUGAGCUGGAUAGAAAUGAAUGUUCACGGGGCACAGCAAUUUAAGGAGGUUUUAAAGAGGAAGAUCCAUGCUUACAUCAAAGAACACUGUAUUCCUGUUGGCAUAUCGAUCAUUCCUAUCGAUCCCAUCGAAUCUCUGUGGGAAUUGCACAUAGCAAACAUGCUUUCCAAGGUUUGGAUCCAUAAGAAAGCACAUAGCUUCCCUUAAAGCCUUACUGUUGUUUAUGUAGUGAUCACAAUCAAGAUUCAAUAAAUAUGGUCCAUUUGUCAGUACAGCUGAAACACGUACCUGCAAGAAAGAAUUAUACGGAGCAUCAGAUGCAAGAUAGCACGAUGCAUUUGAGUUUUAAAAUUACCAAUGUAAGUAGCUUACAAGUGCAUUCAUAGCACCAGCCUUCUUGUGAUGCUGGAAACCAGGACGUUUCUCACGAGACACAUAAACCAACCGUGGGAGCUCAUUGCCUUCAGUGUCAAGACCCCCACUGUGUCCCAAGAAAACCUGAAAACAAUGAGAAAUUACUUUGAGCUAAUUUUGGACUUAUAAAGAGUAAAUAGGCGUUAAAUUAUUAGGUUAUUCAUAAAAGAUUUUCUACAUGGAGAAUCCUGUAUCCAUAGAAAAAUAUACACUACAUGUUUUGUUGGAAAACCUACAAGAUCAAAAUUUAGAUUACCUAACUGAAUUUCUGAAAAGAAAAAAAAAAAAUUAGCUUCCUAUGGAUGAGACUACUAUGGAUUAAAACUAUUCUCCCGCCCAGAAAUACUACUCAAGAGCAAAGUAUGACCACCCAGGCAUGUUUAGCUAUCAAUUAAAUCUAACUGUGCCAAAUUCAAUGUACUAACCUGGAUCAUUCCAGGAUGAUCUCUGGUGUUAUUUCCUGGCCAUGGUGUGCCAUCUUGCAUAAUCCAUCCCUCCUCAGGAACCUUUUGUGCCUUUGCAACAAGGCCAUUAACUCGAACUUUGAAUUCUUCAUAUUCUCUCUGAGUUUUACAAAUAAGCCGUUAAGUACUAUAUUCCAACUAAUAAAACACUACAAUCCAAGGAUUAAAGUGCCUAUCGGUACGGGCCGUAUCCACCGUGUCGUAUCGUGCCAGCAAGAUAUCGGCAUAAUACAGCCUCCAUGCCGAUGACACAACUCAAAACCCUCUAUUCUUGAAAUUAGUAAGUAAUUUUCUCAAUAAAAUUCAAAAGAUUUGAUAAAAAUAUAUAAUAAAUAAUUGGCAUAUUUUGUUACUAAAGAAAAUAAAUAUUUCAUGUCAUUACAUGUUGGUACACAUAUUUUUUAUGACCGGCACGCAUCAGUAUCGCCCGGCACGCACCGUGCCGUAGCGUGCCGGCAAGUUUCCGGCACGACCCAGUGCCACGGCACUUAAAUCCUUGCUACAAUCUACUAGAAGACAUAACACAAUACCUUCAUGGCACGACGAUCCUUGACGAAUGAGGGAUGAACUUUAUCCUUCAAGUAAUCAAUUUUCUGAGCAAAGUACCAUUCUGGAGCUCGGGGUUCGAUGCUAUACUUCUUGCAAAAAGGCACCCAUUUUCUUGCAAAUUCUGAAGUCUCAGACAAUGCCUCAAAUGUCAACAUUGCAGCUCCAUCAUCAGAUACAUAGCAGGAAACCUUGUCCACAGGAUAAUCAACAGCAAGAAUGGAUAGCACUGUGUUUGCAGUGACAAGAGGCGGCUCCUUCAUUGGGUCGACAGUGCUAACAAAAAUGUCAACAGCAGCCAACUGGGAUGGUUCCCCUUCUCGGUCAUACCUGUUAAUACAAACACAGUAAAAAUCAAAUCUAGAAUUAAAUAUAAACAAAAUAUUGCAGUGGCUAAAAGAGAGAUCACCUCAAAGACAGUCUAUCAAGAUAAGUUUCACGAUUAACUGGGAACCAUUUGGGGAACUGGUCCAGUAUCCAGGAUAUAGCAAACCAAAUCUCACAUAUCACAGAUAGUAACCACAAAGGGAAGGCAUUCUGCACAGGGUUUGUGAUACGAUAAUGUAAGAAAAUGGAUAGGAUGACCAGCCGUAGAACAAUGACCAUCCUGUAUGGAUUUAUCCUGGAAGAAGGGAUAGACACUUUCCUAGAAAGAGGCUGACGAGUUUCAUCAUUCCUGCAGAAAAUCAGUUAUUCAUGAGCUUUCACAGAUAAUUUUGCAGAGGGACUCGCAGAAAUGCAAUUCAACAUAUUAGUAGCAGAAACGAGGCAUUUAAUUAUGGAUCAUAUAGAAUACCCAGGCUAGUACGAAAUUUUUAGUGUGAUUAAGAAAAUUGAGACAAAAAGAUGACAGGAUUAACAAUUACAAAUAUUUAUGUUUAUUUUCUUCCAUUGGCUCCAGUUAUUCCAAUGCCUGGUAGAUAGAAGGAUACAAGAAUCCUUUGACAAAUUUUAUUCACAUGAAUAAAGCGUAUCACAGCCAGCUAUAGUUUCAAGAACUAAAAUUAUGUUUUUAGUACUCUCUCAAAAAUGGAUAGACAAAUGAACCGAAUUACUGAUAUAAAAGUAGAACUAGCCAACAACUCAAACUUGCUUAAAGAAAACAAUAAUCUCGUCACCACUUGAGGGCACCUAAUCGCAUAAUCAAGAAAGUGGAAGAAUAAGGUCAGCUAAUAGGGGCUACAGGAACUACAUUUAAUUUACUUUGCAAUUAGAAAUUGUUAACAGUUUCAUUUUUUAUUUCCCAUAAAAAAAAUGAUAUUUGUCUAGAAACAAAAGAACCUCCUGGCCAUAUGAUACAGAACCUUGACAAUCUGAAAAUCAUACAAAAUUUUCAAAAAAAUUUAAAAUUCAGUUUUAUUUAAAGUUUGGGACCGUCACUAGCAAGAUAAAUUGGGGUUUUCCUGAUUGGUCCUGCAUCAUCAUAAGCCAGCAAGUUGAAGCGGCUGGCAUAGCAGGUAUUAAAAAAAUUACAAAUUAGAGAUAAGAAAACUAACAAAAACAGUAAAUAUGAAGGCCUGUACUAACUUCACAACAUGAUCUGAUAAGCCGUUAUUAAUUAAAUGUUAAUGGAUUUUAAGUUGAGAAUACUGCAGAUCUUUUUAAAAAAGUAGUAGUUGACCUGCUUGUUAAACAACUGAAUCAGAUGUUCGUCAAAAUCAUAUAAUUAAGACAUCAGAAUUUUGAACUCAAUUAGCAAACCAAGUUCCGUCAGUCCCACGUCUACUUUUCUAGUCUGGGCCCGCAUAAUAGGCACAUCAAAUUAUCCAACCUCACAUCCCAAGAACCAACCACACGUAUAGGUAACAAGCAAGGAUUUAAGUGCCGUGGCACGGAGUUGUGCAGAAAACUUACCGGCACGGUACGGUACGGUACGUGCCAGAUCGUGCCGAUACAUGUUGGUCACAAAAAAUAUAUAUGCCGACACAUAAUAGCAUGAAAUAUUUAUUUUAUUUAGCAACAAAAUAUUCUAAUUGUUUAUUAUGUAUCUUUAUCAAAUCUUUUAAACGUUAUUGAAAAAAUUACUUACUAAUUUAAAGAAUAGAGGGUUUUGAGCUGUGUCAUCGGCAUGGGAGCUGUAUCAUGCCACUAUCUUGUUGGCAUAAUACGGCACGGUGGACACAGUCCAUGCCCAUGGGCACUUAAAUCCUUCGUAACAAGUUCAAAUGUCAUAUCUGAUUGCAUUCAAAUAUUUUCCUAAAUUGCAAUAGUCAGCAGGAAUUUAGAAUAUUUCAAUGACAUUGCAAAACCACCAUUUAUCAAGAUUUUAUUUAUACUAAGCUGUAACUUCAAAAAGGAAAGAACUUAGUUUUUGCUAACUUUUCUCCAGGUUCAAUUAGAUAUUUUGAACGUGUGAAUGCGCACACAGGCACACAUUGCAAACACAUGUAUACAUGCACACACAUGCACGGGCACACAGUGCUUGGGUGCAGGCAAUCGCACACAGAACCAGUAUAAUCAUCUAGCUACUGAGUAAAGCUGAUUCCCUAUUCCACAGCUUGAGGACCUAUUUGAAUUGUUUUACAUAUAGUCAUUGUUUCUGUCAUAAUUUGUAGCAAAAUUUUAUUGAAUAGGUUAUUUAACCACUAUUAUAAUGUGUUCUUUUAUAUCAUAUAACAUGCGAGUGUUAGGCCCAGUUUACUGUUCUCCCUAUCAAUCCUCAAACGGGAUUCCCAACUCGAACUUUCCUCUGUUCACCACAAAUAUAAACAAUAUAUCCUUCAACAAACAGUCAGCUUACUAUGACAAAACAAGUCAACACAGUUACAUAAUUAAUAGCAGGAUGGAAUGAAAGAAAUGAAUGAACAAAUAAGUUUAAUCUACAAUCAGGUGUAAAACUAACUUGUCUCAAUGAUGUCCAUGCAAACCUAUAUGAUAUGCAACACAUCUAGUCAAGAAACUCAGUUUGAGAUCUAACAAUAGCUCAGACAGAAAUGCUAACAGAUAACAAGAAGAUACAGUAAACUGCCGAUUAGGAACUUACAACAAAGCAUCAUCCAUGUUAUAGUCGGUGGAUGCAUCAAUGUCUCCACCUCCCCUGCCCUCAGAUGGGGCUAGACUAGUACCAUUAGUCAUUGGCAUCACGUUUUUGUCCUGCUUCAUUUUCCACCCAUCAACCCUUUCUUUCCAAGCAACAUUUCCAAGGCUACCAGAGAAUUCUCUUGACGGGUUUGCUGCCAAAGAUAUAGAUAAGCAUCAUAACAAAUAUCAGAGCAAACAACUAAAAGCAAACUAAAGCACCCAAAAGAUCACAACAUUGAGAACUAAAGAUCACAAGAAGAGAUGAGCAUACGGGAGUGAUUCACAUAUGGAAGGGGAUGCACACGCUUGCCACCAAUAUUUCCGCCAGGAGACAUCAUAUGAUCAGGAGACGCUCCGGGCAGUUCCCCCGAGAUCUGCAGACAUCAAGACAGAAUAGCAAAGUUAUUAUCCAUUUUCCCAAUAAACUAAUUCAAUUUCCAGUGAAAUUGCCACAAUAUACCUGACUAUGGGCGAGAGAAGGGAUGUAACCCCGCGGGAUCUCCCCGCUAUCAUACUUGGGGCGCCCGAUAUCUUCCCCUUGCCCGGAAUUCAUGCGCCAGGUCAGCAUCCUAUCAGCAAUCUUCUGCUUCUGAUCCUGGUUUCCAGGCAGAUAGUUGAAGUCACUUGCGCCAUCAUCGGCAUCCCCAUCCUCUCCUUCCUCUCCGUGGAUAGGCGGACUCCCUGAUAAUUCAUGCAAAAUCAAACAAUAGCUCCUCAGAAUCAAAAUUUUAAGGAAGAAUUUACAUAUCCAAGAUCGAGCGCACACCUUUAUGCCUCUUGUACUUGGUCUUGCACUGCGGACAAGCCUGCGUCCCGUCCUUGCGCUCAUACUCAUAGCACGGCCUGCAGACAGGGAAUCCACAGACGCUGCAAGCAACGAAGAGAUCUCCGUCGGCGGUGGUACCGACUCCGUCACCGCAGAUCUGACAAACCUGACCACUCGGAUGCUUGGUAGAUUUCUUCAUUGGUUCAGCCCAAAGAGACGGCAACAUACACAGAAUUCAGUACAUAAAUACAAUAUAUGAACUACAAGUUGCGAAGAUCCAAAGUUAAACAGAUAAGAGUCUAAUAGAUGUCAAUCGGCUAGAAACUGAAGAGAAAGAACAAAAUAGGAGGAUGUGACUGCUACUCACUCCUGGGUCUCCGGCCUCCUCCAUGGAAUCGGUGUGCGAGAAGCGCUUCGUACUACUCAGAUCUCGAAGUAGGAAGAGCUUCUACCUCAGCUAGAUCUAGCAACCACUCUGCCACAUUCCUUCAGAUCUAGAUCUCCCCACCCUACGGGGAACAAAAUAUGCACAAUAAUCACAACCCACACAAAAUUCACCAGAAGAGAACCCAAAGAUUCACCAUUUUCAGGAGAAAUUUCCAAGCCAAAUUACCUCAGAAAAAAAAAAAAAAAAUCUGAAAAAGGUCACAAGAUCCCAAAUCGCUCCGAUCCCCACUUCCACUGUUGGGGCUCUCAGGAGGGAGAGAGCGAGGAGGAAGAGAAGGGAGGUGAUGCAGCGUUCGAUUGCAGUGAGGUGAUUAGAAAAAAAAAGAGAGAGGAGAAAGAGAGAGAGAAAGAGCGCGUCCUCUUUGGACGAAAGGGACGCGCUACCGGCGAGAUGGAACGUGCCUUGGUUCGCUCGUCGCUGUCGAGUUAAUUAUUAUACAAAUAAAUAUGUAAAAAAUAAAAAAUAAAAAGAAAAUAAAUAAUAAAAAGGAAAAAAAAGAAGAAGACGAAGAGGGAGUGGAGCGGUUGGUGGAGAGUUGACACAUAAUAGGGAUCGGAUUAUAUUGUGAGGAGAAUGAGCUGGAAGGAGAGAGUUGCUGACAGUCCCCACGGUGAGCGAAAGGAGUAGGGAUUGCGGAGUGUCCGACCGACGCCACUGUUAUCGGUGUGUGAAUUGUCCGAAAUGGACAGCAGCUGUGCAAAUUUUUCUUCCGAACCGUGUCGCAUGCGGACGCACAGGAAUCCUCCUACCAAUAUAAUUGAGUACGAAUAUCCAAAAUUUUAUCUGAACGAAACGGAUGAAAUAAAACAAAAGUUCAAAGUUCAUAUCAUUUUCUCUAACUCUCAAAAAUUGGCUAAGGUGUCACUGUUUCCAACUUCAUACACAAGUUAAUUUCUAUAUUUCUUUAUUGGGUAAGGUAUACUUUUGUUGCAUGAGCAUUAGAGCAUAAUUGCUAGUCUGCUGUGUCCCUCACCUCAAUGAGGUAGGUGAAACUUUAGUUCUCAAAGUUUAAAUUAAUUUUAAUAUUUUACUUCAAUUUUAAAAAUUAUUGUAAUUCAAUUUUAUAAUUGACUAGUAUUAAUGUGUUGUUGAUAUGAUAGUAACAUGACAUUGAAUAAUUUUCAGAUUUUUAACCACAAGACUUUUGCUGAUAUAGUGAUAUGAUAGUGACACAUUAAUUGAAGUGCAGAAUUUGAUUGCAAUAGUUAAAAAAAUUAGAUAAAAAUUGCAACAAAUCAAAUAUUAUGAACCAAAGCAUCACAUGUGCAUCAUUGUUUGUGGCAAUAGCUGUUUUAAUUUAAUCAGUUUAUUUUUGAAAGUUUUCCAUAUAUUAUAUUGAUUGUCACAAUUUAUUAAGAAGGGUCCGACUAUGGUGUGUCCAUUCCCAAUUAUUUAAAUCUUGAUCAAUCUUUUCACUAUUUCUAAUCUUUAGACUAUUAUUAUUAUUUUUUUUUAGAGAGACCACCAAUCCUGGGGAUCAGUGUCAUCAUAAUUUUACAGUUCGUAAUCCAAAGGUCAAAAAAUUGAAAGCACCAAUUUUUUUAUACUUCUGAAAGUAUAGUAGUUUUACUCUAUUAAAUUAAGAAUACUUAGUAGUAUUCAUGUUUCGAUAGUCCCAAUUAAUUUAAAAGACUCAAAAGUAUUUAUGAAAUGACCAUCUUAUCCCAUCCUUCAAAAUGGCAGAGCUACUAUUCUAGUUCUAGAUUAAUUCAAGAAGAGAUUGUGUAAAGGUUACUUUAUUGCACAAAUCUAGAUUUUUUUACACAUGUUCCAAACUGAAAUAUAACCUUCAUGAAGGACCAAAAUAACAGGGGCUAAAUCUCACUGCGGAGAUAGUACAGGGACUAUCCAUCCAUGAUGAAUGAAUGCACUUUAACCCAAAGCUUCUUCUUACCAGUGCUCUAUCAUUGGACGUUUGGAGAUGUAUUACUGGUUAGUUGGAUGGUGUAUUUUAUUAUGCCCGGACAUGCUCAACAAGGUGAGAAGGAGAAGAAACCAUUAAUUUUGGGCCCAUCGGCCGAAGAAGGGUGCAGAUUUGGGUGUCGGCUGAAACGGGCGUGUUGGUUUAAAAUUGGUCUUAAAAAAAUGUGUGCUGAGCAAGCCACCGACACAUGCCUUCAGUGGUUGGAUGAAGGGUUAAUUUGGUCAUUUCGUAUGGCUUUGACGUGUUAACUGCUUGAUCUUGACUCGCAAGGGAGGACUCUGUGAGAAACGAAGUGUGGAAUUGACGAAAUUCAUCUGCACAUUGCUGUACAAGUUGUCAAAACUCUAGAAUUGAGAUAUAAUAUAGGUUAAUAAACCAGCAAAUUUAAAUACAAAUUUAACCCACUUAUUAAACAGGUGAUCUAACAUGACCAGUGCAAUUCGUUUAAUAAUAAAAAAUCCAGAAAAAUGAACUUGAGAAAUAUUUGAACUUUUCAAGUUAUGACUAAGAUAUGUUAUGUACAAAUGUGCGUAACAAAUAUUUUAAUAACUAUCUCAAAUUAAUAUAAAUUUGUAUAUCAUAUUUAUUCAAAAAUUUAUAAUAUAAAAUUUAAAUUUAAAAAAGUAAAUUUAUUUAUUAUAUAAUAUUAGAAAAUAUUUGUCAUAUUUUAACUCAAAUUUAAAUAGUUGUUGCCAACAAUAAUUAUAUAUAUAUUUUUUAUUUUAUAAAAUUUAUAUAUAGCGUAGAUAUAGAUAUACAUUGUAUAGUUUUUAUAUAUUUUAAUUUUGAUAAAUCCAAAAUUUAAAUAUAUAUUUUAAAUCAAAAGCAUCAAAAUUAAAAAGUUAAUAUAACAAGAAAAUAUUAGUAGAAUGUUGAAUGAUAAAAAUAUUUCAUAAAAAAAUACUUAAAGAGAAAUUAAAAGUUUGUUUCAUUACAUUAUUUAUUGUGUACGAAAAAAGAAAAAUUUUAAAAUGGGUCUGUCGAUAGACUGAAAUUUAAAAUACGUGCUUUUAUAUAUAGUAUAUCUAUAUGUAAGGAUUGAAAAUUUUGCUGUGUAGCUAAACUCUCUAUUGACGAUAUUUUUCUAUGUAUUUUAAUUACAAAAGCACUCGUCAAGUUUCGAGAAAAAACGAGUUAGGAUGGAGAUUUUACGCGAUCUUCACUUUUCACUUAAAGUGAAUAGUAGCCCGGGUUUUCGGAGAGGCCAAUAAGUAGAUAUGACUUCUGUCACGUAUCGAACUCCGUUCAUGAUGAUCCAAUGGCUCUUUUUCAACGGUUUUCGAGAAAACUGGAUUUUAUCGCAAAAUAGACUUUUGUUCUUUAUCAUUUUUGCUUUUUAAAAUUUCUCGUUGCUCCGUUUUGCGUGUGGACCCUCGGGCGGGGACCUUUCUGUGAGAGAAGACUUGUUGGGAGGGGCUUUGGCCACAUUUUUCGCUAAUUGGAGGAUCUUCGAGACAAUUAUCGGAUAUAUACAUUUACUUAUAUGUGUGUGUUUUUGCUAAAUCGAAGAGAUGAUGGGUUUCUCGCGAAUCUACGAUUAAACCAAGCGAAACAAAAUUGUGAGUUAGAUGUCUUAGUCGUGCUGAACGUGUUGGUGCAGUCCGUUCGCAAAUCCAACAGACGAAUCUCCUGAUAUUCCACGAGGAUCGAGGAGAGGUCAAAAGUGGCCAACGGGAGCUUCGCAAAAAGUCCAUAUAGUUUAUGUACCGUUUUGCGUAAAAUCGAAUGUGGGGAUACGUACACGCGUUUUACUCACGCUGUGAGGGACUCAGCUAAAAAUACUGAGUUUCGGUGGACUUAUACGCAAUUAUACAUUCAUGUAUAAAAGGCCAUCUAGGGUUUGCAUAGUGCAAACCCUAACAUUAGCUCCAGCUGACGCCCAGUCGCCUCUUCUCCCUCACUCUCAUGUUUCGCCCGCCUCCCGGCCGCCAUCGAGCGAGCCCUGGCCGGCCAGCCGCCGCCACUGCCACCUUCUCCCUCCUCUCCAUCUCUUCCACCACCUUUCUCCUUAGUCACCUUUGGCGAGGGUGGUGAAGGGUGUUCCUCUCUUUCGAGCCCCCCUUCGGUGACACCCCCGGAGCCCCGGCCACCCUCCCCGCCGACUGCUGUCGUCCCCGAGGGCGGUCUCUACGACCUCUGCAGCCUUGCGGCCAUCUAGGACAAGCUCGGGCUAAGAAAGCUCCACCUUCCCUCCCCCGCGCCGCCGCCGCCUGGGACCGCCUCUGCAACCUCCCUCCAGCCUCCAACGACCCGUCGUCGCUGCCUCAAGGCGCCCCGGCCGCCACUGAGGCCGAUGUGGAACCCGAGCCCAAGCUCAGCCCAUGUAAUAUCCCGAACUUCUCCAACUAUGAAAUUUUGGUGGGAAUAAGCUUAAAAAGCUAGUAGAGAAGUUCCGGCAAAGUUUGGAGAGCAUUUGAAUGUUUUCGGCACAAAUCAGACGCGAAAACGGGCUCCAAAAGCUGAAAUCUACCUAAGUUGCAAAAUUUGUACUGGGUACCGGUACUGAAAAACUGGGUACCAGUACUGGACUAACCGGGUACCGGUACUGGAAUUGAGUACCAGUACGUAGUGUAAAACUGAGAAGGUUAACUCUCGGGUUUUGAGGUACUGGAACCGGGUACCGGCACUGGACUGGCCGGGUACCGGUACGUGAGCCCGAGUACCGGUACUCAGCCUCCCAGAACAUUAUUUUUGAGGGGUAAAAGUGUAAUUUCAGUGUUGGCUUAUAUAAAGGGGUGCCCAGCCCCUUCCCUCAGUACAAAACACACACACCAGCACACCCAUGCAGUAAGGGAGUGGGAGGAGCUCCUCUCUCACUCGUUCUUCUUCUCCUUCUUCGACUCGGAGAUCGCAGUGGAGAUCGAGCUCAGGAAAGCGUAGGGAGUGUUGGUUCGAGCUCUCAGGCGCUUGGUGGCUCGGUAUGCUUCCGACUCGAGGUUCGUCUUCGGGUCAAGAGGUUAGGGUUUUGCUAAAUCCAUUGGUAUUGGGAUUCUAAGUUUCCCUAGAUGAUUCUAACUAGAUUAAUCAAGAUUUCACCAUGAGUUUUGGGGUUUUCUUGUGGAAAUUGAAAACCUAGGGUUAGAAUUAGGGAUUUUAGGAUUUGAGCUAAGGUUUUGGAUUUAAACCUUCUAGAUGGAUUUCUAGCAAAUCCUAGGCUAAUCCUUAGUUAGUUAAUUCACGUAUAAUACGUGAAUUAUUCGCGACCAAUUGAAAAAGUGUAUAAAACGCUCUGUCUAUGAAUUUUCUCAAAAUAAUCGGAAUAAAACGCGUUUUUUUUCUUGCUCAAAAUAUUCGCGAUCAAAACGGUAUUCGCGAAUUAUAUUCUGAAAAUCCGGAUUUAGCGGGCGGUGAAACGAUGAAACUUUUCAAAAAAAAAAUGGAUUUGGCUGCGAGAUGAAAUUUUUCGAACCAGCGUUGCGCGACCACUGCUCCGCAGAUCCGUGCACCUCCUCCGAGCAGUUGAGCAAUUUUGCUUCUUUAUUUUGAAGAAAUCGUGGAGGCGGAGCGAGCGAAGAAAAAGAAGAAAAGAAGAGGGACGAAGGCGAUAAAAAUCGCGACCCACCGCCUUGGGAAAAAGCGCGGUCCACGAGGCUGCACUCAGCCUCAUGGACCGCGCGGGGUGGACAGAUCGGUUGGGAAAAAGCGUGGUCCAUGAGGCUCAUUCAGCCUCGUGGAUUGUAUGGAGCACUCCCACUUUAUAUAUAUAUAUAAUAUAUAUAUAAUAUUAUAUAUAUAUAAUAUAUAUAAUAUAUAUAUAUAUAGUAUAUAUAUGAUAUAUUAUAUAUAUAUUAUUUUAUAUAUUAUUUUAUAUUAUUUUAUUUUUAUAUUUAUAAAAAUUAUAAUUAUUUAUAAAAAUAGUAUAAAUCUAAAAAAAAUUAAUUUAAUAGACAAAUUUUUAUUUCGAAUUUUUAAAUAAUAAACGUAAAAUUCUCGUAUAAAUCGCAUAUAUAAAUUGACGAAUACGAUUUUUAAAUUGUAUUUUUUCAACGAAUUUAAAAAUCAAGAUACGAAUUUGUUUCGUAUUUUAUCCGUACAGAAUUUUUACCGCAUCCGAAUUAACUAACUAUGGGCUAAUCUAAGCUACAAAUCGUGGAGAUUAGCAUGCGAUUUUUGGGUUUGUCAUUAUUUGUGGAAAACCCUAGGUUAAAAAGAGGGAUUUCUUGGUAAAGGCUUCUAGCAAUGCUUUAACUCUUUGGAACUCUAAUUAAGGGUUAGGAAAUCAUAUGAGGCCAUUUGAUUUCAAGUAGAAAGAUCAUUUAGUGGUUCGAAAAUGGUAACGAAGGAUUUUUUGCAUAGGGCAAGAAAAGCUUGGGAAAAAGCUUGGAAGUCCAAGUGGUUGACCUAAUUGCAAGUGUCUACAAGCAAUUAGGAGGCUUGAAAGGUGGGUUGUGCUUCACCGAAGUGACUAGGUCGCUUCUAUGCCAAAGUGAAGUAUGGUUUUGUUUAUUGAUGCAUAUAUGUAAUGAUAGAUUAAUUGGUUAAAUGAGUAGGCAUAGAUUGUAUGCUACAUAGGAUAAAUAAUCUAUCAUUGGAAAAGAAUAUAGGCAUGUGGAACAUAUAGGAUGUAUAUAUAUAUGUGUAUGCCUAGAUGUGGUUAGUAAACAUAGGUCAGUGAACUCUAGGAUGAUUAGAGAACUCGACAAGUGUGGCACAAAGGACUAGAUGGCAUGAAAACUAUGAAUCCUAGAUGUGGACAACUAGGAUAGAAAAUAAUUGGUUGGACAUUGAACCUAGUGUUAUUAAAUAUAGGUUGGACAUUGAACCUAGUGUUAUUAAAUAUAGGUUGGACAUUGGACCUAGCGUUAUUGAACCUAGGUUAUGAGAUAUAGUGGUAGGAUGACCACAUGGACGUGAGAACAUGAACCUAGAGAGAUUGACUGGACGGAUGUGCACAUCUAGUGAGCUUGGUGACCUUGGAAUCAGAGCUUGGGCGUGUGCGACGAUUUCGCCGCCGAAGGCUUGAGCCAUUGUUCGGUGUGUGCGAUAAUUUCACCGCCAAAUGGCUAAGCCAGGUAAAGGAUUACGCCGCCGUUGACUUGAGCCAGUAUUCGGUAUGUGCGAUGAUUUCGCCGCUAGGUGGCUAAGUCAAGUAAAGCGGUGAGCUGUGGAUAAUUGACUCAAAAUCGAGUCGGGUGGUAUAGCUUGGCUAAGGUAAAUGAACCUUUGGAGCAAAUGGCAAAUGGUAUGGAUUGUGGAAUAGAAAGCAGAAACAGUAGACCUACUUACAUGAGUUGCAUUUAUGUUACAUUAUUGCAUGUUGUGAGACAUAAGCAUGGAUUUAUUUCUUGCAUAAAAACUAUAUGUUUAAUUGUUGGACAAGCUUGCUUUUGAUGCCUCCUUUGGACCUGGUAGGUCGAGCUCUUUCCUUGGGUGGCCGUACCUACUAGAAACUAUUUUUAUAGUUCUCACCUCACAUUUUUCAGGUCCACACGUGAGCGGCGCAGCGGCGCGAGGAAAGGGCGUAGCUCAGUAGAUAGCGCCCUACCACCGAGACCAAAGAUAGUAGUACCCCAAGUCAGUUUAGCUUAGGGGUAUGGAAAGAAAAGAAAGAACUUGUAAUAAUAAAUUGGUUGGUUGUAUUUGAAAGUUGAAUGUAAACUUAAUGCAAAUGUAAUAUGUAAGUUGCAUGUUAUGUGAAUGCUUGUAAUAGCAUAGUAUUUAUAUUUUCGAUACCUUCCUUAUGCAAUCUAUGUAUGAAUUCUGUUCCUGUUUGAAAUCUCGUGAAUUGUACUGUUGCGACGCCUUGGACGUACAUGGGAGACUCUAUCCUUUCGGCGGUCUGUCGGCGCGCCUGAAUCCGACCAAAGAGGCGGGUCCCGGGCUGUGACAGCUUAUACGGGCUCGGGUUACUCCAGCGUCGCCGCCACCGCCACCGCCUACCACUGCCGGUCAGCGCGAGCCCCGGUCUCCCCCUGUCGGCCACAUCCGCCUACCGCUGAUGUGCCUACUGCCAAGCCGCUGCCGGCCGUGCCUUAGCUUCCCGUUGCCCGGUAAGUUUCUUAACCCCAGUUUUUGUGUAUUUCUGGGUUGGCUGCACUUUUUCGAUAAUCCAAGGCUAUCCCGAUGCCUCCGAAAAUAAGCAUGGUGAUCGCUGGUCAAUGUUGAUCACAGUGUUCACCUCACUUAUGAUCAGCAGAUUCUAAAUUUGCAUUUUUUGCGCGGUUUAUCCCGAGUGCGCACAGUUCACCGAAUUUCGAGUCGCUCCCGCACCUCCCAUAGUGAGCCGCUGUGCUCCGGAUCAUGAGCACGACCUUCGGCAUGUCGAGACCUGUCAGCACAUGUCUUGGUUGACCUCGAAAACCCUCGGUUUGCCGUAACAACCCACAAAACCUUGUUAUUUACAUAAAAUGAUGUAAUUUUAUGUAAUGGUUAGGAGUUUUAUGCAAUUUUGCACCUUGUGGCUGUGGGCUGUAUGUAUGUGUGGUAGUCGACCUCUGGACUGAUCGUCCAAGGUUCGAAGCCCAUUGCGGAAAUCAAAUAUCGAUGUCGGUGCGUUUUUCGGUGAAAUUCGUCGGCGAAACAUGAUUUCAGUUCGGAUUUCAUCCGACGAUGUUUCAUUGCCCUGAGUUUUAUCACUGAGCCUUGUCGGCUGGUCACCAUCGUCAUAUCGUGAGUUCGGAGAUGAUGGGUAAGCGACGGUGGGUUCUGGUGUCGAAAUUGACACUUCCGCGAAUUCGGAUGAGAACGAUUAGUCGGCGAUAAUCGUUUUGAUGUGAGACUUCGUGUUUGCUUCCUAGACAUCCAAAAUGAUGUGUUUUGUGGCAGCGGGUGACUCAUGGCACGAGGCAGUGAGUUUUGGGACACCUAAUAGGUCUCGGCGGCAUCCCGGUGUGAUUUUCAGGAUUUCCGACGAGUUAUGGUGAUCGGUUUUAGGAAACUGAUUCCGUGGUAUUGUGUGGGUUUGUGAGCUAUGUAUUUUGGAUUAGUGGGUUGGAUACUGACCCAGUAGACCCUCCGUAGGUCCGGUUGACGAUUGUAUACAGUUUGGAGACAGGCGUGAAAUUGAUAUAGGUGGGUGCUUCAAGUUGGUAGUCGGUGAGAUCGUUUUACUUUCCUCUUCUCUUCUCUUGCACUUACAUAUCAGUGUAUUUGUCUCUACAUGUCGUUUUGCUUUUGUUUAUCAUUUGUUCAUCUAUAUCUUGAUAGUCGUAUGAUGAUAGUUGCUAGUAGACAUGUAGAGCAGGCUUGCAUAUAUUGUACACUUGUGGAUCUCAGGUCCAGGCAACACAUAGACUCCGUUGUCGUGUGUUUUUGAUCUGGUUGAUCAUGGUUCAGCGUUGUACGCCUUUCUAUCUGGCUUCGACCAAGGCACCGGUUUCUUACUGGUUUUCGCAUUGAGUAUAUCAGUAUGAUUUAGUCACAACAUUGUGUAUAUUCCUAGACACCAGGUCGGUUUGGUCAUCGAUCAGAGCUGAACUUAUCCGAAUGGGUCGUCAGUGGACGCGUGAAUCAGGUCAGUGUAUGCACUGUGACAGGCAAUGCUUGAGGUCUGUGGACCAAUAUGGCAAGCACUAGAUUGGGUUGAUUUGGAUUAAUUACCCUUGAGGAAUCCUUUUAAUUGAGGUUCUGAUACAGUAGUAGUUUUAUUUCUUGCUCAUUUACCGUUAUGUUAUUACUACUGUUGUUUACUUAUGUAUCAUGUCUUAUUUAUGUAUUUACCUGUUGUUCUAUCUCCUUUGUUUUCCAGUAAAUACGAUUUGCCUUCGUGGCUUUGUCGUACCCACUGGGAAACCUUAUUGUGGUUUCUCACCCCCCAUUUCUCCAGGUGGCGCCAGCGAGGAGUUGGUUCUUGGCACGAAUGGAGGACAUUCUAGCUAGGCUGCAAUAACGGUCGUCACCCUGGUUAUUUUUCUUUCCGUAUUUAGUAGUUCAAAAAAAUGAAAUGGUUCGGUUAGAUGAUCAUUGUUAUCGUUUGAAUAAUCAUGAAUUUGUAUGAGUUGGUGUUUUCUAUUAUGCAUGUAAUAAGAGUUUUAUGAAUCUUUGGUAUUUGGAUUUAGGUAUUCAUGCGUUGUGGUUUUCUACCCUUCGAGAUAGUCGGUUUUCAAAAAUAGAGUUUUCGAGUGGAAAACAGUUUUAAAAGGUUUUCGAAUAAUUUUCAUAGAUGAACAAAUAGAGUUUAAAAACAAAACCUCCUGAUAGGGAGCACUUUUAAAUAGGAUGAUUGUUGUAAUAUGCAUCACAUCAUCCAACGCCUAAGGAGUGUUUAGAGGCAUACAUCAUCUUUAAGGAUCGCUAGCUAUAUGGUAUUGCAUCGCAUCAUUUGCUUGUGGAUUGGUGAAUGUAGGUUUUGAGUUGUGAUCCUGUUGUUGUUAUCGUUGGGUACGCCGUGUAAAUACAAAGGAGACUCUAUUCGUGUGGGCAAAGAAACUUUAUAUUUGUUGCGGGUUUGUACGCCACGUAGGCCAGGUUGAAUUCAAAAAAAAAAAAGCAUAUUUUCCGCAACUUUGAUUUCUAAAAUAGUAUUCAUUAUAAAAAGACUUUUAAAUUCGGCCCCGGGGCGUGAUACUAUACUACUUAUAAAAGCGUGAGUUUUUUAUUUUUUAUUUUUUCCGAAAAUGACUCUAUCUUUUUUACUAAUUUUUUUUAUGUCCAGAAAUUUUGAACCAUUCAUUUCAAAUAAUUCACUAAGUAAUAAUUUAUUCUCAAAUAAAGAUAUUAAUUUUUUGCCAUUAAAUCUCAUUUAACGAUUGAAAAUAAAGAUAUCUGUCACUUUUUGUGACAAUAAUACUCUCGCAUUUAUAUCGUAUCUUUUAUUUACGCGUUUUUCAAAUAUUUUUCUUCUCACGCGUAAUCCCCGUACCCGUCAAUCCUUUCUCAACAUAAUAUCCGUGAAUUUGUCAAAUUAUUCAUCAAUCCACCUAUCAUACAUGUCUACCGCCUACAUAAUAUCCAACUAAUCUUUCUCACACGCAAUACCCGCGUGUUUCUCAAAUACCUCAUCAUAAUUCUAAUCUUUUCUCAUCGUUUCUAAAAAAUUCUCUCAACCUAUCAUAAUUUUGAAUUAAACAUAUCAUUGCAUUUAAAUUUAAAUAUUAAAGUAGAUCAAAAUUAAAUUUUAAAUUUUAAUUAAACAUAAAUUUUAUUACGGAAAUGUCUCUAUCUUUUAACUAAUUUUUCAUGUCCAAAAAUUUUGAACCAUUCAUCUCAAAUAAUCCAUUAAAUUUUGAAUUCGUCAAAAACAUAUAAUAUCUCCACUACUCUCGCAUUUGAAUUUAAAUCUUAAAAAAAAUUUGAAUUUUGAAUUAAACAUAAAUUUCUUUCCGAAGAUGUCUCUAUCUUUUUAACUAAUUUUUUCAUGGCCAGAAAUUUUGAACCAUUCAUUAAAUUUUGGAUUUGUCAAAAAUAUAUAAUAUCUCCAUUAUCUUUACAUUUGAAUUUAAAUCUUAAAAGUGAAUCAAAAUUAAAUUUUUAAAAUUUUAAAUUUUUUGAAUUUAAAUCUUGAAGUGGAUCAAAAUUAAAUUUUAACUUUUAGAAUUAAAUAUAAAUUAAAAUUCUAAUAUUUUUACUUAGAAAUAUAUAUUUAAAUUUUGGAUUCAUCAGAAAUCGAAAAUUAUAGCAACAUAUUCAAUAUUACUCCCGUGUAGUACCCGCCCAUUAUUUAUGCAUAAUAUAGAAAAUAUCUUAAUGCCAUUGCAUAUAAUAUUUCUUUCCACUACCCAAUUUUAUCUCAUGAUAAUACUUAUCCACACAUAAAGUAUAAUUUUUUUAAAAAAACUUUUUCAUCUCCAUAUAUAUGUUUUUUUAAAUAUAAAGUAUAUCAUUUUUCAUUUCCACCUAUACAUUUUGUGUCACGCCCCGAGCCGUUUUGAAAAGCUCAUUUUUUGGAAAAUCCAUCCAAUUUAAAAAUAGAGUUGUGGAAAGCGUAUAAUAAGUGUAUAAUUUUUUUUUUUUUUUUUUUAUAAAUNCUUGCCCGAGACAUGUACAGACCCGCCACACGCAUAAAGUAUCCUUUGUCCAUGCGGACAAAGUCUACCCUGUACAUGCACGACGUAGGAGCACAGAUACAUAGGCACAAACAAUCAGAAUAAGAUAGUUUCAUUAAUCAACUGCUAGAUCAUAAUCCAGAAUCCACUAAACCACCACCAAAGGAAAACCCAAGUAUCAUCACUAAUUCAAUAAUACAUGACUAAUUCACCAAACCUCCCAAUGAAGAUAAUCACAAUAAAUAGGAGUAGGUUCGAAACGAAGUCCACAGCACGAGCUAUCUAGGCGCUAACUAACUGCGUCCUCACACCACGUCCUGACCCGCAUUGUCAGCAACACCUGUAAAAAUAGUGGGGUGAGAAACAUAUAAAUAUGUUUUCCAGUAGGGGCAACGAGCCGACGAGGGCAAGCCGCACUCACUAGCAAAGAAAGGAGUGCGAUGAGCAAGGUAACUGUAAACGAGUAAUCAACUAUAGUAGCAAAACUGUUAGGCAAACAGAUAUCAUGAGCUGAAUACAAGAAUAGUGCCGCUACUGUAACAUGAAUCAUAUACUGAAAUGAAGAAUACAAGUCAACCACAGUAGCAAAGAAAACUAGUGAGUAGUAAUCACGAAAAAUCAUGUGUGAGGUAUCGUUACUCUACACAAGUCGUAUGCUAACAUGAAAGAUCCAACUACGUUAGCAAGAAGAAGGAUAUACAGUAACAUGACUCACUCACAAUGAAAGCCGCUACUGUAGGCUAAACACUACAAAUACCAUGCAUGACUCAUGUCGAGAUACUAUGCAUCAACUGGACAUACGAGAAGUCCAAAAUAUACCUAAUCCCUGUGGCCAGUCACAAAGACCCGGCCUAAGCUCGCCUAUAGGUCUCAAGGACCGCAAAUCAAGUACCACUCCGGAGGGACACAUCAACCCGCACCCAAAGUCGCUAACUUUGUCUAAGCACAGUGUAUAUCAAAUCUGGGGGUGAGAACUCAGGGUGGCGAACCCUGUUUACGAAACAUCACCUCCCACUGGGCUAGCAACUGAAGUACCCUAGGUUAAUAACCCUGUCUAGGACUCCUUCGGUGCCGUACGAGCUAUAGUCACAUGUAUAUGCUCAAAGCUCCAAUAACCUAGACUCAACAGUCAAAUCAUUGCCCGUAGGCGACAAUAGGAGCUAAGAGGUGAUCACACUGGAUACCAAUGCAAAUAUCAAGAUCCAACUGUCCGGGUCGACUAGCAUGCUACACUAAGCGAGUAUGUAGGAAAGAAAAGGAUAAUACAAGUGACAGAGGUGAGCAUUGUAAAGACCUAAUCACGAUGAAAUGCGUCUUCCGACCUUUAUGUCGAAAUCUGCGGAAGCGAACACCGACCGACUAGGUCAAUCUCAUGGAGUAACUCUCCAACAAUAAGGUCAAGUCUCACUGACGAUAAAUCAACUGAUCAACAUGAUCACAUCUCAAAAAUCAUUACACACCGAUCUAUCAGAUCCAAUUACACAUAGGUGGAUAUUCUAUUAGAUCAUCACCUACUCUACAUGUCGCACACGAGAUACGAUAGACUUCAGUCAAAAGUCAACCAAUCUAUACGAUAAUCAACAUGACAAUCAAUAGGAAUGUAGAGUAAAAGUACGAGCCAGUAUGAAGUCAACAGAAGUUGUCCUACUCAAUUAAUAGAAUAGAUCAAGCGAAAAGAAAAUCGAGUAAGAUACAACUUUACUGACUUGAGAAUGGAGCACCCACCUCACCAAGUACCCGAAUCCUCGACUCGAAAUGAUAAUUCUAGAAGUCACAUGUACAUAGAAAAUAUCAACAUGAUCAACAUCAAUAUCCUGCGUGUCAUCCAUACUGAUCCGACACAUUCCACUUAUACUCGCGUGUAUCGCAAUGUGACCGGAACAUUAGUUCCAUAAAUCGGCUUACCGAACUAACUCAAUGAUUAAUCGAUCCACAAUAAGUACAACAAUAAUUUCGUUGAUCCAAGAUGCACCGCUUUAGGUGUUGGAACGACUGCACGCCAAGCAAUUGACAAGUGGAUGAUGAUUGCCGAACAAUACCACGAUUGAAUCUAUAGAUACCGUACCGAUGAUCCAAAACCACUUUGAUGUUGGACCAUAUGCGUAUUGUAUAAUUUGCCCUAAGGCACACAUGUCACAUUACCAAUUGGUGACAUAAAGUCACCCACAUAGUACCAUGACGCAAACGGAACAUUGGAUACUUUUACUGUAACAUACCGAAACCUCGGUAACUAAAUUCGAACCUUGGUCAAAUUGGCCAAAGUGCGAGGUUGGUACGCUUCGGUGAGGCCGGAGGCAUCAAAUAAUGCAAAAAUGCAUUUCGGGGGACCUUCGAGAGCUUUGGAAGUCAAAAUAUGCAAACUGCAGGUUUGUGCUCUCGGGGACCGGUCCCUGGUGGGAGAGACCGGUCCCCAAACGCGUAGGCAGCGAGAUGGCUGAGAAAUCGGCUAAGUCCUGGAAAAUCAGCUUUCGGAAACCGAUCCUUGCGAGGAGAGACCGGUCCCAUCGAGGGAGACCGGUUGCAUCGCGCGCAGCCUGUGCAGUCCGCGGGAGAGACUCUCGGGGACCGGUCCCAGGUCGGGGAGACCGGUCCCUGACUGCGAAAAAUGCCCAGUUUGGGCAGUGCACUAGAGAUAAAGUGCGAGGGCUUAAAUGAAAUUGUCACAACACCUUAUAUGGCACAAUCCUCUCCCCUUUUCACAGCAAACACAUACACACCUCUCCCUCUCAUUUCCUCUCUUCUCUCUCUCUAGAACUCACCUAGGGCUUGAAGGAGAAGAAGAAGAAGAAGCUUGAGGAAGGAUUUUUGGUGGACUUGGUGGGUCUAGAAGCUCUCCAACAAGAAGGAGCUUGCUAGAACUUGGGCCAAGGUAAGUUUUUAGCAUGUAGAGCUCUAGGGUUUGGAUUUCUCCCAAGAAAACUUAGGUUUUGGAGCUUUUUCGAUGAUUAGAGCACCUCUUGAGGCUUGAGCUCCAUGAAAAUCCAUGGAAGCCCAAGGUCCUCUCAUGGUGAAGUUCUAGGGUUCAUCUUGGAUGCCCUAGAAAUGGCUUAGUUGACCUUAGAUGAGCACCUAGAAGCUUGACAAGCUCUCUUUUGCUUGUUCUAGAGAUCAAAACCCAGGGUUUAGCAAUGGGUUUGGUUAGGGCACCAAAUUUGGGGCUUUUGCCCUAAGAUUUUUUGAGGGCGAAUUGACCUCGUAGAAACCUAAUUUGGGGUGUUCUCGACGCGUUGAACAACUCCGUUCGACGUUACGAAAAUGUUUAAAUAUGGUUCAUGUACAAAAGGCCUAAUAUGGCACUAUUUUGGUUAUAGGAUGCGGAAUCGGCUUUCGUAAAGUUCGGGAGUCGUCAUAUUCUACAUCCACACGACCACUCAAGGUGGGUGGUGCAUUCCAAGGACCUCGAAAAUUCCUUUAUGUCUAAGUGUCAUGUUUUGAACAUAAGUACAUAUUUGAGCAUUUUGCAUAAUAGGGUUAAAUUGUGAACUUUUUAUAGCAUGAUGUAAAUUCUAAUGCAUGUUAAAUACUUGUAAGAAUGUGAGAAUGAUAAACCCUAUUUAUGCAUGACAAGUGACUAGAACCUAGAAGGGUAAGUGAACAAAAGUGACACAUGGACAUAGAUCUAGUGAGUGACAUUGAUGAGUCAAGAACACUUAGAAAAACAAGUGUGGCAUUUGGCAUGAGAAGAAGAACAUAGCACUUAGAAAACAAGUGUGGCAUGAGUACAAGAACUUUGUAGUGUAUAUGACACAAGUGUUGGUAAAGAAUGCAAAGAAAAGAAUGCUUAAGAUAUUAUGACAUUGCAACCUUAGAGUUAAGGGUCAUUGAGCAUGGUCUUCCUUAAAGUUAUGGAAUGGAUUGAACUUGAAAUCCUCAAUGUAGGAUUGAUCGUACUCACCUUUAGUCCUUGCUCGAGGGUGGUAGCUCCCCCUCGGGCGAUGUGCUCCGGAGUCGACAUCACUGAGUUGUAGGAGGUAUCUCCCCAGAGGACGGUUAUCGGGUUGCAGCGGGUAUCUCCCCGGUUAAUAGGAUUUUGGGUUGGUGACCUUGUUGAGGGCGAAACCUACAGGCUAGCCAAGAGAUUGGGUAAAGAAAUUGUGAUCCUGCAUUCAUCAUGAGCAUUAUAUCGAGCAUCGCAUUUUAUAUUGUUCAGGCAUAUUAGUUGCAUUUGUUAGUUGGUUACUUUCUUUCCUCUAUUCUAUUAUGCCUGAUUAGACCUAGUGGGAUAGUCGGCGUGGUUGGUUGCCGAACCCACUAGAAACUUUGUUGUAGUUCUCACACCCCUAUUUCCACAGAGCCGAGAUCGAGCGAGCCCGCAGACGACCGCAGUAAGGGCAUCGCGCCCUAGGUAGAGACCGCCGAGAUGUUCUAUUUCAUAGUUGCAUACCCUUUUGAUAUAUCAUCUUUUGUACUUCGAUGAUUAUAGUUGUUAAAUGAAAGGACAUGGACGAUGUAAAAGAAUUUAUUUAAUAUCAAUGUUAUAUUUUGGAAGAAUGGGAUGUAAAAAGAAAUAAUGCAAAAUUGUAAUUGAUUUCCUAAGUGUAGUUAAUUACUUUCACUAUUGGCUAUUGCUUGCCCUCGUGCAAGCCAUUGUGUAUGCUUCCGCUUAUGCAAUCCUUAUACUCUAUUGAUACUUGUAGUUGAGCCUUGGGCGGACAGGGGAGGCUCUGUCCGUUCGGCGUCUGUUCGACGCUCUCGAACCAGCCAAAAAGGAUCGGGCUCGGGGCGUGACAGAUAAGAUGGUAUCAAAGCGUAAAAGAGCCAAAAAGUGAAAACAUAGGGUGGACCUAGAGACCCUUAGGAAUGGAAAACCUUAAGGAUCUAGAAAACGUGAGUGACGUUGAACAAGUUAUAGCGAAGGCAUGGAUUGGGUUGAUGUAAUUAUGUCUCUAAUGUGGUUAGGGACUAAACUUAAGUUGUCAUUAGUUUUCUAUUCCUUGUGUUGUGAUCGGCGGCCGACGACAUGAUGCUUUGGAAUGAAAAUGAAUACACUUAUAUGCUUUCGCCGGAUUGGGUAUAAUCGAGUAUGUUGUCUAAGUAACUAACGUGAGUUGCUUCGUUUCAAGAAGCAAUGCCGCCUCGUGGACGACCUAAGUUGCCUCGUGGUCCACCGCGGACGAGGUCUAUGGCCGAGGAGUCGAGUACGGCUUCUGUGCAACCCGGAGCAGGUGGCGACGGGGAGCUUCGGGAGCAGAUGGCCACGCUUAUUGGCGUAGUGCGGCAGUAGGCGCAAUCCGUUCAGCGCCAGGCGAAAUCCGUUCAGCACCAAAGGGAGCAAAUCCAAAGGCUCCAGGAGGCCUUGGAGCGGCAGCAGGCGGCGGCGGCAGCGACGCACGUGGAGGCCGUGCACCUUGCGCCUCCUGCAGUGGUGCCGAGUGCAAUCGAGGGUGUGGCCGCAGCGGCCGUGCCAGUUACGAUGGUGCCGGCAGGAUCGGGGACCUCAAACCACCGAUAGUGCUGCGGAGGAGGCAGAGCGGGAGCGCGCGUUGGCGGCUCUCAUUCGGUUUCAGAAGUUCAACCCACCUACCUUCGAAGGGGGAGUGGUGGAACCGGCGGUGGUGGAGUCCUGGAUCGACUCCAUGGAAACACUUUUCGAGGAUCUUAACAUCUUGGAGAAGGACAAGGUGUACCUCACCACACAUUGCCUUGAGAAGACGGCGAAGGUGUGGUGGAAGUGUGUUAGGCGGGAUCGAUCACCCGAUCUUCCGCCUAUGUUGUGGGAGGAGUUCCGGAGGGCGGUGUUCGCCAACUACUUCCCCGAUACGGUGAAGCGGAGGUUGCAAGAGAAAUUUCGCAAAUUGAGGCAAGGAGAUCGCUCGGUGGCAGACUACGAGCAAGAGUUCUCCCACCUCAUUGACUGCGUCCCGGAUGUUGUCAGGGAUGACCGGGACCGAGCAGACUGGUUCUUACAAGGAUUGCGGCCGGGGAUUCAUAGGGCCGUGCAAAUCCUUAAGCUCACGACCUUUGCGGAGGUCUUUGAUCGGGCUUUGUGGGCGGUGCAUGGUUAUGCCCACGAGCGCGAGGAGCGCGAGUCCGCGGCCGAGGCAAAGGGGAAGAGCAAGAAACGAGCGGCGGGUGGUACCGGGGGCCGGCCAAAUGCUAAGAAACCCCUUCGGUAUCCCCGACAGCAGUCGAUGGGUUGGAGGCCAUCCCAUUGUGUUAUUUGCGGCGGUAACCAUCAACCCCCGUCAUGCCCGCAACGGGAGGAAAAAUACUUCAAGUGUGGCCAACUUGGGCAUGUGUCACGAAAGUGCUCUAGCUGGGGUUCAUCUGCAUCGACCUCGGCAUCAGUUUCUUAUACCCCGAGACAGCAGGCGGGGUUACCGCUGUCUAUGUCGGCUGGGCGCUCGUCUUCAUCGCGUCAGCCGGAGGCAUCGAGAGCACCGAGUCGGUGGGUUUUUGCCACUCAGGUGGAGGAGGAGCCGAUUCCUGUUCCCGACGACAUCGUGGCAAGUAUUAUCUAUAUUAGAGGCACUAGAGCUAGAGCUUUAUUCAACACCAGUGCAUCGCAUUCAUUCAUUGAUGCAUCAUUCGCUAGGACUCAUAGCAUUAAGAUUGUGCAUCACUAUGACUAUUGGACGGUGAAUUCAGUCGAGCAUACUUUUUAUGUUCACGAAGAGUGUGUAGCGUGCCCAGUGCAGAUAGGUGAUCGGGUCAUGCCGAUCGACCUGUUGGUACUGAAUCGAAUGUGGGGUUUCGACAUGAUCUUGGGGACCAACUGGCUCUCCAAGUACUAUGCCGUGAUAGAUUGCGAAAGUAAGGUAAUCAUGUUUCAUGAGCCUAAUCGAGAGGAGCUAGUGUAUCAGGCGUCUAAAAGCUCGCUCUUCGUGGCGACCGUGUCGGCGGCACGGGCAAAGAAGAUGAUAAAGGGUGGUUGUGAAGCCUAUUUGGCGACAGUGGUAGAAGCCCCGAAGGAGCACCCGGAACUUAUUAGUAUUCGGGUGGCGUGUGAGUUUCCGGAUGUACUUUCGGUAGAGUUACCGGGUUUGCCCCCAGACCGGGAGAUCGAGUUUGUUAUUGACUUGGUACCCGAGGCAGCUCCAAUUUCGAAGGCUCCGUAUAGAAUGGCAUAGGCGGAGCUAAAGGAGCUCAAGGCACAAUUGCAAGACUUGCUCGACAAAGGCUUUGUGAGGCCGAACGCGUCACCCUGGGGAGCUGCGGUGUUGUUCGUUAAGAAGAAGGACGGCACACUCCGACUCUGCGUGGAUUACCGCGAGUUGAACAAGGUCACAGUGAAGAAUAAGUACCCGUUGCCGAGAAUUGACGACUUAUUCGAUCAGUUGCAGGGGUCAAGGGUAUAUUCAAAGAUUGAUAUUCAAUAGGGGUAUCAUCAGUUGAAGAAACGACCCGAGGAUGUGCACAAGACGGCGUACCGUACGCGGUAUGGCCAUUAUGAGUUCACGAUGAUGCCAUUUGGGCUCACUAACGCCCCGGCGGCAUUUAUGGACUUAAUGAAUAGAGUCUUCCAUCUGCUAUUGGGCUGAUGCGUCGUGGUAUUCAUUGACGACGUAUUGGUAUAUUCUUGGACCGAGGAAGAACACGAUGAGCACUUGAGGACCGUGUUGAAAAUACUCCGAAAAGAGAAGUUGUAUGCCAAGUUGAAGAAAUGUGACUUUUGGCUAUCGGAGGUCACUUUCCUUGGUCAUGUAAUUUUGGGCGAUGGUAUCUCGGUGUACCCGAAGAAAGUUGAGGCAAUUAGAGAUUGGCCUCGCCCGACGAGCGUAUCGGAGGUCUGCAGUUUCCUUGGGCUAGCGGGCUAUUACCGGCGGUUCGUGGAGAGAUUUGCUAAAAUAACUACUCCACUAACGCGCUUUACGCACAAAGGGGUGAAGUAUGUUUGGAGCCCCGAAUGCGAGCAGAGCUUCGAGGAACUAAAAGAAAAAUUGACCACGACCCCGGUGCUUGCCCUACCGACACCGGGGGAGACAUUUGUGGUAUAUAGUGAUGCUUCCUAUGUUGUACUCGGCUGUGUCUUGAUGCAAAAUGGGCGGGUUAUAGCUUAUGCUUCACGCCAACUGAAGACGUAUGAGAAAAACUACCCGAUCCACGACCUGGAAUUAGCGGCGGUUAUUUUCGCGCUAAAAUUAUGGAGGCAUUACUUGUAUGGGAAACAUUGUGAGAUCUACACCGAUCAUAAGAGUCUCAAAUACUUGUUCACCCAAAAGGAGCUAAACUUGCGACAGCGGCGGUGGUUAGAGUUGCUCAAGGAUUAUGACGCCACGAUUCUCUACCACCCCGGGAAAGCGAACGUCGUGGCCGAUGCUCUAAGUAGAAAGUCGGCGGAAAAUUUGGCGACGGAGGUUACGCCUCAACCGGCAUUGCAAANUUAAAUACUUGUUCACCCAAAAUGAGAUAGAUAUGCGACAGCGGCGGUGGUUAGAAUUGUUGAAAGAUUAUGAUGUUACUAUUCUAUACCAUCCCGGGAAAGCAAAUGUUGUGGCCUAUGCACUUAGUAGAAAAUCGGGAAAAAAUUCGGCUUCGGCAAUUAUACUCCAACCAUUGUUAGAAAAGGAGAUGCAACGGCUUAGAUUAGAAGUAGUAGCGCCGGGAGUGCCGGCUACACUUGCCGCGAUAGUGGUACAACCGACCUUAUUGGAGAGGAUCAAGGAGUUGCAAGCUUCCGAUGAGUAUCUCCAAAAGGUGCGCGGAGAAGUUGAGAGCGAUAGUGCCGAUGAUUUUAGCAUUGGGACCGACGGCACACUUCAAUUUUGGAAUCUUGGUGUGUGCCUAAGAACAAGGAUGUCCGCAAAGCAAUCGUGCAAGAGGCGCAUCAAUCUCCUUAUAGUAUAUACCCGAGCGGCACCAAAAUAUACUAAGAUUUGAAAUUGUAUUAUUGGUGGCCGGGCAUGAAGAAAGACAUUGGGGAGUUUGUUGUGCAAUGUCUUACUUGCCAACAAGUAAAAGCAGAGCGGCGGUUUCCGGCGAGGAAGUUGCAAAGUUUACCUAUACCCGUUUGGAAAUGGAAAAAUAUCGCGAUGGACUUCGUGACCGGAUUGCCUCGAUCUCAAGGUGGACACAAUGCAAUUUGGGUGAUAGUAGUCCGGUUGACGAACUCGGCACAUUUCCUACCGAUUCAUAUUACUUGGUCGGGGGACAAGUUGGCUCAACUAUAUAUCGACGAGGUUGUGAGACUUCACAGGUAUCGGUGUCUAUCGUAUCAGAUCGGGACCCGAGGUUCACAUCUCAUUUUUGGAGGAGCCUACAGGAGGCCUUAGGCACACGGCUCGACUUUAGCACGACAUUUCAUCCUCAAAGUGAUGGUCAAUCGGAGAGGACGAGACAAAUAUUUGAGGAUAUGCUCCGAGCAUGUGUAUUGGACUACAAGGGCAGUUGGCAUGAUCAUCUACCAAUGGCGGAGUUCGCGUACAAUAACAGCUACCAAGAGAGUAUCGCGAUGGCGCCAUUCGAGGCCCUUUAUGGAAAGAAAUGUCGCUCUCCAAUCCAUUGAAGCGAUAUGGGCGAGAGAACUACUCUUGGCUCAGAUGUGGUGCGAGAGGUGGCGGAGAAAGUUCGCCUUGCUCGUCAACGAUUAGCGGCGGCGCAAUCUCGGCAAAAGAGCUAUACCGACAAACGGAGAAAGGACAUAGAGUUUGCAAUUGGCGACCACGUCUUUCUAAAAGUAUCACCGAUGCGGGAAAUUAGGCGGUUUAGGCUCCGGGGGAAGCUAAGUCCCCGGUACCUCGGACCGUUUGAGGUAUUGGAGCGGGUCGGCGCGGUGGCGUACAAAAUAGCAUUACAACCGAGGCUUGCGGGAGUGCAUGAUGUAUUUCACGUAUCGAACCUCCGCAAGUAUGUUCAUGACCCCGAUCAUGUUCUAUCGUUUGAACCGUCCGAGAUCCAAGAGGACAUGACCUAUGAGGAGUUUCCGGCAUAUAUCAUCGAUCGAGAAGUAAGAAAACUACGAAAUCGCGAGAUUCCGGUGCAAUCAUGAUGAUCGGGAAGCCACUUGGGAGCUCGAGAGCGCAAUGCGGGAACAUUAUCCUUACCUCUUUAACGAGCUGAAUUGAGGUAUGAGUUUAAGUAUGAAUUAAAUAAGUUUCGCGGACGAAACUAAAUUUAAGGGGUGGAGAAUGUAACAUAUCGAAACCUCGGUAACUAAAUUCGAACCUUGGUCAAAUUGGCCAAAGUGCGAGGUUGGUACGCUUCGGAGAGGCCGGAGGCGUCAAAUAAUGCAAAAAUGCAUUUCGGGGGACCUUCGAUAGCUUUGAAAAUCAAAAUCUGCAAACUGCAGGUUUUGUGCUCUCGGGGACCUGUCCCUGGUGGGAGAGACCGAUCCCCGAACGCGUAGGCAGCGAGAUGGCUGAGAAAUCGGCUAAGUCCUGAACAAUCAGCACUCGGGAACCAGUCCUUGCGAGGAGAGACCGGUCCUCCAGAGAUCGGUCCCAUCGAGGGAGACCGGUUGUAUCGCGCACAGCCUGUGCAGUCCGCGGGAAAGGCUCUCGGGGACCGGUGCCAGGUCGGGGAGACCGGUCCCUGACUACUAAAAAUGCCCAGUCUGGGUAGUGCACUAGAGAUAAAGUGCGAGGGCUUAAAUGCAAUUGUCACAACACCUUAUAUGGCCCAAUCCUCUCCCCUUUUCACAGCAAACACAUACACACCUCUCUCUCUCAUUUCCUCUCCUCUCUCUCUCUAGAACUCACCUAGGGCUUGAAGGAGAAGAAGAAGAAGAAGCUUGAGGAAGGAUUUUUGGUGGACUUGGUGGGUCUAGAAGCUCUCCAACAAGAAGGAGCUUGCUAGAACUUGGGCCAAGGUAAAGUUUUAGCAUGUAGAGCUCUAGGGUUUGGAUUUCUCCCAAGAAAACUUAGGUUUUGGAGCUUCUUCGAUGAUUAGAGCACCUCUUGAGGCUUGAGCUCCAUGAAAAUUCAUGGAAGCCCAAAGUCCUCUCAUGGUGAACUUCUAGGGUUCAUCUUGGAUGCCCUAGAAAUGGCUUAGUUGACCUUAGAUGAGCACCUAGAAGCUUGACAAGCUCUCUUUUACUUGUUCUAGAGAUCAAAAUCUAGGGUUUAGCAAUGGGUUUAGUUAGGGCACCAAAUUUGGGGCUUUUGCCCUAGAAUUUUUCGAGGGCGAAUUAACAUCGUAGAAACCUAAUUGGGGGUGUCUUUGACGCGUUGGACAACUCCGUUCGACGUUACGAAAAUGUUUAAGUAUGGUUCAUGUACAAAAGGCCUAAUGUGGCAAUAUUUUGGUUAUAGGACGCGGAAUCGGCUUUCGUAAAGUUCGGGAGUCGUCAUAUUCUACACCCACACGACCACUCGAGGUGGGUGGUGCAUUCCAAGGACCUCGAAAAUCCCUUUAUGUCUAAAUGUCAUGUUUUGAGCAUAAGUACAUAUUUGAGCAUUUUGCAUAAUAGGGUUAAAUUGUGAACUUUUUAUAGCAUGAUGUAAAUUCUAAUGCAUGUUAAAUACUUGUAAGAAUGUGAGAAUGAUAAACCCUAUUUAUGCAUGACAAGUGACAAGAACCUAGAAGGGUUAGUGAACAAAAGUGACACAUGGCAUAGAUCUAGUGAGUGACAUUGAUGAGUCUAGAACACUUAGAAAAACAAGUAUGGCAUUUGGCAUGAGAACAGAAUGAUCGAGAUAUUAGUAGUGUAUAUGACACAAGUGUUGGUAAAGAAUGCAAAGAAAAGAAUGAUUGAGAUAUUAUGACAUUGCAACCUUAGAGUUAAGGGUCAUUGAGCAUGGUCUUCCUUAAAGUUAAGGAAUGGAUUGAACUUGAAAUCCUCAAUGUAGAAUUGAUCGUACUCACUUUAGUCCUUGCUCGAGGGUGGUAGCUCCCCCUCGGGCGAUGUGCUCCGGAGUCGACAUCACUGGGUUGUAGCGGGUAUCUCCCCGGUUAAUAGGAUUUUGGAUUGGUGACUUUGUUGACGGCGAAACCUACAGGCUAGCCAAGAAAUUGGGUAAAGAAAUUGUGAUCCUGCAUUCAUCAUGAGCAUUAUGUCGGGCAUCGAAUUUUAUAUUGUUGAGGCAUAUUAGUUGCAUUUGUUAGUUGGUUACUUUCUUUCUUCUAUUCUAUUAUGCCUUAUUAGACCUAGUGGAAUAGUCAGCGUGGUUGGUUGCCAAACCCAUUGGAAACUUUGUUGUAGUUCUCACACCCCUAUUUCCACAGAGCCGGGAUCGAGCGAGCCGGCAGACAACCGCGGUUAGGGCAUCGCGCCCUAGGUAGAGACCGCCGAGAUGUCUAUUUCAUAGUUGCAUACCCUUUUGAUAUAUCAUCUUUUAUACUUCGAUGAUUAUAGUUGUUAAAUGAAAGGACAUGAACGAUGUAAAAGAAUUUAUUUAAUAUCAAUGUUAUAUUUUGGAAGAAUGGAAUGUAAAAAGAAAUGAUGCAAAAUUGUAAUUGAUUUCCUAAGUGUAGUUAAUUACUUUCACUAUUGGCUAUUGCUUGCCAUCGUGCAAGCCAUUGUGUAUGCUUCCGCUUAUGCAAUCCUUAUACUCUAUUGAUACUUGUAGUUGAGCCUUGGGUGGACAGGGGAGGCUCUAUCCGUUUGGCGUCUGUUCGACACUCUCAAACCGGCUAAAAAGGAUCGGGCUCGGGGAGUGACAUUUACCGAUCUCCCGAGUUCGCCGACAACUGAAUAAACUAACCGAGAUACCACUACACCUCACGAAGUGUCACAGGUCACCCCAAGUAUCUCGAACUCAUGCCUGCUGUCCCCAGAUGGCAUAUUUUAGCUUUUAGGGACAACCGUAUGUAACCUAUGUAUCAACGGGAGAUACAACUCCAAAACCAAAACAACUCGGGCUCCGAGGUACUUAUUUCGAUACCGGAACCACCUACAAACGCUCGCUACCAAGAGGGACAUAAAACGUGAAAAUAUACUACCCAACGAGGCUAAACAAUAACUCCGAACAGCAGUAACAUUGAUUUCAUGAAAUUGGAACCGAAAUCAGCUUCAACUGAUCCAAUUUUAGCUCGAUUUGGGUCAUUUCACACCAAUCAACCACGAAAUGGUUCCAAACCUUGGACAACAAGUCCAAACUCACAGCAUCACUAAACACAAUCGUCCAACACUGCCCACCAUGCCCAAAAGUAUUGGACUGCCGAGUUCAUAAUGCAAUUGCAUGUACACCAAAUAAAGCUACAAAAGAGAAUUUGAGCAACUUACCAAACUUCCACGAUCUGGAAGUGAAUCAAAAGUGCACGGGGAUCAAAUGACGUGCCUCAAGGUGUUAUGAACCAGCGUCGGAGCUACCCUGACGAUCUCCAACCGUCGAAAAGCAAGGAUAGGCCGCGGGGAACAAAAUUGGCACACCAUUGGUUCGCAAUUCCACCGAUCGCCUGAAACGCACCAGCGAGAUGUGCACCGCGUAGAGGAUGCUCUCACGAUCACCGUGCUCUAAAGAAACCUGAUUUUCGACUCCCAGAUUGCCCGAAAGAGCCAAAGCAAGAAAUGGUCAUUUUACCGAACAUGUGGCGGGCACAAUUGAAAAUAGGGAUUCGGGGCAUUGAUACCUGAAAUUCAGGGGAGCACGAACCAGCACCAACACUAAGAAGUGCCGUGCUCACCAGUGGAUAGUUACCAGAGAAGCCGGGUGGCCGCGACGGUUAGCAGGCCUAAUAGAGGGUUGGAAGAGUUGUAGGGGGACACUAACCCACAGGGAAAGGCCAUCGAAGGUCCGGCGAACGGCGGCGGCGCUCGGGGCUACUGCGGCUGCAAUAGGAGCAGCGUGUCACGGUCUUAGCGGUUUUGUUCGCAAAGCCCGUGCGACGCCCGCCUUCCUGCUCGAAGAUGGGCAAGCCUUCGUCCCUGUUGCUAGCCCGGACCUUCGCGUCCUAUGAUUAAAUAUGCAAAGGGAAUGACAAAAAGAGAGAGGCAGAUGUUCACUCAAAAAACUAAGUACUCCAUUAUUUAGAAAAAGAGAUUAUAGCACACAUACACACUCCCACUUGUGUCUUUUGGCCUUAGUCAAACCCCACUAUUUAUAAGCCUAAGGAUACAAUGAACCUAGCCACACACUCACCCACUAACUCAUACAAUAAUGAGCCCUCAUUAAUGCUAGGUGAUCCCAAGAGUUACUCAUGUCCCUUGGGUUUCCGCCAGCAAUUAUGGAUGCAUUAAUUGCAGCAGUUACAUACCGAUUCAUCUCCCAUGAAAGGCUGCUGGUUUUGGGCCUCCUUGACAACCCGCUCCGCUAGCGAAAUUAGGCCAAGGACUCGGCCGCACUGAAAAUAACUAAGUCUAUGACAUUCUCCCCCACCUAACGCGCAGAUGCCCUCGUCGCGCGCCAAGCUGCUCCCGAUCAGCAUAGCCUUCCGCACAGUCCGCCGAGCCUUCGUGCUCGAACGACCCUGUUCCUUGCCACUGCAGUCCACCUUUGUCCCCACAUCAGCCCCUAGUGCCUUGCUCCUCUGAGCACAAGCACCUGCAAGCUCCCUGUGUGGAGAAUUCACCGAGUGUGCAUGUCCUCCGCGACACACACGCACACUCCGCCAAGUUGCAGAACUCACCUUGGUCCUCGCAGGCUCCUUGGCAGAAUGGCUUGCACUUUGGUUGGGCGCUAGCUGUUUUAGCACUGCAUGAGACUUGACAGUCUCACUACUGCUCAGGCCUUCCUUCUCGAGGUCCUUAGCCUUUCCGCGCUUCCCCUCCUCGUAAAGUUGUAGGGCAGUAAGGUUCUCGUUGUGCCCCUUUGCGUCCCCUGUAUCACGGCAAUCUCUCCCACCUUUGGCCUCGCUCCCCUUAGGUGGUUUGCCAUGAUCACUCUCGGUCCGAUCGGGUAGUGCCUCUCUCGUCUUAAGGUCCUCGACCUCCUUGAGCCGGGCAUCGAUGUCUUGAAGCAAUACAUGUCGCACAUCCCGCUCGUCGUUGUGACGAGCAAGAUUCACCUUGAACUGCUCCAAAUGAUGGCGGAAUGUUGCCAUGGCUGCAACAAUAUCCUUCUCCAUCAAAUGAAGCCCUUUCUCCAACAAACUUGCAGUUUGUAGAACACAGAGGGCUGCUUCUCCAUUCUCGUCGUAAUAUCCUUCUGCAACCCCGCACAGUACUUUAAGGAUGCGGCCUCCUUCGCAAGUGCCUACGGCUCCUUGCUCCUUUCCCGCUUGGUCUCCUUUAGAGGCUCAUCAGUUACAUUGAUGACAGUAACAUUGUAACAUACCGAAACUUCGAUAAGCUAUAUCGGGCUUUAGUCAAAUCGACUAAAGUGUGCGAAAGGAAUAGUUGGACGAAGUCAAAUUAACAUUCCAAUAAUGUUGGAAAGGUUAAAAAGGAGUUCUAAAAGAGUUAGAAAGGUUUUAGCAUUGCUCGGCGCGAAUUAGAGUCGAACAAGUGCUAAAACUGCAGUCUGGACGUUUUGUACCGGUACAACAUCGAAAGUGUACCGGUACACAUGCAGUUUACCCGAGAAGCUACUCUCGAAUUUGGUUCUGCGAGAUCGUGUUACCGGUGACAAGAAUUCUGUACCGUUACACUUUGGGUCUGGCAGCAAAAAUUGGUCUGCUGCAAUUAUGAGUGUUUGGGAGGUCUAGUUGCUAUUGUUGCAACCUAUAAAUGACCCCAACACCCCUCUUCUCCUCACAGCAGCUGAGAGCCCUUCUCCCCUUCAUUUCUCUCCCUCUCUCUCUUUAAAAACUCUCUCCAAAGGCUAAAAGAGGUGGAUUUGAAGGAGAUUUUGGAGGAUUAAAAGACCUAGAAGCUCUCCUACAAGGUGGACCUUGCGGUGCUUUGGACUAAGGUGAGUUUUUAUGCAAGAAUGAUUCUAGGGUUAGGAUUUAUACCAAAAAUCUUUGAGUUUUGAUCUUCUUGCAAGGCUAGAAACCCUCUUGAGGCCAUGAACUCCAUGAAACCCAUGAGUUUCUCAUGUGCUCUCAUGGUGAUCAUCUAGGGUUCAUAUUAGAUGCCCUAGGAAUGUUUGGAAUGGCUUAGAAAUGGUAUUAGAGAAGUUCUUAGAUGGUUCUAAGCUAGCUUUUGCUUAGCUCUAAGAUCAAUCCCAGAAAAUUUGCAAUAUGACAUUGUUAGGGCAACAAAAUUGGGACUUUUGUCAUAGAUGGGUUUAAAUGUAAAUUACCUAUGUAAACCUAAUUAAAGGUAUUUUCGACGCGUUGGUGAAGUCGGUUCGGCGAUUUGUCGAGCAUACGUGACGAUAUUGAAGAAACAGACGUUUUGGCUUCGUUUCCGCCUGGAGGGCCGAGGCGACAUCUAAAAAUCACGAGAACGGAUCCGGAGCAUCGUGGUAUCAAGUUAUAGACCUUAAAUUUUCAGAUUGUGGAUUGGUGGCCGUUUGGUGGUCGACUCCGAGUUCGGGCCGAACCGGGCGGUGUGUACCGCGGGAGGCCGAUUGCAAGUGACUACAAGCAAUCGGAAAGCGAUUUGAGAUGGGUUGUGCUCACCGAAAUGUUUAGCUCACUUCCAUGCCAAAGUGAAGUGUGAAUAUUGUUGAUGCAUGUGUAGUUGGUAGAUUGUAUGUGAUAAUAUGAAGUGCAUAAAUCAUGUUAUGCUAGAUGUUGUUACCUACCAUGAGACACUAUAUGAAUAUAUGAAGUAGUGGCUAAAGAAUACAUGUGAUAGCUGCAAAUGAAUGCAUGAUGGAGUUGCUAAGUGAAUGCAUUUGAUGUAUGCUAAGUGAUUGUAAGAGCUAAAUGUUAAAUGCAUGUAUAAGAUGUAUACGAACGAAUGCAUAGAGUAUAUGAUAAGUGAGAAUAUGAACUAGAUGCUAAGUGAAUGAAUAAGAAUAUAUGCAUGAUUCCAAUUGUAAGAAUAUGCUAGAAUGACAUGAAUGUGAACUUAGAUCGAUGAACUCUAAGUAGAGUAAAGAACUCGACAAGUAUAGCUUGUAAACUAAGAAUCCUAAGUAUAAAUAACAAGGACAACAGUGGCAAUGAAACCUAGUGUCAUUGAACAUAGGUGAUUCAUGAGUGGCAUGUCAAGUAUGAUUCCUAGGUGUGGACAACUAGGAAAAUAAGAACAUGAGUGGCAUUGAACCUAGAGUCAAAUGAACCUAGAUAGUAAAGAAUAAUAGACCUAGUAUUAAUGAACCUAGACUAUGAGCAUAGAGGCAACGAACCUAAUGUAUUAAACUUAGGUUGAGUAAAGGCUUGGACCUAGAUAGGUCGAUACUAUAGGGUGAGACCAACCUUAGAGUUGUGAAAGUGGAUUCCAGAAUCCCGGCUGCUAGUGCAGCAUAUGAGCUGGAUAGUUCUUAGCCGCGGGUGCGUGUGGCAUAUUCCCCUCCCACUGGAAGAACUUCGAGGUUUGUGACUAAACAAGAUUCUUGGCCGCGAGUGUAUGUGGCAUGUUCCUCUCUCACCGGAAGAAUCUUGAGCUCUAGGGUGUAUGUGGCAUGUUCCUCUCCCUAUCAGGGGGUCUUGGCUGUGGGUGUAUGCGACAUGUUCCUCUCCCACCGAGAGAUCCCUGACCACGGGUGUACGCAGCUCUGGGCGACCCGUUGGGCGAUGCGGUUUGUGGAUUGAAGGCUAAGGUGUAUGUGAGAGUUCCUUCACCUCGAGCCGGACAGAGCGCGGAUUAUCCGUAGUUGAUUGACUCUAGACCGAGUCGAGUGGCAUAGUUGGUUAAGAUAAAGUAACCUUAGGAGAGAGUGGCAACUGUGUAUAAUAUGGCUAAGGUAUGAGCACCCUUGGUAAAGAAUAAAGAAUAAAGAAUAAAGAAUAAUAGAACGGCUAAUGCUAAAGUAUAGCAAUAAUAAAGAAUGUCAAAGAAUAAAGAUUUGCAAGUAGUAAGAAAUGACAAGUGAUAAAGAAUUGCUAAUAACAUAAUGAAUGGCAGAUGAUAGAGAGAAGAAUCAAUUAAAUCUACUUGCAUGGAUUUACAUAUUGCAUAUUAUGAGGUAUGAACAUGAUGAAAGUCAGUUGCAUGAAUUAUAUAUAUAUCUAUGGAUAUUUGUCGGACUAAUAUGUUGCAGUGCCUCCUUUGGACCUGGUAGGUCGAGCUUUUUCCUUGGAUAACCGUACCCACUAGAAACUAUGGACAAUAGUUCUCAACCUCGUUUUGUUUUUGGGGGUACAGGUUCACACGUGAGCGGUACGGCGACACGAGGAAAGGGCGUAGCUCCGUAGAUAGCGCCCUACCACCGAGACCAGAGAUAGUGGUACCCUGAGUCGGCUUAACUUAGGGUUAUGAAAGGAAAAAAAAACCAAGUUGGAUCUAAUUUGUAAUAAUCUUGUUUAAGCUAUAUUGUAUUUGGAAGCUAAAAAGAAAAUAAAAAAUGUAAUAUGUGAUGUAAAAUGUGAAUUGAGUUGAAUGCUUGUAAUAGCAUAAUAGUACUUAUGUUUUCAUACAUUCCUUAUGCAAUCUUUGUUGAAUGCUGUUCUUGGUUGGAACCUCGUGCAUUAUUUGGAUUGCGACGCCUUGGACGUACAGGGGAGACUCUGUCCGCGGUACAGGAAAAACCCUGUCCGUUCGGCAGUCUGUUGGCGUGCCAGAAUUCGGCCAAAGAAGCGGGCUUUGGGCGUGACAGAUAAGAUGGUAUCGGAGCAUAAAAAGAGUAUAAAGAGAACAUAAAAGGAAUAAUAGAAAUGGUUUAGUUGGACCUAGGAGACCCUAGAAUAGUAAACCAUAGAGGUUAAGGCUUGUGAGAGACGAGGACUUGAGACUUGUGGCGAAAAGUUAAUGAUUGGGUUAUGUUGUAAACCUCUAAGACGGAUGUUAGAGGUAGAUUCAAGGUGUGGUUUAUUCUCAGCCGGGUGUAUUCAUGUUGGCGUACGACAACAUGAACCCGAGUAAGGAGAAUAAACGCUUUUGUAUGACUUUCGCCCAAUUUGAGUCGAUGUUAAUUAUUUUGUGCUUGACCUAAAAGAGUUGAGGAUUAAUCGAGUUGUCAUGUUUCAGGAAACGAUGGCACCGCGUAGGCAAUCUUCGUCCAAAUCGACGCAGGGUGGGACAAGUGGUGUCCCCGAGCAAUCUGAGGCGAGCGGAGACUUGGAACUUUGCGAAUAGUUGGUCACACUUGUGGGUAUGGUGAGGCAACAAGCUGAUGUGGCGCAGCGACAGCAGGAGGCUGCUAUGCGCUAGGAGGAGCGAAUUAAGAGACUCCAGGAAACGGUAGAUCAAUUGGUGACUGCACCAGUUGCGGCUCGUCGAGGACGGCCGGGAGUUGCGGCGGAGAUCUCUUCGUCGGGGGUCGGGCUAUCCGACUCCUGAAAGCGCGUUGGUGGAGGCGGAGAAAGAGCGAGCUUUGGCAGCCCUCAUGACCUUCAUAAAGUUUGAUUCGCCUAUCUUCAAGGGAGAGAAUGUCGACCCGUGGAUCGUGGAGACGUGGCUUGACUCCAUGGAAACACUCUUUGAGGAGUUGUAUACCUUGGAGCGGGAUAAGGUGAACCUAGCCGUGCAUUGUUUAAAACUGUCGGCAAGGGUGUGGUGGAAAGGCAUUCGGCGGAACCGAUCGCCUAGUCUUCCUCCUAUGACUUGGGAUGAGUUUCGGGGAUUAGUGUUUUCGACUUACUUCCCCGACGUUGAAAAGAGACAGCUUUAUUUCUAGUCACGUCUAGUCUUCCUCCUAUGACUUACUUCCCCGACUUGGGAUGACUUGGGAUGAGCUUCAUUCGGCGGACUUACUAUACUGGUAGACUAUAAAGAUGGCAUUUUUCGUUUUAUUGAAAAUCAUAUCUAAUUGCAUAAUAAUACACCAUCUUUAGAAGAUUCGCUGUAGAAUGCCUUGAUUACUACAUUUUGUCAAAUAUACUAUUUUUGUUUUCUCAAAUAUAUUAUUUUUAGUUAUAUUCUAUUCGUUCCUCAUCUUUAUUUCUGGUCUCCUUCGCCACAAUUGGAAAGCUAUUUUGGCUCCGCCUAAGUCAUUUUAAUGUGUCAUAAUAUAAUUUCCUACCUAACUCAUUUUUCGUAUACUUUAUUUUACUUUUUAAAGUUUUUAAAUGCUAAUAAGUUUGUAUCUUUAUAACCAUUUAUCUCUUAUGUUAAUUGUGCAAGUCAUCGUCCUUCUGACACAUCGCUAUCAUUCUUACCGGUGUGACACAUCAUUGUCAUCGCCUUCACUAGCACAUCAUCAUCGUCACCUUUGCCAGCACUUCGUCGUCAUCCUACUCAUCAGAACAAUCAUUUUUUCUGAUAGUUGGAAAGGUAUUUUUGUCCUACCUGAUGUUUUCAAUCUAUACCUNUUGAACUAGAAUACUAUUGAUAGCAAAUCGGUUCUUUUGCCACCCAUUUGUUCUCGAUGAUGGAGCCUCCAAAUUGAUGAUCGGCACCAUUGAACAUGAUCUAUACCAUUUGAAGUAUUUAGAAAUCAAAUUUUAUACAUUUUCGAUAUUGUUCUCUUAUUCAUCAAGUGGAUACAAAAAUGAACGGCUGAAAAUGAAUAUUCUUAAAAAAUGAUGACAGGAGUCUUGUAAUCAAGAUCAAGAGUAUAGAUCUUGUUUUAAAUAGUUUAAAGAAUUUUCUAACAGAAAUUCAAUUGAUUUGGAUAUCUUUACGCCGUUAAAUGAGAAAACGCCUCAUAUCGACCAUUAAAAUUACAAAUUUUAAAACCCUUUGAUCAUUUGGCAAAUGAUGUCGAAAAAAUUUGAAAUUUGAUUUCUAAACACUUUAAGUGGCAUAAAUCAUGUUCAACGGUGUCGAUCGUCGAUUUGGAGGCUCCAUCAUCGAAAACAAAUGAGUGGCAAAAGAGCCCGUUUGCUAUCGAUAGUAUUCUGCUCAACUCUCUCUCUCUCUCUUUCUCUCUCUCUCUCUCUCUAUAUAUAUAUAUGCAUAUAAUACAAAUGUUGCAUAUAAUAUAAACACAUAACUUUUAAUUUUUCUUAAAAAUAUUUUUUUUUUCAAACUUCUAAUAGACGUGAAUUAAGUCCGACGAAAACUUAAAAACCAAACGAUAUUAAAUAUUCUUUCACAAAUAAAAAAAUUCUUUAAAAUUAUAUUAGGAAAAAAUUCAAAACAAUAUAAUAAUUCAAAACCAUAAUAAAUGGAAUAACUCAAUAUGCCAUACAACAUGGGUGACUAAACAUAUAUAGACAUUACACAAUUUAUUUAUUCAAAAAUAAUAAAAUAUUUUUUAAAAUUUUAAAAAUAUAAAAUAUUAGCAAUCUUUAAAUUUUAAAUAGAUCAUAAAAAAUUAAUAUGAUCAAAAUAUAUUACUAUACAUGAAGAAGAAGAUUUAAAAAAAUGCAUAGAUUCAAAAAAAUUUAUCUAUAAUUUAAAGUGCAUAUAUUGAGAAAAUGAUAUAUAUGUUAGAAACUUUAGGAGAAAUUCGGAUCGUACCUUCUGCCAUGAUUUCGAUUUCUGUACCCGAUUUGUAAGCGGUGAUUCUUUCUCGUAGUUCGUCCUCGUUCGUGAUCUGCAAGAAGACGGGACGUUUCGAGUCUAAUUCCCUUAUUCCCGGAGAUGGAGCCGUCACAGACAAUUGGAUUAGGAUUAGACCGGGACUCCCGUAUGUUACAUAUUUAUAUAUAACUUAAUGUAAGGAUGUUAAAUCACGUCCGUCCAUCAAGGACGUGUCCAGAUACAUCCUAACCGUAAGAUCUAAAAUAUCUUUAUAGAUCGACUUAAAUAGAUUGACCGUAUCUUUAUGGAUCGCCUUGAAUAUAUCACGUGGGCCACAUCCAACAUUCUCCCACUUGGCCUAGUGAUAUAUUUAUUACCGUAUAGGCGAUACAAAAANNNNNNNNNNNNNNNNNNNNNNNNNNNNNNNNNNNNNNNNNNNNNNNNNNNNNNNNNNNNNNNNNNNNNNNNNNNNNNNNNNNNNNNNNNNNNNNNNNNNNNNNNNNNNNNNNNNNNNNNNNNNNNNNNNNNNNNNNNNNNNNNNNNNNNNNNNNNNNNNNNNNNNNNNNNNNNNNNNNNNNNNNNNNNNNNNNNNNNNNNNNNNNNNNNNNNNNNNNNNNNNNNNNNNNNNNNNNNNNNNNNNNNNNNNNNNNNNNNNNNNNNNNNNNNNNNNNNNNNNNNNNNNNNNNNNNNNNNNNNNNNNNNNNNNNNNNNNNNNNNNNNNNNNNNNNNNNNNNNNNNNNNNNNNNNNNNNNNNNNNNNNNNNNNNNNNNNNNNNNNNNNNNNNNNNNNNNNNNNNNNNNNNNNNNNNNNNNNNNNNNNNNNNNNNNNNNNNNNNNNNNNNNNNNNNNNNNNNNNNNNNNNNNNNNNNNNNNNNNNNNNNNNNNNNNNNNNNNNNNNNNNNNNNNNNNNNNNNNNNNNNNNNNNNNNNNNNNNNNNNNNNNNNNNNNNNNNNNNNNNNNNNNNNNNNNCAAAAGAGAGAACUGGACCGAACACGAUGGUCUCUUGCGAAUGCGAGUUGGAUUGCCACCCCUAUUGUGAUGGCAUUAUUUGGCAAAAAAAAAAGGUAAGAAAACCUCAACUUGUUAUUUAAAAUAGAAUAGAUAAUAGAGUGUCAAUCUUUCGAGAUUCGUAUGUUUGAAUUUUAAAUGCAAUAUCUUUUUAAAUCUAUAGGUUCUGUUUGUUGUUCUCGAUUUUCAAUUUUAUUUUACAAACGGGUAUAUAUAUCAUUUUCUCAAUAUAUGCACCUUUGAAUUAUAGAUAAAUUUUUUUGAAUCGUAUGCAUUUUUUUAAAUCAUUCUUCUUCAUGUAUAGUAAUAUAUUUGUUGAUCAUAUUAAAUUUUUUAUGAUCUAUUUAAAAUUUAAAGAUUGCUGAAUAUUUAUAUUGUAAAAUUUUAAAAAAUAUUCUUAUUAGUUUUUGAAAUAAAUAAAUUCGUUAAUGUUAUAUAUUUGUCACCCAUGUUGAUACUGGCACAUUGAAUUCUUCCAUUUAUAUAUGGUUUUGAAUUAUUAUAUUGUUUUGAAUUUUUCCUAAUAUCAAUUUUUAAAGAAUUUUUUUUUAUUUGUGCGAAAGAAUAUUUAAUAUCGUUUGGUUAUUUAAGUUUUCGUCGACUAAUUCACGUCUAAUUAGAAGUUGAAAUAAAAAUAUAUUUUUAAGAAAAAUUUAAGAAGUUAUGUGUUUAUAUUAUAUGCAACAUUUAUAUUAUACUGCAUUAUAUAUCCCGCACGCGCGGGUAUAAGAGAGGAGAGAGAAUGAAGAGAGAGAGAGAGAGAGUGAGCACAAUAUAUCGAUAAGCAACGGCUCUUUUGCCAGCCAUUUGUUUUGUGAUGCCGCAGCUCCAAAUCGCGAUCGACACGUUCCUUGAAUGGACGGACGCUGAUUUAACAUCCUACAUUUAAGUUCAUAUAUAAAUAUGUAACGUAUAUGGGAGUCCCAGUCUAAUCCUAAUCCAUUGUCUGUGGACCUCAUUUCCGGGAAUAGGGAUUAGACUCGAAACGUCCGUCCUUCUUCCGCAGUCAGCGAACGAUGACGAACUACGGAAAAGGAAUCUCCGCCUUAAAAAUCGGUAACAGAAAUCGAAAUCAUCAGAAGGUACGAUCCGAAUUUCUCCUAAAGUUUCUAACAUGUGGUAUCAGAGCAAACCUUUUCGGAUUGUUCGAUUCUUUCCGGAUUUCGUUGGUUUUUUUCACAUUAAAGACAAUAAAAUCAAAUAAAUCGUCAAUGGUUUGCCGUUAUGGUAACGUCGGCCGAAUCUCAAUCGAGAACCGAACGGCCCCGCGUCACCGGUGCUCGCGCGGUCGAGCAUGGCACAUUUAGCGGCUCCAGAAUACUGCUUCCUUAGAGGUGGUGCACCAUAAGACACUUAAUUAAUUACGCAUAAGUUAUCAGGCUAAUUAAUUUAAGAUAGCCCAGUGCGUCUCCAUACAGUGGCUACCCAUGAGAGCCGUACGUGGCCGAAGGCUGCUUUGGUUGCGGCUCGCAUUAAAAAAAAAAAAAAAAAAAAAAAAAAAAAAAAAACGAUUGACGUUGGCAGCAUUAUGUGGCCCUCUAUUGUGCUAGCGGGGCCAUGAGGUCACAUGUAUGGUCCAUUAGAGGCUUGUGUGGCUCUUAUACGCUAGGCCGGGCCACGGCCGAUAAUAUGUACGGCUCAUUACGGGCUACACAAGCUUGCAGGAGCAUUCAUGGCUGCGGUCAACACCCAAAAAUUAUUUAUUUAUUUAUUUUUUAAUGAAAAGGAAAGUAUAUAUAAUGCAUGUAAUAUGGUUUAUAAUUUUCUUUAUAAGGUGACUUAUUUAUGAAGAGUCUAUAUAUUAAAGUUAUAUAUAACUUUUUGGUAUUUGUUAUAUAUAUUUCUGUUCUACUCGUUUGUUUAUUCAUGAUAUAAAGAGUAUGUUUAGUUUAAUAUUUUUACAAUAUAUUUUGUUUUUGCAUUAUUACUCUAAACAUAUAUAAGAUGAUCAUGAAAAUUUUAGAGUAAAGAAUAUAGACUUCAUACAGUUUAUAAAUUUUGAGUCACAUAAAGUUUAAAAGAAAAUUACUUUGGACUUUUAUUUUUCCGCUGCGUUUUGGAAUAAUGUGAAAUUUUCGGUCAUUCAUAUCAUAUAUGGACUUGUGAGAUUAACUAUGUUUAGGAAUAGCCACAGCAUCCUAAUCAUGUAUAUGAUCUCUUAUGGUAUUUUUAUAAGAUGAUAUUGAAUUAAAGUUAAUCCGAAAAUUCAUAUGGAUUCCCAAUUAUUUUAAAUAGUCAUUCAAUGUCAAUAAUGUCAUUCAAUGUCAAAUAAGCUAUUUAUAUUUUUCAUUAUGCUCAGGAGUAGCCACAGCAUCCUAUAGAUAAUGAAAAUAUAUAAAGAUAUAUUGAUAUUGAAUUGAAGUUAUUUGUAUUUUUCAUUAUGCUCAGGAGUUAGCCACAGCAUCCACUAUAGAUAAUGAAGAAUAUAUAAGGAUUUACUGAUAUUGAAAUAAAGUUUGACUAUUUAUUUGCAGUCAAAUAAAUUAAUUUCUGAAUGUUGACUGGAAUAAGAUAGUGCGAUUGAAUUUCUAGAUAGCGAGUUUCGCUAUGCCCACAGGUACAGAAUCUUGUUGUUUAGAAAUUAGUUUCUGCUAGUCUUAUUAUUAAAGUAGAUGAAUUCUAGCGUGUAGCACCUCUGCCCACAGGAAGGUAGAAUUUAUCUAAUCUAAAGAUUAUUAUCUAUAGUAGGCGAUAAAGUUCAAUAUUUUCCUUUGUUUUUGCAGCUUCUUCCUCUACUGCAUUUCUUAAUGAUGUUUCUCGUAUUCCUAUACUUACUGGGGACAAUUAUUCUGAUUGGAAAGAAAUAUUUCUUUAACUUUGGAUUAUAUGGAUUAGACUUGGCUCUGCGUAUUGAGCAACCCACCUAAACGGUAGUGGCCAAUGACUACACAGCUGGAAUCUGCGCAGGAAAGAGUGGAGCGAUCCAACAGCUUAAGUUUGAUGCUCAUAAAGCUCUAGAGUAUCAAAAAGCAUAAGGGGAUCAAUUCCAGAAUGUGAUAAAGCCAAGGAUUACCUAAAGCCAUUGAGGAGCAGUUUGUUAGCCCCUAUAAAGUUUGUCUCGAAAAGAAGGGCAUUGAAACUAUCUAUAUUUGUUAUGAAUCUCAUUUAGUUAAUGUUCCUAAACACACAUGGUGGAUUGACUUCUGGAACUACUGUCACAUAUUUAAAUACCAUACAGGGUUUUCAUAAUCUAAUGAUGUUAAGCCAAAUGAAAGGAUUUUAAUUAGCGGAGAAGAAAUAGAUGUCAAGUUGAAGCCGUAGGAAAGUUUAUUUUAGAGCUUAAAACUGGUUUUAUACUUGAACUUGAGGAUACUUUUUAUGUUCCUAAAUUUUCUAGAAAUUUAGUUUCUGUUUCUAAAUUGAGAAAUAAAGGUUUCAAAUUUUUAUUUGAAAAUGAAUCUUUUACUAUGUUCUCCGAUAUGUUAGUGUUGGCAAUGGUUGUUUGGUAGAUGAUUUGUACAAGAUUUAAUUUGAGUCAAUCUUUUUGAAAAUAAUUUUAAUGUUGAUCAUGAAUUGGUGUUUUAAAAGGAACCAUUAUUAAAGAAAACUCCUCAUUUUUAUGGCACAAGCGUUUAGUCAUAUCUCUUUAGAGAGAAUAAAGAGGUUGGUAAAAGAAAAGAUCUUACAAGAUCUUGAUUUACCGAUUUUGGACUUUGUGUGGAAUGCAUAAAGGGAAAGCAUACUAACACAAAUACACUAAAGGUGCCAGAAGGAGUUCUGAAAUUCUUGAGUCAAUCAUACAGAUAUCUGUGGACCUUUUCCUCUCCUUGUUUCAGAGGUCAAGAGAAUAUUUUAUCUCAUUUAUUGAUGACCAUUCAAGAUAUAGUAUCUCUAUCUCUUAUUUGAAAAAGCUGAUGGCUCUUGAUGCUUUAAAGCUUAUAGGGUUGAGGUAGAGAAACAAAAAUUGGAUAGGAAAAUCAAGAUUGUAAGGUCCGACAGAGGGGGUGAGUAUUAUGGAAGACAUACGGAUAAAGUUCAAAUGAUCGGUCCAUUGGUCAAUUCCUCAAAGGGAAGGCAUCAUUGCACAGUAUACCGAUGCUGGCACCGUCAGCAAAAUGACGUUGCGGAAAGGAGGAAUAGAACACUCAUGGACAUGAUAAGACAUCCGAUUAGUAGCUCUUUCUUCCAUCUUCUCUUUGGAGUGAAGCACUAAAGACAGCGGUGUAUAUUUUAAAUAGGAUUCAUCGAAGGCUAUUUCCAAAAACUCUUUCGAGUUAUGGAAAGGGAUGGAAACCUAGUUUAAUCACCUGCACAUAUGGGAUGUCCAGCUGAGGUGAGGGUUUAUAAUCCACACAUAAAAAACUGGACCCUCGAACGAGUCAGUGGAUAUUUCAUUGGCUAUGCGGUAAAUUCCAAAGGAUUCAGGUUCUAUUGUCCAAGAUCACCCAUCCAAGAUAUGUGAGGCAGGAAUGCUAAAUUUCUGAGGAUUCUGAAACUAGUGGAGUGUUGUUCCUCAAAAGAUGGAUUUUGAGGAAAUAAGGGAUUCAACUGGUUAUCCAUACAACAGAUAAUAAUUUAGUUGCUCUACCAGGAGGUCAAUUUUGACCAUAAUGCGAGAUCAACUUAAUUUUAGAGCAUGAAAAUGCUGAACCAGUUGAACCUCCCAUGAAGAGCUGUCCAAGAAGAACAGAUAAUUAUAGAGCCAGCUGCACAGAAUAAUGAAAAUUGCAGGAAGAGGUUGGCUUAAGAAGAUCCUCAAGACAAAAAGGAAUCGGCGAUUCCUGAUGAUUAUGUAGUCUAUCUUCAGGAGUCUGACUUUGAUGUUGGACACCAUAAAGACCCAUGGACGUUUUCAGAGCCAUGCAGGGAGAUAAAUCCUCCCUAUGGUAUGAUGCCAAUGAAGGAAGAGAAUGCAAAUCUAUGACGGAUAACAAAGUUUUGGAUCUCGGUUGAAUUACCAAAGGAGUCAAAGCCAUUCGCUGUAAAUGGGUCUUCAAGACCAAAGGGACUCUUUAGGUAACAUAAAACGACAUAAGGCCAGACUUGUUGCGAAGGUUUCACUCAGAAAGAAGGCAUUGAUUUAUCAUGAAACCUUCUCUCCGGUAUCUAAGAAGGAUUUAUUAAGAAUUAUCAUGGCUUUGGUAGCUCAUUUCGAUUUAGAGUUACAUCAAAUGGAUGUGAAACGCACAUUUCUAAUAGGGAUAUAGAGGAGAUAGUCUAUAUGCAACAGCCGAAGGUUUCAGCACGAUGAAAGUAAUCACCUUGUUUGCAGACUAAAGAAUCUAUAUACGGACUUAAACAGGCUUCCCGUCAGUGGUAUAUCAAGUUCCAUAAUGUACAUUACUACAUUUGCGUUCGUAGAAAAUAUUGUGGACCAGUGUAUAUACCUUAAGGUUAGUGGGAGUAAGUAAUAUUUUCUUAGUUCUGUAUGUAGAUGAUAUUCUGCUGCAAGUAGUGAUUUGAGUUUGCUUAACGAUACCAAAGAUUUUCUUUCUAAGAAUUUUGAGAUGAAGGAUAUGGGUGAAGCCUCUUUUGUCAUUGGCAUAAAGAUUACAGAAAUAGAUCUCAAAGGAUUUUUGGCGUCUAUCUCAGCAAGAGCCUACAUCGAAAGAGUUCUAGAAAGAUUUAAUUGUGCAAACUAUGCACCUACAGCUGCCAUCUAUUAUAAAAGGGACAGGUAUGAAUCUGAAACAGUGUCCUCAGAAGUGAUUUAGAACGAGACAUAUGAAGAGCAUACCCUAUGCCUCCUGCAGUAGGGAGCUUAAUGUAUGCGCGGGUCUGUACCAGGACCUGAUAUAGCUUAUGCAGUGGCGAUGUUGGUAGAUACCAAAGCAACCCUGGCCUUGAUCAUUGGAAAGCUGCAAGAAGGUAAUGAGAUAUUUACAAGGAAACAAGGAUUAUAUGCUCACCUACAGACAUUCUGACUAUCUUGAGGUGGUUGGAUAUUCGGACUCUGAUUUUGCUGGAUGCCGUGGAUUCUAGAAAGUCCACUCAGGAGUAUAUUUUCUUACUUGCUCAAGGUGCUAUAUCUUGGAGGAGCACUAAGCAAGAUACAGUUGCUACAUCCACUAUGUGAGGCAGAGUCAUCGCUUGCUAUGAGGCUCUGUCACAGGCUUUAUGCUGAGAAAUUUUAUCUCAGGUUUAAGAGUUGUCGAUUCUAUCUCAAGGCCAAUUAAGAUUUAUUGCGACAACUGCUGCAGUGUCCUUUGCCAAGAAUAGUCGAGUUACAGAUCGCAGAAACAUAUCGAUAAUAGUAUCUUGCUGUGAAGGAAUACGACAAGAAGAAGGUGGAUAUCCAACACAUUUGGGACUGAGAGGAUGAUUGCUGAUCUAUGACUAAAGCAUUGCCGCAAAUAAAUUCAAGGAUCAUAUUCAUCAUAUAGGUAUCUUGAGUCCAUUUACAUUUAAGUGUUUUCUUGCUUGUAUAAAAGACUUUAAAGACUAUUUUUAUUUGAAUAAGAACACAUUUUGUUUUUGCACAUAUGCGCAUAAAGUUUAUUUUGUACAUUAAAGUUUUAUUGUGCACUAAAGUGGGACUCUGAGUUGAACUUAUAAUAAGUUCAUACCGUUGUAACUCAUAAAGUAUUUGAUUAAGGAAUUCGUACUUUUGAUACAUGGAAGAAAGUGUUCAUCUUUUGGGGCAUAACCGCUAUGAUCAAAGUAUUGUGAUUUCUUGAUCAAGUGGGAGAUUUUGACUGUAUAAUUUAGUUGGUACCUAAUAAAAGCUUGCCGCAGUGGCCAGAGCGGCGCAGCUCGUACCGUGUAAUGCCGACGUCUUAUGACGAAGGAAUCUCCACGUGUAUCUUUGAAUUAAUUAAUCGUAUUCCAUAUCCGAUUAAUUAAUUCUACGGGUUCACGCACAGGUAUGUCACCGAUGGGUACUCUCGGCAUGCCACCGGCUUCCCGACGAAACCAACGCCGAGCGUAAUUUUUUUUUUUUUUUUUUUUUUUUUUUUUUUUUUUUUGCUAACUGCAACCGUCGUAAUACACCGGAGGAUAACACGAUCCGCCCCGGGUACUCCCAGUGUACAUACCAGGUAAUCUCCGAACACACCGGAGAAUAUGAUCCGGCCCGGGUGCCGCUAUUAUACAUGCCGAGUAAUCCCCGAUGUGUUCGAACUCAUAAGAUAUCACAGUGGAUUUAUCGAACCGUCUCGAUUGAGAUCGGCCGACGUUACCAUUAACGCAAACCAUUGACGAUUUAUUUAUUUAUUUUCUUUAAUGAAAAGAAAACCAAAGGAAAUCCGGAAAGAAAUGAAAAUCCGGCAAAAGGUUUGCUCUGAUACCACAUGUUAGAAACUUUAGGAGAAAUUCGGAUCGUACCUUCUGCCAUGAUUUCGAUUUCUGUACCCGAUUUGUAAGCGAAGAUUCUUUCUCGUAGUUCGUCAUCGUUCGUGAUCUGCAAGAAGACGGGACGUUUCGAGUCUAAUUCCCUUAUUCCCGGACGUAUAUAUAAAAAUAAAACGAUUUUUAAUUUAUUAUUUUUAUAUAUAUUAUAUAUAUUCAUAAAUAAAUAUAUAUAUUUAUAUUUAAUUUAUUUAAUAUAUUUAUAUUUUAUAUACAUAAGCUCGACAAUAGCUCGGCAUGUGCUCGCUCGAUUGGAGUCGAGCACAAGCCGAGCAAAUAAUUUGCUCGGCUUUUUAAAUCGAACACAAGCCGAGCAAAUGAUUUGCUCGCUAAGUUAGAGCUCGAGUAAAACUCGGCUUGUGCUCUACCGAGCGCUUACCGCUCAACCUAACGGUGGGGAUAUACACUUACCGUAAAAAACCGUUUUUUUUUUUUCCAUUCUUUGAGUGAAAACAUAUUUAUCUUAUCUAUUAUCUCACAGUUAGAAAAGCUUAAGCAUACAAACUGAAAAUUUUACGUUUAGAAAAGUUUAGAUAUCCUAAGAAAACAACAAAGCUAAAAGUUAAAAUAAAAUGUUUGACCCAUAUAUAUAGUAAAAGAGUUAUAUACGUGAAAUUUAAUAUCUAUUUAAAAAAACUUAGAUACGUAAAAAAAUUUAGAAGAAGAAGUACAUAUCAUUAUAUAAAACUAGUAUAAUUAAAAAAUACUAGAUAAAUUUUAAAUUUCUAACGAUUAUAAAAUAUAAAAAUUUUAAAAUUUUUUAUAAAAUAAUAAAAACUUAUUUAUUUAACACAUUACAGAUAUAUACAAAUCAGUGGGUACAACAUACCGUGUAACUCAAUAAGGUAAAUAAUACCAAAACUUAAUAAUAUAACAAAACUUAAAAAAGGAUUAUAUUAAAAUUUCUUAAAAAAAAUAAACACUUUCUUAUAAAUUAUAGCAAACCAAAAAUUCAAAAGCAGCCUGAAUUAAGUGCAGAUAAUCUUCAAACUUUUUUUUAUAUAAAAAUUCUUUUUAAUUUUCAAUACACAAAUAUAAUAUACGUUGUAAAUAUAAUAUACGUAUAUAUAUAUAUAUCUCUCUCUCUCUCUUUCUCUCUCUCUCUCUCUCAACUCGUCUUAUGAUAGCUAUCGUUUGCCCGAGAAAACGGUGGGUAAACAAAAACUACUACCUCGGAGGUUUAGCUGCUAGCUGUGCAGGAACUACCUGCCUGCACUAAAUUGUAGGAAUGUAAUUCAAUAUAUAUUUAUACAUUAUAUACCCUCAGGGCCAGAUUAGGAUUAGGUUAACAGACACUGCCGAGGUAANAGCUAGCUCGUGUUCGGCUUGUUUAUUAAACGAGCCGAACACGAGCCCCCGAGCUCGCUCAUGUUCGACUCGUUGACACCCCUAUUCACAUAUAGGUUAAUUCCACUCCAUUUCAUUUAAUCUAAUCUAUCUUUUUUGAAAUAAGUUACUUACAGUCAUAGAAUUUAAGUUUUUUCUAUAAAAUUAUAAAAUUACAGUUAAUCAAUACCAUCAAAUCUAAUCAAAGGUAUUUGUAAUUUUUCCUACCAAAAAAACUCCUCUAUUUUUUAAUUAUUUUAAUUUUUUUGGAAAUUCAUCCGUCCCGCUCGCUAUUCUAUAUCGUGCAUAUUUUCAAAAAUAAAUAAUCCUCUUCAUGUUUUCUCUCUCAUGCAUGGGAGGCCGACGUCCAAAUCGAGAUGGCCUACCGCCGACACCACCAGCGACAGGCCCUUUGUGCUCGCCCUGAGGGGCCCUCGCUACUUUUCGCUCAAUCCCACCACCCCAAUUCUGUCUCUUCCGUUUAGUCCCUCACCCCAUCAGGAAAAAAUAGAGAGAUCCCCUCAAAUGUUGGCAAUUUUGAAAUGCACCCCUCAACUAUUUAUUUAUUUUUUUCAAUCGAUAUCUCAUCUACUUUCAUUGUUUUACUGAUUAAUUAAAGGCUAAAUUACUGAAAACCUUCCUGUCAAAAUCCGAUUUUUCACUUCCCUCCCUUGUCAUUUGAAAAUCUACACUUUUCCUCCUUGUAAAAUGAAAAAUGUUCACUUCACCCCCUACCGUUAGUGAUCCGUUAGGGUUUUGUUAUAAAAUAUUUUUUAUACCAAAAAUACCCUUCGCCUUUUCUACUGUGCUUCGCUCUCCUCCGCCUUACCGCAUCGCCCUCCUUCACUGUCUCGCCUUUGCCCAUAUCUCCGUCUGCGCCCACAAACACCCUCUCGCCCUCCUCUGCCACCUCGCCUUAGCCCUCGUUGCCCUUGCCGACCUUUCCAUCCACGCCGGCCUUGAUUCCCCCCCUACUGUCGCCGAAAUGGAGGGGCGACGAGUGUAAGAUAGUGGAUCCUCGUCGUGUUAAACCACUUUUGGUCAAAAUGACCAAAGCGUGGCGAGAAGGAUGCUUGGACAAAGUCCAUACGACGUUCCAACAAUGUUGGAAGAGCUAAAGUUGAGUUCCAAGUGAGACUAUUGAGUUUUACAUUGCUUGGUGCGAAAUUGAGCUAAAGCAUUGCCAAAACUGCAGUCUGGGCACUGCGUAUCGGUACUGAGGAAGAGGUACCGGUAUUAGGCAGGCAAGUCGAGAAGGUUGAUCUCGGGUUUGGUCAUUGGGGUCUGCGUAUCGGUGACAGCACCAGGGCGUACCGGUACCCCGCAGGAACCCGAGAACAGCAGCUCUCGGGUUUGGCCUCUGCUGAGCAGCGUACCGGUGACGCGAGCCCGCGUACCGGUACCCAGCGCCGUGUACAGCAGGGUUGAUUUGCUGCAAAUAAAAUAAAAUGGAGGGCUUAUUUGCGAUUGUGGGGACAUAUAAAAGGACCCCAUCUCCUCCUCUCUUGUUCACAAGCUGAGAACACUCCUCCUCUCUCAUUUUCUCCCUCUCUCUCUCUAGAAGCUUCUCCCCAAGGGUGAUUGGUGGAGAUUAGAGGGGAUUUAAAGGAGGAUUUAAGGCUUUUGAAGGUGAAGAGCUCUCCUACAAGGUUGUCACAGCCCGCGACCCGCCUAUUUGGUCAGGUUCGGGCAUGCUAACAGACCGCCGAACGGACAGAGUCUCCCCUAUACGUUCUAGGCGUCGCAAAAGUACAAUACAUAGGGUUCCAAACAGGAACAGUAUUCAUACACCGAUUGCAUAAGGAAGGUAUCAAACAGCAUAAAUACUAAUUAUGCUAUUACAAGCAUUCACAGACAUGCAUUUUUACAUGUUACAUUUUUGCAUUUUAGUCUUCCAAAUACAAUCCACGUUAUUACAAAUUAUUACAAUGCUGUUCUUUCAUUUCCACCCCUAAGCUAAACCACUUCGGGGUACCACUAUCUCUCGUCACAUGGUAGGGCGCUAUCUACGGAGCUACGCCCUUUCCUCACGCUGCCGCGCCGCUCGCGUGUAAACCUGAAAUCUCCCAAAACAACGUGGGGUGCUAUAUAAAUAUAGUUCCCAGUGGGUACGGCCACCCAAGAGAGAAGCUCAACCCAGCAGGUCCAAAAGAGGCACUGCAAACAUGUUAGUCCAAUAGAUAUCCACAAAUAUUUAAUGCAAGUACUAAAUACAUGUUUAUGCCUCAAGACAUGCAAUAUGUAAUGUAUGCAACAAUACAACUCAUGCAACCAUCUAAGUAGAUCAACUGAUACUACUUUCAAUCUCGUUGUCCAUAGGUCAUAUCCAAUUGACUUCUAAGAAUUCCUCUAUCUUAGAUUCGUAUCAUUUACAAUUUGCUCAUAAGGUUUCAUCUACCUCUACUAUUUCUAUCCAUCCGACUCGGCCUCGAGUCAAUCAUCCGCGGAAUACCGCGUACAGCCAGGCUCGAGGUAAUGGACGUCUCAUAUACACCUCAGCCCUAAAUCCACUCGACUGGGAUACCAAAUUCAUAGCUCAUAAUGCAUGCUAUUUGCCUUUUCAUAACCCAAUCAAACCAGCUAACCCGAAGGUUCAGCCCUGGCUCACAACCAAGUCCCUACAAAUCGUGAGGAGUACCCACUACACUCAGCCGGGACCGUCUGCGGGACAACUAUGUCUGCCCCUAUCGUGAAGUACUCCGGAGACCACUGCUUGGGUAGAGCGACCACCGACAAGCGAAACAGACAUAAUGUAAGCAUGAUCCAAUCCUCUAGCUCGAGGAUACCCUACCAACUAGUGGUAAUCAAGCCGGGAACAACCCUGUUCCCAAUUCUCAUAACUUGAGUAAUCACAUUGUCUCUAGCUAAUGCCACAAAGUUACAUUGUCUCUAGCUAAUGCCACAAUGUCAAGUUUGUCUCUAGCUAAUGCUACAAUGUCGAGUUUGUCUCUAGCUAAUGCCACAAAGUCACAUUGUCUCUAGCUAAUGCCACAAUGUCUCAAAUCUCACAUUUUCAUGUCAAAUGCCACUUUCAAUGCCAUGAUGUUCAAGUUCUUUAUCAUGCCACUAUAGAGUCUUGUGUUCACAUCCAAUCCUCACACACAUAGCCCUAUGUUCCAUCUCAUAUUUGCACAAACCUCAUGAGAAAAUGUAAGGAAAGGAAUAAGCAACAACCUACUCUACGAUGCAUGAAUACUAUACAUGAACAUAUAUGGCGAACAUCCAUUUAUCCUCUAGUAAAUGCUAUGACAUGUCAAUAUGCAUAUUCCAUUUAUCAUGUUCUUACCAUAUGUUGAUCAUGCAUAUUUCAUCUAAUAUAUUUCAAAAUAUGUCCAUAUAUAUAUACCAAUUAGUAUAUUUCUCAUAAUGUCAACAUACAUAUUCUUUAUCAUCCAAGGGUAGUUAUACAUAUCAUCUCAUGCAUUCACAUGGCACCCACCUAUGCAUUCAUAUAUGUAAUUAACUACCACUACAUGCAUCAAUGACAAACUCACUUUCCUUUGACAUGGAAGUGACCUAAUCACUUUGGUGAACACAACCCACCUCACAACGCUAUCCGAUUGCUUGUAGUCACUUGCAAUCGGCUUCCCGCGGCACGCGUGACCCGGUUCCGCUCGAACUCGCACUCGACCACCGAACGCCCGCCAAUCCGCGACCUAGAGUUGCUUGGGAUCCUUCUCUAACCUCCAAUUAGAGAAACAUUGGGUUAAAUUAGAUCAAAACCCCAAAAAUCUCAAAACCCCUUUAUAAGCCAUAGCAUGAUCAUAUCCUCCAAUUAAUCCAAAACUCAUGAAGGCAACAUGCUAGAAAUACAGUAGACGCUACAAGAACACCAAGUAUUAAGGAUUUAACCAAAAUCUUAACACUUACCGAAAUGAGAACGCCGAGUCGAAAGAACGCCGCUCCACCGGGCGCACGAAGACUCGAACCGCGGCCUCCCACGCGUUCCCAAGCUUCUUCUCUACCAAAACCCAAAGUUUGGGAGAGAGAUCUAGAGAGAGGAGGGAGUAUUCUAGAGAGAGAGGUGUUUCUCUCACUACAUAUGUGUGGGUGUGUGGUGUUUGGCCGAGGAAGAAGAAGAAAGGGGUUGAGGCCCCUUUUUAAAAACAACUCUCCCACAAUUACAAUCAACCCCCGGUUGUUUCUGGGCAGUUUUCGUGUCACGCCCUGGACUUCAGCGGAAGAUCACCAGUCAUGUGCACAAACCCGCCGUGUACACCACAACCUCAAGUGUACACCGGGCGUCUACAAUCAAUAUAGUAAAAGCAUAACAUCUUAACCAGGUAAUCAGAGCAAGACGUAAAAAUUCAUAAAAUUAUACAACACAUAACCUUAUUACAACUGAUAAGUACAAGGUACAAUCUACAUAAACCGAGUAUACAACUCGGAACUAGACUGCAUAAUCUAAUAGAGGUUCGUCUAUUUAACAUCGAGAAGGCUCUAGCUAGCCGCUGACCCUUCGCCGAGAACCCUAGCCUUUCCCGCUGUGGAAGGCUCUACAUAAAAACAAUCAACAAGAGGGCGUGAGCCGUGAGUGGCGAAGUAUACCACUAGGUCAACUGAGGCAUGAGUAAACAACAAUAAAUAAGUAAAGUAAAAGCAAUAAGUAAACAAAAUAGUUCAACCAUAACAUGCCUCAAAAGAUAUGUUUUCUAACCUGUGUUAUAUAUUAAUUCAUCAUAAUAAGUUUUAUGAAUCAUGCUACUUAACAGUUUAAUUAGCUAUAUGUCAGGCUGUCUGCAGAAUUUCAUCAUUACUUACUAGCUAAUGCCAUCAUGUAGCUAUUUCUUACACUAGUAAGAGUGUAAACAUUCAGGUACUGUCAUUAUACUACUGACUAUCAGGAAUGUCAACCUUUUAGUAUGUUUACUACUAGGUAUAUUCAACUAAUGACAUAAAGUAUCUCUACUACUAUGUCCAUCUAAGGUUAAAGUCACUUAUAUUAACACAAUUAGCAAAAGACUUACACAUGGUAAUUAAAGUCCUAGCCCGUGCCGUGCCUAAUGGCCCCGUGGAAGUCAACACUACCCACGGCGAUCCACUUCGGUGCUCAGUCUCGUACAGAAGCAAGCAAUCUGUCGCUAGGCUAAGUCCGGAGUGCCGGCUUGUGGGGCGCGACCCUCACAAGCAUGUGCGAAUGAGCACAAUGGCAAGCAAGCGUAAUCCAUAGUAUAGGUAUCACAAGUUUAUCAUGUCUCUAACAUGGAAUCUCAACUCGACACAAGGUCGACACCGUAACACUAAGUCAUAAUCCACUAUCAACUAUUUGUUGACAUAAUUCUACGAAUAGAUAGUAUGACUUAAACAAGUAUAUGCUUUACGUCAUAUGGAUGUUUCUAAUGAGCUAUACCCGCACAUUUACGUAGAGUUCUCUCACUCCUCCCUAUACAUAAGGAAAGUGGUUUACAUAUUCUAUGAUUCUACAUAAACCUCUACUACUUGGUGUUAAAUCUUGUGUGUUUGCAAGUUUCGUGGAUUGAGUCGGAGUCUUGAAGGAUCGGUGCGUAAUGUCGAAGAUUGAAGAAUUCAAGAUUUCGAAGAAAUCAGAAAAUAACUCACGACGUAAAUCACGAUGCUGAGUUAAAGUUUUAAUUCAUGUUGUGGUGAUUCAUACUUAGUUGUAGGCAUUAGAAUCAUAAUAUCAAAGAUUAAGUGGAUUAGAAUGUAACGUAUCAUACCCCCGUAAGUUGUGCCGAGUUCUGUUAAAAUGCGCGGAACGCGGAGUGGAACAAGUUGGUAUGGGCUAAAGUCCAUUGGAGCCCAUAGGAAGAGGUUAGGGACCCGAGAGAGCGAGAUUGCAAAAUCUGGCUACGUCCCAGAUUUUGAGCUCUCGGGGACCGGUCCCUGAUGGAGAGACCGGUCCUCGUGCGCGUAGCUUGCCCUUAAUCCUGAGGCAAUCGGUCCCUGAAUGUGAGACCGGUCCUCGAGAGACCGGUCUCUGAGGGAGAGACCGGUCCUUUGCUGCGCAGCCAGCCAAAAAUGCAGAAAAUCGGCUAAGUCCUGGAAAUCCAACCUUCGGGAACCGGUCCUUGGUCGGGGAGACCGGUCCCUGACUGCGAAAAAUGCCCAGUCUGGGCAAUGCCCUGGGAAUAGAGUGGAGGGGCCUUGUUGUAAUUAUUACAACACAUUAUACACCCAACCCCCUCUCCCUUUACAGCAAUUCACACACCUCUCUCUCACUUUCUCUCUUUUCUUUCUCUAGAGAGCUAACCCUAGAGCUUGGAGAAGAAGAAGGAAAGGCUUGGAGAAGGAUUUUUGGUAGAUUUAGUGGGUCUAGAAGCUCUCCAACAAAAAGGAACUUGCUAGGACUUGGACUAGAGGUAGGUUCUUGUAAGGUUUCCUCUAGGGUUUGGGUUUUGGCCUAAGGAUUUGGAGCAUUGUGCUCCUUAGAGGUCUUAGAAGCUCUUUUGAGCCAUGAACAACGUGACACCCAUGAGAGCUCAAGGUGCUCUCAUGGUGAAUCCUUGGGGGUUGAGUUAGAUGCCCUAGGGUUGGUUCCAACAGCAUAGAAACUUUAUUAGGGAGCUUCCGAAGUGAUUCUAAGCUAUUCUUUGCUUUGCAACAAGAUCAAUUUAGGUGGAAGCCCUAGAUGACAUUGUUAGGACUCAAAUUUAGGGCUUUUGCCCUAGGAUUUUUCGAGGGUGAAUUGAUCUCGUAGACACCUAAUUGGGGGUGUCCUCGACGCGUUGGACAACUCCGUUCGACGUUACGAAAAUGUUUAAGUAUGGUUCAUGUACAAAAGGCUUAAUAUGACACUAUUUUGGUUAUAGGACGCGGAAUCAGCUUUCGUAAAGUUCGGGAGUCGUCGUAUUCUACACCUACACGACCACUCGAGGUGGGUGGUGCAUUCCAAGGACCUCGAAAAUUCCUUUAUGUCUAAAGUGUCAUGUUUGAACAUAUAUGUAUAUAUUGAGCAUGUUGCAUAGUAGGGUUAAUUGUGAGCUUUUAUGACAUGAUUGUGAAUUUAAUUUCGUAUGAAAUACUUGUAAGAAUAUGAGAAUGGUAAACCCUAUUUAUGCAUGACAAGUGAUGAGAACCUAGAAGGGUUAGUAAACAAAAGUGACACAUGGACAUAGAUCUAGUGAGUGAUAUUGAUGAGUCUCGAAAACUUAGAAAAUAAGUGUGGCAUGAGUCAAGAACAUAACACUUAGAAAACAAGUGUGGUAUGAGUACAAGAACUCAGUAGUGUAUAUGACACAAGUGAUGGUAAAGAAUGCAAAGAAAAGAAUGAUUGAGAUAUUAUAACAUUUCAACCUUAGAGUUAAGGGUCAUUGAGCAUGGUCUUCCUUAAAGUUAAGGAAUGGAUUGAACUUGGAAUCCUCAAUGUAGGAUUGAUCGUACUCACCUUUGUCCUUACUCGAGGGUGGUAGCUCUCCCUCGGGCGAUGUGCUCUAGAGUCGGCAUCACUGGGUUGUAGCGGGUAUCUCCCCAGAGGACGGUUCUAUCGGGUUGUAGCGGGUAUCUCCUCGUCUAGUAGGAUUUUGGGUUGGUGAGUUUAUUGAGGGCGAAACCUACGGGUUAGCUAAGAGAUUGGGUAAAGAAAUCGCAAUCCUGCAUUCAUCAUGAGCAUUAUAUCGAGCAUCGCAUUUUAUAUUGUUCAAGCAUAUUAGUUGCAUUUGUUAGUUGGCUACUUUCUAUCCUCUAUUCUAUUAUGCCUGAUUAGACCUAGUGGGAUAGUCGGCGUGGUUGGUUGCCGAAUCCACUGGGAACUUUGUUCUUACACCCCUAUUUCCACAGAGCCGGGACCGAGCGAGCCGGCAGACGACCGCGGUAAGGGCAUUGCGCCCUAGGUAAAGACCGCCCGAGAUGUUUUGUUUCUUAGUUGCAUACCCUUUUGAUUAAUCAUCUUUUGUACAUCGAUGAUUAUAGUUGUUAAAUGAAAGGACAUGAAUGAUGUAAAAGAAUUUAUUUAAUAUCAAUGUUAUAUUUUGAAAGAAUGGGAUGUAAAAAGAAAUGAUGUAAAAUUGUAAUUGCUUUUCUAAGUGUAGUUAUUUACUUCACUAUUGGCUAUUGCUUGCCCUCGUGCAAACCAUUGUAUAUGCUUCCGCUUAUGCAAUCCUUAUACUCUAUUGAUACUUGUUAUUGAGCCUUGGGCGGACAGGGGAGGCUCUGUCCGUUCGGCGUCUGUUCGACGCUCUCGAACCGGCCAAAAGGAUCAGGCUUGGGGCGUGAUAGAUAAGAUAGUAUCAGAGCGUAAAGAGCCAAAAAGUGAAAGCAUAGGAUAGGCCUAGAGACCCUUAGGAAUGAAAAACCUUAAGGAUCUAGGAAACGUGAGUGACGUUGAACAAGUUAUAGCGAAGGCAUGGAUUGGGUUGAUGUAAUUAUGUCUCUAAUGUGGUUAGGGACUAAACUUAAGUUGUUAUUUAUUUUCUAUUCAUUGUGUUGUGAUUGGCGGCCGACGACCUGACGCUUUGGAAUGAAAAUGAAUACACUUAUAUGCUUUCGCUGGAUUGGGUAUAUUCGAGUAUGUUGUCUAAGUAACUAACGUGAGUUACUUCGUUUCAGGAAGCAAUGCCGCCUCGUGGAUGACCUAAGUUGCCUCGUGGUCGACCGCGGACGAGGUCUAUGGCCGAGGAGUCAAGUACGGCUCCCGUGCAAUCCGGAGCAGGUGGCGACGGGGAGCUUCGGGAGUAGAUGGCCGCGCUUAUUGGUGUAGUGCGGCAGCAGACGGAAUCCGUUCAGCGCCAGGCGGAAUCCGUUCAGCGCGAAGGGGAGCAAAUCCAAAGGCUCCAGGAGGGCUUGGAGCGGCAGCAGGAGGCGGCGGCGGCGGCGCCCGUGGAAGCCGUGCACCCUGCGCCUCCUGCAGUGGUGCCGAGUGCGGCCGAGGGUGUAGCCGCGGCGGCCGUGUCAGUUACGAUAGUGCCGGCGGGAUCGGGGACCUCAAACCCCGAUAGUACGGCGGAGGAGGCGGAGCGGGAGCGCGCGUUGGUGGCUUUCAUUCAAUUUUAGAAAUUCAACCCACCUACCUUCGAAGGGGGAGUGGUGGAACCAGCGGUGGUGGAGUCCUGGAUCGACACUAUGGAAACACUUUUCGAGGAUCUUAACAUCUUGGAGAAGGAUAAGGUGUACCUCACCACACAUUGCCUUGAGAAGGCGGCGAAAGUGUGGUGGAAGCGUGUUAGGCAGGAUCGAUCACCCGAUCUUCCGCCUAUGAUGUGGGAGGAAUUCCAGAAGGCAGUGUUCGCCAACUACUUCCCCGAUACGGUGAAGCGGAAGUUGCAAGAGAAAUUCUGCAAAUUGAGGCAAGGAGAUCGCUCGGUGGCAGACUACGAGCAGAAGUUUUCCCACCUCAUUGACUGCGUCCCGGAUGUUGUCAAGGAUGACCGGGACCGAGCGGACUAGUUCCUACGAGGAUUGCGGCCGGGGAUUCAUAGGGCCGUGGAAAUCCUUAAGCUCACGACCUUUGCAGAGGUCUUUGAUCGGGCUUUGUGUGCGGAGCAUGGUUAUGCCCACGAACGCGAGGAGCGCGAGUCGGCAGCCGAGGCAAAAGAGAAGAGCAAGAAGCGGACGAAACCCCCUCGGUAUCCCCAACAGCAGUCGAGGGGUUGGAGGCCAUCCCAUUAUGUUAUUUACGACGGUAACCAUAAACCGCCGUCAUGCCCGCAGUGGGAGGGAAAAUGCUUCAAGUGUGGCCAACCUGGGCAUGUGUCGCGAGAGUGCCCUAUUUGGGGUUCAUCUGCACCGACCUCGGCAUCAGUUCCUUAUACCCCGAGACAGCAGGCGGGGUUACCGCCGGCUAUGUCGGCUGGGCGCUCGUCUUCAUCGCGUCAGUCGGAGGCAUCGAAGGCACCGAGUGGGCGGGUUUUUGCCACUCAGGUGGAGGAGGAGCUGAUUCCUGUCCCCGACGACAUCGUGGCAGGUAUUAUCUCGAUCAGAGGCACUAGAUCUAGAGCUUUAUUCGACACCAGUGCAUCGCAUUUAUUCAUAGAUGCAUCAUUCGCUAGGACUCAUGGCAUUAAAAUUGUGCAUUAUUAUGAUUAUUGGAUGGUGAAUUCGGUCGAGCAUACUUUCCAUGUCUAUAAAGAGUGUGUAGCGUCCCCAGUGCAGAUAGGUGAAUGGGUCAUGCCGAUCGACCUGUUGGUGUUGAAUCGAAUGUGGGGUUUCGACGUGAUCUUGGGGACCAACUGGCUCUCCAAGUAUUAUGCCGUGAUAGAUUGCGAAAGUAAGGUGAUCACAUUUCGUGAGCCUAAUCGAGAGGAGCUAGUGUAUCAGGCAUCUAAAAGCUCGCUCUUCGCGGCGACCGUGUUGGCGGCACGGGCGAGGAAGAUGAUAAAGGGUGGUUGUGAAGCCUAUUUGGCGACAGUGGUAGAAGCCCCGAAGGAGCACCCAGAACUUAGUGGUAUUCGGGUGGCGUGUGAGUUUCCGGAUGUAUUUCCAGCGGAGUUACCGGGUUUGCCACCGGACCGGGAGAUCAAGUUCGUUAUUGACUUGGUACCCGAGACGGCGCCAAUUUCUAAGGCUCCGUAUAGAAUGGCACCGGCGGAGCUAAAGAAGCUCAAGGCACAGUUGCAAGACUUACUUGACAAAGGCUUUGUGAGGCUGAGUGCGUCACCCUGGGGAGCUCCGGUGCUAUUCGUUAAGAAGAAGGUUGGCACACUUCGACUCUGCGUGGAUUACUGUGAGUUGAACAAGGUCACAGUAAAGAAUAAGUAUCCGUUGCCGAGGAUUGAUGACUUAUUCGAUCAGUUGUAGGGGUCAAGGGUAUAUUCACUUAUUCAAUCAGUUGCACGGGAGUGAGAACUAUUGUCCAUAGUUCCCAGUAGGUACGACCACCCAAGGGAAGAGCUCGACCCACCAGGUCCAAGGAGGCACUACAACAUGUUAGUCCAACAGAUAUCCAAUAGAUAUUUAUGCAAGUAUUGAAAUACAUGUUAUGCCUCUCAACAUGUAAUAUGAAAAUCAUGCAAUUAUGUAACUAUGUAAUCAACUAGUAGAUCAAUUGAUACUACUUUCAAUCCUGCUAUCCAUAGCUCAUAUCAACUAGCUCUAAGGUUUCUACUACCUUACUUCCACAGCUCAAGUCCAACUAACAUCUAAGGUUUCUACUACCUUAGAUCUUGCUAUUUAUCACUAGCGUUUAAGGUUUCCACUACCUUAACCAAGCUAUCCACCCGACUCGACCUUGAGUCAAUCAUCCGCGGACUACCGCGCCUUGGCUGCAUCUCUACCAUAGCCUGGCUACUACAACAGCCCACCGUACUCCUUGACUUAGCCAUCUGGCGGCGAACGCAUCGCACACACCCAACAAUGGCUCAAGUCAAUUCUGGCGGCAUCAUCCAAUAAGCUAAACGGGCGAGGAGAACUACACAUACCCAUUUCAAGCUUAUACCGGGCGAGAAGAACCACACAUACCCGUUGAAUCACUGUCGGGCGAGCAGAACCAUACAUACCCGCAGUUCUGAUUCGCUUGCAUUUACCGCAAGUUUCCACCGCUUUUUUUGUGGUCACAUCACUAGAGAUUGCAGAAUCUAUUUUUACGUCUCAAGGGUCAUCUACAACCUUAUAAUGUCGACCUAUCUAGGUCCAAUGUCCUUUCCAUCCUAGAUCUAAUUGACUCUAGGUUCAAUGUCUUUAUCACAUAACCUAGGUUUACUUGACUUUAGGUUCAAUUAUCAACCUAUAUUCUUUAACACUAAGUUUAGUGCCACUCACCUAGGUCUAUUUAACCCUAGGUUCAUUCUCAACCUAUGUUCAAUGACACUAGAUUCCAUGCCACUGAUGAUAUUUGUCGAGUUCUUUAUUAUAUACAUAGUAUUCGACGAAUCAAGCUCACAUUCAUAUGCCUCUAGCAUAUUCUCACAUUAUGUCAACAUACAUGUGUUCUCUAAUAUUUCAUACAUAUGCCUAUGUUCUCAACAAAAUAGUUGUAAUAACCAAAGUUUUUGAAAAUUAAAAUUAAACCCUUGGUUGACGAUGUUUUUGUGUGUAAUGUAAUUACUAAAGCACUCGUCAAAUUUCAGGAGAAAAUGAGCUAAGACGGAGAAGUUACGCGACCCGAACCGACGACUUAAGUGAAUAGUAACUCCGGCUUUCCGAAUGAGCCAACGAUUAGAGAAGGGUUCUGGUGCACGUUGAAUUCCGAAUAUAGGACUUCAUCAUUUCGAAUGGCUCGACCAUUCUGGACCCAAUGGCACUGACGGAAUUGGGUUCUGAUGCACGGUUGUCGAGAAAAAAGGGGUUUGAUUGAAAUUACACGUAUUAAUAUAAAUGGUUAUAUGGUGAAAAUAGAGAGGGCAAGUUUCGUCGCUGAUCGGAGACCAAAUCAGACGAAAUAAAAUGCUAGAUUCGAUGCCCCAGUCGUGCUGAACGCGCUGGCGCAAUCUGUUCGGAAAUCUGACGGACGGAUCUUCGGGAAUCGUGAAAAGUCCGCUGAGAGGUCAAUUUGGCAGAAUCGACUAAUCGCGAAAAGACCCUAUAUUUUAUGCGUCGUUUCACGAGAUUUCGAAUGUCGAGGGGCUGGCAUGCAAGUUACACAAGUAGGCAGGGGCAGGAUUAUAAUUAUUUGACUUUGAAGGGGUUUCUCGCAAAAUGACACCUUGUAUAAAAGGGGCAUCUAGGGUUUCCAUGUUCUUUGGCUGCCCACGUUCACCUAGCUAACCCUAGCUGCCCCACCUACACCCUGCCCUGCCUAUACGCACACCCGGACCGCUGGCGAGCAGCUUUGGCCGCCGGAAAAGCCACCCCGGCCUCCUCUCGGUUCUCCUCUAGCUCCGACUUGCCACAUCUUUGGUUGUUGGGCCAGGAGGAGUAUCAGAGCCUGAGCUCCAUCAUCCUCUGGCCGAGGCCCAUCUCCGGCGCCGGCCCCCGCCGUCCCCGCGCACCGCCGGAGCCUCUGUGCAAGCUGCGGCCAAACCGAGCCAACUCGGGCCGAGUUGACCCAGGCUCGGGACUCGCUAGCAUUGGAAGCCCAAGCUCGGCUGUCCCGUCGUCGUCUGGCUGUCGGCGUUCUCCCGCGCGCACCCCUCGCCGUCCCCGCGCGCCGCCGGCCGUCGUCCGAGCUCCCUGUGGCCGCCUAGACUUGGUGCGGGUCGAGGCUGGACUUCCCUCCAAUCCGCGCGUUGUCGCCGCCCACAGCGGGGAGCACCACACUUCCCACGGCCCUCGGCGACGGAUCGCCGUCGCCCCGAGCUCCUUCGGCCGCCGCCGGGCCGCCGCAGACCAUUUGAACCUGAGAGCAAGCCGUGAGUUGAUCUCAGCCGCCGCGCCACCGGCCGCCUCCCGCCGCCGGCCAGCACCUGCCUCGGACCCCUCCUACCGGAUGCACCCCUCCCCGGCCGAACCGCCCGCUGUCCGGCCGCCGGCGACCAACCCUAGCUCCACUAUUCUGGUAAGGCUGUAAUUACGGUUCCAGCAUUACAUUUUGGGGUCCCGAUCGCCUUUCCGGUGAUCCGAAAGCACCCCGAUGAGUGUGGAGGUGAGCAUGAUCAUUGUUGUUUCGUGCUGAACAUCAUGCUCACCUCUGUUAAAGGCUGAGAUGCCCUGGUUGGUGUAUUAGACAUAAUCUUAGCGCUGUGCGCGCUGUUUGGCUGAUUUUUCCGUCGCUCGUGCGCAUGCCACAGUGGCUGGCAGUGCUCCGAAAGGUGAGCACGGCCUCCGGCAUGCUGAAAUCUAUCAACGAGUGCGACGGUCUGAUUAAUCGACCUCUGGUUUGCGUGCACGAACCAUAAAAGCCCUGAAAUCACAUAAAAUGAUGUGAUUUUGUGUAUCUGGGAGGGCUUUUAUGCAAUUCUGUUUGUCGGGGCUGCUGUUGGCAGCAUGUUUGGGCUGAGGAUAACCUCUGGACUGAUCGUCCAAGGCCCCAAGCCCUUGCGAAAAUCGAAAAGUAAUUUUCGGAGCGUUUCUUGGUAAAAUCUGCCGAUGGAACGCGGUUUCGGUUCGGAAUUCUUCCGACGGUACUUGGUGAUUAUUUGCGACAUCGCUGAGCCUUGUUGGCUGGUCACCCGCGUCGUUUCGAGGGUUCAAAAAUGACGGGUGAGUGACGGUGGAGUUCUGGUGCUGUUUUCGGGACUUCCGGCUUGUUCGGUAAUCUGUUUUGGGAAAACCGGUUCUCGUGGUUUUGGUGAGUGGGGAUUGUGUGUUAGCGAGACAUGUUAGUGGGUUAGAUUCUAACCCGUUGGACCUUUCGUAGGUUUGAUUGUUCCGUCUUCACAAUCAAGAGAUCUUCGUCAGACACGUACAGGUAGGUACUUCGAUCCAAAGUUCGUACAGUGGUGCACGCUCGGUGACGUUUCCUUUACCCUUGUUAUUCAUAUCACUUACCUUAUACAUGUUGAGCCCUGCACCCAUGCUAUUUCCUUAUUUACUCUACUUAGAUGUUUCCAUGUGUAGUAUCAUGUGUAGGAGUAGAGUAGAUUUUAUCUGUUUAUGAUAUCUAUGACCUAGUUGGUCGGUUCUCCUAUUUGUAUCUGUGACCUAGUUGGUCGAUUCUCCCAUGUUGUAUCUACGACCUGACUGGUCGAGUUUCGUAUCCUAUACUUGUGACAUGGUUGGUCGAGUUCAUAUCCUAUACUUGUGACCUGGUUGGUCGAUUUGGUUACAUGAGGACCCAUAUGGUCAGUGUGCCUGAGUGGGCAGGAUUGUCGGCUGGUUGCCGAUGUUUGGCUAUUGAGCAUUCUGCAUCGAUCGCCACUGCUCGCAUGCAUUUCACGAACACCAGCGGUCUGAUCCACCGCAAGAGGGUGUUCUUUUUCGAAAAAGUGGUUGCUUGUGUCAACCCGUGAGCCCUUGUGAGGUUAUAUGCUUUCAGCCUGAGGUGUUGGGUACCAAUAUGGCUUGUUUCUGUCAGAGCAGAUGUGGUACAGGCCUGAGGUGUUGGGUACCAAUACGGCCAUUUCAGCUUCGGUACUUUUGGACUGAUUGUCCCGUUGAUGCAUGCAUACAGUAGCUGUAGUGGUUUAUUCAUAUACAUUUCAGUACUUGUUUAUCUUAGCUACUGUACUACCAUUAUCUAUAUCGUUGUUUAUCUUCGUGACUAGUGAGUACCCCUCGCCUUCUUCGGCUUGCGAUACCCACUUGGAGGGGAGACAUGUUUACAUGUUCUCACCCCCCGCUCCCAUUACAGGUGACGUAGCAGGUCCGAGUGGGACAGCUGGUGAGGAUUGGGUCUAGCAUACGAUAGAACUUUCCGUCUCGUCGUUUUGUUUAUCUUCCCUUACUCUUCAUGCUUAAAUAAAUAACUAAGUUAGACAUAUUAUGGUUCAGUUUUAUUUUACUAUCUGGAUAUUGAUGUUUUCAGUUGGUUUUGGAAUGUAAUAAAGGAUUUGUGUUUUCUUGAAAUAAAAAUAAUUUUCUACCCCUCGUAGUAGCGUUUUUUAAAAAAAGAUAAAAGUUUCGUGUAGGGAACAGCUUUUAAAAGGUUUUCUGUGGAUUUUGUAUCUUAGUAUUUCAAAACCUGUUUCUGUGGUUGAAAAUAUUUUAACUGAUAGAUGUGGAUUUAUGUUUAAAUACUGAAUGUAUAAAUAUUAAUAUAUGGUGAAUGGUGUAUGAAUAUAUAACUGUUGGUUAUUUGUAUGUUCAUGUGGUUCUGGUUGUAUCAUGUUUGAACUUUUGUACUUGUGCGACGCCGUGCAAAUACAGGGCAGACUCUGUCCGUGUGAACAGUGGAUUUUCUGUAUUUGUGACGGAUCUGGCAUACUCUGGGGUCAGGUUUUCAAAAAAUUCAGACGCUUUUCCGCAAUCUUUUAAACUAAAAGGGACCCUAGGGCGUGACAAUGGUAGUCAACAUAACCCAUGCAUUCUUGGCUAGCAUAUAUCUUUUGCAUUCAUUAUUAGCAUUUCAAUCAUGCAAUUAUAUAACAUCUAGCUCAUGUAUCUAUGUAGCAUACAUCUUAUACAUGCAUUUAACACUCAACUCAUACAUUUACUUGACAUUUAGCUCAUGUAUCCAUUUAGCAUGCAUCUCAUGUGUUCACUAUUAGCAUCUCAUGGUAGGUAACAACAUUAAGCAUAAUAUGAUUUAGGCAUUCAUAUUAUCAAGUAUAACCUACCAACUAUACCAUUAUAUGCAUCAAUGAUAAUAAUAUUUCACUUCGACAUGGAGGCGACCUAGUCGCUUCGGUGAGCACAAUCCACCUCAAAUCGCUUUAUGAUUACUUGUAGUCACUUGCAAUCAGCCUCCCGCGGCAUUCGUGAUCCGGUUCGGCCCGUACUCGCAAACAAUCACCGAACGUACAUUAAUCCGUAACCUAGAGUUGUUAGGAGCUCAUUUCUAACCUUCAAUUAGAGAAAUAUGGGGUUUAAUUAGAUCAAAACCUACAAAAAUCCAAAAUUCCCAUUCUAAGCCCUAGCAUGAGCAUAUUCCCCAAACAACCCAAAAUCUCAUGGUGAGACAUGCAUUUAAUAGUAUAGGGAUCAUUAGAAUACUAAGCAUAAAGGAUUUAACCAAAUCCUAAACACUUACCGAAAUCUGAACACCGAGACGGAAGCAUGCCGCUCAAACGGGCGCACGAGAGCCCGAACCGUCGCCUCCCAUGCGUUCACGAGGUCCUUCUCCUCCAAGAUCCAAAGUUUAAGCAAGAGUUCUAGAGAGAUGGAGGAGAUAUCUAGAGAGAGGGAGAGUUUCUCUCUCUAAAAUGGUGUGUGUGUGUGUGGACUACUGUGGAAGGAGGAAGAAGAAGGUGGAAGCCUUCUUUUAAAAAGCAAAGCCCCAAAUUACAAAACUACCACUGCACUCCCGCUGGGCACUUUUCGGGUACGGGGUCCGGACCCUAAAGGCAGGGUCUGGACCCCGUAGGUCCAGACUGCCCAGUAAAUUUAGUACUUAGCCAAAUUUCAGCAUUCUUCCGUUUCUUUUUCGUUUUCGCUCCGUGGGUCUCCGAUUCACUUCUAAUCGUACUGAGACUCCCAAAACAUGUUUUCGAGCGUGUUUAAAUCCUCUUUUCAUCCACGCCAUGCCGGAUUCCGGCCAAGGUCCAAUAAAGCUUUUCGGGUUCCGUUUUCGCGCCUGAAGCGCCCCGAAAACAAUCGAAUGCGCCCGAAGUUCACCGGAAUUAUUCCGAACAACCUUUCUAAGCUAACAUACACCGUAACUUUAUAAUUAUAGAAGUUCGGUACCUUACACUUACAAAGGUGGAGCUUGUGGUGUCCAUAGGCUAAGGUAAGGUUUCUUGUAAGAUCUUGGUUAGGGUUUGGUUUUAUACCUUAUAACACUUGGUUUUGAUCUUCUUACAUGAAAGGAAACCUAGGAGAGACCUUGGAAUCUCAUGUUGGAACCAUGUUGUUCAUGCUAUGGAAACCCUAGGGUUGAAAUUGGGGUUUUCAUAGAUAUAAGGUGUAUGAUUAAAUUGACCCUUUGUAAACCUAAUUGAAGGUAAAAUCGACGUUGUGGGCAACUCAAACGGGAGUUCCUACGGGCGUGUAGCACAGUAUUGAAGAAAAGGACCGCUUUUGCUUCGUUUCCGUUGGAUAGGGCCGAAGCAACAUCUAAAAAUUCUGAGCUUCGUAUUCUCGCACCUCGGCAUUAUUUAGAGGUGGGGGGUGCUAUCCGAAGCUAUCGAGCUUCUUUCUAUGUCCAAGUUACAUUGUUGACUAUGCACCUCUCAUGUUGAUUAUGCAUUGUAGGAUGUUGAUAGUUGCAUUUCCAUUCCUUAUAUGCUUUCAUAGUUGAUAUUGCAUUGUGAGAUGGACACAUGAUAUAGUGGAUGUGUAAGGAUUGGGUCUUGACAUUGAAUCCUAUAGUGCCGAAAACAAGUGAUGAACUUGAUGUAUAUGCGAUGACAUAACGAGUGGCAUGUGAACUAUAUGUAAUGACAUAGAUGAGUUGUAGCACACUGGACCUUUGCAAAUUGCGAGGUUCGAGUGUUUGGAUGUAUUUCGAGCUUUUUCACACUUGGUGGAGGGUUGUAGAGUGUUUUCCGACCUAAAAAGUUCGAAAAUCAGGAAUUCUGGAUAAGUCCUGAGAGUUUUUACUCUCGGGGACCGGUCCCUGGAAGGAGAGACCGGUCCCCCAGUGAGCAGUGUUGAGGCAGCCUGAGGCAACCGGUCCCUGGCAAGCGAGACCGGUCCCCGAGCGCGUCUUCGCAGUGAGAGACCGGUCCUGCGCGGGGAGAGACCGGUUCCCGAACGCUGGUUUUUCGGGUUCGCAGCGAAAGACCGGUCCCUGCUGGGGAGAGACCGGUCCCUCUAGACGAAAACUGCCCUGACCGGGCCGUGGUAAUAUUGGAUUUUUGGAGGACCUAGCUGGAUUUUGUUACAAUAGAGGGUCUAUAUGACCUCUCCACCCUCUCUUCUCCGCAUUUUUCUUCUCCCAACCCUCUCUACACCUUGAUAGAGAAGAAGAAGAAGAAGGAGAAGAAGAAGAAGAAGGGAAGGAGAAGAAGUUUGGAGCUACUAGUGGACUUGGGGCAUCUUCCUCCCCUUCUCAUCUUCCUUGGUGCUUGAAGGCUUGGACUUGGAGCUUGCAAAGGGGGAGAUCUUCACCUUUGGAGCUUGGAUUGGAGCUUUUAAGGAGGUUUGUUGCUCAUUCCCUCCCUCUAGACCUUGAUUUGAGGAUUUUUAGUAGAUGGAACCCUAGUUUUGAGACUUAGGGUUUAUUUUGGGGCUUUUUAAUCUAGGGCUUUUGAGGCUUGAUUGGUUGGUUUAGAACCUUCCUAGGGCUUGGAUUGGAAGGGUUCUAGCUCUCUUUUGGAGCUUAGGAGAAGAUUUCUACUCUUGAGGUAUGUUUUGGCCCUUUUCUUCUAGGUUAAUGUUUGAUAGUGUAAGAUGGUCGUAAUGCCCUCGUAUCUCUUCGCUGAUUACUUUUAGGGCAUUUUGAGACUCGGGGACAACUUUGUUCGGCAAAACGAGGCCCUACGCGACGGUUCGGUGGGUUUGACCUAGCCAUACAAUGAGAAAAUGCUCAUUUGUGCAUAAUUAAGUAUCGUUAAAUGAGAAAGCAUGCAUAUUCUUGUUAUAUGUAUUUAUUGUGAAUUUUAGAAUGCUUAAAAGGCCUAUGUUGUAUAUGAUAAAAUUUUGGACCUCUAUGGAGUAGAGAGUAGCUUGGUAGGCCUAUGGUUGCAUUUAGCGUUCUAUACGAGACUUGGUUUCAUGCUUCUAUAGUGUACAUAAGCUUUGAUUCAUGCAUCUAAACUUAAGUUUAUUUGAAACAUGCAAGAAGACGAAAUUGCCAUAUAGAGGUAUUGGAACUAGAAUGUACGUGAACUAGAGAGCUAAUGUCAUCAAGCGGCAUUGAGCUCAGGACAUGUGUGAACCUAGUGGAUAGGGCCAUCGAGAAAUGUGAAACAUGGUUAAGCAUUAAAUGUCUAAGUGUCAUAAAGGGGCACUAGACCUAGAGAAGGUUGGAACUUCAUUUGUGACUUAAACUAGAUCUUUGGGAUGCUAGUGACUAUACCAUGUAGAGACAUGAGGAUUGGAUACUUGAGACUUGGACUAUGCUUGCUUGCCAUUUGUGCUCAUUCGCACAUGCUUGUGAGGGUCGCUCCCUACAAGCCGGCACUCCGGAGUUAGCCUACGCGACUUUUGGUUCGUUCGUGCGGUAUUGAGAAGCCUACGGGGUCGAGUGGGACAGACACAUCCCAAGAGUAGGGAUGUCGGGCUACCACAGGCACUUAGGCGGCACAAGCUGGAUUACCUUGGAUAGGUCCUUAAUUGGAAAUGGAAAUCGAGACACGGUGUGGAAUAUAAACAAUCACUACUAGAAAGAAUUAGUAGUUGGAUUACUUGGACACGCUCAUGAUAUAGCAUCGGUACAUUUAGUAUACUUGCCGGUUUCAUUAUUGCAUCGUAGUAUACUCAGUUGUUUGGAUAGAGUUUACCCUUAUACAUUGACAUAUUGCAUCGUGAGGUUUACUUGUUUAUUAUGUUGAGACAUAUUAGUAUGCAAUGGACAUAUUACCUUAUAAUAGCGUAGAUGUACAUCACAUGGCAUCAUGCUUACUUGAGACAUAUGGGUUAGCUCUUCAUUUAUGCUUUCUUACUGUGUUACUAUUACCUUUAUUGCCAUUACUAUCUUGUACUUACCCUUUUCUUUUGGGGCCUAGUGGUGCAUAGAGCUGAGGUCAGUAAUUGCCCACUGGGAACUAUAAAUUAUAGUUCUCACGCCCUCUUUUUCUCGAUAUUUUUCAGAGCCUUCCACGCAGGGUGAGGCCAGGGAUCGCGGGAAGGGAGUCGCUUCGAGCUAGCUUCCUUCGAGGACGAGUUGCUAGGUGGUCUACCUCUCGAUGUCUUAUUUUAUUUUGCGAGAGGUUCAUGGUUUUACCAGUGUACUAGAGACCACCAUUUUUGUACUAGCGACAGAUAUUGUACGACUUAUGAUUUCUUUUAUUGUCUAGCUUUACUUCCCUACUUCGAUGUAGAUGUUAGAACUUUACUCGCUCUGAUAUCAUUAGUUGCUAGUUAUUUCACUCCUUCUAUUUGUUCUAUUACUCGCUUUUACUUCCGCUUUUAUUGUAGACGCCUUAUAUGUGUAGACAUAUGGCGGGUCUGAGCACACUACCGGAAGGGCCUCCGCCAGUCCCGGGGCAUGACAUGAGUGGCAUACGAAUCUAGUGUAGUAGAGACACUUAUGACAUGAUAAACCUAGGGAUAGAUGAUUUUCCCAAGUUAUCGACAUGUGGCAUGUGAAUUUAGUGUAGUUGAGGCACUUAAACAUGAACAUUGGGAUAGAUGGUUUUCCGAGUCGUUGUUAACCCCAGUUGGUAGGGUAUCCUCGGUUGGAGACGAUUGGAUCAUACUCACACAGUCUGUUCUCGCUUGGCGGUGGUCGCUCCACCCAAGCAGUGAGCUCCGGAGUUAUCACACGAUGGACUAACGUACUUGUCCAGCAGACGGUCUCGGGUAGAUCGAGCGGUCGGGCCUCCUCACUUAUGGGAUUGCACUGUGAGUCGGGGCGAACCUUCGGGUUAGCUAAGUUGAUUAGGUGAUAAACAUAUGAAUGAUAUACUUUAUCGAGCAUAGUAGUAUGAUAGCUAGUUGAGUUUAUUACUAUGUAGACAUUCAUUCAUUUACUAUUGAUUAAGGCAUAGUAGCAUGAUAGUAGAAUUCAUACUAUGUUUGCAGUUUUAUUUCAUAUCAUAUCUAUCUACUCAUGCUUGCUUAAACCUAGUGGGAAGACCGGCGGGGUCGGUGACCGAACCCAUUGGGAACUAUUAUUAGUUCUCAUCCCACUUUGUUGCAGGGCCUAACUCGAGCAGACUGGACGAGGAUCGCGGUAAGGGCAUAGCGCCCUAGUUAGUAGCCUUCCUUUAUGCAUUAGAGUACCCUAUGUAUGAGAGAGACUUGAUGUAUUUUGAGAGAGGUUACUUUUGAAGAGUUGUACAUGUAUUAUGAGAAGAAUAUGUAAACCAAACGAUGUAAAUGGUUGAAUGAAAAUGUAAUAGCUAGCUUCCUCUCUUUUGCUCUUGCUUGUUUAUACUCGCAAUGAAUCAUGUAUGUGGUUGAUGUUUUCCUGGGCAACUAUAUGUACAUGAUUGUUGUUGUUGAGCCUUGGGCGAGCAGGGGAGGUUCUGUCCGUUCGGCGUCUAUUCGGCGUACCACAACCGACCAAAUUGACGGUUGCCGGGUGUGGUAGAUAUAGUGGUAUCAGAGCAAGUAAAGAGAGAAGUCUAGGAUGGACUUAAGAGACCCUAGGACGGUAACCUUAAGGCUAUAGGUGCGUGAGUGAGACGUGGACCUAUGCCGGGUGGCGGAAGUUGAACUAAUUGGGUAUAAUUGUUAGUAUGUCUCUAGUGGUUGAUAGAGACGGAUUCAAGUGGUAUUAGUUCUCGACUUGAAGAGGUUAUGUUGGCGGCUGACAACAUGACACUAAGAGUUGAGAAUAAGUAUGCUUGUGUGCUUCCGCCUAAUUGCAACGUUGAGUCGUUUAUUCCUAAAUUGCGUAGAGUUGUGAGUUAUGGUAAUUAACCUAAUUGUUGCAUUUCAGGAGCUAUGGCACCGAAGGGACGCCCCAGGACGCGAUUCACUGCAGCACCGCCUCCUGAGGUGCCCGAGCGUCCUGAAUCUGAUGAGGUACAAGAGUUGCGAGCGCAAAUCGCUACGAUGGUCGGCGCGAUGCAGCGCCAAGAGGACCAGAUUGCAAGGCUGCAGGAGUUGGUGGCGCAACAGACGUCGGCUCAGGCAGAUGUUGAGCGACCUGCGCCUUCUGCCGUUGUACCUGGUGCGACGGAGGGUGUGGCCAUGGCGGCUAUACCGAUUGCAGCACGACCCGCACCGGCGGUGGUGGCUACUGGUUCGGGAACCUCAAAUCCCAAAGGUGCGGCGUUGGAGACGGAGAGGGAGCGAGCACUUUCAGCUCUCAUGAUGUUUAAGAAGUUCAAUCCACCGGUGUUUGACGGGGAGAAGGUCGAGCCGUGGAUGGUCGAGUCGUGGGUUGACUCGAUGGAGACCCUUUCCGAGGAUCUCUAUACUUUGGAGAAAGACAAGGUACACCUCGCCACUCAUUGCUUGGAGCGGACGGCGAAGGUAUGGUGGAAGCAGAUUAAGCGGGAUCGGUCUUCCGACCUUCCGCCGUUAGCGUGGGAGGAGUUUAGGGGCUUGAUGUUUACCAACUAUUUUCUCGAUAGUGAGAAGAAUAAACUUCAAGACCAAUUCCAAAAGUUGAAGCAAGGAAACCGCUCAGUAGGGGAGUAUGAGCGGGAGUUCUCACAUAUCAUCGAUUGUGUCCCCGAUGUGGUGUGCAACGAUAAGGAUCGAGCUGAUUUGUUCGAGCGAGGGCUCCGGCCCGAUAUCUACAAGGCAGUUCACAUCCUUAAGCUUACUACCUUUGCGGAGGUGUUGGAUCGGGCGUUGUGGGUGAAGCACGGUAAUACCCAUGUCCGUGAUGAACGAGAGGCGUCCGAGAAGGACGGAGGAAAGAAGCAGGCUCAAGAUAGUUUGGGAGGUCAAUCGAAGUCGAGGAAGCCUCCGAAGUACCCUCGAACGCAUUCUGGGGGUCGUGGGGCUCAGCGUUGCAUCAUCUACGGUGGAGACCACCAACCGAUGCAUUGCGAGCAGCGCCAAGAAAAAUGCUUCAGAUGUGGUCAGGCGGGGCACGUUAGCCGUUAUUGUCCAGGGAGGACCUCGCCUGCCCCGUCGGCCGCAUCGGCUCUGACGACUCCGGGCCAUUAUGGAGGAGUUCCACCUACUGCUAUAUCUACCGGACGUGCUAUGGGACCGCGUCAGCCAGAGAUGACCCGGUCGGCUCCGAGUGGACGGGUGUUUGCCGCUCAAGCCGAGGAACCUAUUGAGGCCGAGGAGCGCAACGUCGAGGUAGGUAUGGUGCUAAUAAGUGAAGUUCGAACUAGAGCUAUGUUUGAUACAGGUGCAACUCAUUCAUUUUUUAGCCGACCCUUCGCACAAAUGCAUGGCAUAGAAAUUCAGUUGAGCAGGAGUACUUAGCAGGUUGAAGCCCCCGAGCGUGCAUUCCUUAUUAGAAAGGAGUGUUCGGCUUGUCUAAUACAGGUAGGCGAUUGGAUUAUGCCGACACGCUUACUAGUGCUCAAAAGGUUGAAGAAUUUCGAUGUAAUAUUAGGCAUGGACUAGCUCUCAAGAUAUUGUGCAACUAUUGAUUGCAAGGACAAGUUGAUAACUUUUCGUGAGCUAGGACAUGAGGAGUUCACCUAUCGAGCAUGCAAAAGCUCGCUCUUCGCCAUGACGGUGUCGGCGUCUAGGGCGAGGAAGAUGGCUAGUGGUGGUUGCGCCGCUUAUUUAGCGACCGUUGUGGAACUAAAUAAGGAAGCUCCGACACUUGAGGAUAUUUUCGUGGUUCGGGAGUUCCCGGAUGUGUUUCCCGCGGAGUUACCGGGAUUGCCACCAGAUCGGGAGAUCGAGUUCGUGAUAGACUUGGUUCCCGAAACUGCGCCGGUCUCGAAGGCUCUGUAUUGAAUGGCACUGGCGGAACUGAUAGAGUUGAAGGCUCAGUUGCAAGAUCUUCUCAACAAGGGGUUCGUGAAGCCGAGUGUAUCACCUUGGGGAGCCCCGGUGUUGUUUGUGAAGAAGAUGUUAAGUCUUGUGUGUUGGUAAAUUUUGUGAAGUGAGUAGGAGUCUUGAAGGAUCGGUGCGUAUCGUCGAAGAUUGAAGAAUCCAAGACUUCGAAGAAAGCAGAAUUAACUCACUAUGUGAAUCACGAUGCCCAGGUAAGCUUUUAAUUCAUGUUAUGGUGAUUCAUACUUAGUUGUAGGCAUUAGAAUCAUAAUACCAAAGUUUACUGGAUUAGAAAGUGCGUUGGUACUUUGCAAAAUCCGAAAUCGUGCAAAAAUUGAGUUUUUGCAAAGUGUACCGGUACAAUAUCGGAAGUGUACCGGUACACAUUCUGUUCUAGUACAGCAAGCGACUUGUCACCGGUUACAGCUUUACGUAGGUUUUCUUUUCCUUCAUUGUGUAACCGGUAACAGCUUACAAUGAAGUACACAAUGUAAUUUUCGAAAAAACUUUUUAAUCCGACUCCAAUUGAUUCUAAAGUCUAUAAAUAAGCUAUUGGGGUUCUCUAACAUAUCAAGCAUCACGAGAAUUCAUGUUUGAGAAACCCUAGAGGCUAGGAUUUCGUGCUAAACCUAUUUUCUACAUAUUAGCCUCUUUUAGGUCAAAUCGAGAUAUUGAAAUUUCAUAUCUAUAUGUCGAUUUGAUCUUCGCUUCGCUUGGAGUUUCCUUCCCUGGUUUUCAUCGAUACUCUAAGCGAAGGAUCACCAUACACAUGAUGUUCUUCAUAACGGCGCCGUGGAUUCGGCUUGAUUGACGACGGUUCGUAGAUUCGAAUCGUGAGCUUCGUGGAUUCGGAGUGGAGGCAUUUUGUGGAUUCGGAACGAGGCGUUCGUGGAUUCGAACGUGUGAGCAUGGACAACCCGGAGGAUUGCGCGAGAUUCAUUGGAGGUUAAGAGAGGUCGAGUUCGUGGAGUCGGUAAUCACCUUGUAAUCUUUUCUCUUAAUGAAUUAUUUUUUCGCGUGUUGGUCCCGUGGGUUUUUUACUCCAAGUUGGAGUUUUUCCACAUAAAUUUCGGUGUGAUUUUUAUUUUCCACAUUUAUUUUUAUCGCAUUGAGAUUUGUGGUUUUUUGGCUAUUACACCUAUUCACCCCCCUCUAGGUGUUAGAUACAAUCUAGAUAGAUCCUUGGGCACCCCAAAACUUUCAAUUGGUAUCAGAGCGGGAUCUAAAUAAAUUAUUAUCUAAUGGCCGAAGGCGGUAACAUUAAUCGACCACCACUCUUCGAUGAUACGAAUUAUGCCUAUUGGAAAGUUCGCAUGAGAACUUUUCUAAUCGCAAUUGAUGAGCGGGUGUGGAAAGCUAUUGAAUUCGGUUGGAAGCAUCCUACCGAAGUCGUCGAUAAUGCUACCGUUCCUAAACCACGGAACAAAUGGACGAAAGAUGAAAACGAGUCAUCUUCGUUUAAUGGUAAAGGAAUUAAUGCUUUAUUCAACACUUUAUCGCAAACGGAGUUUUCUCGUGUUUCAGCAUGCGAAAUGUCAAAGAAAAUUUGGGAUACUUUACAAGUUACGCAUGAAGGAACAAGCUUAGUAAACGUUCCAAAAUUACAAAUGCUAACAAGCAAAUUUGACUCGAUUUUUAUAGAAGAAAACGGGACCUUUAUCGAGUUCUAUACUCGACUUCAAGAUAUUGUUAAUACAUGCGCUAACAUGGGAGAGAAAAUUCCGGAUUCUAAGGUUGUUCGAAAGAUUCUUCGAACACUUCCGGAACGCUUUCGGGCAAAGGUUGCCGCGAUUGAAACCGUUAAGCAUCCGAACGAGAUGAAAGUAGAGGAAUUAGUAGGCGCUUUACAAACGUAUGGGAUGACUUUUCCUACUAACCAAUCUUUUUUCAAGUCUUUUUCUAAAAGCACAGGGGUUGCACUCAAAUCAACAAAGAAAGAAGAAGACGACUUGGAUUCCGACGGAGAUAUUUCGCUCGUCGAUUUCGAACAUCAAUUAGCGCUCCUAACGAAGAAGUUCCGACAGAAUUUCCGAAAGAGCAAAUCGAACAAACCUUCAUCUUCAAAGCUUAAAUCCUCUUCUAAACAUUCUUCUAAUUUAAAAUCUAAGGAUAAAAAACUUGCAAAGUCUUCGAAUGAAAAAACGAAUUUGAAGGGAAAAUUCAAUGCUACAAAUGUAAAGGCUACGGUCACAUUGCAACGAAUUGUCCUUCGAAGAAGACUUAUAGACAAAAGGCUUUGCAAGCAAAAACUUGGGAUGAUUCUACUUCGAGUGAAUCAUCUUCAAGUGACGAAGAAAAGAAUGAACAUAUUGCUUUAAUUGCUAAUAAUUCUUUGCCUUCGUCUAAUGUUAUGUGCUUAUCCUCUAUUGUUACUAAUUCUAGUGUUUCUCGUUCCGUGCAAGGUACUUCGAGCGAUAUCAGUGAAAGCGAGGAGGAAUCGAACGACGAGGAUAUAGCGGAAGCAUACAACCAACUUCUUAUUGAUUCGAAAAAGAAGUUGAGGCGUCGUUUAUUGGACAUUGAAGAGGAAAACAAAAAUUUGAAGACUAUGAAUAGUGCUCUCGAGGAGGAAAGGGAAUCAAAUUUGAAAGAUCGUUCAAUCCUCCAAGAGAAGCUUAAUGAAGCGGAAUCAACGAUCAAAUCUUAUAAGACAAGAUUGGAUUUUUAGAGCAUCAAUUUGAGGAAUCGCACAAAUCUAAUCCAUCCUUGACCAAUUAAGUUCGUCAACUUCAAUCCAACAUAUAAAAAUUCUCUUCUGGUUCAAAGAACUUAGAUCAUAUGCUCGGAUUAGGUCAAACGAACAAGUUGGGCCUCGAGUAUGAAAGAACAUACGUUGAGAAGGAUUUAACGACAACUACUAAAGUCUCAACAAAUUCAGACAAAAAGGUAUGUCAUCGAUGUGGCAUCAAAGGACACAUAAAAAAGAAUUGCCUAAAUAAGGAAAAGAAGAAUCAAUCGACAAUGUCUACACAUCGAUCGGCAACUACGAAUCAUCAAGCGGCAUCAUCAACUACUCGACAUCCCCCAAGGAAUCAAAAGAAAAAUCAAUUGAGUCGAGUACCUCGAGGGAACCGGGCUUCUAAGCCGCAACGUCAAGCUCGACCAUACCCACAAGCAAACCGGAAUUCAAAGGUUCAUUAACAAUUUCAACCGAAGCCUCAAGCAACGAAACGACCAACGGUUGAUCAAAAAUCAAAGCAAAUUGUGCCUAACGUCGACAAGACAAGACAAUGCAAAAUUCGACAAGUUUGGAUUCGGAAAGGUGAUAUCUUUCCUUACUCUUUGUCUUAGUUUGUUUUGAUUGUUUAUGUGAUGCUUUGUUUGGUGCUUGUUGCAUAUUUUUAUUCAUUGUAGUACAUGAUGAUUUUCGUGUGCGAAAUUUAUUUUUAAAAUUGAUUUGAGGAAAGGCGUUUGGGAAUUUGAAAUUUUUCUUUGAGAAAGGAGAUGAUUGAAAAUCAUUAUUUUGGGGAGAUUAAAGUUUUCAAAGUGCUCUAAACGAUUUUUAACUUCACAUUCAUCUUGAAUUAAAUUCAUAUUGAUUAUCGAUUUUACUCCACUUUUUGUUAUUUUGACGAUAAUUGAUUUUAUGAAUUCUUAAUACAUAUAUUCAUCAAAAUUUUGAAAUCAAUUUUGAUUUUAUGGUGAUUAAUUCAUCUUUGUUGUGUGUGUUGGAUAUGAUGGAUGGAUAUUCACUAAUUGACUAAAAUUUUGUCAAAAUUACUUUCGACUGUGAGAUUGUCUAAUUUAGGGAGAGUUUGAAAUUACUUAAAAAAAAGAAAAAAAGAUACUCCUAUGUUUAAAAGAUGUGGAAAGAGUUACAUCCUAAAAGGAGUGUGAAAACUAUCACCACAUGUAGGAAAGAGCUACCAGCCUGGUCGUCCGGCAAGUGUGUGAAGCUACCACAUGGAGAUUAAUUGAAAAGCAGAAAAUGUUGAAAAAAAUUAAAUAUUUUAGAAUUUUCGGAGUUAUAAGGUGAUAGGAUGAAAAGAUGCUCAAAGAGCCACCCCCGAUGCCAUAUUAGUUAAAUCUCUAGUUUGAACGAGUUGCGACAAAUUGGUGUCAAUUUUGUUGAAUUCCUAAAAAUUAUUUUUCAUCAACUUACGUCUUGAUGGUUUUGAAUCAUUAGAUUAUUUUUUAUAACAAAAUUUUAAUGUUUCGAUGUAUUUUGAAAUCUUCUAACAUUUUAUUGUCAUCAUAAUGAUUUUUGGAAUACAAUCUUUAAUUUUUAUGAAAUUAAUUUAAUUUUGACAGAUUUUUGAUGAAAAUAUUCAAAAUUUUCGAAAUCUGUGAAAUUGUACCGGUACAAAAAAAUGUGUACCGGUACAAAACACUGUAGCCGCGGAUGUUAUAACCGGUUACAAGGCUCGGUUUUCUUUCAAAACUCUCUCAAAAUCCCUCAUUUCUCUCUCUAAAAAUCCCAGGUGGUCUUCUCCUUCAGAUCCUCAUGUUUCCUCUCAAGAUUUGUAAGUAUUCUACUUAGAUUUGAAGAUCUAAUCCCGGUUUUGCUAUUUUUUCGAAAAAUUUCGAGUUGAAGCACGAUCUGCAUUUUGAUUCGUUUUUGAUGCAAUUUUUUGCUGUGAAUCAGUAUUUAGACAUAUAAUCUUGCUUCUAGAACACUUAGAUCAGGUUAUAACACUGUAUUUUUUGCUGAUCUGUGAUAUAUAACUCAAUAUACAUGAAAUUUCGGGAUUUUUGAUAAAAUAUCAUUUUCGAUGAAAUUUUUUACAUGAUUUAGUUAGAAAUAGCGUUCGUAUGCAUUCUAAUAUUAUUAGAAAUUUUUUCGCUAUUUUACAGAUUUUUUCAAGAUUUUGUUCAUGUAAGGUUAAUUUUUGUAUAGGAAAAAUGACGUUUUCGCUCGUGUUGCUGAUUUUGGUGCUGAUGGCGGCUGGAUGUGGCCGAGGUGGUGGUAGAGGCCGUCGUGGAGCCUCUAAGAGGACUCGUACUGCAGGCGAGUCGCCCGGGUCUGAUCCGGAUUACCAAGCAAGUUCGCCUGAGGAAGUUGAAGAACCUAUUGCUCGUCCUGACAAGGGCAAAGGCAUAGCUGGAGAAUCCGCGCGUGGAGGUGGUUCUCGUUCAAGAGAGACACGAUCAAAGCAAGCUGCGGAUGUUCUAUAGGAGCGGCGGUGGACAUUUCGAGCAGGUCAUGCAUUGCUGAGCGAUAUGUCAACUUCCAUGACCUAACCGAAGAGGUUCCAGAUUUUGGUCGCUUACGAUAGAGGGUCCCCAUUGAGCUAGUUGGACGUGUUCCGGCUCGAUCUCCUUUCUGUGUGGAACUCAUUCGGGAGUUCUACAUGAAUGGAAAGGUGUGUGCUGAGGUGAAGAGACCGGGACUUAUCUUCUUGAGACCUAUGUACGUGGGGAGAGGGUUUUAGUCACUCCUCACACGAUUGGAGAGUUGUUGGACAUGCAUGUUGACACGACAGGACUUCAUCAUACUACUGGGAUUUAUCAGUCUUCAUUUUACUGGGAGACAGUUGUUCGUGCGAUCUACAAGGAUGGAGUGCGGACAAAUCAUGCAUAUGUGGAAUCCAAGGAUUUGCGACCCGAGUAUCAUUUACUCUCCUUGGUGCUGUGCUACAAUGUUCAACCUACAAUUGGAACAAAAAGGAUUCGUUUGGAUCGUCCGGUGCUUCUAUAUCUUCUUGGACAUCCUGAGCAAGCAGACGGGUUAAACAUCAAUAUUCCCUUUCUGAUGUGGCAAAGAAUGACGCAUGCUAUACAGUCUCCAGCUCGACGUGAUCUACUUCCGUUUCCGUUGUUGAUCACGAGGAUUCUGCAAGAACACGGAGUUGACGUGUCGUGUGAGAAGUACGACACUGGACUUAGACCGAUUGAUGCUAUAACUUGGGCCAAGUCAGUCAGCACUCUGAGGAUAUUUCAACAAACAAAAGGAUCGUCACGUGCAGCUUCUAGUUCCGCACAUCCACAUCGAGCAGAGCGUGAGGGAUCUUCCAGUUCAGGAGGAGUGAUUACUGUAGAAUCACUUCACCAUGAGGUGUGCUCUUUAAAGAAAAAAGUGACAGAUCUUGCUAAAAAGGUGGAGGUGGGAAUAAAGAGAAUUAUGGAGAAAUUGGGAUGUAGGCAUGAUGAUAUAUUUCCUACUCAGCCUACCUACACCACUUACACGAGGUCUACGUCGAGACACCCACUAAUUCCACCAUCUAGUGGUGCUCCUGAGGCUGGGGGAUCUGGAGCUGGAGUAGGAGACGAUGAUAAUGAUGAUGACGAGGACACUGAGUGACUUUUUCUUCGAGCUUUGUCUUUUUACUUUACUUUUUAGGACGAUGUUUUAGUUUAGCUUUGCUUGCUUAUCUUUACUUUGCUUGUCUUUAGGCCUGUAGCUAUGACGUGACUACUCUUAUGCUUUCUAGUUUAUUUUCUCUCUUUAUAUGCUUUGUCUUUGGCAAUUUUUGACAAAAAGGGGGAGAGCAAUGAUGAACAGGUAUUGAUCGUAGCAAAGGAGAAGAAGGAACAAAGGGGGAGAAGGAGUGAAAUUUCGAGAAGAAGGAAUAAAGAACAAAGGGGGAGAAGGAGUGAUAUUUCGGAAGAACGAACAAAGAGGAAGAAGAAGUGAAAUUUUGAGAAUGUCGAAUGUUUGAAGUUUUCUACAUUAUUUUGGAUAAUCUAUUUUGCAGUAAAUCAAGACUUCAAAACUCUUAGUUGCGUCUAAGUCAUAGAGUCCGUUUUAGGAGUUUUUGUUGUACUUUUGAGUUUCAAAUUGUAUUUGGAUUACAUGCGAGGGGUCCGAUGUUUUGGUGAUGAAAUUGAACUUCGUUUUUCUUUAAGAUGUAAUUUUUGAGUUGUUGUGAGUUUUGUCACGAAAUUGCCAAAGGGGGAGAUUGUUAAGUCUUGUGUGUUGGCAAGUUUCGUGAAGUGAGUUGGAGUCUUGAAGGAUCGGUACGUAUCGUCGAAGAUUGAAGAAUCCAAAACUUCGAAGAAAGCAGAAUUAACUCACUAUAUGAAUCACGAUGUCCAGGUAAGCUUUUAAUUCAUGUUGUGGUGAUUCAUACUUAGUUGUAGGCAUUAGAAUCAUAAUACCAAAGUUUACUGGAUUAGAAAGUGCGUUGGUACUUUGCAAAACCCGAAACCGUGCAAAACUUGGAUUUUUACAAAGUGUACCAGUACAACAUCGGAAGUGUACCGGCACACAUUCUAUUCCGGUACAGCAAGCGACUUGUCACCGGUUACAGCUUUACGCAGGUUUUCUCUUCCGUCAUCGUGUAACCGGUAACAGCUUAAAAUGUAUCGGUACAUAAUGUAAUUUUCGGAAAAACUUUCUAAUCCGACUCCAAUUGAUUCUAAAGUCUAUAAAUAAGCUAUUGGGGUUCUCUAACAUAUCAAACAUCAUGAGAAUUCAUGUUUGAGAAACCCUAGAGGCUAGGAUUUCGUGCUAAACCUAUUUUCUACAUAUUAGCCUCUUUUAGGUCAAAUCGAGAUAUUGAAAUUUCAUAUCUAUAUGUCAAUUUGAUCUUCGCUUCGCUUGGAGUUUCCUUCUCUGGUUUUCAUCGAUACUCUAAGCGAAGGAUCACCAUACACAUGAUGUACUUCAUGACGGUGUCGUGGAUUCGGCGUGAUUGACGGCGGUUCAUGGAUUCGGAUCGUGAGCUUCGUGGAUUUGGAGUGGAGGUGUUUCGUGGAUUCGGAACGAGACGUUCGUGGAUUCGAACGUGUGGGCGUGGACAACCCGGAGGAUUGCGCGAGAUUCAUAGGAGGUUAAGAGAGGUCGAGUAGUGGAGUCGGUAAUCACCUUGUAAUCUUUUCUCUUAGUGAAUUAUUUUUUUGCGUGUUGGUCCCGUAGGUUUUUUACUCCAAGUUGGAGUUUUCCCACGUAAAUCUCGAUGUGAUUUUUAUUUUUUCCAUUUAUUUUUAUCGCAUUGAGAUUUGUGGUUUUUUGGCUAUUACACUUAUUCACCCUCCUCUAGGUGUUAGAUACAAUCUAAAUAGAUCCUUGGGCACCCCCAAACUUUCAGAAGAAAGACGGAUCCUUUCGUCUUUGUGCCGAUUAUCAUGAGCUUAACAAAGUCACGAUUAAAAAUAAAUACCCGUUGCCUCGUAUCGACGACUUGUUUGAUCAGUUGCAAGGGUCGCGGGUUUAUUCGAAGAUAGAUCUUCAGUCCGGCUAUCAUCAGUUGAAGAUAAAAUCGGAGGAUGUACAAAAGACCGAGUACCGCACGCGGUAUGGACAUUAUGAAUUCAUGGUCAUGCCGUUUGGGCUCACAAAUGCCCCGGCUGCAUUCAUGGACUUGAUGAACCGUGUCUUCAAGGCUUUUCUAGAUCGAUUUGUCGUGGUAUUCAUAGACGACAUAUUGGUCUACUCUCGUAGCGACGAGGAGCAUGCGGAACAUUUGAGGAUAGUGCUACAAGUCCUUCGGGAGGAAAAGCUCUAUGCAGAAUUGAAGAAGUGCGACUUUUGGCUCCGUGAAGUUGCCUUCUUGGGACAUAUUAUUUUCGAGGGUGGUGUAUCAGUUGACCCGAGGAAAGUUGAGGUGAUUGAGGAUUGGCCUCGCCCGACAAAUGUAAUGGAGGUCCGCAGCUUCGUUGGCUUAGCGGGCUACUAUAGGCGAUUUGUGGAGGGAUUCUCGAAGAUAGUUAUUCCACUCACUCGUCUUACAAAGAAGGGCACUAAGUUCGUGUGGAGCGACAAAUACGACCGGAGUUUCAAGGAGUUGAAAGAAAGAUUGACUUUGACUCUAGUGCUCGCUCUACCGGUUCAAGGUGAAGACUUUGUGGUGUAUAGCGAUGCAUCCCACCAGGGUCUUGGGUGUGUUCUGAUGCAAGGCGGGAAGGUGAUCACUUAUGCGUCCGGUAAGUUGAAAAGCUAUGAAAAGAACUAUCCCAUCCAUGAUCUGGAUUUAGCGACAGUGAUCUUCGCUCUUAAGCUGUGGAAACACUACUUAUAUGGUGCGCAUUGUGAGAUAUACACGGAUUACAAAGUCUGAAGUACUUAUUUACUCAAAAGGAGCUUAAUAUGAGGCAACGCCGGUAGUUGGAGCUAUUGAAGGAUUAUGAUGUUACAAUCCUCUAUCACCCGGGAAAAGCUAAUGUGGUAGCCGACGCGCUUAGCAGGAAAUCAGUAGAGAAUCUUACGAUGUUGAUCACACAUCAAGAGCCGUUGUGGAGGGAAUGCGGCGGCUUGAUCUUGAGAUUGUAGCUCCGGAGGUUCCGGCUAUGCUUACGGCUCUCGUUGUCCAACCUAUCUUGUUGGAGAGGAUUAAGAGUUUGCAAUCCGUGGACCCAAGUCUCCAAAAGGUACGGCGCGACAUCGAGAGUGGGCGUUGCGGUGAUUUCGGUGGAGACCCCGAUGGCGCGCUUCGGUAUCAAAACUGAUGGUGUGCCGGAAAAUGAGGAAAUCCGAAAGCUAAUCUUGCAAGAAACGCAUCGAUCUCCCUAUAGUGUCCACCCGGGCGGCACCAAAAUGUACAAGGAUUUGAAAAUGCACUAUUGGUGGUCGGGAAUAAAAGGUGAUAUUGGACGCUAUGUGGCGCAAUAUCUUGUGUGUCAGCAAGUUAAGGCGGAGCGUCGAUUUCCGGCAGAAAAUGUAACAUACCACAUCCCUCGUAAGUCGNUGUAGUCAUUCCCUUUUGUUAUACAUGUAUCAACUUUAUUUUGUUGAUUUAGGUAUGUAAAGUGAAAACAAUCAUGUAAUUGGUGGAUGACUAAAUGUAAAAAGAUAUGAUGGUUGAAUGGAAUGUAAUAUUAUUACUUACUUGAAUUUGGUUCAAAAGAAAUCAAAUAUCACGUGUGUUGUAUAUUUAGCUUAGAGCUUUCGCUUCCGUGUUGCUUGCCCUCGAGUAAGCCUUGUAUUGUUUAUACAAUUCUCUUGUUAAUUGCUUAAUUAUAUGUGUCGUUGGAGCCUUGGGCGGACAGGGGAGGCUCUGUCCGUUCGGCGUCUGUUGACGUGACCCAAAUCCGACCAAAUUGGCGGGGAUUGGGGCGUGACAGGAAAGCUCCAAAGUUUACCUAUUCCCGUUUGGAAAUGGGAGGAUAUAGCGAUGGACUUCGUGGUCGGAUUACCCCGGUCGUCGGGUGGCCACGAUGCUAUUUGGGUAGUGGUGGAUCGCUUGACCAAGUCGGCGCACUUUCUAACGAUCCACACUACUUGGUCUGGAGAUAAGCUCGCCUAAGUUUAUCUUGAUGAAAUAGUGAGAUUGCAUGGGGUUCCGAAGUCGAUCGUAUCGGAUCGAGAUCCCCAGUUUACAUCAUACUUUUGGAAGAGCUUGCAAGAAGCACUUGGCACGCGGCUCGAUUUUAGCAUCGCAUUUCAUCCUCAAACUAAUGGUCAAUCAGAGAGAACCAUUCAAGUGUUGGAGGAUAUGUUGCGAGCGUGUGUCAUUGAUUAUCGGUGUGGAUGGCAUGAUCACUUAGCGAUGGCCGAGUUCGCCUACAAUAACAGUUAUCAAGCUAGUAUAGAGAUGGCAUCAUUUGAGGCUCUCUACGGGAGGAAGUGCCGAUCUCCUAUACAUUGGAGUGAUGUCGGUGAACGAGUGGUUUUGGGCCCCGAUGUGUUGUGGGAGGCAGAGAAGAAAGUCCGCCUUGCAUGCCAAAGGUUGUUGACGGCACAAUCUAGACAGAGGAGUUAUGCGAAUAGACACCGGCGAGAUCUUGAAUUUGCGGUAGGCGACCGUAUCUUCUUGAAGGUAUCACCCAUGAGGGGUGUGAAGCGGUUUGGAGUUCGGAAAAAAUUGAGUCCCCGAUAUGUUGGACCGUAUGAAGUGUUAGAGCGGAUUGGAGCAAUAGCAUACUCACUUGCCUUGCCGCCGAAGCUUGCGGAAGUUCACAAUGUGUUUCACAUAUCUAAUCUCCGCAAGUAUAUCCACGAUCCCGAGCACGUUCUUUCAUAUGAGCCACCGGAACUCCUAGAGGACAUGACAUACGAGGAGUUCCCGGUAUCAAUUAUAGCUCGAGAAGUGCGGAAGUUGAGAAACCGCGAGAUUCCAUACGUCAAAGUUUAGUGGAGCAAUCAUGAUGAUCGCAAAGCCACGUGGGAACUUGAGGACUCGAUGAAAGAGCGUCAUCCUCAUCUAUUCGAAGAUUUGAGUUGAGGUAUGAGUUUAUGUUAAGUUAAAUUAGUUUCGAGGACGAAACUCCUUUUUAGGAGGAGAGAAUGUAAGAUAGUGGAUCCUCGUCGUGUUAAACCACUUUUGGUCAAAAUGACCAAAGCGUAGCGAGAAGGAUGCUUGGACAUAGUCCAUACGACAUUCCAACAAUGUUGGAAGGGUUAAAGCUGAGUUUCAAGUGAGACUAUUGAGUUUUAGCAUUGCUCGGCACGAAAUGGAGCUAAAGCAUUGCCAAAACUGCAAUCUGGGCACUGCGUACCAAUACUGUGGAAGAGGUACCGGUACCCUGCAGCAACCCGAGAACAGCAACUCUCGGGUUUGGCCUCUGCUGAGCGGCAUACUGGUGACGCGAGCCCGCGUACCGGUACCCAACGCCGCGAACAGCAGGGUUGUUCUGCUGCAAAUAAAAUAAAAUGGAGGGCUUAUUUGCGAUUGUGUGAACAUAUAAGAGGGCCCCAUCUUCUUCUCUCUUGUUCACAAGCUGAGAACACUCCUCUCUCAUUUUCUCCCACUUUCUCUCUAGAAGCUUCUCUCCAAGGGUGAUUGGUGGAGAUUAGAGGGGAUUUGAAGGAGGAUUUAAGGCUUUUGAAGGUGAAGAGCUCUCCUACAAGGUGGAGCUUGUGGUGUUCAUAGGCUAAGGUAAGGUUUCUUGUAAGAUCUUGGUUAGGGUUUGGUUUUAUACCCUAAAACACUUGGUUUUGAUCUUCUUACAUGAAAGGAAACCUAAGAGAGACCUUGGAAUCUCAUGUUGGAACCAUGUUGUUCAUGCUAUGGGAACCCUAAGAUUGAAAUUGGGGUUUUCAUAGAUAUGAGGUUUAUGGUUAAAUUGACCCUUUGUAAUUGAAGGUAAAAUCGACGUUGUGGGCAACUCAAACGGGAGUUCCUACGGGAGUGUAGCACGGUAUUGAAGAAAAGGACCGCUUUUGCUUCGUUUCCGCCGGAUAGGGCCGAAGCAAUGUCUAAAAAUUCCAAGCUUCGUAUUCUCGCACCUCGGCAUUAUUUAGAGGUGGGGGGGUGCUAUCCGAAGCAAUCGAGUUUGUUUCUAUGUCCAAGUUACAUUGUUGACUAUGCACCUCUCAUGUUGAUUAUGCAUUGUAGGAUGUUGAUAGUUGCAUUUUCAUUCCUUAUAUGCUUUCAUAGUUCAUAUUGCAUUGUGAGAUGGACACAUGAUAUAGUGGAUGUGUAAGGAUUGGGUCUUGACAUUGAAUCCUAUAGUGCCGAAAACAAGUGAUGAACUUCAUGUAUAUGCGAUGACAUAUCAAGUGGCAUGUGAACUAUAUGUAAUAACAUAAACGAGUGGCAUAUGAAUCUAGUAUAGUAGAGACACUUAUGACAUGAUAAACCUAGGGAUAGAUGAUUUUCCCAAGUUAUGGACAUGUGGCAUGUGAAUUUAGUGUAGUUGAGGCACUUAAACAUGAACAUUGGGAUAGAUGGUUUUCCGAGUCGUUGUUAACCCUAGUUGGUAGGGUAUUCUCAGUUUGAGACGAUUAGAUCAUACUUACACAGUCUGUUCUUGCUUGGCGGUGGUCGCUCCACUCAAGCAGUGAGCUCCGGAGUUAUCACACGAUGGACUAACGUACUUGUCCAACAGACGGUCUCGGGUGGGUCGAGCGGUCGGGCCUCCUCACUAAUGGGAUUGUACUUGAGUCGGGGCGAACCUUCGGGUUAGCCAAGUUGAUUGGGUGAUGAACAUAUGAAUGAUAUACUUUAUCGAGCAUAGUAGUAUGAUAGCUAGUUGAGUUCAUUAUUAUGUAGACAUUCAUUCAUUUACUAUUGAUUAAGGCAUAGUAGUAUGAUAGUAGAAUUCAUACUAUGUUAGCAGUUUUGUUUCAUAUCAUAUCUAUCUACUCAUGCUUGGUUAGACCUAGUGGGAAGAUCGGCGGGGUCGGCGGCCGAACCCACUGGGAACUAUUAUUAGUUCUUAUCCCACUUUAUUGCAGGGCCUAGCUCGAGCGGACCGGACAAGGAUUGCGGUAAGGGCAUAGCGCCCUAGUUAGUAGCCUUCCUUUAUGCAUUAGAGUACCCUAUGUAUGAGAGAGAGACUUGAUAUAUUUUGAGAGAGGUUACUUUUGGAGAGUUGUACAUAUAUUAUGAGAAGAAUAUGUAAACCAAACGAUGUAAAUGGUUGAAUGAAAAUGUAAUAGCUAGCUUCCUCUCUUUUGCUCUUGCUUGUUUAUACUCACAAUGAAUCAUGUAUUUAGUUGAUGUUUUCCUAGGCAACUAUAUGUACAUGAUUGUUGUUGUUGGGCCUUGGGCCGACAGGGGAGGUUCUGUCCGUUCGGCGUCUAUUCGGCGUAUCCUAACCGACCAAAUUGGCGGUUGCGGGGCGUGGCAACGAGGGUGCAGGAGGAGAAGGGGAGUAAGUGGAGAAGAAAAUGGAGCGGAACCACGACCGAUCGAGGCGGAAACUGCAGCCGAUCGAGGCGGCGGAUAAGCAAGAUGAGGGAGAAGACGAAAUUGGUGAGGGGCAAAAUGAUCAUUUUGUCAUCACAUUUCACACUGUACUCCCCCUGUGAACAUUUUUCAUUUUACAAGGGGGCAAAGUGUAGACUUUUAAAUGUCAUGGGGAAAAAGUGAAAAAUUAGAUUUUGACAGGAGGAUUUUAUGUAAUUUAGCCUUAAUUAAAUUAGUAUUUUUCGUCUCAAUAAAAAAGAAAGUUUAGAAAACUAAUUUAUAAAUGAUCUAAAGAUGAGGGACUGACGUACAUUUUUAUCUAAAAAAUGUAUAACAACUAGAUUCUACCAUAUGAUUCAAGACAACAAAACCCUCUUUCGAUACAGGUGACUUCCAAACAGACUACUCAACUAUUAUGUAUAACAUCUUUCAUAAAAUAUUGAACCAUGUGAUUCAAAAUCGAGAAACCCAUAUAAUUAUAGGUGACUUUGAAAUAAAACUCCCUUCACUAUAGAUGACUUUGAAAUAGAGCCAUCAACAAUUAUGUAUUUAUUUUUAAUUGAUAUCUUUUCGACUUUUAUUUUUUAUUAAUUAAUUAAUUCAGUUUUAUUUGAUAUAUAAUAGUUAAUUAAUCUAUUUUCUAAAAUUUAGUAUUUAACUAUUUAAGAUUUAAAAUUUUUGUUUAAAUUUUUAGUUUAUUUGGCUAAAUUAGUAGUUAUGUGUAUGUUAAUAAAAAAAAUUAACAGAUAAAUUGCCUAAAGAUGAGGAGACUUUGUACAUUUUUAUCUAAAUAAAUUGUAUAAUUUUUUAUCAAUUAAAGAGAUCUCAAAUGCGGAUAUCUAAUAUGGAAGGUUUGCAUGAAAACUAAAUAAUAUGCAGAAAAAGAGAUAUUCUGAGAUUUUAUUAACUAAUAAUGUUUUGGAUACUAUUUAUUUUAAAUUUUGUUUGGAUUAUUUUUAAUAUGUAAAUUGCUAAAUACUUCAUCUGUCAUUUAUUAGGCCCAAAAAAAAAUUAUGGUGCUGAUUCAUAAAUGGCCUAAAGAUUGAGAGCCUUCAGAUAUUUUUUGUCAUAAUAAAUGAUAUGAUUUGUAUUAAUUAAAGAGGUCUCAAGUAUAAAAUUUUUUUAAUACAAAAUAAAAUGGUAUGAAUGACAUGACCUAAAUAGUAUAAAGAGGCCUAAAGAUUGAGAGCCUUUAGAUAUUUUUUAUCAUAAUAAAUGAUAUGAUUUGUAUUAAUUAAAGAUGUCUCAAGUAUAAAAUUUUUUUAAUACAAAAUAAAAUAGUAUGAAUGACAUGACCUAAAUCAUAUUUUUGUAUAAAAGAUUUGUAAGGUGCCGAACUUCUGUAGUUAUGAAGUUGCGGUGGAAUGUAAUAUACCGGAUUUUAAUAUAAAAGUAAAAAUAAAUAAAAAAUAGUAUGAGAUACUAUUUUAUUAGAUUUAGAGAAGUGAAAUAUAGGUUGGGAAUAACCUGUGCUUAAAUCGGAGCAAAAAUAGAAGAUUUAAAAUUUUCUGUGAGAAACGGGGCAGAUAAAUUAGUAGAAAAUGUACAGUAUCAGAAAAUUAUGAAAAUUGGAGGAUAUAUCAGAAUUAUUUUUAUGAGGCUAGAUUUAAAGUUUCAUGUCAUUUUAACAUCUGGAAGGUGGAGAAUAAAAUCGAACUGCUAUCUGCUAAAGAUUACAGUUCGGUCGAGCUUUCGGUGAUCAAACGGGGUUGAAACUGAAAAAUUAAAAAUUCUUUCGUUAAGUUGAGUGAAACCGAGCAUGACUGCCAAAUUUGAGCUCAAACGGACGUUCAGAAGGGCAUGCAAAAAAUAUCCGUACCUGAGCUACAAACUGAAGUUGAAUAGUGUAUAGCUGAGGGGCUAACUUGUAAAAAGAAAUUAAUCCCUUUCUUCUCCUUCCUCCUCAACCGAACACAACACACACACACGCAUGCAUGGAGGGAGAGAGAAACCUCCCUUUCUCUCUCUAGAUCUUUUCCAAAAUUGAUGGAUUUGGUGGAGAUUGAAGCUUGAAGGUGGAUUUUCAUCUUCAUCAUCUUCUUCCUCUCCAUUAGAGCUAGCUUGAGAGGUAAGCUUUGAUGCCCUUUAAUGGUAGAAUUGUAGGGCUCCAAUUAUAUGCUAUAAGAAUGGAUUUAGUGGAACUCCUAUAUGUUAAAUAGAGGAUUAAUGCUUGAAUCAUGAAGCUAAAUGGUGAUUUCUUGCAUAGUUGUAACAUAGGGCUCCAAAAUAGAGUUUUUCAAAACCAAGGGGUUUGAUUUAAAUUGAGCCUAUAUAAACCUAAUUGCUAGGUAUUCUGACGCGCUGGCAAAGUCGAUUCAGCGAUUCGUCGAGCCGGUGCGAAGUUAUUAAAGAAACGGCGUUUUUGGCUUCGUUUCCGCCUGGAGGGCCGAGGCGGCGUCUAAAAAUCAUGGAAACGGAUUUGGAGCACCGUGACGCAUAACCGAAGACCUAUAAUUUUCGGAGCUGCGAAGCGGCGCGCGGUUGGUGCGCAAUUGCGAGAUCAGGCCAAAUCGGAUAGCGGGUGCCGCGGGCGACCAAUUGCAAGUGUCGACAACCAAUCGGAGAGCGAAUCAAGGUGGGUUAUGCUUACCGAAGCGACUAGGUCGCCUGCAUGUCAAAAUGGAGUUCGGUUUUAUCGUUGAUGCAUAUGUGUAUGCAUGUAUUAUUAUGAGAAUUACGCUAAGUUGAUACUUGCAUAUAGAGGCAUUGAAAAUACAUGCUAGACGAUAAUGCAUAAUGACAUAGAUUAGAAAUGCUAAAUGAAAUGCAUGAUUGCAUACUAGUAUAUAUGCAUAUUAGGAUUAAUGCUAGGUGCAUUUAGUUUUAUAAGAUCAUGUUGGAUAAAAUGCAUAAUGGCGUCAUGUGAAUACAUACUAGAUGAUAAUUGAUUAUGCUAGUUGACAAUGACAUGUUGAUACAUUGAAAAUAUAUGCCAGUGAUAGAUCCAUGAGAUCAUGUUACAGAACAUGCAUUUUAACGUAUUGUUGAUAGUUGCAUAUAAACAUUAUGUAUACUAGUUGAUAGUGGCAUGUUGAUGCAUUAGAAAUGCAUGCUAGUUGAUAAUGGCAAUUUGCUAUGUUGAAAUAUAUGCUAGAUGAUAAUUGCAUAUUGACAUGUUAAAAUGUAAGCUAGAAGAAUGCAUUGGGACAUGUGGUAGAAAAGCAAAGUGAAAUGCAUGAUAACCUUUUGUGGAAUACAUGCUAGGUACAGGUUAGCAUUGCAAGAUCGUGUUAGAGAGCAUGCAUAAUAACAUGUUAUCGAUUAUGUUAGAUAAGAUGCAUGUUGGCGUCGUAAGCACGAGAUAGAGAACAUGUAAUUAUAGAAACUCGAUAUGGACAAUUAGGUGUCGAAUAGAUCGAGUGACAUCGAACCUAGUGUUAUUAAACAUAGAUCGGAUAUGAACCUAGUGACAUGAACCUAGGAUGGAUAAGAAUGACAAAGAACCUAGUGUUAUGGAACAUAGGUUGAUAGUGAACCUAGAGUUAGUUGGAUCUAGGUGAGUGGCAUGUGAAAUACAAGUAUACUAUGAUAUGAACAUAGGGAUAGAGGAUUUCCCGUGUUGUUAAGAGUGACGUUUGAUAUUGGUGUAAAGAAACACUUUGAUGCAAUGAACUUAGGGAUAGGUGGAUUUUCCCUAGAAGUGACAUAUUGCACGAGAACUUAGUGUAGUUGAGAUACCAUGAUGUUGAACAUAGGGAUAGUUGGAUUCCCGUGUGGAUGUUAACCUAGUUGAUAGGGUAUCCUCAGUUGACGAGGAUUGGAUCAUACUCACAUAGCCUGUCUGUGCUUGUCGUGGUCGCUCCACACAAGCUGUGCACUCCGGAGUUUUGUCACAUGAGGGGGCUAACGUACUUGCCCAUGGACUAACAUACCUGUCCGCAGGCGGCCUUGGGGGUAGCCGAGCGUUUAAAGACUCCUCCCCUAUGAGACUUUGAGACGUGAGUUGGAGGCGAACCUUCGGGUUAGCCAAGUGAUUGGGUGACAAGUACAUGAGCUAUAGAGUGGAUUUGGUAGCCUAGUUGAGUGGAUUUAAGGUUGAGGUGCAAGUGAGACGUCCUUCGCCUCGAGCCUGGCUUUGUGCGUUACUCCGCAGAUGAUUGACUCAAGACCGAAUCGGGUGGAUAGCUUGUAAAGGUAGACGAAACCUUAUGAAUAGAAUUGAGAUUGACAGGAAUCUAAGAUAGAGGAAAACUUAGAAGCCAAUUGGAUGAGCUAUGCUUAGCAGGAUUGGAAGUAGUAUCGAAUGAAUUACUAAUUGGUUGCAUAGUUGCAUUAUUGCAUGAUUUGCAUAUAGCAUGUUCGUAUUGCAUGUUGUGAGGCAAGGCAUGAUUUUAUUAGUUGCAAACUCUAGAUAUCAUAUCUAUUUGUUUAUUAAACUAACCUGCAGUUUGCCUCCUUUGGACCUGUUGGUCGAGCUUUUUCCCUGGGUGGUCGUGCCCACUGGGAACUAUGGAGUUGGUUCUUAUCCCACAUUGCUUUGGGGUGUUACAGGUUCGCACGUGAGCGGUGUGGCGGCGCGAGGCAAGGGCGUAGCUCCGUAGGUAGCGCCCUACCACAGAGACCAGAGAUAGCAGUACCCCGAGUCGACAUAUCCUAGGGGUAUAGAGAUGAAAGAUCAAUGUAUCAAAUUUGUAAUGAAUAAAUGAUGCAAUAAUUCAGAUUGCAUUUGCAUGAAAAAUGAGUUGGAUUUGAGAUGUAAAAAUGUACGAAUGUGAAUGCGUGUAAUAACUUAGGAUGUGUUAUGUUGUUGAUACCUUCUUUAUGCAAUCUCUGCUUGAAUACUGUCCCUGUUUGGGAUCUCUUGUAUUGUAAUUGAUUGCGACGCCUAGGACGUACAGGGAAAACUCUGUCCGUUCGGCAGUUUGUCGGCGUGCCUGAACCUGACCAAAUAGGCGGGGCUCGGGCGUGACAAGAUUUGCAUGACUUAAAUCAUUUUUGGCAUAAUUUAUACAAUUGAAGGAAUUUCAAAUAUAAAUAUCAUUUUUGGCCAAAGAAAUGGCUCUUUUAUAAAUAGUAUAAAAGAAAAUUUUUUAUGGUCAUAUUAGAGAUUUAAAAUUUAAUUUAUCUAUAUCAUUAAUUGGACAAUAAUUUUUUUACUAUCUUAUACAAAUAUAAUAAAAUUUUUAAAUUAUAAAUAUUCACUAAUAAUCUAUUUAAAAAUUAUAUAUUACAUAUCAAUCAUGUCCGAUCUUGAUUAUUUUUAAAAAAUAUUUUUGUUUCUUUUUUUCAAAUAUGUGACGUCACUACAAGAAUAUUAUAUAUUGGCGGCGAGUAAUGUCGCCACCAUAUAUAUAAAAAGUUGCCACCUUUUCAAAAGGUGGCGAUUUUUAAAGUCGCCACAACCUGCCACCGAAAGUGUUGCCGCUAAAUGAAAUUGUGGCAAAGCAUGAAAAAUCGCCACAUUUUUGAAAAUAGCGUGGUGACAUUUUAUCGCCACCAAAUAUGAUUUUUAGUGGCCAUUAUUUAUCGCUACUUUAUUAAAGAUAGCGAAGCGAUAUUUUGUCGCCACCAAAUAUGACUUUUAGUGGCAACUAUUAGUCGCCGCCUUAUUAAAGAUAGCGUGGCGAUAUUUUGUCGCCAUCAAAUAUGACUUUUUAGUGGCCCUUACUAGUCGCCACCUUUCAUGGAGAUAAGGUGGCAAUACAUUUUUGCCACCAAAUAUUUACCUUAAGUGGCAACCAUCACAGUCGCCACCUUAGUUGAAAAUAAAGAGGCAACAUUUUGUUGCCACCAAUUGUGCAAUAAAUAGCCACCAAUAAUAAAAAGGUAAUAAACUAAAUAUAAAAAUAUACAGCUUAUAUUUUAUAAACAGAACAUAUACAAAAUAACAAACAAAAUAUUAAAGUAAACAAAAUUAUUCUUUUAACAACAAUUUAAAAGGCUAAUUAACUUCUGAUCCACAGCAACUUAAAAACAAAAUAAUAGCAAAAUCAAUUUAAAGGCAAUAGAGUAUAAUAUUCGAUAUACAGUUCAACAUGAUUCCUGACUCUCUCAACUUUGAAAAUAGAAAAUACUUAAAAAACGAUUAAAAAAAAUGCUUCAGCUCCUAUUUCAACAGCAAUUCAUUUCCUGCAACAAACAAAAAAAAGAAAAGCAAAUUAUAUAAAUUAAACAAUCUACAAGUCUGCAUGCAUAAUAAAGUACCUGACAGGCAUAUUUUCUAGAUACACAACUUUAAAUGCCUGCAAAAUAGACGAACCAUAAUUCUAAAACUACCAUCCCAGAAGCAGAAAAAUAAUUGUAACAGGACCACAAUAUCACUAAAUGCCAACUAACUAAAUAUUACUGUAAUCAAGCUGAGAAAACCAAGAAAAGACAUAUUCCAAGAUAGAUAUUCAAGACAACUGCUUGAUGUUAAGCUACCGUGAACAAAUAAUAUGAAAUCGAUUUUACUUGUAGAAGCACGGUUUAGUGUUCACCAUCUAACUUUUAACUAGAGCUUUUUUAAUAGCCUAUAAUGUAAAUGCUCUUCGUUCAUUUUGGUUUUAGUUUAGUAUAAAUUUCACAUUUGGACAUGGAUUUCUUCAUACAAUCUACAAAUACCUAGCAUAUGUUUAAAAGUAACCAACGCCAGAAAGAGAGAAUAGAUAAAGCAUUAACCUAGUUUACCAAGCAACUAUUAAUAACCACAAGAUACUGCCACUUUAAAAGAUGUCAAGUACUUACAUUUUGACUAUAGUAAAAUACCACUAAUCAUCCAUUACAUGAAUAAGGAUACUAAAAGUACAAUCAACAGCCUCAGUUGUACCACUGCAGCACAAAACUGACUAAACCAUGUAUAACCAACAUGCAGCAGCCGUAAUAAACAAAUCAACGGCGAGGAGAUCCGUGCUAAACGGCUCGUCGUAAAAGGGAUCAGCGGGGAGGAGCUCGUUGCCUAUGAGCUCGCCGGCGAGGAGCUCACCGGCGAGGAUGAGCGGGUGAGUGUGAGGAGAGUGUGAGGUUUGUGGGAAGGGGAGAGUGUGAGGUUUUGAGGGAUUUUUUUUUUAACAAAGCAGUUAGGCUGUAAUUAAAUAAAUUUAAAAUUUUAUUUUAAUCAUAUUUUAAAUCUCUAAAAUAAACUUAAAAAUUUUGAAAGCUCUAAAAAAGAGAGCGUGGCAGUGUGUGCGUGGAGAAAAAAAUUUGUACAUUUUCUAUUGUAGAAAACAUUAGUUGCAUCAUCUCCACCGUGUCACUUAUAGACCCUCCAACAAAAAUUAGUUGCAUCAUCUCACUACUCACUACCACCUAAUGAAAACCUUUUAGGUGACGUGGCGAACAGGGUCCAGAGAACCAUCUCUCAUAUUCACGUUAGAGAGAGAGAAACGGGGACUGGCCCGCGUGAUUAUUUUAUUCACCAUAUAAUUUUUAUUUGGAGAUUAAAUUUUAAUCAAAUUUAGUCAUUUUAAUUUAAUUUUAAAUAAUUUAAUUUAACUUUAAAUUUAAUAAGUUAAUUUUUAAAAAUUAAAAAUUAAAAUUUAAUUUAAUUAAUAGUUUGUAAUUAAUUAAUUAAUUAAUUAAUUUAAGUUAAAUUUAAUUAAUUUUAAAAAAAUAAAUGAAAAUAAUUAAUAGGUAAACACUAAUUAAUAAAGCUCUUGAAUUUAAAAAUUUAACUAAAUUAACUAGAAUAAAAUAAUUAAAAAAAGUUCAAAGGUGUGAAUCAAAAUAAAAUUAAAAUUCAAAGAGCAAUUUCAAAAUGAUAUGAAGUUGAAGGUGUCUCUCUACAUUUUCACCCUCAAUUUUUAACAACUACAGUUUUUUCACAUUCACUAUACAUUAUUUUGAUAUAAACGUUUUAAAUAUUUUAUUUUUAUUAUAAUUUUAUUAAUAAUAUGCGUCAAUUUUUUUUAUCAUCAUUAUAGCUAACCAAAUAGUGGUAAAAAAUUAGUCAUUUAGUGGCGAAAGUAGUAUUGCCACUUAAAGUUAAUUAAUUGGUGGCAAAAUUUUUUUAUCGCCACUUAAAGUUAAUUAAUUGGUGGCAAAAUUUUUUAUCGCCACUAUAGGUAAGCAAAUAAUGGCGAUAAAAUAAUCAUUUAGUGGCGAAAAUAGUAUUGCCACUUAAAGUUAAUUAAUUGGUGGCAAAAUUUUUUAUCGUCACUUAAAGUUAAUUAAUUGGUGGCAAAAUUUUUUUAUCGCCACUAUAGGUAACCAAAUAAUGGCAAUAAAAUAAUCAUUUAGUGGCGAAAGUAGUAUUGCUACUUUAAGUUAAUUAAUUAAUGGCAAUACUUUUUAUCGCCAUUAUAAAUAACGAUUUAGUGGUGAUAAAAUUAUUAUUUAGUAGCGAAAGUAGUAUCACCACUUUAAGUUAGUUAAGCGAUGGCCAUUCUUUUUAUCGCCACCGUAGAUAACCAAAUAGUGGCGAUAAAAUAAUCAUUUAAUGGCGAAAGUAGCAUUGCCACUUUUAGUUAACUAAUCGGUGGCAAUUUUUUUUAUCGCCACAAAAAGUAACUAUAUAGUGGCGACAAAAUUUAUUGCCACAUUAUUUUUGCCACCAAUAAUAUCUUUUCUUGUAGUGUCGCGUGCAUUGCAUAAGGAAGGUAUCGAAAAUAUAAAUACUAUGCUAUUACAAACAUUCACAUAGCAUGCAACUUACAUAUUACAUUUUUCAUGACAUUUACAUUAAGUUUACAUUCAACUUUUAAAUACAAUCAAUUUAUUAUUACAAGCUUUGUUUCUUCUUUUCUACACCCCUAAUUUCACGCCCCGAGACCGCUGCCAAUUUGGUCCGGUUCGGGCGCAUCGAACAGACGCCGAGCGGACAGCACAUCCCCUAUCCGCCCAAGGCUAAGCAUCAAGAUUGUGUACAACAAGUGCCCAGAAAAAAUAACUUGAAAUACAUACACAAUCAACAACAACAGCGAGAGCACCACCAGUGCUAAACAAGUAAUUGCAAGUGUCACAAGGAUAAACAAGUGAACAAAAGAGAGAUACUAACUAUUACAGCACAUUCAACAUUUAAUACAUUUGAUUGCUUUUAAUUCUUCCAAAAUAUAAACGUAAAGGUCUACAAUUCUCCAAAAAUGCCUCACAACCUGUGACGCACUGGACCUUUGCAAAUUGCGAGGUUCGAGUGUUUGGAUGUAUUUCGAGCUUUCCCACACUUGGUGGAGGGUUGUAGAAUGUUUUCCGACCUAAAAAGUUCAAAAACUGGAAUUCUGGACUAGACCUGAGAGUUUUUACUCUCGGGGACCGGUCCCUGAAAGGAGAGACCGGUCCCCCAGUGAGCAAUGCUGCGGCAGCCUUGAGGCAACCGGUUCCUGGCGGGCGAGACCGGUCCCCGAGCACGUCUACGCAGUGAGAGACCGGUCCCGCGCAGGGAGAGACCGGUUCCCGAACGUUGGUUUUUCGGGUUCGCAGCGAGAGACCGGUCCCUGCUGGGGAGAGACCGGUCCCUCUGGGCGAAAACUGCCCAGUUCGGGCUGAUGCAAUUUUGGAUUUUUGAGGGACCUAGCUGGAUUUUGUUAUAAUAGAGGGUCUAUAUGACCCAUCCCCUCUCUCUUCUUCUCAUUUCCCUCCUCACACUCUCCCCACACCCUUGCUAGAGAGAGAGGGAGAAAGAGAAGAAGAAGGAGGAGAAGAAGGAGAAUGAGAGGGUUUUGGUGGACUUGGAGCAUUUCUUUGCCUCUUUUUCUUUUCCCACCUUGUUAAUGCUUGAAGGCUUGGACUUGGAGCUUGCAUAGGAGGAGAUCUUCACCCUUGGAGCUAGGAUUGGAGCUUCUAAGGAGGUUUGUUGCUCAUUACCCUCCUCUAGAUCUUGUUUUGAAAGUUUUUGUAGAUGGAACCCUAGAAAUGAGAUUUAGAGUUGAUUUUGGGGCUUUUUGAUUUAGGGCUUUUGAGGCUAGAUUAGUUGGUUUAGAACCUUCCUUGGGCUUGGAUUGGAAGGGUUCUAGCUCUCUUUUGGAGCUUUGGAAGAGAUUUCUUCUCUUGGGGUGAGUUUUAGCCCUUUUGUCUUGUUGGUUAAUAUUUGAUCUUGUAGAUUGAUCGUAAUGCCCUCGUAUCUCUUCACUAAUCACUUUUAGGAUACUUUGAGACUCGUGGACAACUCCGUUCGGCGAAUCGAAGGAGCACACGACGGUUCGGUGGGUUUGACCUAGCCUAUGAUAUGAGAAAUGCUCAUAUUUGGCAAAUAUGUUUCGUAAAAUAGAAAUUCAUGCAUUUCCUUGUUAAAUGUAUUUAAUAUGAAUUUUAGAAUNNNNNNNNNNNNNNNNNNNNNNCAUCGUUGUAACAAAUAUACUUACGUUAAUUUGUGACGGAGGAUCGUAUGAUGUACAUACAUACAUAUAGAUUUCAGGUUUGGAUGCGAUCUUCGUUCAGGCUCAUUAGGUUGAUGGUGAGAGAUAAAUCAUCACUAAUAUUGUUUGAGUAGGGCACAGCUAAAGGUAAAGGUUAAUCCCUGGAUGGUUCCCAUCAGGUCGAACACGGCGGAUUCACGGACACCAUCGGGUUGUAGGGAUGAGAACCUUACACAGACAGGGUGAGCUGGGGCAUCCGAAGAGUUAUGGCGUGCUCGCUUGUAUUCAGCGCAUCCGAUUGAGGCCUCACGGCCGAAUAUCCCUCGCUGGGAGUGUUCGUACACGCUUACUCGUGUUUACCGUUUGUUCGCAUCAGGUUCAGAGUUCGUAGGUUAGGAGUAUAGAGAUUCACUGCAGGGUUGUGAGUGAACGAAUCACGGAGAAAUACUGUGAAUUCGUAGUGUUGUCUAAUUCGGGUUUAGAACAAGAUACAAAGGUAAUUUUGUAGUUAUGAUUACUAAUGGUACUGGGCCCGGGUUACGGAGAAAUACUGUAAUAGGGUUUAGAGUUUAUCAGGUUCAAGAGUUCGGGAGAGAUCCGAAGAUUGUAAGGAUUACAGUGUUAACCGUAUAUCCAAUUUAUGUACUUCGUUCCAAGUAAAUGUAUUAUUCCUAGUACCAAGGGUUAGAAUUUGUCUUACGAUUCAGAGUGUACGUACGUGAGAUGGUGUAUCCCCAGAUUUUAAAGUGAUAUGUAUUGUAUACGUACAGAUAAGGGAUAAUCCUCAUAAUUUCAUUUAAGCAAACCAUGACAUUAUUUAUGGCUAAGUAGAGACAUACUCUUCAUGACAGGAUAAUUGUGCAUUACAUAAAUGCCAUGUUUAGUCGCAAGUAAUAUUUUAGUAUUUCAUUAUGCUUUCAUAGUUGCAAUUACUUGUUAUGGCUAUCGCUUUUGACUUACGCUUUUCUUUUGGGUCUAGUGGUGCAAUGAGCUGAGGUCAGUAAUUGCCCACUGGGAACUAUAAAUUAUAGUUCUCACGCCCUCUAUUUUAUGUUUUCUUUCAGAGCCUUCCACGCCGGGAGAGGCUAGGGACCGUGGGAAGGGCGUCGCUUCGAGUUAGCCCUUCAGCGAGGGACGAGUUUAGGUGGUCUACCUCUGGAUGUUUUAUUUUGUGAGAGGUUGAAAGUUGUACCCGUAUAUGUAUAGAGACCACCUUUCUUUUGGAUUUUGGUAUUUCUUUUGAGGAGUUAGUUUUGUAUCACCUUAUGUUUUACUUUCUUCGUCUUGGUAUAUCUCCCUUACUCUGGUUUAUAUGAUAGAACUUUACUUGCUCUGAUAUCAUUAGUUGCUAGUUAUUUCACUUCUUAUAUUUGUUCUAUCUCUUGCUUUUACUUCCGCUUUUAUUGUAGACGCCUUAUAUGUGUAGACAUAUGGCGGGUCUGGGCACGCUACCGGGAGGGCCUCCGCCGGUCCCGGGGCGUGACACAACCUAUACAUCAUCUACUCUCAAGUACAUAUGGUAGCUCUAAUGCAAAAAGGAAGGAAAGCUACUACACUAGGGUGCGAUACCCUUACCACGAUUUUCGCCCGGCGCACUCGAGCUCGGCCCUGCAACAAAGUGGGGUGAGAACUAUUGUCCAUAAUUCCCAGUGGGUUCGACCGCCGAUUCCGCCGAUCUCCCCACUAGGUCUAAGCAGGCAUAAACAAAUAGAUAGAUAGAUAAAUAGAUAGGUAGAUAUGGAAGCAACAAAAAUAUAGUAAGGAAACGUGCAAGUAUUCUACCAUGCCUUAAUCCAGUAUAAUGAAUGCAUACACUACAUAGUAAAGAGACUAGCUAUCACACUACUAUGUUCAACAACGAUGCUAUUCAUUAGUUCACCCAAUCACUCGGCUAGCUCGUGGGCUCGCCCUCAACACACGUCUCAAUCCUAUAGGUGAGGAGUCCCAAGCCGCUCGACUCACCCGAGACCACCGACGGACAGCUAGCUACUGCCCUCUCGUGUGACUGAACCUCCAGAGUGCACGGCUUGUUCGGAGCGACCACGACAAGCAUAUAACAGGCUAUGUGAGCACGAUCCAAUCCUCGUCAAUCGAGGAUACCCUACCAAUUAGGGUAACAUCAUCAUGGAAUCCGAGUAUCCCUAUACUCAACAUGGUAGUGUUUCGGCUACACUAAGUUCUUAUGCCACACGUUCUUGUAUUCAACAUUAACUAGAUGCCACUCGUUCUCGUUCAAGUGUUUCCAAUACACUAAUCUACACAUCACUAGGUUGUCAUUCCCCUAGGGUCAAAUCCACCAUUUAUCAUCUCAUUAUAGGGUUUCAAGUCACUAUGCCUCAAUCUCAUGCAUACUAGGUUCAAGUGCCAAACAAACAACGCUACACUAAUACUAGCAUGCAAGAAUAUGUAACGACCAUCUAAGCAUCCUAUAAUGCAAGAUCUCGAUAUGCACAUUUAGUCAACAACGAAACUUAGACAUAGGGAGAAGUUCAACUGCUUCGGGAUGACGCCACCUACCUCUAAGUGACGUAGCGAGGUUGGGGAUUUGAUUUCGUGAUCCGGAGUCGCCACCUCGACCUUUCGGGCGGAAACGAAGCCGAAACGCCCUCCGCUUGGCGAUAUCUCCGCAUUGGCUCGACGAAUCGCCGAACCGCCACCGCCAACGCGUUCACACACCUAAUAAUUAAGUUUACAUAUAACUAAUUUAGAUCAAAACCCAUUAUCUCCCCAAACCCCCAUCAGAGCCCUAGGUUGCAACUAGUGCAUUAACACACCAACAAAACCCUAGAUUCAUGCUAGAAUCCUCUUACUAGACUCCUAGGGUUAACCCAAAACGAAUUCUAGAGCAUAAAAUCCCUACCCUAGAAAUCCACCAUCAAAGAGGUUAGAGCUUACCUCACAAGGUUCCUCCAAGCUUGAAGGAGAAGAAGAAGAAGAUGCCUAUCCUUCUCCUUGCUUCAAUCUCCCACCAAUACUCCUCAUUUCCCACCUUGUAGAGAGAGAGAAAGAGAGUUCUAGAGAGAGAGAGGGAAGCUAUUAGGGUUAGAUUGAGGAGAAGUGAAGGAAGAGAGAAAGAAACACCCUCCACUUAACCCCACACAUGCAUAAUUGCUGAAAACCCCCUCAACUUUGCCAUUAUAUGACAGCCUAUUUUGGGCAUUUCGGGCUACGGGGGCCGGUCCCUCUAAGGGAGGACCGGACCUCGAGAGUAAUUUGUACGCAGAGUAUUUUUUUCUGCUCCCUUCUCACGCGUACGGGGACCGGUCCCUAGCUGAGAGACCGGACCCCACGAGCAACUUUGCACAAGAGAAAUUUUCUGCUCUUCCUCCCAGCUUACGGGGACCGGUCUCUCAGCUGAAGGACCGGACCCCGAGAGCCUAAAAACUCUGCAAAGUGUAGAAUUCCAUCUUCUUGCUCUCCGAAGUCCUCCCUAAUGCACUUUAUGCAUUUUCAAUGUCUUCGGACUUUCCGAAGCACACCGAAUCGACAAUUGGUCGAUUCAAAUCGAAGUUCAACUCUCGGAUUUUGAGAAUUCACUUUCUUACACCUAAGCUAGGUUGACUCUGGGUACUUCUAUCUCUGGUCUCAGUGGUAGGGCGCUAUCUAUCGAGCUACGCCCUUUCCUCGCGCCGCCGCGCCGCUCGCGUGUGGACCUGAAAAACGUGGGGUGUGGACUAUAUGCAUAGUUCCCAAUGGGUACGGCCACCCAAGGAAAGAGCUCAACUCACCUAGUCCAAAGGAGGCAAAAUAAACAAGUUAGUCCAACAGAUAUAUGUACAAGCAUAUAAUUUCAUGCAACUAACAACUAUCAUGCUUAUGCCUCUCAACAUGCAAUUAUGCAACAUGAAUGCAAUACAAGUAGAUCUACCAUUUUUAUUUAACUAUUCAUAUUAUUUACAAUCCACUUUUGAGGUUCUCUCAUCUUAGCCAAGUAAUACCACCCGACUCGGUUUUGAGUUAAUCAUCCACAACUUUACCGCUUUACUUGACUCAGCCACUUGGCGGCGAAAUCGUCGCACACGCCGAACAAUGGCUCCAGUCAACGGGCAGCGUAAUCCUUUACUUGACUUAGCCAUCUCGUGGCGAAAUCGUUGCACAUGCCGAACAAUGGCUCAAGUCUUCGGGCGGCGAAAUCGUCGCACACGCCCCCUUGGCAUCAAGCACGGCAGCGAAAUCAUCGCACACGCCCAAGCUCUGAUUCUGAGGUCACCAAGAUCACUAGAUGUGCACAUCCGUCCAUUUCCAAGUCAACCUCUCUAGGUUUAUGUUCUCACGUCCAUGUGGUCAUCCUACCACUAUACCUCAUAAUCUAGGUUCAAUAACGCUACAUCCAAUGUCCAACCUAUAUUCAAUAACACUCUCUAUUGAUGGUGUUUUAAAAGCCAUUUAAUAAUGAAUACGAUCUUUGAAAUCAGAGUUGCGGAAAACGUGCUUUUUUUUUUUUAAAUUCAACCUGGCCCACGUGACGUACAGACCCAUCACAAAUAUAAAGUUCCUCCGUCUACUCGGACAGAGUCUCCUUUAUAUUUACACGGCGUACCAACAACAACAAUAGGAUCACAACCACAAUCUACAUUCACCAAUCCACAAACAAUCUAUGCGAUGCAUUUUCAUACAGCUAGCGAUCCUUAGGGAUGAUGCAUGCCUCUAAACACUGCUUAGGCGCUGGAUGAUAUGAUACACAAUACAACAGUCAUCCUAUUUAAAAGUGCUCCCCACCCGGAAGCUUUAUUUUUAAACUCUAUAUAAUCAUCUAUAAAAUUAUUCGAAAAUCUUUUUUUUUUUUUUAAAUUGUUUGCCACUCGAAAACUCCAUUUUGAAAAUCGACUACCUCGAGGGGUAGAAAACCACAAUGCGUAAAUACAUAAAUCCAAUAACUAAUUAUUCAUAAAUCUCCAACUGCAAGUAUCAUAGGAAAACAUCAACUCAAACCAGUUCAGAAAUACUCAAAUAUUCAUAGAGAUCAUCUAACUGAACCAUUUAAUUAUUUAAAUUACUAGAAGCGAAAAUAAAAGUAACCCGGGUGAUGGUCGCUACUGCAGUCUAGCUAGAACGUCCUCCCGUCGCGCCGAAAACCAACUGCUUGCCCGAGCCACCUGGGGAAAUGGGGGGGUGAGAAACCACAAUCAAAGUUUCCAAGUGGGUACGAUAGAGCCACGAAGGCAAAUCGUAUUCACUGAAAAACAAAAGAGAUAGAACAACAGAUAUGGUAUGAUAUAAGAGCAACUACAGUAGUAAUAGAAGCAGAAUAGUAAAUGAGAAAGAACCAAACUACUACUGUAACAAAAACUCAACUGAACAGAUGCCUUAAGGUACAUAUAAUCCAAAAUCAAACCCAAUCUGGUGCCUACCAUAUUGGUUCGCAGACCUCAAGCGUUGCCUGUCACAUUACUUGCACUGACCUGAUUCAUCCGUCUACUGAACGACCCAUCCGGAUAAGCACACCUCCGGUCGGUGGCCAAACCAACCUGGUGUCAAUGGAUACACCCAAGUGUUGUGAUUGAAUCACGCUGAUAUGCUCAAUGCGAAAAACGGUAAGAAGCCAGUGCCUUGGCCGAAGCCAGAUACAAGGGUGUACAACAUCAAACCACGAUCAACUAGAUCGAAACACACGACAAAGGAGUCAAUGUGUUACCUGGACCCAAGGUCCACAGAUAUAUAAUAUAUGCGAGCCUGCUCUACAUAUCUAUCAACAACUAUUAUCAUGCAAUCAACAAGGUAUAGAUGAAUGAACGAUAAACAAAAGUAACCGAUAUGUAGAGACUACAAUGCUGAUAUAGAAGGACAAGGGAAAGUGAAACUAUCUCAUCGACUACAAGCUCGAAGCACCCACUUCUACCGUGUGAAGUUCCCGGGUUGUCGACCACCUGCAAUUGUCCUCCGCUAUUGCUCUCGGACCUAUGCAAAGUCCCAAACAAAGCCGUACUUAGCUUAAACAUGUAAAGUACUUAACGCCUUAGACUCGAUGUGAUUCUAACCAUUGGCCAAACGGACUUUCCCUGUUUCCAACCGACGGUCACCGAAGAAUCAUCCGAAUGCCACGCCGAUUCGACGGAAUGUCGCACCAACCCACGGGGCGAUCCGAUGUAUACCCCACAUCUAUCCUACCCUCCUUGCUGUCCCAAAGCAUCGCUUUAAUGCCCCUGGGACAGCCGCACAAUAAGUGCGCAAAAAAUAGGGAAAGUCGGGGUCCGGAAGCUUACCGGUCGACUUCCGGGAUGCCGUAUUUGGUCCUGGAGUCCACCAUCACCUUCAUGCUGUGAUCCAGAGUGUCUAACCUCACUCCAGUGCUCAGCAACUCAGCCACAACCCUGCUGCGAACAGCAGCAACAAAUACUACGUGAGGUCACACCCAAAACCGCUCGAAAUUCGCGUUAUUGAGCCCCGUUGAGCCCCGAAACAUGCUGAAACGUUCCGGAUUUAAUCCUACCUUAUUUGCUAUCCUAAAACACUCGUCUCUGGUUGCUAGAACAGCGGCACAUCAUUUGGUGCAAGAGCGAUUGAUUCUAUGCGGCUUAUGUCGCGACCGGGGUCCUGAUUGUUGCCGUUUUAGCUCCGGAAGCCCCCGAAUCGCAAAGCAUCGAUUCCUAAGCCUCGAGGGCUCGUUAGUGAUAGCACACGAAGUGUUACGCUCGCUGCGACCAGCAGGAACACGAAUCCCACACCCGGAGCCAAAAACGAGGCUCCGACGGCACAAACAAUGGUGAUAUGAGCGUCAAAUGUCCCGGUAAUCGAACCACGAGGUUCACGGGCAUCGGGCAAUGAACGAUGAUGCAAAUUCUUUAGUAUGCUUGCUGCCUGCAGCAGCAACGAUGCGAAAACACCGCUGCAACGCAAUCCGAGCCCAAACGCACGACUAGACGCAAUCCGAUCUCAAACGUGCGAUAGUUUUUCGACAACUAUGAAGUUAGGGCCUUACCGCUGCUUUGGAGACUUCGAAAACUCAGCAAAGAUGAGAUCCACAUGAUUCGAAGGUGCUGGACUCAGCCCACACCAGUCCCAAAUGGAAGUCGCGCUUGUUGCUCAGCGAAUCCGCGAAUAAUGCCUUACCACAGCCUGCGCGCGACGAAUCGUCGCAAUCUGCGAACUAGCCAAGAAAAGCAAGGAAUCUAGGUGAGCCCUGUGAUGAGAAUGACCAGCGGAGGGGGGGUUCUUACCUUAGCCAUGCUCCACGAGGUCCCGACCUGCCAGAGAACACAGAUCGGCUCAAGGCGAAGGGUAAAACGGGACUGCCGGGCUGCACUUUGCAUCAACGGUUCUCCGACUGUCCACAAACGUGAUGGAACUUCCGGGGAUGUUGCGAUAGGUUGGGGAAGUCACAUGGGAGGCGUUGACGGCGUCCAAACUCAGCCAAGGUCGCGUGCGAAACGCAGCAGCCCAACUCGAGCAAGAUAAGCCCGAGUCUUGCGUAUGUAAGCACAGACGGCCGAGAGAGGCUGAUAGCUGCGACGGGGUGGAGGCAAGAUGGCCGAAGGGAGUCCUCCACGCCUUCAAGUCUUGAACCGAGAGAGAGGAGAAGGAAGAGGAUGGCUCGGACCAAGGAUCGCACGAGAGGGAGGGAAAGUGCGGUCUCUCUGUCUCACCGGUGCUUCGGCGUGUGAGGUAGUCGGCUACCGACCAAGGAGGGCUGCGGCUGCUGUGGGGAGAGGGAUGCGGCAGGGGAAAGGUUAGAGCGGCUAGGGUUAGGGUUUUGGAUGAUUAAAACCCUAAUCUAGCAUUGAUCGUGCAUGCAAUUUCAUGCGAAAUUGCGCAUAACUUCCCCCCCUCCCCCCCGACCGCAAGAUUUCAUAACAAGUCCACACAUGAGGUGCAACUUGCAUAGAAGUCCCUCCACAAUCAAUCCCAUUCAGGUCCAUACAUAAAAUAUUAGAUGUUUCCCUCCAAAUUUCGAGGUUGCAUUUCGUCGAUUUAUCAAAAUCUCCCGAUUCCCCAUACUCGGCUCGCCAAAACCGAAUUUCGACUUCACCAAGACUCUCGGCAUUACCGGACCAUCGAAAACGACCGAUUGGAUCGCUCGAAAUGAUGCCCGAUUCGACCCCGAAGCCACCAAUACGCUUACUCUCCAAAACGAAACGCCAGUUACUAUUCAUUUAAGUGAAAAUUAAAAAUCGCGUAAUGGCUUUAUUUUAAUUCAUCUUUUGCUUAAAUUUGACGUUUUUAAUUCAUCUUUUGCUUAAAUUUGACGUGCGGUUUUAGAAUUAAAAUACGCAUAAAAACAUCAUUAACGGAGUAUUUUAUUACACAGAAAAUUUCAGCCCUCACAAACACUAGGUUCACUGUCCAACCUAUGUUCAAUAACACUAGGUUCAAUAUCCAAUCUAUGUUCAAUAAUACUAGAUUCAAUGUCUAACCUAUGUUCAAUAACACUAGGUUCAAUGUCCAGACAUGCCACUCGUUAUCCUAGUUGUCCAUACCUAGGAUUCAUGACACCUCGUCCUUAUUUUACACUUGUCGAGUUUUCUAAUUUUUCUAGAGUUCAUCGACCUAUAUUCACUAACCACAUCUAGGCAUACAUAUAUAUCCUAUAUGUUCCACACGCCUAUAUUUUUAUGCAAUGAUAGAUAAUUUACCCUAAAUAGCAUACCAUCUAUAUCUACUUAUUUAACUAAUUAAUCUAUCAUUAUAUGCAUGUAUCAAUAAUGAAACUAUACUUCACUUUGGUAUGAAAGCGACCUAGUCACUUCGGUGAAGCGCAACCCACCUUUCAAGCCUCCUAAUUGCUUAUAGACACUUGCAAUUAAGCCAACCACUAGGAUCUCCAAGGUUACUCCCAAGCUUUCCUUGCCCUAUAUAAGAGAUCCUUCGUUACUAUUUUUGAAUCACUAAAUGAUCUUUGCUUUUGAAAUCAAGUGCUCUCACAUGAUUUCCUAACCCUCAAUUAGGGCUCCAAAGUGUUAAAACACUUUUAGAACCCUUCACCAAGAAAUUCCUCUUUCAACCUAGGAUUUUUCCAAAACUAGGAGAGAAAUUCAAAUCCACUUGCUAAUCUUUACAAUUUGUAGCUUAGAUUAGCAUAGGGUUUGCUAGAAAUCCAUUUAGAAGGUUUAAACCCAAAACCCUAACUCAAACCCUAAAAAUGAAUCUCGAGUCGGAAGCGUCCCGCGCUACCAAGCGCCCGAGAGCUCGAUCCACCACUCCUCCAAGCUUCCUGAGUCCGAUCUCCACCAAAAUCGCCAAGUCGAAGAGGAGGAAGAAGAGUGUGAAGGAGAUGAGCUCCUCUCUCUCUCUCUCUCUCUAAGUGUGUGUGUGUUCUCUGCUGAGGGAAAGGGGUGGGCACCCCUUUAUAUAAGUCCUUAGUGAAAUUACACUUUUGCCCCUCAAAAUCAGCAUUCUGGGAGGCUGAGUAUCGGUACUCGGGUUCGCGUACCGGUAGUCGGGUGGUCCAGUACCGGUACCCAGUUCAAGUACCUCAAAACCCGAGAGCAUGUUUUCUUUGUUUUGUAUUGCGUACCGGUACUCAGAAUCCAGUACCAGUGCUCAGUACAAAUUCUGCAACUCAGGCAAAUUUCAGCCUCUUAAGUCCGUUUUCGAGUCUAGUUUGCAUCGAAAAUACUCGAAUGCUCUCCAAACCUUGUUGGAACAUACAUAAUUAGCUUCUCAAGCUAAUUCCCACUGAAACUUCAGAAUUGGAGAAGUUCGGGAUAUUACACCACUCAACCCUAAGGGACUAAUUUCAUCCUAACCCUAUAGUUUCUUAUCCAAGGGUUAAAAAUUUGAUAGCAAAAAAGGCCUUUUGUUAUCAAUAGUAUUCUAGCACAACUAUGUAUAUAUAUAUAUAGAGGGCUAGUAUAGACCCCUUUGUAUUUAUAAGUUUUCGGCCGUUGGAUGAAUGGAUGUGCAGGUAGGAUGAUAGUGGUCCCCGGUUAGGAUGAUAGUGGCCCCCUAGGGUUGAGUGGGUGGUUGGUUGAAUAGUAUGAUCUGACGGGAGGAACUAAUCAAAGGGCUAAGAUCUAAUAGUCGAAAGAUAGAUCAUGUGAUAACAAUUCAUAAGAAAAGAAAAAAGAUUAUAAAAUGAUUACCAACUCAACAGACUCAAACCCUCUAAUUCUUCUUAGAAUUCCGCAAUUUUGCUGACUAGUUCACCUUCAUGUUCGAAUAUAUGAACAUCACGUUCAAAUCCAUGAAGCGCUCCCACUUCAAAUUCAUGAAGCCUUAUAUAUGUUGAAUCCGUAAAGCCCAAUCGAAUCUAUGAGCACACUCCAUCCGGAGGAAGAGUUAAAGUAUUGGUAGUGAGUCAUUAUUUAGAGGAUCAUGAAAAUAUCAUAGAAGAAGUCUCUAAGCAAUAGUAGAAAUAAUUCUUUUAUGUAGACAUAGAAAUUAUGGCAUCUACAGUUGUUUUGGGACAACCGGUAUAAAAGAAAAGAGUUAAAAGUCAAUUUAAAACCUUUAGGGGCUCUCUUAGGUGUAUUCUAUGUAGAUUACCCCAUUUGAGAAUCCUUGUUAAUAUAUUUACAGCUUUGGAAUAAUUUGCAGCUGAAUUAGAACUCUAAUUUAUUUUUUGGAAAGUUCGCUUCAAAGCUUGAAGUUGAGUUUUGGAGAUCAACAUCGUAAUUAACAAAAAAAUAGACUCGAGUUUCAGAGCAAAACAGCGUGGCUCUGAAGUUGAAAGUUUUGGAGAGAUGUUUGGCUCUAGAGCUGGCAUGUCGUUUCUGGAGCUGAAGCUUAAAAUCGCAAACCAAUACAUAUACUUCAGCAGAACUGACUCAAUAGUUGCGAAGCUGAGGUCCAGUUCAGGAGUUCAUGAUCUUGGUUCCGAAGCUCCAAUUCUAAAAUUCAGAUUUUAAUAUUUAAAGUUUCAAAAUUUAUAUCUAAUCCAAAUUAAUCAAAUCAAUAUUUAUAUAUCGAAGUUCUAUUUAAUUAUAAGCAUGCAACAAAUCACCACAAAUAUACUUAAAACUUAUCGAGUAUUGUGAAUUAGUGCUUUGAGUCUUCGAGACUUUAAUCUUAAUCUUUGUGCCUUGAACUCUUCAAGAUUUUAGUCCUAUUGUUAUGAAAUGCAACUUUAAAAUCCAUAACACAUAAAAUUAAAUUUAUAAUUUAAAUUCAAAAAACUUAAAUAUAAAAAUCAUAGGAACUAAUAACUUCCGUAUCAUCUAACAACGUCUAAUGAAAUGAUACAACGUGAAGUUAAAGUAUAGAUAGAUAGACGAACACGGACGAACCUGGAUCACUCUUCUAGCUGCCUCAGCCGCCGGUUUGGGUGACCUUUGAUAUAAAUAUAUCAAGAGUGGGGUAAAACAACGUCCCGGAUCGUUUUCGCAUGGCCGUCUCCUGGCACCAUUCCCGUAUCGCGGGAUCAUCGAUCAUCGAAGGAAUACGUAAUCUCAUGGGAGCACAUGCAUCUCUAUAAUACAUAAACCUCUCGGUAAAACAUAAUACUUUUCUUAUACAUAAGUAAAACCUUCUACUUUUACAUUUAGUUAUACAUUUCCAAUUUACACUACAUUAUCAAUCUACAUAGAGAGAAAUAAAGUGAACAUACUAUGAACACUAAGAACGAGAAUCAACAUAUCGUGAACACCACGAAGCAUAACUAAUACAUACAACUUACUUAAAAGGACACGUUAAUAACAUGUACUAGAACAACAAGAUCGGAACCCGCCUAUCCCUUCCACGACAAGCAAGCCGCAGACUAGCUGCACGGGCCUAGGCUGGUUUAACCGCCCAGCGCCCCGCACUGUGCCUCCAACGUGAUCAUGCUCGAUGUUCAACAUGACAAUCUUCUCAACAACGUGGUAAAGAGAAACGCAACGUGGUUAAAAAGGCAACAGCCGACGCAUAAAAAAAUUUAAAUCGAAGUUUUAUAAAUUAAAACUUUUUGGUUUGUGGUUUGUGGACCCGAUUGCUUAUCGCUCCGGCUAAACCAAACGUAAGAUUACUGUACCUCCAACGUAAUGGUGUGCAUCCCGCAUAAAUUACGGAUGGGUCUGCGGCAUAUAACUCCAUAUGCAUAGAUUCGCUUAUGUUCACUCUGCCUCCAUCUGCUCCUCGUGAAAGCAUUCUACCAUCUUUUAAGCCGUGUUUAGACGUUUUAGUUUUUACCGCCGGGUCAAACCGUUUUCGAGUUUUGAACCCUUAAAAAAUACGUUUAUCCGGUAAAAUUAAAUUGUGUAUUUGAACUUUAAAUUUUUUAAUUUUUAAUUUAAAAUUUAAAACUUAUAAAUUUUAAAUUCUGAAUUUNUCAAACCAAAAUCUAAAAUUUAAAAUUUAAUUUUUAAUUUAAUUAAAAAUUGAAGUUGAAAUGUUGAAUUUAAUUUCAAAUGAAAAAGAUAAAAUAUAAUUGAGAUGUUUUUGGAAGAAGUGUUUGGUCCAAAUUUUGAUAUUCAAUCCGGCUUCUUACAGUGGAUUGAAAAAAUGGGUGAUCGGGAGAGUCCCAUUACAGUAUACUAAAUACGAACAAGGAUGUGUAAUUUUUAUAUUUAAAUAUAGAUUAUCUUAUAUUUUAAAAUUUAUUUAAAUAUAGAUUAUCUUAUAGAUUAUCUUAUAUAAAAAUUAUAAGAUAUAUCUAUUGGAGUAUACUAAAAACCAAACUUUGGUCGACCAUAAAUGUACCGAAAAUUAUUUUUCGGUGUGGAAAAUUUAUUUAGCUGUAAUUUUUUUGGAUAACUAUGUGGGCGAAAAACAAACACUCAAGUAGGAUACAACGUUUCUUCAUUCAAUUUAUUCUGAUAAAUUNAUUUAUUUAGCUGUAAUUUUUUUGGAUAACUAUGUGGGCGAAAAACAAACACUCAAGUAGGAUACAACGUUUCUUCAUUCAAUUUAUUCUGAUAACAAAUGCUGAUGAAUUUUUUUUUUUUUUAAUAAACUGACGAACCAGACACGUCCUCAAAGGUAUCUUUCGUUAUUUUCGGAUUCGGGUCGGGUGGGGGCCGAUCGGGUGAUAUCCAGCUCGUUUUUGACCCUUAUUAAUGAACUAUAUACAUACAUUUCUGCCGCAUAGUUAUCUUCAGGCGGCAGCUGAGGCGGCAGGAAAGGACAAAAAAGGCGAAAUGGAUCGGGAGUGGGGUUCGAAGCCGGGGAGCGGCGGCGCCGCGUCGGCGCAGAACGAGGCGAUCGACCGGCGGGAGCGCCUCCGCCGCCUCGCCCUCGAGACCAUCGACCUCGCCAAGGACCCCUACUUCAUGCGAAACCACCUCGGAAGGUACCGCUAAAACCCUAACCCUAGAAACGCUUACUCUGCCAGAAUCUUCGUGUUCAUUUGGCUUGGGCGUGUCUGUGCGUGUUGGUGCUAGCUACGAGUGCAAGCUGUGCCUGACGCUCCACAACAAUGAGGGGAACUACUUGGCGCACACGCAGGGGAAGCGGCACCAGACCAACCUCGCCAAGCGAGCCGCCCGCGAGGCCAAGGACGCCCCCGCCCUGCCCCAGCCCCACAAGCGCAAGGUUGCCCUUCGCAAGUCCGGUAUGCAUACCUCGCCGUCCCUAUUUCUUUUUAAGGUUGCUCGUGCGAUUGUAAUCUAGGAGGACUUUGAUUUUAGUUCCUUGUAGGUUUUUUUCUUUUUCUUUUUCUUUUCUUUUUUUUUUCCUAGCUAUGAUUUGAUAGGAUAGUGUACUUUAACUAUGCGAUGAUUUAUUUUAUUCUCAUAAUAAAAUGACUUGAACUCUGAAUAUGGUAUGCCUUUCUAGCCAUUUUAUCAUACUCGCCUACCAAAUGCUACCAGCUUAUAGAAUUAAUUAAUGAAAGACAAGUGCUGUCCGGAGGCCUUUAUAUUUCCGUUGCCCUUUCGGCAGUAAAGAAUGCGGGUUUUUCUGUGCUCCAGUUGGUCUUCUUUCUUUCUUCUUUUUUUUCUUAAAUUUUAUUUUUGUGUCUGUAUUCUGUUAUCAGAAGGGCACGCUUUUCGCCUAGUUGUCGCUAAUUUUGUAUGGAUAUCUUGUGUCGGAUUUGAUUGCUUUUCAGUAAUAGUUAUUCUUUCUUUCAUUGUGUGUCAGCGUCAUUUGUUUGUUUUGUUAUGUUACUAUAUCUUCUGACAGAGAUCAAAGCUGUGCUGUAUAACAAAAUUAUGGGAUUAAUGCAAGAAGCGUAACUGUGAUGAAAAUGGGUCAUGGGGAUUGAUAUUGAUGAUAUUAGAGAAGAAAUUGGAUGAUAGUAAUGCAAGAACGAGAAUAAAAAUCUAGGAUGGAAAAAGGUAAUGAAGAAGUGGACGUAAAGAAUAAGGCAACAGCUAAGAGGCUUGAAGAAUUGGUUUUUUCCCCCCCUGAUCAUACUUUACUACUGCCCUUUGCAAACUAACAGCCAUCAUCUUUAUACAUAAUAAAAACACUUUGUAAGUAUACUAGGAUUCCUUAAAGUUCCUACAGUAGGAAAUAUGUGGACCAGCUGUAAUCAUAUAUACUCUAGAUGUACUACUAAAUUCCUAUAGAAUACCAAUUUGUAAAUGGUCUUUUUAGAUUUAUAUACUGUCAUAUUAAAUGAAAUAUAUUUGAUUUGAAUUUAAUCAGGCUCGCUCAUUCUUGCUAUAAUCAUAUCAAAUCUUGAUAGAAUUACUUAUGGGUGUAUUUUUUUUAUAUUGGACUUUUUACGGUACAUACAAAUUUUAAAUGAAAGUUGUCUAGAACUUAUGAGAGAGUAGAGGCUCAAUUGCAAUUAGAUUUAACAAGAUUUGAUCCUAAGCAGUGUUUGAGAAGGCACAAGCCGCAGCGCCUAGGCGCAAAGCGCGGGCCUCAAUGCCUCAGGGAGUGAGGUGCAUUCCUUAGACAUGUCUUGUGAUAUUUAUGUUUAAUGAGUCUGGGGUUUGGGUUUUUACAAUUUAUUCUAAAAUAUUUAGGAAUUGAAAAAAAUUUGUAAUUUGAAUGCUUUCUUCCCCUAUUGUCUUGGUCGUUCUCCCUUCCACCCCCCAAUGGCGACAAGUAGCAGUGGCAAGAAGCAAGAAACAAUAGCAAACACUCUUGAAAGUUAAAAUAUAAUUUUUUUCUUUUUAAUUUGAGAACAUUUAUACAUGUGAUUUCUUUACGUUUUUAUGAUUAUUUUGUUUUUGUAUGGCUAUUUUGGUAUUUUAUAACGUAAAACAUCCGUUUAAACUAUGCUUGUUAAGAGUGUUUAAUUUUUAUUAGAUGUGCUCCUCACCUUCUUGCGGUGCACCUCACGCCCUAGGCUCCAGAAGGCCUUUGCGUCUCGCGCCUUUUCAAACACCGAUCCUAAGUCAAUUCAAAUGAAAACUCUUGGUUAGGGUCAGGUUUUCAAUCUUCUUACACUGCCAAUCACAGGCUCGUGAUAAGUCGAUGUCGAGUUACACUUAUUUGAUUAAUCACUCUAGGGUUGUCAAUCGUUAUGGAUACUUGACAUUUUAUCCAUGCCCGAACAUGAUUGAGACAGUUUCAAUCAAAGCUAAGUAAGGAUAGUUUUGGUUAUGAGGAUAAAGAUUUUAAACCUAACGAAUUUGAUUUUGGUUAUGGUUUUUUUCUAUACCCGACCCAAACCCAAACAUGAACCCAAAAUGUAUAAAAACUAUUUUAUAAUAAAAUAGAAAUUUUUUUAGAUAUUUAAUAUAGCUAUUAGUAUGUUUAAUAAUCUAAUUGAAAAAAUAGUUGGGUUUCGUUUUUCAAUUUUGGGUAUGGGUUUUUGGUUUUCUGGCGGGUUCGGUUUCAUAUUCAAAAUUUUACAACUGUUCAGGUUUAGGGUUUAGUUCAAAUUUGGUUUCAAGAUUGCAAAAAAUGCUCUGAAACCACCCUGCCCAGUCGUUGACAUCCCAAGUAUAAUCUUUUCAAUUUGAUGCCAAAUGUCAGCUCCUGAGUUUGGCAGAAAUUGGUUGUUUUACCAUAGCUUUGACAGGAAAAUUGUUGUUAAUUUCCUAUUGGUGCUUAUUAAGGCUUUUCCCUUUGUUGAAACAAUACUACAUGUGCCUUGGUUUUUUUCGAGGUGGCCCAACUGACGCAGCCUGUAGUAAAAAUGAAAAUUUCUUUAUAUCCUUUUAGUGCAUUGUAUUGUUGGCGCUUGCUAGUGGUGCAUGGAUUUACAGUGCAGAACCUAGUGUGCACCACGAGGUUUUUUGAUUGCAUUUAUUCAGAAGUUUUAUUUUUUAUUUUUCCUAUGGAAUUUAUUUAUUGCAUUUUGAACCUUUUCUUAAUUGUGGUUUGAGAUUAAGGUUUUAAGUGCCCGUCGGCACGAGCCGUAUCCACCGUGCCAUACCGUGUCAUCAAGAUACCGGCACGAUACAGGCCCUGUGUCGAUGGCACGGCUCAAAAACCUCUAUUUUUAAAAUUAGUAAGUAAUUUCCUCAAUAAAGUUCAAAAGAUGUGAUAAAAAAAUAUAAUAAAUAGUUAGAAUAUUUUGUUGCUAAAGAAAAUAAAUAUUUCAUGCUAUUAUGUGUCGGCACACAAGAAUUUUUUGGACCAGCACGGCUCGGCACGGCUCGGCACGCACCGUGCCGUAUCGUGCCAGCAAGUUUCCGGCACGAUUCUGUGCCACGGCACUUAAAUCCUUGUUUGAGACUAUUUGUUCCUAUGAGUGCAGUUAAGAUUGGCCGACCUGGGUACAGGGUAACAAAGCAAUUUGAUCCGGAGAGCAAACAACGGUCCCUUCUUUUCCAGGUAUAUAUGUAGUACUUUAUCAAUAAAUACUUGCGAUUAAUCACUACCUUAACUAAUGAGUUAGACUUGCUUGCGUCCUUUUCUUUUUCUUGAUUGAUUUCGGUGCUAGCAAUGUACAUGCAUGCGUAUAAUUGUUGAGCAAUAGUAUAUAGGUGGGAAGUAUAAUACUUAUAGGAAUGAUUUUUAUAUGUUUUAAUCAAAAACUAGUGAAAGGCCUGUGUUGUGCUAUACUUGCGGAAGUAGAUUACCGUUACUAUAAUUAGUGGAAAUUGUAGGAUCAAAAUCGUAGUAGCACUAACAGAUAAGUAAAAAAUUGACAUGUUUGUUAAGAAGUAUUGAAAAGGUCGUAAUUCCAUGAGACAAGCAUUUACAUAUAUAUAAGAGAGAGAGAGAGAGAGAGAGAGAGAGAGAGAGGGAGAGAAUACUAUUGAUAGUAGAGGAAUAAUGUUUGCUAUGUACUUUCAAUCCCUUGGAUGCAUAGUGUUUACUACUUGGUGGUGGUACUAUAAUGGAUCCACAAUGGAUAAACUAGAAGAUUGUUGAUUUAGCAAAGGAAUAGUGUUUGCUAUUUACUUUUAAUCCCUCGGAUGCAUAGGGUUUAUUAUUUGGUGGUGGUACUAUUGUGGAUCCAAGGGGUAAAAAGUUGGUAGUAAACACUGUUCAUUUACUAUCAAUAGUAUACUAGCUGAACUCUCUCUCUCUCUCUUUCUCUCUAUAUAUAUAUAUAUAUAUAUAUAUAUAUGUGUGUGUGUGUGUGUGUGUGUGUGUGUGUGUGCGCGCGCGCUUCUACGCUCUCGAAAGCACAGAGACCUCCGUGCUUGUAAGUUGUUUUCGAUGAUGGGACAUUCAAUUCAACGAUCGUUUCUGUUAGACAUGAUUUACGCUAUUAGAACUAUUUAGAAAUCAAAUUUCAUAAUUUUUUACUUUGUUUGCCUAGUGAACGAGUAGUCUCAAAAUGAACGGCUGAAAAUAAAUAUCUCACAAAAGACACUGAUAAAAGACUCAAAUUUCGAAUCGGAAGUAUUGAUCUUGCUCUUGAUGUUAAGUAGAAUUUUCUAUUAAAGUUUCAUGUAAUUUGAAUUAUUCUACACCGUUGAACUUACAGAUGUGCCACAUCGGUCAUUAAAAUAGUCAUUUUUGAGACCCUUUGAUCACUUAGUAAAUGAUAUCGAAAAAAUAUGAAAUUUGAUUUCUAAAUAGUUCUUAUAGUGUAGAUCAUGCCUAACGGAGCCGAUCGUCGAAUCAGAUGUCCUAUCAUCGAAACAACUUACAUGCAUGAAGACCUCUGUACUUUCGAAAGCAUAGGAGACAUACUCUAUAUAUAUGUAUGUAUACGUGUAUAUAUGUAUAUAUACAUAUAUGUAUGCUUGUAUGUAUGUAUGUAUGUAUAUAUAGAACAAGAAUUACUUUUUCCUCCCCAUAACACGUCUAAGCAAUGGAUUCAAUACUAUUUUUGGCAUAAAACUCGUUACACAAGCUCUUCCCCUCAGUUUCAAACUUUAGGCCUUUAUUUUUCAAAUUAUUUAGUGUAGAAAAUGAAAAAUAGAAAAUUAAGAAUAUAGAUAGGUAUGUAAGAAAUGCUUUGACUUUUGUUUGUAAAAUAACACCUUACAUUAGCAAAGGAUCCCUUAUAGUUGGUAGAAAAUAUAUUCCCCUAAUAAUAGAAGGUUAACUUACCUAUAAAGAUAGUUUAGGUCUUUAUAGCUGUGAAGUAGUCUUCCUUUUGACUGUAAGGCCUUUUUUGGCAUUGUUGCCCUUUUUUUCUUUAAAAUAGUAUUUUGACAUGAUUUAGUGUAGGAGUGGAAUGAUGGAUUGUUUGCAAUCCUUAUAUACGAAAAUAAAUAUGAUGCGAUUCUCAGUCCUUGCUCAAUGCUUCUCCAUCAACUGCAGCGAAAGGAGAGCAAAAGGGUCGGAAGGGCGAUCAUAAUGUAUCGAAAGACUUUAAUGUUCGGAGGGGGUCAAACUGCUCUUCUUAAGCCUUGUGCUCCACAUCCAUGAAGCACUUCACUUGAGGAAGAUAGAGCUCUGGCUUCUAGGCAAGGUGUUUGUUUGGCAGCAACAAACACAAACUUGGAAGCAACUUCUUAUUUCGGCUUCCAUGUGUGUGGGUGUUUUUUUUUUUCUGUAUUUUUAAUUUUUUUUAUAUAUAAAAGAAGUUGUCGUCCAUCACAUAGCUAGGGCGUGUCCAAGCAAACCAACCAUGACACAAGCGGAAAGUCCUUUCGUUGGUAUAUCGAAUUAUAUAGAAUUAGUAAAUAAAAAAACGAAAAUAAGGGCAACCAUGCCUAAUGAGUCCCAAACAUUAUUUUUGUGGACGGUAUAGUGACAUACAGUGGUGGCCUGUAUUUAAGACGACUCAUUAGGAGGACAACCUUUGAGGGGACCUCUUACGAAAUUUCAGUGGUGGCUGCAGACAAAGCCAUCAUUUGCCAUCCGUUUCAUUAUACACUUCUCAAGCACUCAUCCUCUCUUCAUUGCUCCCAUUGUAGCUCUCGAACACCUGUUGGAAGCUAAGGACAUUAUAUUUAAGUACAGUGAGGAAAUGAGAGAGAGUGAGGGGGAGAGAGGUGGUGAUAGAUAGAGAUGAGAUGAGAGAGAGGAAGUAAGUGCUGUGUAAUCCAUCUCUGCGAUUUGCGGUAUCUCGUAAUCUACUUCUUUGAUGUGAUAUAUGAGAGACAUGAUCAUGAAGUGAUAUGAUAGCAGUAUUAAAAAAGAGGCGGGGCGGGGGGACGCAGGGGAUGGGGCUCGUGCGAGAUUCAACCAUAUCUCCCUAUAAUCGAGGGAGAGAGAAAUAGGGAGAUAUGGUUACCUUAGAGAAAAGUUAUUUCUUCCACUGGUUGUAUUGGUGCAUUUCAUGCACCAAUUUAAUAUUUUAUGACUUGUUUUAAAAUCGAAGUCUCAUUCAAUAGGUGUAAUCUACAAUAUUUAAAAGCUUAAAUAUAGUUUUAUAUUUUUAAAUAUCUAUUACUUCAGGCAUCAAAUAGUUUAAGAAAUCAAUAAUAGAGGGAGGAUAGCUGUGUGAUUCGUAAGGAGUUAGUGCUCAAGUUUUAUAUAUUUUGAUAUCUAGGCCCUUUCAAUGUUAUAGAAUAUUUCUAAUCUAAAUUUUGAUUUCACAACCUUUAUCAUAGGAUUUAGAAAUGUCGUGUGUACGAUGUAAUUGUAUACCCCGUAUUUGAGGUAUGGAAGUAGUCGGGGAGUUCGUGAAACCUUUAGAAUAGGGCACAUUGGUUUGGAGACUUCCACUUCUGUCGAGAGUGUGCCACAUAUCUUCGGAAUUUCACUAAUUAGUAUAUAGAUAUAGAUGUUAAUGCUGAAUGUGCUUUGUGCCUCAGCGUGGACCCUUGGAAGUCUUUGUUUGGGAUGGUUGGUUGUGUUAAUGGUAUAGAAGCUGUUGUUUGGCAUGUAUUGUCAUGCAUUCACGUGUUUAGUUCUUUGGAGUAAAUUUCUCUGCUAAUGAAAGGACAUUAUUAGUAUUAAUGCAUUUAAGUUUUGAAGUUGGAGUUUUCGUUAGAUAUGCUGUCAGAUUAGAUAAGAUCUAGGUACUUGUACUAGUCUCAUAUUUCAAGUAGUUUUCAGGGAAUUGAACUUCAUUCCUACCCAUUUUAUGUUCCUCUAGGGAUUAUCUCUGAAUCGGGUUAUAGAACUUGACACAUGAUUAGUAUCUUUGGGCUAACAGGGUUCACAUGAGGAGAGUAUAUUAAUUAAGUAAUAACAUGAUUUGGAAAUAUAUUUAGUUAUAAAACAUGAUAAGCAUUUGUAUCAAGGAUUAAUAUUAUGUAAAUGAACAAUAUGCCUAUACAUGUUCAAUGAAAGGAUCGGUAAAGAAACUAGGUCCAGAUCUGGUCUGGGUUGGAUGGGGAUUAUAUGCCAUAAUCCUGAACUUUAACCGAAGGUUUCAUUCUCGUAUCAUUGAUCUAUAUCUGACCAAUGGUAGCUAGGGUCCUAACUGGGUUCAAACAGGACCAGGUGAAUGCUCUGCCCUGGGUAACCAGUGCUGAGCAAGGUUUACAUGAACAUGAACAUGGGACAUGGAACAUGACAACACUUAGACACGAUGACUUGAUAACUCUAGAAAAACUAGGACUCGAACACCACAGGUACGCUACAAGUAAAUUGUAAUAAUUCUAAAUAAUGAUCUGUAUUUGUCAUUUGUAAAACAUAACAUUUGCAAAAAUUUAGCUAUAUUUUUGUCAUAUGAAUGAAGGUUAAUACAAUUCUCAUUGACAGUUCAUGUAUCCUGUAGAAUGAAAGAAAUCUUCCAGUAACCAUGGUUUGUAAAUACCUUGGAAGAAUUGAUAAAUACCCCGAGGUGAGCUAGAGCGCAAGUCAAUUUGAUAAGGCUCUAGGAGAACAGAAAUUUAGUUUCAACCAGUUUUAACUUGGAUGUUUCUUUUGCACUGUUUGAGUGUUGCUACCUUGGUUACUAUAGUUAUUGCUCCUAACUCCGAUAAGAAGCUCAGAAAGCACCACAGAUAUAGUUAGAGUUCAGAUGAUAGCUCUCAAUCUUUGGUUUUCUCUGCCCCAGAGGGUAAUUUAAAAUAAUAGGCAAAUAUAAGAUAAUCUCCUUUUUGUAUUAGUGUUUACAAAAGAGAUUAUUGAUCUUCUUUCAAGUUUAUUACAUAAAACUUAUUUUUUUAAGAGGAGCAGACGUAAAUUUUCAAUCAAGUAUUUUGGGUUGUGAGCUCAUUUAAAGAUUAGUUGCUCCAGCAUACUAGGCUGGCGUACUCUAUAGUCUCUUCUUGGUGGAGUCCUCACAUCUCUCUGAUUGGGAAUUCAUAGCUAUAAUUUACCCAGCUAAGAAUUUGGAGAGUUAAGCUUACGUUCUUGGUAUCAAAUUCUCAUACCAUCUAUUUUUUUCGGUAAAAUUGAUUUUACAGAAAUUUUAUUUAUAUUGUCAACAGAAUGUAGUAUUUCAUGUUUGGUAUCAGUGGCAAUUUUGUGGCAAUUGAUUGAUAUAAUUUAUUCUGUAUAUUUUUGUUUAGUAUUAACUGUUUUAUAUAAGGGUGAAGUAUAAACUUUCAGCUAUUAAAUUUUGCUGAAUUUAUUCCCUUGUUUCAUUACAUUCAGUAAGUUGACAGUUCUAGGCAAUUCUGUUUACUCCAUUUUAAAUCUGAUUCAGAUUGAGUAUCCUGAAAUUGAAGACAACAUCAAGCCAAGGCAUCGAUUCAUGUCAUCUUUUGAGCAGGUAAUCUCUGAAAUUUUGAAUUCAAAGAACAGCUUAGUAUCUUUACGAAUCAGCAACAUCUGAAUCCAAUGUCUAUGACCAAUCCAUUUUGCACCUAUUAUAUUAUUUUCUUCUUCUUUUCUUUUUCUUUUCACUUACAUGUGAAUGAUUCAAGUUAAGGACUUUUUUAUGACAGAGAGUUCAAGCUUGUGAUAAGAGGUAUCAGUAUCUUCUCUUUGCGGCUGAACCAUAUGAGAUAAUUGCUUUUAAGGUUUGUCUCCUAUAGUACUUUCAAUUUGGUACAUAAUAAGCGGCUACUAAAUCUGCUUUAUAUGCCUGACCUGUUCCCUGUUCUCCAGAUUCCCAGCACAGAGAUUGAUAAGACCCCAUCAAAGUUCUUUUCAUACUGGGAUCCUGAUUUAAAGAUGUUCACGGUUUGUUUCACUUGGUGAUUCUAUUUACUGUUUUAUUUUUGUUAUUAAAUUUCCGAGUCUCCUAUGCAGAUUAGUAGUACUACAAGUUCCUUGUCUGAUUUCUUGCAUCGUCAACAGCUUCAACUGUAUUUCAAGGUCAAGCCGCUUGAACCUAAUAAGCCAUCAGCAGCAGGUGCUCCGGUAGCAAAUGGCACUGCAGCUCCUGGUGUUCCUCCAAGGCCGCCGCCACCCCAAGCGCCACCACCGCCACCACCACCUCCUCAAGUACCUCUUCCGCCUGCACCUCUUGUGAACCCUCCUAGGGUUCCACCACCGCCUGCCCCGCAGAUGGGUGGGUCACAACCCCCGCCCCCACCUCCGAUCGCAAAUGGCCCACCUCGUCCAAUACCACCACCACCGAUUGGUGGCGCGAUGGCUAACUUCACUCCAGGUGUCCAGCCUGGCGCUCCGCCGCCGCCAGUGGCAGGCUUUCUUAAUCAGCAGAUUCAAGGCCAAGGGGCUCACCCACCGGCACCACCACCACCUCCUAACAUGGGCCAGUAGGGUUAAUAAGGGGGGACACCCCUAAUUACUAUUUUGAUGUAUCUUUCCCUUCUGCAAAUGCUGGUUCUUGUCAAUGACAUGUAUUGUUAUAUACAUGUCAUGAUAGAUAUAGUACAUGGUAAAAUGAUGAUCAAAGUUGGAUUUUCUGCUGAAAUUUGCAAAAUUUCUGUCUGCUGUUCCCCUUUUUCUUCUAUGCGGAUAUUGGUGUCGGACUGGCACGGUGCAUUCCACCAACAACUAAAACUUAAUUUUCUUUUCUUAUCUUUUCUCUCAGGAAACAGGGUUAUUACCUAUUUAAUUACAAAAGUCCUUGGUUUUAAGAGUGUACUGAUUUGCAAAAAUGUAGUUUGAUAUAAGCAUUUUUGCAGUGGAAAACAAUUUGUGGUUUAUGUGUCGAGUCUGCUUGAUGUUGCUAUUCCCUAGUUUGUGCCAUCAUGGUGAAGUUGAGGGUGCAAUCUAAUUGGCAAAAGAAGGUGCUGGUGUCAGAAGCCUCUGUUUUAUGCUUCAAAUGAUCUUACAUUAUAUUUGAUGGUGCAGAUCAAUUCGGUUGUUUCAUCUUCGAAAAUGAUUGUUGGAUAGUAAACCAGUUAUUCUGGCCAGACUGAACGAUUGUUGGAUAGUAAACCAGUUAUUCUGGCCGGACUGACUGUUGAGUUUUGGUAUCAGACUGCUGACAGCAAACAGGCUGGAAUGCUCGUAAUGACUUGUUCUAUUGUCAAACUCAUUUUUAAAGGUAUGACAUUCAAAUGGACGACCCGUGUUACUAAAAGAACCAAACAUGCUGGAGAAUAUAUUUGUAAUUAGAGAUUGAAUUUCAUUUGAUUGAGCGCCCCACAUAUGCAAAUAUCUGAGGGGUCUCCUUAAGGGUGCAUCCACGAUAAAACUACUCUAGAUAUGACUAUGCAACAGUUAAUUCCUUUAGCCUGUCUCAUGCAUCUCCUUCCAAUCGAAAAUCUUCUUCCUUUUCAAUAUAAUAGCGUCUUCUUGAUCAUCUUGUUAAAGAAGCGUGCGACGGCCACGUCGUCUCUGCCAACUCCUGAUAACAGUUUCUUCUGUAGUUUUAUGAAAUUCAUUUCUAGUCAGAAGAUCACCAUAAAGACUCUAAUCUCUGUAGAGUUCACUAUCGAGGUGGAGAACUCCAGCACCAUCGCGGACGUGAAAGCCAUGAUAAGGGACCAGAAGGGAAUUGCCGCGGACAGGCAGCGGCUAUAUCUCGCAGGCUAUCUGCUAGAUGAAGAGAGAGCUCUGAGCGAUUAGAAAUCACAGGAGGGUGGGUCCAUCAUUUACCUUAUUCUGCCCUUUCGCAGCAGAAAUCCUAACGAGUAUGUAUGUUGUUGCUCGCCCUGCUCAUUAAUUCUCAACUCGUCUAGGUUCUCUGUUUCUUUUGUAUGUUUGCUGCUUAUCUCAUUUUGUGCGUAACCUAUUGUGAUGCUUUGUUGGUGUACAUAAUGGACGAGGAAUUAUUGCUUAAAACCUUCUUUACUGCAUCAUCCGUGAAAAUUAUGGUUCUCAAAUAUGUCAGAGCUGCUUCUAACAGAAUCUGGGAUUAUUCUUUUGGGAUUUGUAACAUUGUCUCAUAACUAAAGUUUUUCCCUCGUAAACUUAAUCCCUACUUCUCUGUAAAAAGUUUUUUAUGAGGAUAAAUUUAUUAUGAGGAUAAAAUUGCAAUGGAUAGAAAAAUUAAGGCUGCUAUAGGAACAUCGUAGAUCUCAUACGAAGUUUCUCUGAAGGAUGUUCUGCAAAAGAAAAUUUGGAGCUAAAGGGUUUAUGAAAGGAUAAAAAAGUUUGUACGAGCUUUCUUGAUAUUUUAGUCAUCCUCUUGCAGUUUAGUGCAGUUACUUUUCUCCGGCUUGGAACAUUUUGCUUUACUAUUUUGUGAUUUUAUGUUUACUUCAUAGUAAAUACUGCUAUUAAAUAGGAUACAUGUUAAAUUACGUGCUUGGUUCUUACUCAUGGACUGCAUCUCAUUUCUCAUGGUAGUGAUCCAUUAGCUACUUCAGGACGUGACAUAUUACCUUCUUCUGCAGAUGGUGUGGUAUCAUUUUGUAAUUCUUACAAGACGACUUCUUACAAGAUGACAUCUCUGCGCACUUCUCCAAUGCUCGAAAAUUCCUUCUCUAGAAAUUCCACAUCUUGUGACUCAGUCUCAGUCACGCUACCAUCUGGGUGCUCACCACAUACAUCACGUAGCCCUUUGCAUUCUCAGGGUAUCUGAUGAAUACAUGCUUGCUUUAUAGCCUAAUUUUCUGAAUCUAUUUGAAGGGACGUGAACAUAUCCAUUUGAACCCCAAGGGUGCAAAUAGUGUGUGGAGGGUUUGCUGCCACUCCAUAACUUAUAUUGAGUGGAAAAUACUGAUUUAAUAGGGAUUUGGUUAAGAAUGUAAUCAGCAGUUAACAAUGCAUCUCCUCAAAAAUUUAUAGGUAGAUUUGAUUAUGCCAUCAUUGAGCUAACCAUGUCUAGUAGAGUAUGAUUUCUUCAUUCAGCAAUAUUGUUUUGCUGCGUUGUAGCAAGAAUAGUGAGUUGUCUGCGAAUUACUUUUUGCUCACAAAAUGUGUUGAACUGAUCGGUUAGACAAAUACUCGCUACCACAAUUAGCACAAAAGCACCUUUACACUUCUUUUUAACUAAUUCUCAACCUCCGUAACAAAGUAUCUGAAGCAAUUUAAUGCUUCAAAACACUGAGAAAGCAGAUAGACAUUGCCAUAAUGAGAAAAAUCAUCAAUGAAUGUGGAAAAUAGCUAGCUCCAUGGCGGGCCCUCACAUUUAUUGGACUGCAUAUGUUCGAAUGAAUCAACUCUACAAGGUUAGUAGUAUGUGUGCCGUUACCAAAAGACUUUCUACAUACUUUUCUUGCCAAACAAGGUUUGCACACAGCUAGAUCAACCUUGGUCAGAGAUCAUAAUAUGCCCGCUAUAGGAUAAGAGUACGUAAUUUCAUCCUCACCUAAGGAUGUAGCAUACACCGACCUAUUUUCUGACAAAUUGAGUUUUGUUGAAAACCAUGUAAAAAACAUAAGUUCUUAUUUUGGAAAAAAAAAAGCAACUUACACACAACAUGAAAAUAAUAUCUCAACUACACAAGCAUAAUUAGAGAGUGAUAAAAAACAACAAAUUAAACUAAUUAAUAAGCUGCAAAAAGAAACUGUUAUCGAGCGGAGCACAUAUGAAAACACUCCCUUCAAUAUCAAAGUGAUGUUGGAGAAUAUUUCCAUGUAUACUUCUAUGCAAUUGAAGGCCUCUAUCCUCAGUUUCCAAAGAGACACUCCUACCCCAGGAGAGGCUCCCACUUGCCAAUGGAUUCUAUUACUUCUAUCCGCUACUUUAGGAUGUGACAUAUUAUCUUUUUCGAUAGAUGGUGUGGAAUCGUCUUAUGACUCAUACAAGGCAACAUCUCUGUGCACUUCUCCAAUGCUCGAAAGUAACUCAUACAAGGUUACAUCUUUGCGCAUUUCUCCAAUGCUCGAAAAUUCCUUCUCUAGGAAUUUUACAUCGUGUGACUCAGUCUUAGUCUUGCCACCAUUUGGGUGCUCACCAUACAUCAUAUAGCCUUUUGCAUUCUUUGGGUAUCUAAUAAACACGUGCUUGCUUGCUUUAAGGCCUAAUUUCUUGAAUCUACGUGAAAGAGCAUGAACAUAUCCAACUGAACUCCGAUAGUACGAAUAGUGUAAAAGAGGGCUUAUUGCCAUUCCAUAAUUCAUUUGGAGUGGAAGACACUAGUUUACUAGGGACGUGAAGCGACUCGGGAGUUGGAGUGUCAUGCCCCGUGCCCACAACGAAAGCACACCUCGGGCACGUGCACCAGACUUGCCGAAAAUACAGAGUUUUUCCUAUCUGCCUAAGGCGUCACAAGCAUGUAUACGCAAGAUAUUCCAAUUAAGAAUUGAAUACAUGGAUUGUAUAAGAUAAGUGUCACACAAUAUAUAGUAUAUGUUACGACUAUUAUAUCUUUUCCAUUCAGUUACAUACAUAGUUUUUGCUUUCCAAAAUACAACCCAAAAUGAGGUUUACAUUUGCUUUCUUUUCAUUACAAUAUUCCAAAAUAGGGUAUUAUUAGAAAAAUAAUAACGAAAAUGGAAGGACGCAAUCUACUCAGCUACGCUAUUUCCUCUCUCUGCCGCAUUCGGCUCAUAUGGAAUUGAAACAUAUAGGGGUAAGAACUAUAUACAUAGUUCCAAGUAGGUAUGGCCACCUAAGAGAAAGGCUCGACCCACCAGGUUCAAAAGAAACAAUAUAAGCAUGGGUUAGUUCACACACACACACACACACACACACACAUAUAUAUAUAUAUACAUAUAUAUAUAUAGAGUGAGGCUACUAUGCUAUCGGAAGCACGGAGCCUUCCGUGCUUCCAGCUCGUUUUCGAUGUUGCGACUUUCGAAUCGUCGAUCGGCUCCGUUAAACUUGAUCUAGAUAUGCAUCUUCUUUAAACUGUGAUGAUAGUGAAUAUUCUAAUCAAGAUCAAGAGUACUAGAUCUUGUUCUAAAUAAAUUUUAUUAUUUUUCGAUAUCAUUUGCCUAGUGAUCGAAUGGGCUCAAAAUCAACUAAUUUUAAUGGCCGUAGUGAGCCGUUUGCAAGUUUAACGGUGUAGAAAUAUCCAAAUCACGUGAAAUUUUGAUAGAAAAUUCUUUAUACUAUAUAAAACAAGAUCAAUAUCUUUGAUUUAAAAUUUUAAUGUCAUAUUAUUACAUUUUGUAAGAUUUUUAUUUUCAGCCGUUGAUUUUGAGCCCCUUCGUUCACUAGGCAAAUGAUAUCGUAAAAUCAUAAAAUUUAUUUUCUAGAUACUUCAAAUACUCUAGAUCAAAUUUAACGGAGCCGAUCGACGAUUCGAAAGUCGCAAUAUCGAAAAUGAGCUGGAAGCACGGAAGGCUCCGUGCUUCUGAUAGCAUAGUAGCCUCAUAUAUAUAUAUAUAUAUAUAUAUAUAUAAGGAAUAACAUGCUUAUUCCAUAACACAUAACAAUGGAACCUACUUGUGUGAUGUAUCUGCAUUUACUCACUAGGUUCAUCAUUCUAGCCAUAUAGCCCGACUUAAUCUUGAGUCAAUCGAAUGCGGAAUCGCCGCUCUCAUUUGGCAUUGGGUAGCGGAAUUGCCGCACCACUCUGGCACAAUCCAUAUGUUGUGGAAUCGCCGUACUUGUUGGGUAUCGGGGCAUAGAAUUGCUAUCCCUCUUAUUUGCCCCAACACCAAUGGUAGCAGAAUCGCCGCUCUCAUGGUCUCACAAAGGGUCCACGCAUUCCACUCUAUAUGUUAACCUUUCUAGGUUUAAUGUCGCUUAUGUCCAAGUGGUGUUCUACCCACUAUGUUCUCAAACCUAUAUUCCAAUGGCACUAUGUUCUCUACAUUCAUGUGUUAAGUUCUCUAAUGACCCUAGAGAAAUCAAUCAUCUAUUUAGUCCAUAACAUAGGUGUACUAAACCAUCAUGCAUGCAUUCCCCCGUUUUUGAGUCUUAUUAUUCAUAACAUAUGCAAGGAGUCAUGAUGAUAUCAUUUAUUCAUGAGCUAUUUCAUAAAUAUAAAGAAUAAUCAGUUAUGCAUACAUUCUUGCAUGAAAGGAAAUGACCCUAAACUCAUAUAUGUCUCAUGCAUGCACUAUCUCUUAUACAUGGCAACAAUAUUAUCGAGUCCAACUAGUAUAUGCUUCUAUCAUGCAUACCUAGUACUUUAAUUAACAUUCAAUCCUAAAUAAUAUGAUUUAGUUAUUUCACCCUAGACGUGGAAGUGACCUAAUCACUUCGGUGCAACACAACCCACCUUAGCACACCUUAAUUGUUUGUAGUCACUUGCAAUUAGGCUCUUCUCCCUUAUGCUACAAGCUUAGCCCCAAGCUUCUUGCCCUAACACAAGAAAAAUGGUUUGUUACCAUUUUCAAACCUUAAAACGAUUUUAUUUUUUGAAAUCAUGUUGUCCCCCUUGAUUUCCAAUCCCUUAAUUAGAGUUUUAAAGGGUUAAAUAAUUUUUAAACCCCUCAAAUCCGAAAACUUUUGACCUACGGUUUCCCAAAAAUCAUGGUAAAACCCAAAUUCAUUUGCUAAUCUUUACAAUUUAUAGCCUAGAUUAGCCUAGGGUUUGAUAAAAAUCCAUUUAGGAGUUUUAAAUCCAAAACCCAAAUCUUAAAUUCCAAGAAACCUCACCUUAGCCACUAGCUUCCCACUCCUUGCUCAAGAAGGAAGAUCUGCACCUCCAAAUCCCUCCUCCAAGUUUAAUCCCCCAAGCUCUUGGUGUUGGUGAAGCUCCAAUAGAGAGAGAGAGUGUGUGAGAGAGAAUAGGAGGGGGAAAGGUCCUUUUGUGUCUAAAAGGGAGAAAAGGGCUAGGGGUCUCUCUUUUAUAAAGGGUUGCAACAAUGCAAAUAACCCCCCACCCACCAAAUUCACUCACCACAACCAGUCAAAACUGGCAUUUCGUAACACUGCAUAUCGGUACUCAAACUCGCGUACCAAUAGGCGAUAUUUAGUUCCGGUACCCAGUUCCCAAUUCCGCAAAAUCUGAACGUUGAAUUCUCAAACUUUCUAUUGCUACCGGUACUCAAUACAAAAUCUGCAACCUUCGUACCGGUACUCGGAUUUCAAUUCCUCAAAAUCCGAAUACUUAUUUCUCACCAUUUGUAUUGCAUAUCGGUACCUAGUUUCCAAUAUCGGUACUCAAUACAGAAUCUGCAACCUUUGUAGAUUUGACAUUUCGGAGUCCAUUUUCGCGCUCGGUUUGCACUAAACACACUCGAAUAUUCUCCAAACCUUGUCGGAACUAUUUGAAUAGCCUUUUAGGACACUUUUUACCAGAACUCCACAAUUUGUAGAAGUUCAGUGCACUGCACGGUGAUAGUGAUGCGAGAUUCCUACCAUUACCUUUUCGAUAGUUCUUCGUAAGGUAUGAAUUUAAGUUUCGAGGACGAAACUUUUGUGGUGCGGGAGAAUAUAGUGUCCCUGGGAUUUAACUGUUGGAAUAACUAUAGUAUCAGCGACUGGUCAACACAUUUGUAGAGUGUCGGUACAAGUCGGAGUUGUUUUUGCACGAAUUAGAUGCGAAAACAGACUCGACACACUCAAAUAAGCCAAAACUGAAGUUCAUGUAGUUUAGGGCUCUCAGAAGUAGUUUAGAGCGCUCAGAUUUAGAGUGUUGUUUGGUUUAUUGCUAAACUCAUUUUGGACCCAGAUUAGCAUUUCAGACCCUCAUUUGGGAAACCGUUUCACAGUGGGAUGCAGUGGUGAGUUGUUUAGGGUGCCUAGUUCUGGGUUUAGGGUGCCCGAAUUCUAGAUUUUCUGCAGUAACAGGUUUAGCUCCUAUUUUUCUUGUGGCUCUUCUGGGUAGGAUCAACCUGACCAUACUUGUUUUCUAAUUAAGGAUGUCCAAAAUUCCCUAGCUGUUUUAGCACUACAGUAUAUGUCAUACAGUUUAUCAGAUAGGGUACUAAGAAUCCGGUUCAUGCAAUGAUAGUUGAUCCUAUUAGGGUCAACAUGAGGUAUAGUUGUAGGUGUAGGUACAGUUUCAGUAGCAGGAGGAGUGGAUCCGGCUUGGGCUCAGCUCCGAGUAUACGGUCUGUUGACCGUAGUCUGGAUUGCACCUUCAGGUGCAGAUCCAUUGCUAUUCUCGACAGGAUCCGAGAUAGCAGAUACAAGCCCAAGUGUGGUGAGCCAGAACCUCAUUUGGUUUUGCCACCUUUUAAAGUUACGACCAUCAAAGGUGAACGGUUUCGCUGAAUACGAAUCCUCCAUCAUGAAAAAUUUGUUUACAAAUAAUCCUAAUAUAAUGUCACAAGACUGUUCUAAGGUUUACAGAAAUAACUGUAAGGUGAUCUAAAUUAUGUUUAGUGACAGUAUGAUUAUGUAGAUAUUGAAAGAUAAAUAUAUGACAGCAACAAAAUAUUGUAAUAUUAAUUAUCAGUGUAAGAAUAAUAGUAUGUAUAUGUUCAGGAUUAUGUUCAGGAUUAUAUGUUCAGAAUUAUAAUAACAUUAAUCUCAUGACACAUAUAUAUUAUUCUAUAGCAAAAUAAUAUUCUAUUUACUAUACUAAAGAAAAUAGAAAGAAUAAAAUUAAUCUUGCUUCUAGAAUGCUGGAAAAAUUAUUCUCUUUCUGAAAUCUUUAGUAAAAUAUCUUUUUAAAUAAUUUUGAAUGAAAAUAAUUUAACUUCAGUUUUAAAAACCUGAAACAAAAAUUAAAUAGUUAAUGCUAUAAAGAUUAAAAGAUCAGAUGAAGCUUGUGAGUCGAGGCGUGCGAAAGCACUGUCCUAGAAGCAAGAUUGCCCCUCCACGUACGAGGCUCCGGCAAUCACUCCUAGCGAUACAACGACCACUGUCCACCCCGUCGGCACGUCUUCAGAGUGGCGCAACACAAACUAUAUAAGCUUUCAGAGAUCCAGCAAAAAUGGCAAUGUAUAGUUCAGUGAUGAAAGGAUGUAAAAGAUCAGUAUAAGAGAAGGUGAACAAAGAGUAUGCAAGCUUGGGUUAAGCCUCACAGUGCAUGUACUAAGUUAAGUGCCUCUUUUAAUAUAAGAGAGCUUCAUGUGAGUCCAACAGGAAGAGUCAAGGUAAGAUCUUUGACCAAGAUCUUGCCUUUUCCUGAGAUUUGACCAGCUCCUUUCCGAGGUUGGACCAAGACAAAAUCUGGACAAGAUCCAGAUUGAUCUCGGUAGGGUCCUUCUCAAGGUAAUGUUAUUGGGUUAAUUAAAUAAUACAAUAAUAUUAAAAUCCAAUAAAAUAAAAUAUGUAAAUGAACUGGAUUCACGCGCGCCGCCGUCGCUCGCCCGCCCGACCCAGCCCGGACUCGGGCCGUGCGUACAUUUAGUCAAGAGCUCCACUCUCAUAUUCUCUCAAGUAAUUAAGUUGAGAGUGAGAGAGUAUAUAAAGUGAAGUAGAGUGCCUUUGCUUUUUAAUGUGGGACUAAACUCCACAUGCAUAAAGCAAUGCACAGUCUCGCAGGCAAGGCCCAUAGAGAGUACGUUGGGCUGCGCAGGAAGCCCAUGGGCUAAAAUCAAGUUUUAAAUCACUGUUUUAAAAGAUUAAUACUUACAUAAAUAAGAUGGUAGAGAUUUGAGUAUGUGAAGUUAGUAAUCACCUUGUAAUAUAUUUUUGUCUUAAUUGAUUGUUAUCGCGUGUUGGUCUUGUAAUUUUUUACUCUUGAUUGAAAAUUUUUCACGUAAAUUUUGGUGUGCUAAUUUUAUUGUUUGCAUUUGUUUUUAUCACAUUGAGAUUUAAUUUUUACAUUCGGCCUACUUAUCUAUUCACCCCUCCAAAUAUGUAUAUAUAGAUCCUAAUUAGAUCUUUGUAGAUCUGGAAACUAACGUAAGGAUCUGAAAUCGCAUUUUUGAUCGUCCGGAACAAAGAGGGACAUUGGACAAUUUGUAGCUCGCUGCCUCGUCUGCCAACAAGUGAAGGCAAUAUUCCUUAUUUGGGCCUGUCGUCGCGCCGCUACUAUGGACUGAGGUCUGUUAUAUCUUCCGAAAGAACGGCUAAAUCAUCGGUUUGCAAAAUUUCAAACCUAGCUACCAGGACUGCAGAAAAUCGACGUAUAUAUGAGGCCUGAUGUGAGAGGGCUGCUUUCAGAGGUUGGCAUCUACCGGCGAUGGUGCGCGCAAUUGCAGGUAGAGACGAGUGCAUGCGUACAUUUGACGUACGUGCGCGAUCAUUUGGUAAAUUUGACGAGGAGAGCAGGAGACAAAGAUUAGUCUUAGGUCUGGGACCGCCACCCAGCGAGCCUCAGAAUACCUUGAAAAUUUUCUCCAACGUUGAGACGGACCGACCGGUCCCAGUUUAUAUUCUUGCCUUGAGAAUUAGGUCGGUGCGUGUCUCUCUUUCCACGCAUCUCGCGGAGAACCUUAGACGUACGGACGGGUCCCGGCCCGCUUUGCUACAAUAAUGGUAUCUAAUUAAGUUUGCUUACUCCUAGUUCCCAGAGUGAGCUGUAAUAAAUUCGAUAUCCAUUUAUUCAAAAAUUUGUAAAAAUAAAUGAUAGCUUUAAUUAGUGUAAAAAUAUUGGUAGGGUAAUAUUUACUCUCACUUUAUAAUUAAGUGUACGAACAACGUCGCACGGGAGGAGGAGGAUUGUUAAUGCCGUAAACAACAAGAAUUCAAUUGAAAUAAAUUAUAAGAGUCGUGGACCUAAUUGAGCAAAAAGAAAUUAAAAACCCAACUUAAAAAUUGGAAAAAAAAAAAGAAAGAAAAGAAAAAAUUGGGGGACCAUUAGAGUAAUAAAUCCAACAGAAGAACUCAAGAGUUGCCAUUAGCGGAGAAAAUUACUGACAGCACAUAAUAUAAUAUUCUACUAUUGACUGAAAUAUUCGACCAACCACUAUUCAGUGAUUUAUUUCAGGCAGACUUACUAUUGUAAACAUAACCCCGCUUCAUUAUUUUAGACAGAGAAACACCAUUGCUUGCAAACAGAUGAAAACCAUGCAUAAAUCAAACUGCUUUAGGUUGGUGUAGAUACUUUAAUUAGGUUCUACCAACCGUACCUAGCUCGUAAUUAGCUAAAAAGUUAAUAAAUAAUAUGCGAGUCUAAUUGCACCGUAUUUUUAGCUCUAAGCUUAUUUAUUUAUAAAAUAAAUAAACGAUACAAAUAUAUAGUUAGCUGACUUCGGCUUAGUUUGGUAUUGAGACCUAUCAAACGCUAUUAGAUAAAAUGAAAUUGAAAAAAAAACAUAUAGGGAUAUGCUUCUGCGUUCUUCGGUGGGACCGCAAAAAAUAUAUCGUAACCGACUCAUGGCGAUAUGCGGAACGCAAUAUUACGUACGGAAACAAAUAGGUAUUUUUCCAACGUACUUUCUCACCGUACGUAAUACAAUCUUUCCGCAAUCCCAAACGAAGCCUUCCUCGGAGAAAAACAUAUGCGUACCGUAGGUAGGUUCGUGCGUGUAGUAUCUAAACUGGAUCAGAAAUCAAAUACCCUGACAUAGAUAACAAAUUCAAAUUUAUGCACCAACGUACGUACGUAGAAAUAGAAUACAAACGACCACAUCACACGCGUAUUUAAUAUUUCAAUCAGAGCGCAAAAAAAGAACUUGUACAGAAACCCCGUACAACCCGAGAAAUCUCAGUGGAGAAACAAAAAUGCUGUUCGCAGAGCAAAGCAUCGACACAACAAUUACAAAACAGCAGCAGAUACGGCGGCGGCGGAGGCGAACACAGCCAGCAGGGCAAGACCCAGAAGGGCAGGAGGCGCAACCGCGGCAGCGCUGUUGGGACGGGGGGAGGACACAGGAGUGGUACCGGUGGAUGCGCCGCCGCCCGCACCGAUGGCGCCGCCACCAGCAGAAGGGGAGGUGGUGGGGGUCGCGGAAGGAGCAGCGGAGGAGGCGACCUUGGGGACGCGGAUGUCGACCUUCUGGCCGAUGGCGCAGUGACCCGGGACGCCGCAGAUGAAGAAGUGGUGGCCGGCACGCUUGAUGACGAAGGAGUCGUUGCCCGACUUGUGGGGCGACGCCGCGUUGCAGGCCUUGUAAUCAGCCUUGCUCACCUCCAUCACAUUGUGGAAGUUGUUGUUGUAGACAAACACUGCAGCAUUCGAAUCACACAAAGCAAACGGCAAAAAAUUUAAUUCAUCAGCUCUUCUUUAUAAGCGUAACGUGCCUGAUAACUUGGAACUACUUCUUAAACGGCCAUAUUUUGAAUGGCUCUCUAGCUACCAUAUAUAUAUAUAUAUGAAUCGUCAGUCAUGUUUGUUGAAUAUAAAAUAUUAAAAUAUUGUUAACUAAAAAACGGCACAAUUUAAAUUGUUAGAGAUAAACGGUUAUUUUGUGAAGUUAAAGAAGGAAGGAACCAUUUAUACAAGAAGUUCCUAACGAAAAUGGUCCAAAGAAAGAAAUAAUACAUACCUACUGAAAUAAUGAUAUUUACUCGACUAUAAAAAGAAAUGACAAUUAAAAAUGAAGCAGAAGAACCUGUGCUACAGUAACUUUUAAAUCCACAGAAGUGCACAUGCAUUCAUAUUAACAUCUAAACUUUUGUAAUUGGCUGUCCAUAGUGUAGUUGGUUAAGAGCAUGAUUGUUAAUAACUAAAGUUUCAAAUUCAAAAGUUAGUUGCUUUUUGAAAAAAAAAUCAAAUGAAACGAGCAGCGUGCUUCCUUACCUUACUCUUAAAAGAAAAGAAAAGAAAGAAACUUAAAAAGUUUCGUAGGGCUUCUAUAAGGAAAUUUCAUCCCUGAAAGUUAGCAGCUGUAUCUGGCAACCGAAUGUUCAACUAUAUAAUCAAAUAUGAAGAAUUUAAAUAAGAUAAAAAAAAAAAGAAAAGAAAAGAAAUUAAGACAAAAAUAAUUUCCUCAAAAGUUUAAAAGUUCUCCGAUUUUAAUUUAGUAACUGAUAAUCACAUAGUCAUAAUCACAGUCACAAUAUUCUGUCCUACAAAAUUCAUGAAAUAGCUCAUAAACUUUUACUUUGUUUAAAUAAUUCUCCAAAUAAUUCACUAGUACGUACACGAAAAUUGACCAAAAUAACAUGAAUUAAUCAAGCAAGCCGCAUAUUUCGUGCACUAUCCAUUGCCAAAUAAAAUAUUUCUAAGAGUUUAAAAUUUUGCUACAUUAAAAAUAGUGAGAAACUGAAGCGAUUGUUCAUCAGAACAAUUUUAUAUUUUAUAAAUUUUUGACCAAACUAUUGCCUAACAUUGAACUUCUCAACUGUGCUAAAUUUAACCCAAUCGCCGAACUUGUAACUUAAUUUACGGGCACUCAAAAGUUUUCCGCUGAAAGUGUACAUUCUAAUGCAAUUACAACUGCUCAAAAAAUUGCCCAUAACGGCAUCGAUGCUGCGAUCGUUCUACAGAAGGGCCUACCAUUCUUUUUUUGAGAACAAAAUCCGCGGGGAAAAUUUAUUAAAUCUUGAUACAUUACAGCAACAGUAAUAUUAAUUAGUUGGUAGUGUGGUGGCUAAAAUAUAAUUUUUAUACUACAUAUGGCUCAACAAUUUUAAAAGCAUUUUUAAUUUUUUCCCAUCUUAUACUAUAUAUAUAAUUAUGGUUGCUUGCUUCUCUGAUAGUAGUUGAAAAAAUGGCAGUUUUAAAACAUUAGAGGGAAAAAGAAAAAUUAUAUAAUCACUUUUCAAUUUUUUACAAUAUAAAAAUAAUAUGUAUAAUGUAAAACUGAUACUUUUAGGCCCUGUUUGGUUGGAGAACAAGAGGUGGAAUAAGGAUUAUCCUCCCCUUGUCCCCCAAAUACAAAAUUACGGGGUGGGAACAACUAUUCUCCUUUCUAUGCAAUAUAAGCGGGUAUAAGACUGGUAUUUCCACUCUUUUUCUGGAACAAGUUUGUUCCCAAUUGGAAUAAAGCUUAAUUAAAAUCUAAAUUUAAUUUUACGUAUAGUAUUAAUUAAAUCAUUAAUUAAUUUAAUUAAUAUAUUUAAAUUAUUAUCUAUUAUUUAAAUAAAAAAUAAUUAUUUAUUUAUUUAUUUAUAAUUAAUUAGCUAAUUAAAAAUUAAUAAUUUAAUGUGUUUAUCCGUAAACUAAUAUUUAUAUCAAUUAACUAUUAAUAUUUUGACUAAUCUAAUUAAUUUUUUAGUUAAUUAUGUAACUAAAAUAAUUUACUAACUAAUUAAAAAUUAAAAUUAUUUUUACAUUUAAUUAAUUAAUAUAUUUUUAUUAUCUCAUACAAUAUUCAUAGCUAAUAAAUUUAUUAAAUUAUUAUUUUUAAUUAAUAUUUUGAUAUUAAUUAAUUAGAUAAAAUAUUUUAAUUAAAAUUAUAACUUUUAUUCCCUUUAUUCCGGUCUAACCAUAAAAACAUCAUUUACCUUAUUUCUAGCAACAAUCUAAUUUUCUUCGAAGUGCAAAAUUAGUCUAGUUCAUGCGUAUAUCUUGUAUCUAUUCCUGAAAUAAACAGCUAUUAUUUAUACCCGAACCAUACGCAGCCUUAGGCACUAAAUUACAAAACUAGGCCUAAAGUACCGACUGUCCCUAGCGCGAGUGGCAAAAAACUCGAUGGAAUUGGUACCCGAGAUUCUAAAUUCGAAUUUUAGUUUAUACUUAAUUUUUCAGCUAAAUUUAUUUCUAAAAAAAAAAAUAGACGAGUUCUCUUAUUAAAAAAUAAUAAAAACAAAAGAACCUAGUCCUAAAGCAAGUAAGAUGAUUUACACAAGCAAAGCUCAAGAAAAAGGCGUGCCUGGAAACCGAAGUUAAAGAAACGGACAAAUUGGACCUUACGCGACCGCCAAUUACGCAACUGCACGGAUCCCAGUAAAAAUAUGCCACGUUUCAAUUUAAAAAAAUUUUGCGACCGAACAAAAUCAAAGAACAACCAUCCGAACUGCCACGUGUAACAACAUCAGCUUCCUACAGGAUACACGCGGCGACCAUGCACACUGUUCCACCAUUAACAGUAACCCAAUGGCUAGUUAAUUUUUAAUUCGCUACCCUACCCUAGUUAAGAUGCGCGUAGGUCCAUGUAAUUUAUUUAAUUUUUAUGCAAACAAAUACCGAUUAAAAUAAGUUUUAUAUUAUUUUGUAUAACAUGGAGUUAAUGAAAAUGUUACACGAUCAAAACAAAAUAUUGAAAAAUUACAAAAAAAAAAAAAAAAAAAAAACCUGCAGGUCUCAGAAACUAGAAACUACAAUAAAAUCCCAAAUACUAAAAAUAUACCUAAAUUCUAAGUAAAAAAUCGUCGAAAUCGUGAAAAAAUAUUAAUAUUUGUAGACUGCUCACAAUUCUCGUCAAAUAUAAAAAUGACGAGACCUUGAACCUUCAAUAUAUGUAGCUUUUUAAUUUGAGUUGCAUAAGUACAAUAAUUUAAUAAAUAUUUCGAAUUAAAAAAUAGAGAGAGAUUUUGAAAUAUUAUAAACCGUGGUAUUUAAUCCGCAAAUAAAUGAAGCUACUGUCCAAGCAGACGUGAGUCAAACCCCAUCGUUGUUGACGCUUUCACUCUGACAAGAAUUAAUUAAAGCUAUAAGCUAUAAUAUAUUUUGAAAUAACCCUUUCAACUUCAUUUUUCAUUUUAAAACCUUUUCGAUUUUUUUUCAUUUUCUUAUAAUUAAACCAUUUUUAUUAAUUAUGUUAAAAUUCAUAUAUUAUUACACUAUAUGCUAGCUAUAUUUUUUUUGCCGAAACAAUUUUAAUGGUAUAGAUUAUGUCUAACGAAAUCUAUCACCGAAUAAAAUAUUUCAUCGUCAAAAACAAACUUACAAACACCAAAAUUUCCGUACUUUUGAAAGUAUAAAUUUUUUUUAAAAAUAAAUAAAUAAAUAAAUAAAUGAACUCACGUAUGACGUCUCCCACACGGAAUUCUUUCGUAGUAGCCCAGGCGGUGUAAUUAAUGUUGCCGACGAUCGUCCACCCUGCAGAGUCCCCGACCGUAUAAACCGCUCCUGCGGACGCCCGCACGAGACCCAGCACCAGCACCACCACCACCGCCGUUGUGGCCGAUCCCUUGCUCUUUUCCAUAGCAAUGGAGACAGAGAGAGAAAGAGCAAAACGAAAAGGAAAAAAAAAAAAAAAAAAAACACACAAAAAAAAAANACACACAAACACACACACGCGCGCGCCGCUCCUAGAUAGAACAAAAAGGAAAAGAAAAAAAAAAGAGAAAAAAAAAAGAGAAGGAGAAAGAGAAAGAGAAAGAGAGAGAGCCUGCAACUGCAAGAGAAAGAACGGCGAGAGCUUUACUCUCUCUCUCUCUCGAAAAAUCUCUCUAUUUCUCUGUAUAUGUCUCUGCGCUUCGCUUUACUCAUUUGAGCGUGCGCCAACUUUUAUAUAUAUACCGCUCUUCAUAUUUUUAGUGGUAAAGGAACGGGGGGCCCACUCAACUAAUGGCCACACUGAGGUUGGACCCACCAUCAAUUCCCGAUGGUUUUUUUUUUUUUUUUUUCUUUUUUUUAGUUCCCAGCCUUCGAUUCAUCAUGCUUUCGGCUCAAAUUUUUAAGAUUAUUAAAAUUAAAUUUCACAUUUUAAUUUAAUUCACUGAAUAUCGAUAUAUCUUAUAUUGCUUAUAAAGUAAUAAUUUAGCAUAUUAAUUAUUACUCAUUUAUUAUUACUGUAUCUACAUACGUCAAUACCUGGGAAUAUCCAAAAAUUUACCUGAAUUCGAACUCCAAUAGGCUGGGUUUAGCUUAUGUUAAAUGGAUAUAAAACAAAAAUCUCACAAAGCGGGUAGCAUGCUAGUUGAUUCAUAUUUCUAGGUAAGUUUAUUUUUAAAUAAAAUAAACAAAGCGAAUAGCGUGCUACCUAUCUCUCAAAAAAAAAAAAAAAAAAUCUCACGAAUGUGAUUUCAAGUACGAAUUUUGUCUAUAUUUGAUUUGAGCCUGAACAAGUUCGAAUCCUAGUUGAUUCACAUUUCUAGCUAAGUUUAUUUCUAAAUAAAAUAAACAAAGCGGAUAGCAUGCUACCUAUCUCUCAAAAAAAAAAAAAAAUCUCACGAAUGCGAUUUCAAGUACGAAUUUUGUCUAUAUUUGAUUUGAGCCUGAACACGACAUGAACUCGAAUAGAUUUUAUAUUAUAUAAUAUAUAUGUAAGUAUUUCAUAUUAUCUUUAAACUUGUAGCUUGUAAAUUUAAAUUUUAAUAUAAUAUGUUUUAAAAUAGGAAAAACUUCAAAAACCCCCCAUGGUUUCGCAGUUUCUCAUUUUAGUACCAUGUGGUUUAAAGUGUAUCAAUUUAGUGCCCUGUGGUUUAUUUUUUUUUAUUAUUAUCAAUUUUACUAUUUUUUUCUUAAUUUAGUAACAAAGUUAAAAUUAAAAGAUACUAAAGUGAAUAUUCAAUAAACCUAGAUGGGUAUCUGAAGUUUUUUGUACAUAAUUUAACGAAAUAUUAACGAAAAAGCUGCCGAAAAGAUAAAAAUGAAACCACAGGGCACUAAAUUGAUCCACUUUAAACCACAUGGUACUAAGGUGAGAAAGUGCAAAACCACGGGGGCCUUUUGAAGUUUCCCCUUUAAAAUAUGAUAAAAAUAAAAUAUAUUAUUUUGGGUUGGGUUCAAGUUGCAGAUUUUUGGUCGCAUUCAAUUUUGAAUAUAAAUUUUCAAAAUAUGUCAGGUUCAAAUUCGAAUUCAAAUUUGAAUUCGAAUUUGAAUUCUAAUUCGAAUUCAAUUUUUUAGUGACACCAAUUGAUAAAUCUAUAUUGGCAUGUAAAACCAAUAGAACUAAAUACAUAUCAAUACUGAAAUUUAUAAAUAGAAUAAAAUAUAGCUUCACAAGUCGCCAUAAAUAAAAUCUUGACCAAUCCGUGGAAGUGUAAAAUCCGAUUGCAAUAUGAAAUCACUAACCGAACAUUAGGUAAUCUGGUUUCUCCAUCUAUCUCAGCCACUUUCUUGCGUGGUGGAACAGAUAAUUAUUAAUCAUUAGAAUACAUAUAAGAAAAUGGCAAGGCCAGUGCUUCUUCUUUUUAUAGUGCUUCUUCUUUUUAUAGAAUAACAAUUGACUUCUCAACUGACCGUCUCUAGAACAAGUGGCAAAAGACUUGAUGGUUGAUAUCCGAUGUUUCAAGUUCAAAUUCUAGUUGAUUCACAUUUCCAGCUAAGUUUAUUUCUAAAUAAAAUAAAUGAAACAGGUAGCGUGCUAUCUAUGAUUUCUCAAAGAAAAAAACAAUAGACUUCUCAUAAAAUUCUAAUUAGAAUUUUGUUUAUUUUAAAUAAAUAAAAUAGAUAAGAUAUAUAUCAUAUUAAGCAGUUUUAUCAACUUUUAUUUUUAGUAAAUCAAUAUAUGAAUAUGAUUAAUAUUUGGAUGUUGAGUUUGAAUUCUAAUUUUUAAAAUUUCUUUCCAAAUCCGAUACAUCGACAUUCCUAAGCGUCGUCGCGGAGUAAGGAAAGAAAAGUUGCAGGGGCACAACAAAUAUACAAAAUUAAUUUGAGUACAUUUCUUUAGCUUAGGGAAUGGUGAUAUUAAAAUAGAAAAGUCAAAAUUUUAGGAAAAUCAUUUUGUGGACUUGGUGCCUCAUAAAUCUCAUACACCUUUCCAAAUCGGUCCUCUAAUAAUUUCAACGCAUAUUCUUAAUCUGAAUCAUCAAUCUUUUAAUAAUAAAAAUAAGUGAAAUUUUGGGUUAAAAGUAGAAAUAGAAUGAAGAAUGCUGCACAAAAAUAUGCAUACGCAUCGGGUGUAGACAAUACUGUUUUUUUUUUUUGAGAGAGAUAGGUAACAACACGCUACCUGCUUCGUUUAUUUCAUUUAGAAAUAAACUUAUCUGAAAAUGUGAAUCAAUUAGGAUUCGAACUUGAGACUUCGAGUACCAACCAUCAAGCCCUUUACUGCUUGCUUUAGGGACGGUCGGUGUGUAGGCAAUACUUUUGAUGAAAAUGUUGGCGAUUAGGGACAAGGCUGGGCGCAUGCUCACCCAGGCCCACCCUUGGCUCCGCCCGUGUCUGUCAUGCAUCCACCAACACUACUAAGCCACCGAUAAUGCAUCACUAAAAUAUUAAAAAUUUGAACCAAAAAUUAUAAUAAAUCAAAUGUUGAAUACCAUCGUCUCACAUAUAUGUACACCUUAGAGUUUGAACACCAAAAGUGUAAUUUAGCUAUUAAUUAUUUUAAUUUAAUUUAGUUUUACUAAUUGGUAUGGGCUAAAUAGCUAAAAGAUUUUUUUUUUCUUUUUGAGAAUCACAUCAUAAUAUGUUGCCCGCUACGUAUAUUUAUUUUAGAAAUAAACUUAGCUAAAAAUAUAAAUCAAUUAGUAUUCGAACUUGAAAUCUCGGAUACCAAUCACCAAAUUCUUUGUUACUUGCAUUAGGAAUGGUCGGUAGCUAAAAGAAUUAUUAAAUUUAGUAAUUUCUCAGUACAUUAGGAAAAUAACAUAACUCAAAAAGACUAUUAAAUUAAAAUUUGAAACUAAAUAAAUAAGAGGGUAGGGGAACUAUUUCAAAAUUGCCAAUGUUUGAUGGGCUCUCCAAAGUCGAAAAAUUUUCUUUUUUUUUUUUUUUCUUUUUUAAGGAAAAAGAAGCACACUACCAACCUUUCCAUACAAUUUAAUUUCACCAUGCAUGCAUAAGUAAUUAUAACAACACGCUUAUUUAUUAAUUCCCUUGCAAGUGGGGUUGUUGUUCGUUCAUAUUAUUAUCAAUUCCCGUGGAGUAAAGCAAACUCAAUUACGGACAUACAUAUAUUCGAAUCUAACGAACCGUGCUAAAAAAUUAUUAGUGCUUGGGCGGUACCCUACAACUACUACAGGAGUACGUUCGUGGGCCUAUGUUGCUUAUUUUUUACGUUUGCGACGAGCAAAACUCACCCCGGGAGAAAAAUGCGCAGCAGUCCCUAAAGAGUUUGAGUAUCGAGAUUCUAAACUUGGAUAUUACUUUACACGAGUAAUGCUGGUGGUGGAUAUACAACUCUUCCAUCUAAAGGUGAGGAUAUUGUCCACUAGUCAGAUGAUGUUACUAGUGGACAAUACCGCAUCCUUGGAUGAGUGGGGUGUAUCUUAUACAUCCCGGGAAGAAGCAUUUUUCCUACUUUACAGAUUAAAUGUUUCAGAAAUGUUUGAACUUUCAAUCUUUUACAUAUGACUGUACAAAUUUUAAAAGUUUCUUGUUUAACAUCCGAUCUUUUAAUUUUUUUUUUCAAAUUAGUAGUAUAAAUUUGUAGUUCGUUAAUUUAAAGUGACUAAUAUUUGAAAUGUCCGAAAUAUCCAAUAUCUCGUAUCUGCCAAUCUAGACUCGAUUUGGAUCCGAUUAAAAGUGAGCACUACGCAGGUAAAAAAGAUUUACCCAUUGAAGUUUCAAAUAUGCGUCCAAAUACCUUAUAUCAUACUCAAUUCGGAUCUGAACCUAAUCCUUUGGUGGGUAGAGUCCAAAUAGUUUCAUAUCCGAAUUCAGACCCAGACUCGUUAAAAUAACCGACCAUCAAAGUUAAAGCAAGGAGAAAAAAAAUGAAAAACUUGAUACUUUCUUUUCGCUAUAUUAUUUCGCACUUAUUGUAUAUGUGUUUUAACUAUAUAUUAUAGUAGGCAAAUGUGCUUUGAGCUUAUGAUAGAUACACAUACGGGUGCACGUUUUCGAUCUAGACCUGACCCGUAUUCGAUUCAUACUUGAUCUUAAGUAGGUAGUAUAUGGAUAAUCACUAUUCAGACUUGCUCAAAUGGAUAUAUAUAUAUAUAUAUAUAUAUAUAUAUAUAUAGAGAGAGAGAGAGAGAGAGAGAGAGAGAGAGAGAGACUCAUAAGUUGUUUUCGAUGAUAGAGCUUCCGAAUCGACGAUCCACUCCGUUAAAUAUGAUCUAGAAUAUUUGAAACUUCUAAAAAUAAAUUUCAUAAUUUUUCGAAAUCAUAAUAAAGUCCAUCAAGCGGGCAUAAAAUAGACGGUCAAAAUCGAACGACAUUCUAAAAAUGAUUGAUCGGAUCCUUUAAUUUAAGAUCGGAGUUAUUGAUCUUUAUCUAGAUAGUUAAUAGAAUUUUCUAUCAAAAAUUCAACAGAUUCUGAUUUUUUUAUACCGUCAAACUAGCAAGUAUCCCAUACCGGUCGUAAAAAUUGUCAAUUUUGAGAUGAUCGUAAGGUAAAUGAUGUCAAAAAAUUAUAAAAUUUGAUUUCUAGAAGUUUUAAAUAUUUUAAAUAAUGUUUAAUGGUAUGGAUCGUCGAUUCGGAAGCUCUAUCAUCGAAAAUGACUUAUGAGUACGAGGGUGAUCGUACUCACAAGAGUAUAAUAGCCGCACUGUCUCUCUCUCUAUAUAUAUAUACAUAUAUAGAACUAGGCUGGAAUGCAAUCAAUAACACCAAAUUGUUAGUGCUAUUAGGUUUUCUGCCUUUGGAUGAAGAAAUGUACGGUUAGGAUAAUGUGGGCCCUUGUCAUGCCCGGGCCGCGGAACCCUACACGGUACGUGCACAGACCCACCGUAUGCCUGGUGCAUAUAAGGCGUCUACAAUAAAAAUGUUAGAAGUAGCAAUAGAAAUCUAACAUGAUAUCAGAGCAUACAUGAUAAACUACUCACUAAGGCAAGUAAAAAGGAAACAACUAACUAACAUUAACAGUCUCAAAGAUAUACAUACAUCAAGUAGCCAAAGUAUAAAACUAUAUGUACAUGGUGGUCUCUAGACAUCAAGAACAAAACUCUCUCGCCAGCUACAUCAAAGGAAGAGGUGACCACCUAGCAGAAGCUCCAAACUAACUCUAACUAAAUGUGACCCCCUUGCCGCGAUCCCUAGCCUCUCCCGCUGUGAAUGGCUUUGAAAAUAAAAACAACAACAGUAUGGGAAUGAGAACUAUUGAACAAUAGUUCCCAGUGGGUAAGCCGCCAAUAUCAGCGAAUUACACCACUAGGUCACUAAGGAUAUAUAGUAAACAUAAGCAACAAAUGGCAUAGCAUGGAUAUUAAAUAAGUAAUGAAUUACUAAUACUAUUAUGGCUCUACAUCUACAUGUUAUAUCACAAGUAUGGACACUAUUCUAUCAUGAAUGAGCAUAUAAAUGAUAUGUCCAAUAAUGGCUAAAUUAUUUAUUUUGAUAUCUUCUUUUCAAUUUAACGAGGACCAACACAAAGUGUAGUCCGGCUUGCACCGUGCCUAAUGGCCCCGUGAUAGUCAACACUCCCCACGACAAUCCACUUCGGCGCCCAGUCCCACACGGCGAGCAUGAUGUCGCGCAGGCCAACUCCGGAGUGUCGGCUUGUGGGGAGCGACUCUCACAAGCUUGUGUGAAUGAGCAAAAUGGUAAGCAAACAUGAUCCACAAUAUAAAGUUCCCGAUCAUCAUGUCUAAAAUAUGAUAUAUCUACUAGCGACCCAAAGGUCGGAUUCUACAUCACAAUAUCGAGGUUUAGUUAUUUAACUAAGUCAUGUACCACAUCAUUAAGUCCAUACCAACUAUCUAUUAAAUUAUAUGAAUCCACAAUAUGUUUUGCCAUGUGGCAAGUUUUUCUUCACCUUCACCACCAUGUGAUUCUUUCCCUUCUCUCCAUCAAAUUUUUAAUUAACGUAUCUAAUUAAUACAUCUAAAAUGGCCUACUACUAAACUUCCAAUUAAUUUAUUUAAAUUCUCCAUUAAAUUUUUAAUUAACGUUUCUAAUUAAUACAUCUAAAAUGACCUACUACUAAACUUCCAAUUAAUGUAUUUAAAUGGUUCCCUAUCAAGUUUUUCUUCACCUUCACCACCAUGUGAUUCUUCCCCUUCUCUUCAUCAAAUUUUUAAUUAACGUAUCUAAUUAAUACAUCUAAAAUGGUGAUCUACUACUAAACUUCCAAUUAAUGUAUUUAAAUUCUCCAUUAAAUUUUUAAUUAACGUAUCUAAUUAAUACAUCUAAAAUGGCCCACUACUAAACUUUCAAUUAAUGUAUUUAAAUGUUCCCCCUGUCAUUUAUAAUUCUCAUCAUUUUAUUUCUAAUUAAUUUAUUACGAUCCUUCACUUUUCCUCCACAUGACUUCUAAUUAAUCCAUCUUCGCCAAGUUUAAUUUGUUUAUUUAUUUUAAUUAUUUUGUAUGUACAAUUUUGAAAUUAUCAAAAUAAAUCAAGAGGAAAAAAAAGAAUGCUCACGUAAUAUAGAAAAUUUUUUUUAAAGCAAAGUAGAUAGUAAUUUUAAUUGUUUCAUCAGAAAAAAUUUAAUUACUAACAUUAUUUUCUAUACACAUGUACUUUUCAAAAUUAUGUUCAUAAGAAGUUUUAAAAUAUUGCCUUAAAUAACUUGAAUGUGUACUCUUAUUUGCAGUUUAAUCCAGUCUUCUGAUUCCGAUGAAGAUGAGAAGUGAAGAUUUUUCCGGCAAAACUAUCAUAAGAUCUAAUUUCUAUAAUAUUUGAAAGAUAUUUGAAGGAUAAGUGUAAGAGACUUAUUUUAUUUUGAAUUUUAUAGCAUGAAGUUUAUAGUCUGAAUUUUAGAAUUUGGUAAAAUUCUAAAGUUUCUAGACACAAUUUAUUAAAGAAUAGUGAUGUUUUGGAGCCAUAUAACUUUCAUUCCAAAUUUUAUAAUUUAGAAAAAUUAGUAUUUAGGAUUCUAAAUAUAAUUUUAUUUUUUAAAAUUUUAAAUUUGGGAUUCUAUUAUCUACCCGCCGCAUCGCGCGGGUUUCUGCACUAGUUAUGAUAUAAUUGCCAUAUCCAACUUGCCUAUACAAGGAUACUAAACAUCAUGUAAGUAUGCUAACAAAUAUAUGCUAUACAAGUAUGCUAGCCAAAUUCAUUGAACAUCUCUCUACUACAUAGAAGUAUAGCUUUAACAUGUAUAAUAUGUAUGUUUUAAAUAUUCAAUAAUUUAUUUAUGCUAUAUCUAGCAUGAAUAUACAUGAAGUCCAUUUUUAAACAUCGAAAAUGACAUAGGAGGAGUUUACCCAUUUCGAUGAGGUCAAACCCACCGGAUACCCCUCGAACUCCUUUUGCUCGAGCGAAGAUAUCCUUUAGCCUCAAAGCAUCCUUUAGCCUCAAAGCACCCUAACAAACAUUCCAAAUGAAUUAGAAGCUUCUCAUAAGCCUCCCCACGAAAUUUUCCAAAACUAAACUCAAAUUCCACCAAUUCAACCAAAUUCACACACAAAACUUGCAAAUAAGUAACUAACCUUCCAAGAGCUUCAAACCAAGCCAACCUUGAGUUAGGGUUAGAGAUUUAUCCUCAAAAACACUCUUUUCUUCACUUCCAAAGCUUCUCCAAGGAUCACAAAACCAGAUUUCAUGGAAAAGAGAAGAAAAGAGAUAUCAAUUCCAUCAAUCUCCACUAAAAUUGGAAAAAAAUCUAGAGAGAGAAAGAGAAGGAGCUCACCAUAACUCUUCUCUGGUUCCAGCACGAAAGAAUAGCUGGGGGGGCUGUUGAGGAUAAACACUAGGCUCAAUUCCAAUUAUACCCCUAAACAACUCACAAUUAGCUGACUAAACAAAUAUCAAUUGCAGCAUUGAGUACCGGUACUCGAAUUGGAGUACCGGUACCCAGUGCUCAGUCUCGCAAAACUCGAGCGCUGGACAUUCGGAUUUAAUAAAGUGUACCGAUACCCGCCUGAUGUAGUAUCGGUACUCAGCACAAUACCGGUACUCACCAGCUCAGUACCGGUACUCAAUGCGCAGCUUCUCAAACCCGAGAGCAACACAUUCUGGCACCCUACAGGGUUCCCGUACCGCACUCAGGUACCGGUACUCGACACUCAAAACUUGCAAUUUGCAGAUUUUAAUGUUAAAAAUCCAUUCUCGCACUCGGGAGCUUAAGUAAAGGAUCGAUACACCAUCAUUGAUCCCCAAAAUGUCCAGAAUAGUUCAUAAUACUAUUAUUAUACUAUAACCUUUCAAUUUGCUAAAGUUCAGUGUACUACAUUAUCCCCUUCUGAAAAGGAGUUUCGUCCGCGAAACUAAAAAUCAAGUACCUCAAGAUUCCAUCUGAAAAAUAUGGGGAUAACACUUCUGGAGUGCACUUUCCAGCUCCCAAGUGGCUUCGAUUUCGAAACUUCUUCACCUCGCGAGCCAAAAUUCUCACAAAUUGCUCCUCGAAGCUUAAGUCCUCCCAUAGCUCCAAUGGUGUAGAAUCCAAAAUAUGAGCUGGAUUGAAUACAUACUUCCGGAGUGCAGAAAUAUGAAAUACAUUAUGUACUCCUAAUAGGUUCGGCGGUAAAGCAAGCCGAUAAGCUACCAGGCCUACACGCUCCAUAAUCUCAUAGGGUCCAAUAAAUCGAAAACUCAACUUUCCUCGAAUGGCAAACCUCUUAAUUCCUUUCGUCGGCCAGACUUUCAAAAAUACAUGAUCUCCAACUUGGAAUUCCAAUUCUCGUCGGCGCUUAUCCGCAUAACUCUUCUGCCUACUUUGAGCUGCAAUUAAUCGCUCUCAUGCAAGGCGAACCUUACUUUCAGCUUCCUGGAGCACAUAUGGACCCAAAAUCAGCUUUUCACCUACUUCACUCCAAUGAAGACAUGAUGUAUACUUCCUUCCAUAAAGGGUUUCAAAUAGUGUCAUCUUAAUGCUUACUUAAUAACUGUUGUUAUAAGAAAACUCUGCCAUAGGUAGAUAUUGAGGCCAUCCACCUUGGAAGCCCAUCACACAAGCCCAAAGCAUAUCUUCAAGAAUCUAGAUAGUACGCUCAGCUUGCCCAUCACUCUGAGGGUAGAAAGCAGUGCUGAAAUCUAGUUGAAUGCCUAAUGCAUCAUGCAAACUCUUCCAAAAAUGUGAUACAAAUCGAAAAUCUCGAUCCGAUACUAUAGAUGUAGGCACUUCAUAUAAUCGCACAAUUUCGUCACGGUACACUUGUGCGAGUCUCUCUCCCGUCCAAACAGUGUGAAUAGGAAUGAAAUAAGCAGAUUUCGUCAACCUAUACGAUCGCCCAAAUAACAUUAUAACCGGCUUAUGAACGAGGCAAGCCUAUAAUAAAAUCCGUAGAAAUAUUUUCUCAUUUCCACACGGGUAUAGAUAAACUCGGAAGCUUUCCCGCGGGUAGUCGAUGUUCAGCUUUUACCUGUUAACAAGUUAAACAUCGAGCUACAAAUUCUCCAACAUCAUUUUUCAUCCCAGGUCACCAAUACAAUAACUUCAAAUCUUUAUACAUCUUUUGUCACGCCCCGAGCUCCGCCAGUUUGGUCGGAUUCGAGCACAUGACAGACGCCGAACGGACAGUACCUCCCCUGUCCGCCCAAGGCUCCAACAACAAGUAUAUUACAAGCAAGUCAAAAGAGAAUUGCGGAAUAUACAAGGUUUGCACGAGGGCAAACAACAACCACAGUGAAAGCAUCGAAACUAAUUAAACAUCCAAUAUACAUAUCAUUUGAUUACAUUUGAAUCAAACACAAAUAGUCUAUUACAUACAUUUACAUCACGAUUUCUUUUAACCAAAAAGGCAAUUUAUAUCAUCUUUACAUUACAUCAUUUUCACCUUACUAUUUCAACAUACAAAAGUUGAGUACACCGAAUGUAGGGUAUGCCUAUAUAACUCCGAGGCCGCUAUCUACGGCGCGACCCCCUUGCCUCGAUCCUCCGCCGCCCCGCUCGCGUACGGAUCUGCAGGGUUAGUGGUAAUGAGAACUAGAACGAAGUUCCCAGUGGGUUCGGCCGCCGACCACGCCGAUUCGCCCACUAGGUCUAAUUCAGGCAUGUGUAUUUCAAUAAAGAAGAUUAACAAACCAACUCAUGCACUUCUAAUACAAUGUCUGUAAGAAAGCAAUCCACAGAUAGAUAUUCAUAUUCAAAUACAUGAUAAUUAUGCAUGCAUAUCCUUUUCACUUUCCUUUGGCCUUUAUCCAAUCAACCUGGGGUGCUCCUGGUUUACCCCAACUCACAGUCCACAUAUCCCGUCUAACGGGGGAGGCACAAGGCACUACCACCCAAAGGAUCUUCGCCAGGCACGUCCACCCGUGGUGCUUUUCUUCUCCGAAGUACACCGCUCGUGGAGGAGCGACCUCUCACUAGCCGGAACCAAUACAUGUGAGUAUGAUCUCAUCCUCAAAUUUGAGGAGGUAUGGCCAGCCUAUCACAAUUCUCACUGUCUCAACGCUGAUGAAUGGUUAAUACCUAUUCAUACUAUCAUUUGCCAAUGUCAUAGCGGUCCUGAUGCCACAAUACACAUGAUGUCACUUAGGUUAAACCUUGUCUAACUAUUCUCUUUUCGAUGCCAAUCGAGUCACUAAUGUCAAUGUCGCCUUUGUUUACUACGGUCACAGUCAUUUCUCACAUUCACAUGCAUAUAGGGUCUUUCGCUAUCUUUAUUCACACGGUUCUAUAUCAUUACAAUAAUCUUACGCAGAUAAUUGUUACAACCAACACAUGCCGUUCAUUACCCUACAUGCCAGAAUGUUAUAAUACCAACAUGUUCAAAGAAGGGACAUAGAUAUAGAAAGAGAUCCGGUGUUUCCGGAUAGCACCCCCCACCUUUAUGUGUCACAAGGAUGUCGUGGUUCAAAUUUCACGAUUUUAAACUUGUUCGCCGCGAGCUACGACGAUCUGUACUAUUUCUGCUUCUUUUUCCAAUAUUUUUGCGCACGCUCGUCGUAUCGCCGAACCGAGCGCACCGAUGCGUUCGUAGACCUACCAAUUAGGUUAAAAUGAGAUCAAAUCCAAGUUUGAACCUCAAAAUUACAAAACCCUAAAUAUAGCUCCUUGUACAAAGUUAUCUUCCCCAAUAUGGUCCCUACUCAUGAGAAACUUGGGGGAAAUACUCUAAUCCAUCUCCUAGAAGUAUACUAGAAGGAAAAAUCCAAACCCUAGCUCAAAACUCAUGAGAACUCACCUUUGGAGUCCAAAGCUUUCCUUCAAAAGCCUCGCCUACCUUGCUCUUCACCUUGGAGAGCUCCUUCUCCAAGCUUGCUCCUCUAAAUCCCCUUUUGGUCCAAGCCCUAGAGAGAGAGAGAGAGAAGAGAAGGAUUUUAGAGAGAGAGAGGGAAAGGUGUUGGUGUAGGAGUGAGAGCAAAUGAGCUCUCACUCAUGCCCUAGCCCAUAUAACCCCUCUCAUGACAUAUUUGCAUUUAAACCCCUCAACUUUUCAUCUUUGCAAACAGCCCUUACUAGGCAAUUUCAGGCUCGGGGACCGGUCUCUCCCUUCAGGGACCGGUUCCCGAGAGCUAUCCUGCACUCUGCACAACAGGGGACCGGUCUCCCCUGACGCAACCGGUCUCCCGGGACCGAUCUCCCGCCGAAGGACCGGUUCCCGAGAGCUCAGUUUCCAGGACUUAGCCGAUUUUUUCCUCUGCUCGGCUAAUCAACGUUCGGGAACCGGUCUCUCACCCAAGGGACCGGUCCCCGAGAGUAAAAAUUCUGAAAAUUCUCCAGGAUUGCAGUUUCACUCUCUCGGGUCCCUCAAUGCUCUACAUAUAGGCUCCAAUACACUUCUAGCCUAUAGUAGCUCACUCCCUUCCGCGUUCCGCUCAUUUCGACGGAACUCGGCACGACUUACGGGAAAGUGAUAUGUUAUAUUCCCCACCCCUUAAAAUUGUUUCGGCCGCGAAACUAAUUCAUUCGUAAUUCAAAAUCCAUACCUCAUCUUAGUUCCUCGAAAAGAUGAGGAUGACGCUCCUUCAUCACGUCCUCAAGCUCCCACGUCUCUUCCCGAUCGCCGUGUUCGCUCCAAUGGAUCUUAACAUACGGAAUUUCUCGAUCCCGUAGCUUUCGCACCUCCCGAUCAACAAUGUACGCCGGGAACUCCUCGUAAGUCAUAUCCUCUUAAAGCUCUAUCGGGAUAUACGAGAGAAUAUGCUCUGGAUCGUGAACGUACUUGCGGAGAUUGGAUACAUGAAACACAUCGUGCACCCCCGCAAGCCUCGGCGGUAAUGCUACCCUGUAGGCCACCGCGCCAAUCCUUUCCAAGAUCUCAGAGGGUCCAACAAAUCGGGGACUUAGCUUUCCCCGGACACCAAACCUCUUAACACCGCGCAUCGGCGAUACCUUUAAAAACACGCGGUCUCCAACCGCGAACUCAAUGUCCUUCCUUUGCUUGUCGGCAUAACUCUUGUGCCUCGACUGCGCCGUCGCUAAUCUUUGCCGGGCAAGACGAACUUUCUCCUCCGCCUCUCGAACAACUUCUGGGCCAAGAACAACUUUCUCGCCCACAUCGCUCCAAUGAAUUGGCGAGCGACACUUCUUUCCAUAAAGGGCUUCGAAUGGCGCCAUUGCAAUACUUUCUUGAUAGCUAUUGUUGUAUGCAAACUCCGCCAUCGAUAAGUAAUCGUGCCACCCUCCACGAUAGUCAAGCACACAUGCUCGCAACAUGUCCUCGAGUAUCUGGAUUGUUCUCUCAGAUUGUCCAUCACUCUGAGGAUGAAACGCCGUACUAAAAUCGAGCCGCGUGCCUAGAGCAUCCUGCAAGCUCCUCCAGAAAUGAGAAGUGAACCAGGGAUCUCGAUCUGAUACAAUCGACACAGGAACCCCAUGUAGUCUCACUAUCUCGUCCAAGUACGUCUGGGCCAACUUGUCUCCUGACCACGUGGUGUGGAUCGGCAAAAAGUGAGCCGAUUUCGUCAAACGGUCCACAACCACCCAUAUGGCGUCAUGUCCAGCUUGUGAUCGGGGUAGCCCGACCACAAAGUCCAUCGUGACAUCCUCCCACUUCCACACGGGGAUCGGUAGGCUCUGCAACUUUCCCGCGGGAAAACGACGCUCGGCUUUUACUUGUUGGCACAUNAGAGAGAGAGAGAGAGAAGAGAAGGAUUUUAGAGAGAGAGAGGGAAAGGUGUUGGUGUAGGAGUGAGAGCAAAUGAGCUCUCACUCAUGCCCUAGCCCAUAUAACCCCUCUCAUGACAUAUUUGCAUUUAAACCCCUCAACUUUUCAUCUUUGCAAACAGCCCUUACUAGGCAAUUUCAGGCUCGGGGACCGGUCUCUCCCUUCAGGGACCGGUUCCCGAGAGCUAUCCUGCACUCUGCACAACAGGGGACCGGUCUCCCCUGACGCAACCGGUCUCCCGGGACCGAUCUCCCGCCGAAGGACCGGUUCCCGAGAGCUCAGUUUCCAGGACUUAGCCGAUUUUUUCCUCUGCUCGGCUAAUCAACGUUCGGGAACCGGUCUCUCACCCAAGGGACCGGUCCCCGAGAGUAAAAAUUCUGAAAAUUCUCCAGGAUUGCAGUUUCACUCUCUCGGGUCCCUCAAUGCUCUACAUAUAGGCUCCAAUACACUUCUAGCCUAUAGUAGCUCACUCCCUUCCGCGUUCCGCUCAUUUCGACGGAACUCGGCACGACUUACGGGAAAGUGAUAUGUUAUAUUCCCCACCCCUUAAAAUUGUUUCGGCCGCGAAACUAAUUCAUUCGUAAUUCAAAAUCCAUACCUCAUCUUAGUUCCUCGAAAAGAUGAGGAUGACGCUCCUUCAUCACGUCCUCAAGCUCCCACGUCUCUUCCCGAUCGCCGUGUUCGCUCCAAUGGAUCUUAACAUACGGAAUUUCUCGAUCCCGUAGCUUUCGCACCUCCCGAUCAACAAUGUACGCCGGGAACUCCUCGUAAGUCAUAUCCUCUUAAAGCUCUAUCGGGAUAUACGAGAGAAUAUGCUCUGGAUCGUGAACGUACUUGCGGAGAUUGGAUACAUGAAACACAUCGUGCACCCCCGCAAGCCUCGGCGGUAAUGCUACCCUGUAGGCCACCGCGCCAAUCCUUUCCAAGAUCUCAGAGGGUCCAACAAAUCGGGGACUUAGCUUUCCCCGGACACCAAACCUCUUAACACCGCGCAUCGGCGAUACCUUUAAAAACACGCGGUCUCCAACCGCGAACUCAAUGUCCUUCCUUUGCUUGUCGGCAUAACUCUUGUGCCUCGACUGCGCCGUCGCUAAUCUUUGCCGGGCAAGACGAACUUUCUCCUCCGCCUCUCGAACAACUUCUGGGCCAAGAACAACUUUCUCGCCCACAUCGCUCCAAUGAAUUGGCGAGCGACACUUCUUUCCAUAAAGGGCUUCGAAUGGCGCCAUUGCAAUACUUUCUUGAUAGCUAUUGUUGUAUGCAAACUCCGCCAUCGAUAAGUAAUCGUGCCACCCUCCACGAUAGUCAAGCACACAUGCUCGCAACAUGUCCUCGAGUAUCUGGAUUGUUCUCUCAGAUUGUCCAUCACUCUGAGGAUGAAACGCCGUACUAAAAUCGAGCCGCGUGCCUAGAGCAUCCUGCAAGCUCCUCCAGAAAUGAGAAGUGAACCAGGGAUCUCGAUCUGAUACAAUCGACACAGGAACCCCAUGUAGUCUCACUAUCUCGUCCAAGUACGUCUGGGCCAACUUGUCUCCUGACCACGUGGUGUGGAUCGGCAAAAAGUGAGCCGAUUUCGUCAAACGGUCCACAACCACCCAUAUGGCGUCAUGUCCAGCUUGUGAUCGGGGUAGCCCGACCACAAAGUCCAUCGUGACAUCCUCCCACUUCCACACGGGGAUCGGUAGGCUCUGCAACUUUCCCGCGGGAAAACGACGCUCGGCUUUUACUUGUUGGCACAUCAAGCAUUGCGCCACGAAUUCUCCGAUGUCCUUCUUCAUAUCCGGCCACGAAUAUAACUUUAGAUCCUUGUACAUCUUAGUGCCGCCCGGGUGAAUACUAUACGGGGAAUGAUGCGCCUCUUGCAACACCAUCUUACGAAUCCUAUCGUCCUUGGGUACGCACAAUCGGUUUCUGAACCGAAGUGCACCGUCAGCUCCCACGCCGAAAUCACCGGCGCGCACGUUACUAACAUCAUUCCGCACCUUUUGGAGAUACGGAUCAUCAACUUGCCGCUCCUUGAUUUGCUCCAACAAGGUCGGUCGAACUACUAGUGCCGCCAAGAUAGUCGGAACUUCCGGCGCCAAUACCUCCAACCCAAACCGUUGCAUUUCCCUAUGCAAUGCCGGUUGAUUAGUAAUCGUCGUCGCCAAGUUCUCAACAGAUUUCCUACACGGCGCAUCGGCCACCACGUUGGCUUUACCAGGGUGGUACAGGAUAGUAAGAUCAUAAUCUUUUAUUAAUUCCAGCCACCGCCGCUGCCGCAUAUUCAACUCUUUCUGGGUGAACAAAUAUUUGAGGCUUUUGUGAUCAGUAUACACCUCACAAUGCUCACCAUAAAGAUAGUGCCUCCAAAGCUUCAGCGCGAAAACAACCGCCGCUAGCUCAAGAUCAUGUGUCGGAUAGUUCUUCUCAUAGCUUUCAACUGGCGCGAAGCAUAAGCAAUGACUCGCCCAUUUUGCAUAAGAACACACCCGAGACCGGUGUAGGAAGCAUCACUGUACACCACAAAGCUCUCUCUCGGCGUUGGCAAAGCAAGUACCGGGGUAGACGUCAAUUUCCUCUUUAGCUCUUAGAAGCUUCGGUCGCAACCUUCGCUCCAAUCAAACCUUACUCCUUUGUGCAUAAGGUGUGUGAGAGGAGUAGUCAACUUCGCAAACCCCUCGACAAAGCGCCGAUAAUAGCCUGCCAAUCCGAGAAAACUGCGGACUUCCGCUACACUCGUAGGACAAGGCCAAUCUCAAAUCGCCUCGAUUUUCUUCGGGUCCACCGAGAUUCCACUCCCGGAUAUCACAUGGCCUAAGAAGGUCACCUCCGAAAGCCAGAAUUCGCACUUCUUGAGCUUAGCAUAAAGCUUCUCAUCUUGGAGUAUUUGCAACACGGUCCUUACAUGUUCCUUAUGCUCUUCUUCACUCCGCGAAUACACCAACACGUCAUCGAUAAACACCACGACGCACUUAUCCAAAAUGGUCGAAAGACCCUGUUCAUCAAGUUCAUAAACGCUGCCGGGGCAUUGGUAAGCCCAAACGGCAUCACCGUAAACUCGUAGUGGCCAUACCGAGUACGGUACGCCGUUUUAUGCACGUCCUUCGGUCGGAUUUUCAACUGGUGAUAUCCCGACUGAAGAUCUAUUUUUGAAUAUACCCACGACCCCUGCAACUGAUCGAACAGUUCAUCUAUUCUUGGCAACGGGUACUUGUUCUUGAUCGUCACCUUGUUCAACUCCCGAUAAUCAACACAGAGUCGAAUGGUGCCGUCCUUCUUCUUCACAAACAACACUGGUGCUCCCACGGGGACACGCUUGGCUUCACGAAGCCUUUAUCGAGUAGGUCCUGCAACUGGGCCUUUAACUCUUUAAGCUCCACCGGUGCCAUCCUAUACGGAGCCUUUGAAACUGGCGCCGCACCGGGAAUCAAGUCAAUAACAAACUCGACUUCCCGAUCCGGUGGUAGUCCCGGUAGCUCCACCGGAAACACGUCCGGGUACUCACACACCACCCAAAUGUUCCCCAACUCUGGGUGGCCCUUUUGAGGGUCCACGAUGGUCGCCAAGUAAGCUUUGCAACCACCCUUGAUCAUCUUUUUCGCCCUCACCGUCGAUAUAGUCGCAACAAAGCGCGCCUUUACACUCCCGAUACUCAAACUCUACUUGACCAGGCUCACGAAAAGUGAUCACCCUACUGUCACAGUCGAUGCUGGCAUAGUAUUUGGAGAGCCAAUUAACUCCCAAGAUGACAUCAAAUCCCCAUAUCUGCUUAAGCACUAGCAAAUCCACCGGCAUAAUCCAGUCGCCGAUUUGAACCGGACAAGCUAGGCACUCGUCGUGGACUCUAAACGACUCGAGGGUGUAGAUAUCCUCGAACAACGCCUCCAUCGCAGAAAGCCACGCCUUCAUCAGCCAUGGGUCUUUCACAUCACCCAAAAAGGUCGGAGGGUUAAACCGUUUGAAGGCCGUCAACACCGCCAACGACAGCUCCUGCUCGGCUUCAAGUACCUCCGGAAUAGGAGCCGAAGAACCUGAAGCUAUCGGAGGAAUAACCAUCACCGGUGCCGCCGCCAUCGGCGUAGGUGCGACAGGUGCAGGCGGGUCCUGAGGUACAGGUGCAGCCGCCGCCGCCUGUCGAGCCACCAAUUCAUAGAGCCGUCCUAUCUGCUCCCCUUGCUAUCGCAUAGCCCCAACCAAAGCUGCUACUUGGGCCCGCAACUCGCGAACUUCAUCAGAUCCAACCUGCUCUGGCACCUCAUCAGGCGAUGCCGGAGCGGACCGACGGGUAUAGCGUCUCGGUGACAUCUGUCCUGAAACGAAACGCACACGUUAAUACUCGACACUCGAAACUUUUACUCGUUCCAAAUAACAACCCAAUCAAGCGAAAGCAAUCAAGCACGUCCAUUUUCUACUCUCGGCAUUAUGUAGUCGUCCGCCCCACAUAAUACCUCAAAAAGAAAACAGACGUUCCCUUGAAUCCAUCUCUAUUUCCAUUUAGAGAAGUUCUACUCAUAACCCAAUCAAUUAGCCUUCGCCUAUCCAAGUCCACGUUAUACGCGUCCUGAUUCCUAAGGUCUCCAAUCCUAAGGUCCCUAAGUCCAUUCUAGACUUUUGCUUUCACAUUGCUCUGAUACCACCAUAUCUGUCACGCCCCGAGCUCCGCCAGUUUGGUCGGAUUCGAGCACAUGACAGACGCCGAACGGACAUUACCUCCCCUGUCCGCCCAAGGCUCCAACAACAAGUAUAUUACAAGCAAGCCAAAAGAGAAUUGCGGAAUAUACAAGGUUUACACGAGGGCAAACAACAACCACAGUGAAAGCAUCGAAACUAAUUAAACAUCCAAUAUAUAUGUCAUUUGAUUACAUUUGAAUCAAACACAAGUAGUCUAUUACAUACAUUUACAUCACGAUUUCUUUUAACCAAAAAGGCAAUUUACAUCAUCUUUACAUUACAUCAUUUUCACUUUACUAUUUCAACAUACAAAAGUUGAGUACACCGAAUGUAGGGUAUGCCUAUAUAACUCCGAGGCCGCUAUCUACGGCGCGACCCCCUUGCCUCGAUCCUCCGCCGCCCCGCUCGCGUACGGAUCUGCAGGGUUAGUGGUAAUGAGAACUAGAACGAAGUUCCCAGUGGGUUCGGCCGCCGACCACGCCGAUUCGCCCACUAGGUCUAAUUCAGGCAUAUGUAUUUCAAUAAAGAAGAUUAACAAACCAACUAAUGCACUUCUAAUACAAUGCCUGCAAGAAAGCAAUCCACAGAUAGAUAUUCAUAUUCAAAUACAUGAUAAUUAUGCAUGCAUGUCCUUUUCACUUUCCUUUGGCCUUUGCCCAAUCAACCUGGGGUGCUCCUAGUUUACCCCAACUCACAGUCCACAUAUCCCGUCUAACGGGGGAGGCACAAGGCACUACCGCCCGAAGGAUCUUCGCCGGGCACGUCUACCUGUGGUGCUUUUCUUCUCCGGAGUACACCGCUCGUGGAGGAGCGACCUCUCACAAGCCGGAACCAAUACAUGUGAGUAUGAUCCCAUCCUCAAAUUUGAGGAGGUAUGGCCAGCCUAUCACAAUUCUCACUGUCUCAACGCUGAUGAAUGGUUAAUACCUAUUCAUACUAUCAUUUGCCAAUGUCAUAGCGGUCCUGAUGCCACAAUACACAUGAUGUCACUUAGGUUCAACCUUAUUUAACUAUUCUCUUUUCGAUGCCAAUUGAGUCACUAAUGUCAAUGUCGCCUUUGUUUACUACGGUCACAGUCAUUUCUCACAUUCACAUGCAUAUAGGGUCUUUCGCUAUCUUUAUUCACACGGUUCUAUAUCAUUACAAUAAUCUUAUGCAGAUAAUUGUUACAACCAACACAUGCCGUUCAUUACCCUAUAUGCCAGAAUGUUAUAAUAUCAACAUGCUCAAAGAAGGGACAUAGACAUAGAAAGAGAUCCGGUGUUUCCGGAUAGCACCCCCCACCUUUAUGUGUCACUAGGAUGCCGUGGUUCAGAUUUCACGAUUUUUAGACUUGUUCGUCGCGAGCUACGACGAUCUGUACUAUUUCUGCUUCUUUUUCCAAUAUCUUUGCGCACGCUCGUCGUAUCGCCGAACCGAGCGCACCAAUGCGUUCGUAGACCUACCAAUUAGGUUAAAAUGAGAUCAAAUUCAAGUUUGAACCUCAAAAUUACAAAACCCUAAAUAUAGGUCCUUGUACAAAGUUAUCUUCCCCAACAUGGUCCCUACUCAUGAGAAACUUGGGGAAAAUACUCUAAUCCAUCUCCUAGAAGUAUACUAGAAGGAAAAAUCCAAACCCUAGCUCAAAACUCAUGAGAACUCACCUUUGGAGUCCAAAGCUUUCCUUCAAAAGCCUCGCCUAGCUUGCUCUUCACCUUGGAGAGCUCCUUCUCCAAGCUUGCUCCUCUAAAUCCCCUCUUGGUCCAAGCCCUAGAGAGAGAGAGAGAGAGAAAAGAAGGAUUUUAGAGAGAGAGAGGGAAAGGUGUUGGUGUAAGAGUGAGAGCAAAUGAGCUCUCACUCAUGCCCUAGCCCAUAUAACCCCUCUCAUGCCAUAUUUGCAUUUAAACCCCUCAAUUUUUCAUCUUUGCAAACAGCCCUCACUGGGCAAUUUCGGGCUCGGGGACCGAUCUCUCCUUUCAGGGACCGAUUCCCGAGAGCUAUCUUGCACUCUGCGCAACAAGGGAUCGGUCUCCCCCUGACGCAACCCGUCUCCCGGGACCGGUCUCCCGCCGAAGGACCGGUUCCCAAGAGCUCAAUUUCCAGGACUUAGCCGAUUUUUUCCUCUGCUCGGCUAAUCAACGUUCGGGAACCGGUCUCUCACCCAAAGGACCGGUCCCCAAGAGUAAAAAUUCUGAAAAUUCUCCAGGAUUGCAGUUUCACUCUCUCGGGUCCCUCAAUACUCUACAAAUAGGCUCCAAUGCACUUCUAGCCUAUAGUAGCUCACUCCCUUCCGCGUUCCACUCAUUUCGACGGAACUCGGCACGACUUACGGGAAAGUGAUAUGUUACAUCUUUGUACCUCCUGGGUGUUGAGUAUAGGGUGCACGAUGAGCUUCUAUUAAAAUUCUCUAUUUAAUCCUUGCCUUUGUCGGCACACAAAUUCAAUUGCGGAAUCGCACCAAACCUUGAUCAUCCACAUGAAAGUCGUUGGCGUGUCCAUCAAUAAAUCUGGAUCGAAUCCUCUGCAAUUCUACAUCAUUAACUUGCUUUUCUUUGAUCCUUUCCAUCAAAGUAGGUUGCACCACCAAAGACAUUAACUGCAAAGCCGUGUCAGGCACUACUAUUUUCAAGUCCAACUGUUUCAUCCCCUGUAUCAACGGUGACUGCGAUACAACUAACAUUGCCAAAUUUUUCGUCGAUUUACAACUUACGGCAUCCGCCACCACAUUCGCUUUUUCCGGGUGAUAGAGAAUAGUCAGAUCAUAAUCCUUGAGUAGCUCCAACCAUUUGUGUUAUCUCAAGUUCAACUCCUUUUGGGUGAAAAGAUAUUUCAGGCUCUUAUGAUCAGUAUACACUUCACACCGCUCACCAUAAAAGUAGUGACGCCAUAACUUUAAUGCAAAACUACGGCUGCCAAUUUCAAAUCAUGUGUAGGGUAGUUCUUUUCAUAAUCCUUUAGUUAACGGGAAGCAUAUGCAAUCACCCUUCCGUUCUGCAUCAAAACGCAUCCCAAUCCAUUAAGCGAAGCAUCACUAUAAAUCACAUGCCCUACUCCAGCAACCGAUAAUGCCAAGAUCGGAGCGGUUGUCAACUGUUCUUUCAACUAUUGGAAGCUUCUUUCACAUAUAUCAUUCCACACAAACUUGGUGUCUUUAUGUGUAAGCCGCAUGAGGGGAGUAGAUAAUUGAGCAAAUCCCUCAACAAACCUCCAGUAGUAACCAGCUAGACCGAGAAAACUCCAAAUCUCGGCAACACUAGUCGGUCUAGGCCAAUAUUUGAUUGCUUCAAUCUUCUUAGGAUCCACGGCUAUACCUGCUUCUGAAAUCACAUGUCCCAAGAAUGCUACUUCGCAGAGCCAAAUUUCACACUUUUUCAACUUAGCAAAAAACUUCUUUUUCCAAAGUACUUGCAACACUUGUCUCAAAUGAUGUUCAUGCUCCUUAUCAUUUUGAGAAUACAUCAAAAUGUCAUCACUGAACACCACCUCAGGCUUGACACAUCCUCAGGCUUGAUCUUAAGCUGGUGAUAACCCGACUGCAAAUCGAUCUUAGAAUACACCUUUGAUCCUUGCAGUUGGUCGAACAAGUCGUCAAUCCUUGACAACGGAUACUUAUUUUUUAUUGUAACUUUAUUAAUCAUAUGAUAAUCCACACAUAAGCGAAAAGAUCCGUCUUUCUUCUUAACGAACAAAACCCGCGCUCCCCAAGGUGAUAUGCUCGGUCUAAUAAAACCUUUGUCCAACAGAUCCUAUAACUGUGCCCUUAGCUCCUUCAAUUCAGCUAGCACCAUCCUAUAGAGUGAAACCCUUCAUUUUCUUUGUUCCACCCGGAUCCAAACAAAGUUUGCUCCCACCUUGAUCUGUCUUGAGUGGAGCGAUAAAUAAAGACAAAAAAUAAAAUAAAAAUUAACACACUUUGAAUCUUUCCCCACUUACUAAGAAAAACAAACGCUGGGACAAGAAUUCGGGUUGAUAGAGCUUUCCGCCCCAAUCUUCUCUGAAUGAGACUCUUAAGUGAGGGCCAAAUAUAAGAACAAAAAAUCAUUCGAAAUCUAUCCCAAUCCGCUAAAAAAAUAACACGAGAGGCUGAAACCCCAUCAUUUUCUUGAUCCAUCCUGAUCUGCACAAAACCUGCUCCCACCUUGACCCAUCAAGGGUGGAGCAGUUAAUAAAAGCGAAAAAAAAUACAAUAAAAAUCAACACACUUCGAAUCUGUCCCCACCUGCCAAGGAAGACAGGGCGGGAGGUAGAGAUAUGCUGCAACUGUGCAUGCUCGAGUAGUUACAACACAAAACAAAUGCGAAUAAGUUGAGCGUUGUUUUCUCCAGCAAUCAAUAAAAAUCCAAAGGUACUGAAACCUGUUUUCCAAAGAAUGAAAUUCUAAACAACUCAUUUUUAUACCUUUGUUGCUUAAUUGGUCUUGCAAACAUCGAUAUGGACAAGAUCAGGCAAGUACUCAUCAAUUGGGUUCUCAUCUUUCCCCGGCUCUUCAGCGUCCAACACGCAGCAUGACUGUACCAACAAAGUUCCCUCAGAAAACCAAAGGGAGGUUUAAAAAAAAAAAAAAUCCUGUAUAGAUGCAUUAGCAUCUAGAAUAACUUGAGAGAUAUUCAAUUUUCAAGCAGUAGUUUACAAUACAUGCCAAUGGAAUCUGAUUUUUGCGGCAAAUGCUUAACAACCUUUUUUUUUAAUCAGGUAAACCAAUCAAAGUAUAGAAAAAUAUCACAAACAUUCCCAAUUUCCUGUGAAAUCCAAUAUGUUUAUAAUGGUGAUUUAAUACUUCUGUACACCGGAGUGAAUUAACAGUCACGAGAAGCAUUUACGGAAGAGACCUGGUGUUCCUCCAAAGCCAGUCCCGCACAGCGACGUUCACCAAAGGUGAAACCUGUCAUUUGGGAGGUACAAAUAGAUUUAGUCAUCAGGUCAAUGAAAUGGAUAAGAGGUAUGCACAGUAUUUUUCUCUUCCACCGUCACAUUAUUAACAGGUAAGGAAUAUUACCCAAGUUAUGUUUUCCAGCAGGUAACACAAAACACAUACAAAGAUACACAUCAUGUAUAUAGCAGGAAUGUUUUGCAUUCCUUGGCACAUCUAUAACUAUAUAUUAUUCCUCAAUAACUGCACACGUGUCGCGAGGAGGGCGAGGCGCGGGCACUAGGCGCGGGGGGCCGCGGGCGCUGGCGCAGGCAGAGCCGCGAGCGGGAGUGGGCGCGCGCCGGGCGCGAGUGCGGUGCGAGGCGGGCGCUGGGCGAAGCCGCGAGCGGGAGCGGGCGCGACGCGAGCGCUAGCAUGGCCGUGAGCCGACGUGGGGCACGNUAAUUUUAUUUAUAAAUAUAUAUAUAUAUAUUUAUUAUAUAUAUAAUUUUAUUUUAUAAAUAUAUAUUUAUUUAUUAUAUAUAGUAUUUUAUUUGUAUAUAGAUAUAUUAUUAUAUAAUUUACUAUUUAUUUUUAUAAAAUAUAAAAUAUAUAAAUAAAUGUUAAAUAAUUUAGACUACUGAUAUUGGAUAUAAAUAUUAUUUUUAUAAUAUUGAGCAUUCACAUAUAAAUUGUAUAUUAAAAAAUAAAAAAAAAUGAUACAGCUUAAGUUAAUUUUAUAUUUGACGAAAAUUAAUUGCAAGAAUCACAAAUAAUGAUUUCUCUUCUCAUUCACUAACUACUAGCGGACUACGAUACCUACUAAAAUUAUUUCACUAACUAAUGGGUGACUACUAUGCGUACUAAAAUUUUUUGAUGUACUUAUUGCACCAUUUAAAUUCUAAAAUUAAUUUUUUUAACUAAUUUUCAAAAUUAAAUUUUAAAAUAACUACAGCAUCGCGCGGGUCCCUUAACUAGUAACUAUAUAUUAUUCCUCAAUAACUGCACACGUGUCGCGAGGAGGGCGAGGCGCGGGGACUAGGCGCGGGUGGCUGCGGGCGCUGGCGCAGGCGGCCGCGGGCGCUGGCGCAGGCAGAGCCGCGAGCAGGAGUGGGCGCGCGCCGGGCGCGAGUGCAGUGCGAGGCAGGCGCUGGGCGAAGCUGCGAGCGGGAGCGGGCGCGACGCGAGCGCUAGCAUGGCCGUGAGCCGACGUGGGGCACGGCGCGGGGCGCGGCCGGGCGCGCGAGGGCUCGGCAUGGGGCGGCGCGGCGCGGGCCAUGGGCGGAGCCGAAAAAAAUCGGGGCUCACCGUGAUAGGGUGUUCACGGGGUCCACGAGGCAGAAGUGGCCUCGUGGACCACAUGAGAGGGAGGUCCACGGUGGACCUCCCUCGGUGGACCUCCCUCUCAUUCUUUAUAUAUAUAUAAUAUAUAUAUAAAGAAAUAUAUACAUAUAUAUAUAUAUAUANAUUUAUAAAUAUAUAUAUAUAUAUUAUAUAUAGUAUUUUAUUUUUAUAUAAAUAUAUUAUUAUAUAAUAAUUUAUUAUAUAAUUUACUAUUUAUUUUUAUAAAAUAUAAAAUAUAUAAAUAAAUGUUAAAUAAUUUUAACUAUUGGUAUUAGAUAUAAAUGUUAAUUUUAUAAUGUUGAGCAUUCACAUAUAAAUUGUAUAUUAAAAAAUAAAAAAAAAAAAUUUAACGCAACUUAAGUUAAUUUUAUAUUUGAUGAACUUUAAUUGCGAGAAUCACAAGCAAUAAUUUCUCUUCUCAUUCACUAACUACUGGAGUACUACGAUACCUACUAAAAAUUAUUUUACUAACUAAUGGGGGACUACCAUGCUUACGAAAAAUUUUUGAUGUACUUAUUUCACCAUUUAUUAUUUCUCAACUCCUUAGACAUGCGCAUAUAUAUACUUAUAGCACCAUUUAAAAUUAUUUCGUAAUUUGUCCGUAAUAUUCCAUAAUUAUUCUGAAAUUAAUUUUUAUAACUAAUUUUUAAAAUUAAAUUUUAAAAUAACUACCCGCAGCAUUGUGCGGGUCCCUUAACUAGUAUCAAGUAUAUAGCAUUAAUGCUUUAUGUUCCUUUAUUUUUGAACAAUGAUUAAUGCAUAGAUAAAAGAUCUUUAAGCAUUACAACGCUUUUCUGGAUCAUUUAGUUAUAAAGAUAAAAUUUAACAAAUCGUAUUAUCAAUUUUAACGGAAAAUAAGAGAUGCUUCUGUUUGGUACUCCUACGACACAAAAUGCAUCGCAUCACAAGCAUCAGAUCAUCUGGCCACUGCUGCCGUUUCCAAAAUAGCAUAGAGAGCUGUAUUGAUGCCACCAUGGUGACUACCAGCAGCAUAUGCCAUGCUAAAGCCAAACUGGCAUGGCUUCGCGCCAUCAGCAACUCGAUCCUUCGUUUCAAUGAAUUGAUUUAGGUUUCCAGUUACCAAACUUUUUCUGAACAAAAUAAGAAGUUCAGAUAUUUCGUACGACUUUACUUUGUUUUUUCCUCCCUUGAGCUUACAGAGUUCUAUGGUGAGGUGUUAAUGAGUUCUCACACGAAUGCAGAAGAUGAUUCUGAGAUUUAUCUUUUAUGAGAGAACUUUUAAAUCACAGAAAUGAGGUAUAUAAACCUUCAUAGGCGUAGUUUGAUAAUGUGGUGACUAAAAGCAAUAUUUUUAUACUACAAAAGGCCCAAAAUAUUUAAAAGCACUUACAAUCUUCCCUCCUCUAAUACCUUAAAAUUACAGUUGCAAUCGUCACCAGAGAAAAUAUACUGACAUGCUUCUCCGGUGUUGGUUGCAACUAUAAUUUUAUAAUAUAAAAAAAAGAUUGAAAGCGCUUUUAAAUUUUUUGAGUCUUCCACGGUAUAAAAUUGAUGCUUUUAGCCACCACAUUACCAAACAAGGCAUUAAUACAUAACAAUAAUACUCCAAAUUCCAGCCCACCCACCAAACACAAACACACAGAAAAAGCCCUAACCCGUAUUCAGGAUAUGGUAACUGACCUUUUCCCAAACUUGCGAAUGAUAAUCAUUUACCCACUUGAUCUCCAUAGGAGACAGCAGGGAUGUAUCAAUUAGUUUACUCUGCAAGGUAAUAGUAUAUAAGAACAAAUAAUUAGUGAACCCAAAAAGGAAGAAUUAAACUAUGAUAGUGCAGAAACAGAAAAAAUUCAGGAAUUUAAUGAUGACGAAAAUGCUACAUCAUUCUGAUUAGCUAUUUCCUAUUUCACAAGAGCUACCACAUUUUGCCAUUAAUCAAUCACUUUCACUAGUUACUGAUUAUAAUAUGAUUAGAUCACAUAAAAAUCCAAAUAAAAAUGCCAAGGACUUGGUUUAAUAAAAAGUAAAAAAAGUUUGGGAAAAGAGAGUCAGCUAGCAAGAGAGUGAUCGUCUAUAGAACAAGGUUAGUUGAUCCAUUAUUACAUAGGCACGUGGCACACAGUAUGCUGCAGUCUCGAAGCUUACAAUAACUUAAGGUUUGCCAUGGAGUUCAGAACUUUGUAAAUCUGGCACCCACAUACUAAAGAUUGCUUUUAAGACCAGUGUAACAUCAUUCAACUGUCACAGAGAACUAAGAAAGCAAAUAUAUAUGCCUUGUUUGGUAUUGUUAUCAUUUGUGCUUUUUAUAUGCACAAAUUCUAUGUAACAGAGUGUUUGAUUGGAUGGUAAAGUGGUUGCAGCCCAUACCUCUAAGGUGGUUUGCUUGGAAACAAAAACUAAAAGUUAGUAGUAGCUUGUUUUCUCUCCUAUAUCUUUAUUUGAAAAAAAAUGCCUUUUGAUAUCCUGCUAGGUUGCAUUGCAAGUUAGCCAAUGAUGCCAAGGUUAUGAAACUCCAUCCGCCAACACAUCAAACCACAUAGAAUUUUUGUUUGAAAAAAAAAAGGAUAACAACACCAAACAAGGCCUUAGUGUUGGAAUUUUCUUGUCCCUCGUGCAAACUUGACAUCGUAACAAGGGAAUUUAUGAUAGUCAAUAACAGAACAAUGCGGGACUUCAUUUUUUCUGUCAUGUUACACAAUAUAUGCCGUGUUAUUUUGUUCAAACAUGGUCACUUUGAAAGCAAAACUUACUCCAUAUGAAAAGAAGCAUGAAAGUUGUGAAAGUAAGAGCUUUCUAAGGACUUCAACCUCAGAAAGAACAGUUUUUGACAAUACGGACCUCUCCUUGCAUUAGGUCAAUGCAAAUGUGAGGUCCCAGGACGAUACACAUAACCUGACUGUUACUCGAGAGGUUGUUUAUAGGACUUGAACUGACACCACCAGAUCCAAACAUUAUACAAGCGAAAUGCAUCAAGAUGAAAAACUUAAUAUGCCUAAAUAUAAAUAUCUCAAAAUGAUUAGUUUAUAGAUUUACAAUGAAGCAACUUGUCAUGUGGCAUAAUCUGUACCAGCAUCAGGUUUGAUUCGCCAAAUAUAAGCUUGAAUCGAACUACGGUGUAUAUAAGCAAAAACAAAAGGAAAAAAAGGUUCAUAAGAGAGCACUACGCCAAUGAUAACAAUAUCUGAAUGGGUAUGAUUGCAAGGUCUAUGAAAAAUAUGCUAUCUCCCUCGGAAACAUGUGUUGACUAACCAAGCUACUUCAAGCAAAACCUAUGACUCAAAUUUUUUGAGGAAAAAGCCUUCAAUCUUCUCAAUGUUUAAUUACAAUGAAAUAAACUGUAGAGAUUCACUAAAAACUGAAUCUUGCGAUGAAUUACAAUGAAGUAUGCACAUGGCAAAGGAUGAGUAACAGAAGUCAUAGCAUACCUGAAUUGGGACAAAAGUGAGCUUCUCAAAACCAAGAAAUCCGAUGCCACCAUAAGAAUUUGGCAGAUCCACCUCUUUUACAAGAAGAAGAUUCUGAAAAGAUCAAGAAAAACAAAUGAAAAAAUAAAAAAACAAACAAAGAAAAUGAAUCAUCUUUAGUGUAGUAAAGACAUACAGAUAUUCGUGGCUAAGUUGACAAGUUUGCUCAAAACCAAUUAAAGCCAGAAUUAGAUCUUCAUUAAUGUUGCUUAUAUGUAAAGCGAGUAUUCCAAGAAACUUGCAGAACCAGAAUUGUAACAGUAAAGGAAACCUAUAUGAUUGAUAUUAGUGAAAGGGUUAAUGAACAUAUGACAUCUUCCUAGAAGCUAAAAUAGUUGCAAACAGCAUGAAUGUAAAUAGAAGGUUUUGCAUGCUGGCAUAUCGACAAGCCUUGUACUAUAUUUUGAACAAAUCACAUGAAUGAAAAACACUCCCAAAUUCAAAGACAAUAAAUUAAAAGUCAACAAAGGAUAUUUGAAAUGAUAUCAAGCUGUUUGUUGGCCACACGCCACCAACCAACACUAUAUGUAACCACAAAUAGUACCACCAAAAACAUGUAAGAAUUUCCAAUUAUUUAUCAUGUUAGAAUUCCCAAUUAUUUCAUAUUGUUUCAAUUUUACUCUUCAUCCCAAUCUCUACAAUCUUCCAUCGCUAAAGCAAUCAUCAUAUCUAACUACUCUAUUUCUAAUCUUCUUUCAACCUUCCCUCUCCCCCUGGUGCACCUAAUGUACACUUGAAUUAUUGCUCCCAGUUCACAUGCUGCUACAUGGUCUUCAUUGAACAUGUCUAGGGGUGUAAAACGGGCCGUGCGGCUGGCCCGGCACGACUAUUGUAGCACCAGUGCCGGGCCGGGCUCCACGGGCCAUGCUGGGCCGAGCUUCUGCAGCCCGUAGGCCCGGCACAACACAGCCCAUGUCGGGCUUGGAAGGUCAGCCCGCAGCCCAGCACGGCACGAGCUAGGUACUUAUAAGGCCCUAGGCCUAACAAAGCCAAGCCUAUAUAAGCUAGGCCUGCCCAGCAGCCCUUUAGGGCCUUUACUAAGUGACCAAGUCCAACUAUCCAAGGGUCUGGUAGACCCUUGGACAGUGGGCCCAACAGCUCAAUAGCCGUUGGGUGCUCUUUUUUUUUGAAAAAAUACUUUUUUAUUAUUUUUUUUAAAAAAGGUAAAAAAUAAAAAAAAAAUAUUUCUUUGCUCAAAAUGACCACAAUGCCCUCACUAACAUUCAAAAUAUUGACUGUUAGAGAGGGCAUUUUAGUCAAAAGUUAAAAAAUAUUUUUAUAUUUAUUAAAAAAAUUAAAACCAUUUUUUACAUCUAUAAAUACUACUACAAACAUCCAAAUUCAUCACACCAAAAACUCUUCAUUCAUUUUCUUCUACAAACACUAAUUCUACUCUUCAACUUUCAAUCUAAGUAUUUUCUCUAAACUCUCAAGUUUACUUUCCAAAUAUUUUUAAUAUUUUCCAAUAAUUUUUUUUACGAAGUCUCUCCACAAUCUCACCACACAAUUUCAAUUUCAACACAAUAAUUAAUGUCUUAUUUUUUAUUUUUUUAUUUUUUUAAUAUUUUCAUUUAAUUAUUUUUAGUAUUAUUGUGUUUAUUUUUUAUAACAAUGUCGGGUGAAUUUUCUCGUGUAGAUUUUUUUUGCACUGAUUAUACUCUUGAAUAUUAUGUUAGUAAUCAAUCAGAAACUGGAACUGGUGGUCCUACACAAGGUGACGACGGCUCGCAACCUAAAUCAAAUUUAGACGCAAGUUCUAAAAAAAAGGUCUAAACGAAAAACAAGCGAAGUAUGGAAGUACUUCAAUAUCAAAGAAAUUGAAGGACAAGGCAUGCAAGCUGUUUGUACUAUAUGUGGUGUUUAUUAUUCUUGUGAUAAUUCCGGCGGAACAGGUCACCUUAACAGACAUAUUCAGAAACAUCAGGUAAAAGAAGGUAAAGAGACGAAAAAAUACAACUUGCUUUUACUUCAAGUGGAGUUAGUACAUUUCAAUAUUCUCAUAAACAUAAUAGAAGAGAACUUACAUUAUAUAUUGUAGGAGCUGAAAUUUUCCAUGGAUUUACCUAGGUUGGUUUGUCAACCAUAUACAUUUGCCGAAUGUCCAUAUUUUGAACACUAUAUGAAAACAGCUUUGAAUCAUGCAUAUAAAAAAAACUUCUAGAAAUACUAGUCGCAAAGACUCAAUAAAAGCAUUUCUUGAAUAUAGACAAAAUUUGAUUUCAAUUUUAGAAAAUUUGAAGUCAAAAAUUUCACUCACUUUCGAUAUUUGGACAUCAAGAAAUGAACGUAGUUUUAUAUGUAUUACUACACAUUGGAUUGAUUCUAAUUGGAUAUUACAAAAACGAAUUAUUGGUUUUCAAGAACUUGAGUUUCCCCAUACUGAUAUUCAAAUUGCUCAGGCUAUUGAAAAUAUUUUGCAAAUGUAUAACCAAGGAUUAAAGUGCCCAUCGGCAUGGGCCGUAUCCAUCGUGUCGUUUCGUGCCGGCAAGAUAUCGGCACGAUACAGCCCCCGUGCCGAUGGCAUAACUCAAAACCCUCUAUUCUUGAAAUUAGUAGGUAAUUUUCUCAACAAAUUUCAAAAGAUUUGAUUAAAAAUACAUAAUAAAUAAUCGGCAUAUUUUGUUCCUAAAGAAAAUAAAUAUUUCAUGCCAUUACGUGUCAGCACACAUAUUUUUUUGAUCGGCACGCAUCAGCACGGCCCGCUCGGCAUGCACCGUACUAGGCCGUCCUGGCAAGUUUCCGGCACGAUCCCGUGCCACGGCACUUUAAUUCUUGAUGUAGACAAUUAGGCCAAAGUAUAAAAAAUUUACUAUUGAUAUUCAAUACCGAUGGAAUUCCACAUAUAAAAUAUUGCAAUAUUGUUAUGAGUAUAGAAAUGUUUUAUCUAUUUUUGGUAAUGAGAAAAUGCAGCAUAAUCCCAUAACUAAUGAAGAAUGAAACAUUGAACAAAUUCUUAUGACUUUUUUGCAACCAUUCUAUAAGUCAACCAAACUUUUGUCAGGUGUGUAUUAUCUUACUUCAUGCUAUUUUCUUAAUCAAAUUUUACUUAUGAGUAGUCAUUGUGCUGAAUAUAAGAAUUCUCCUCUUUUAGGUCAAAUUGUUUUUAUGAUGAAAUCUAAAUUUAAAGAAUAUUGCGAAGAAAUUCCUAUUGUACCUCUUUUGCCUCUGCAAUGGAUUCUAGAAUUAAAUUAAAUGGAGUAGAAAUUGCUCUUACACAAUAUAAUGAAUAUUUAGAAACUAAUUCAACAAAUUAUUCAAAUAGGGUAAAUAUUUUUCAAAUAUUAAAUAGUACUUUAUGUGAAAUGUGUAGUGUUUAUGCAACUGCUUCAGGUAGUAAGCGACCAUAUUCUUCACAGUUACAAAGCAACAGCGGUCGUAGCAGACUAGCAGUGGUAAAACUAGUAAAAAUAUGACUUUAUCUUUAUUAAGAAAACAAAAACAAACGGAUUUUAGUGCACCUUUAAUGAACUUCAGUUUUACUUGCAAGCCAAUUUUUCAAAUCUUUUUAAUGAAAAUGAAAAGGAUAAAUUAGAUAUUUUAGCCUGCUGAAAAACACAUGAAAGUACAGAUCUUGUGCUUUCUGCCAUGACACGUGAUCUACUAACUGUGCAGGUUUCAACAGUAGCAUCCAAGUCUGCUUGUAAUGCAGGUGGAAGAAUAUUAGAUGAUUAUAGAACCGGGCUUAAGGAGGAUGCGAUUGAGGUUUUAGUCUGCUUAAAAGAUUGGCGAGCUGCAGAAUUAAAAAUCUAUAAACUCUUAUUAAUCUCCAUAAUUUUGUCCACGUGGCAAACUUACCUUAACUAUUGGCUACGGGGCCCACUUCCUUUAUUACUCGUCUCCUUUUCUUGAACUUGCCUUCUUUUAAAGAUCGUGUCAUUUUUCCUUUGGUCUAUUCGAUAGAAGAGAAUUUUCAGAGACUUUGUGGUUCUCCAUUCCGUCUGUUCCGUGCUUUUCUCCUAGACUCAUCAAAAUCUAAUUGAAAUCCCACUCCUCUUUUACCUAUACUCCUUACAAGUUCUCUCCCCCUUCUCUCACCCCACUCCCCUCAGCGCAGUGGUGGUGCAACUGAGAUCGAGACCGGAAACACGACAGGGAGCGGGACCAUUUUCCCUUUCUUAGCCUUUCCCUCCCCAGUCUCUCUUAAGAUCGUGAAGGAUUAAUCGAAGAGGGAGAAGAAGUGAUCAAGAUCAAACAUAUUGAUAGGUACGAAGACCAAUCCCUAAUCGAGUUUGAUUUCAUCGAUCAAUUGGUGUAGAUCCCAAUUUCGGGAGCACGAUUAUGUACGGAUCUUACUAAUUCGAGAUAUUCUACUCCAACAAAAAUUUAUCCGUCGCAUCACGUGGGUCCCUACACUAGUACAAGAUAAAGAAGGUCAUGAGUUUACAUCUUCAGAUGAAAUAGAAUCAACUACCUAAAAAUAUACCAACACUUGUUAGUGCAAUCGCCCUGAUCUCCUCGCUAUUGCCUAUUAGUCGUUGCGCAUCUUCUUUUUUAUUUGGUACCUCUCUUCAGUAGAUGCCUUUUUUUUAAGUAAAAAAAUGAUGUAAUGAAGAAAAAAAUUAUGUUGGAUUUUUUUCUCUAUUGUUGCUAAUUAGUUGUAUAAACAAUACCAUUUUAUUUUAAAUAUAUUUUUGAUUUUUUAAAUUUUUGUACUUUUCUCUAAUGUAAUUAUAUAAUAUGAUUAAUUCAACUUUUAUAUAUUUUUUGUAAUUUUUUUUCGAAUAUCAAUUUCUUUUCAAAUAAUAAAAAAUUAUGAAAAAAACUAAUAUUAAUUUUACAUUAAAAAGUUAAAUUUAUUUUUUGUGUUUUAGUUUUUUUUAAUUUAUAAAAUUUUUAAAAGAGUUUUAAAAAGGUUGGAUAUAAUUGUGUAAAUUAAAAACUAUAAGUCAAAAGAUUAUAAUUUAAACUCUUUUUCUUAAAAAAUAAUUUUAAAAAAGUACAAAAAAGGACGAUUGAGAAUAAAUAGAGGGAAAAUACCUAUUAGACUAUUACCGGGCUGGCAUGAAGCCCGGCUCGGCCCGACACGGGUGGGCCAGGGGCCGGGCCAGGCCUUCUCCUCUAAGAAAACGGGCCGGCACAGCCCAACCCAGAUUUGUAAGCAUGUUGGGCCGGGCCUACCCUUGGCCUGAAUCAACUUGGGUAAUGUGGGUCGUGCCAGCCCUAAACAUGUCCAAACAGUAUGAAACAAUUUUCCCACACAUGUUUAAUCAGAGUUACUCCCAGCGAGUCACGAAUAUAGUGACAAUGCCAUUGAGAGAAACACCCUGAUCAAACAGUAACCUAAAAUACUCAGGGCUCCAAGCAACCUACCUGACCCAAUGAACUAACAAGGUCUGAACUAAACGUGGCACCUCCGAAAUUAGGUAGGAUCAGGCUCAGAUUCUAUAAUAUUGUUCUCUCCAAAUGUGACAUUGCCACUUCCAUCUUAACUAGUACUAAACAAACCAACAUCAAUUUCCUCAUCUUUCCUUCUCUCUUGAUCUCUCUUUGUUUAUUACCCUCCCAUAUUCCAAAUAGUCUUUGUUUUCUAGAAUUUCUCCUCCACUUAUAGGCCAAAAAGAGAGCCUAACUUGCUUGAUAGAAUCACAAGUUAGGUAUUUAACAAAACUGAACUUGUGUUCUUAUCAAUAAAUUGAAAAUUUUGUAUUUGACGUCUACCUCACCACAAGUUCAGCCAUAUAGCUAGCAAACAACUCAAUAUGUUUCAAUGCAAUAGACCAUUUUCUAUCUUCAAGGUUUUGUCUUCUAACACAUUUCAAAUUCUUGCCACAAAAUAAGAGGGUAAAUUUUCAAGCUUAUCUAUCCACUGAGCAAAAAUUUUCUUCAUAAGUUUCCUACUUACAAAAAAAAAACAUAUGGUUUUCCUUAUUGGCAAACCAAUUGAUUGAACAAAAUUAACCUAAAUCAGAGGAAAGGUACCAAUAAGAAAGUUAAGGAUAAAAUUAUCAUGUAUAGGCAGUGGAAUCAGUAAUAGAACUUAUCAUCUGUAUUUGCUUCUUUCUGAUGAAGAUAUAAUCCAUGUAGAGCUGCAUUAUCUUUUCCUAUGUGUAAAACCAUGUAACACAAUCCAGACAGACUACAAGUGUAAAAAAUAUAUAUAUAUAUAAAGCUAACCUCAAUGCGAAUACCAAAUGAAUGGUCUUCGUAAUAGCCAGGUUCAUUGCUUACAAUCAUACCGUUUUGCAAAGCUGUCAAAUUUCCAAAACGGAAGCUUAUACUUUGUGGGCCCUCAUGGACAUUUAGCGCAGCACCAACACCAUGACCAGUCCCUUCAAAAAAUAAAAGAGAAACCUGACUGUAGAUAAUGUAUCGGCUUCUGCAAGGCCAUAUGAAAAUGCUUCAUAAUAAUUAUCCAAUGACUGAAACAGAAAACUACCAUGCCUAUAAUCAAGCCCAACUUUCCAAAGAGAAGAUCGUGCGAGUACAUCAAGUACAAAACCAGGCAUCCUCUCAGGGAAAAUAGCCUGAUCAAGAGCUAUAUGACCCUGCAUGAACAAGAGCUAACAGCUUAUCUAGAGCAUAAAUCAUAAAGGAGAGCAACGAAAGAACCUAGUAAGAUUCUAUAGGUAUCUUAGAAUAAAGAAAGAAAAUUAGGAUAACAAAAUCCAAAAGAAACACUUUAAUGUAAGAUAGGUCAAAUAAAUGGUGGCCAGAAGAUAUAUAACAAAGCUUCAGACAAAAAUAACACCUGUAAGACUCUUGUGAAGCAUUCCUUUUGCCACGCAGAAGGCUCGCCAAAAUGUACCGUCCUUGUUAUGUCAGUGGUGCCAUCAACAUACUGACCACCACUGUCUAACAGAAAGAGAUUGUCGGUACCAACAAAACUACAACUGUCUGAAGUUGGCUUAUAGUGUAUAACAGCACCAUUCGCACCAUAACCUGAAAAACCAAUCGAUUGUUCAUUUAAUGGGACAGGAAUUAUUUCGACAUUUAUCCACUUAAAACUUACUAGAUGGAUCAAAAGUAAAAGCAAAAGAUUCAAUAAUCUGUAGAUAAGAAAUACAGCAAUUCCUACUGUGAUACAACAAAAGAAAUGGAAAUUGUUGGAACACAAUAACUCAAAUCCAAAAGGAGCUCUAACCAAUCAUAUGAUUCAUACUAGUUUCCUCCACUAAACAAGAACAGGAAAGUUGUCCUGGAAAGUGAAUUACCACAGCAUCCCCAUUGAUUAUGAGCUAUAAAGUGCCGUUAAUAUCACUUUGAGAUUGAUAUGUCAUGGUGAAUCUGAGUAAAGAACUAUCAUUUGUAGUAAGCUAAAAGCAACAUAGCAAUCUUUCUUCCUAGUGCAAAACCAAGAGUAUCGAGGUUGUCAAGUUAGGCAGGUAAUCCCUAAUGGAGGGACCCUUUAAAUGCUUAGAGAUUAAGGAAGACCAUCAAAUAACCUGAGGUAUCAAGAAAUAUAUCUAACAAAUAUCUCCAGAAAAGGUCAAAAAAAAAUAUAGUAUUUCCAAGUUGCCUGAAUUUAAGCAGUUGUAUACAUAUUAUAUGACCACAAUACCACUACAAAAUCACUUCAUAGUGCAACUUCUCAACAUUUCAAAUCAAUUCUAAGAAACAAUAUAUAAGAGAUAAGUUACAAAGUUUACAUUACAACAAAACAAACCCGAAUCUCAUGGCCAGAUAUAAUGAUAUAUAUUAUUCAAAAGAUUUUUCAUCUUCAAUUAAUCAACCUCUAUUGCUCAUACUGUAGUUAUCCUUGGCAAGUUAUCAUAAACCAUAUUUUCAACACCAAACUAAUAUAUUGUUAAAUGAACCAAAGACUAGGGCCUCAUUUGGAUUCCAUAUUUUUGUUUUUGUAAGCACAAAUUAUAUGUUAUUGGAUAUCCUAGUGAAUGAACUUCUCUAUUGUUUAUCACCAGUUAUCUUCAAAUACGCCCCAGCCGGUUGCAAAAUGGCAUACUUUUUCCAUGAAACAAAGUGAAAAAAAAAAAGUAACUAUUAAGCCUCGUAUGGUGUUGUUGCUGGUCUUUUUUUUUCUAUAUGAAAAUUCUGUGGUUGAAUGUGCCGGGGGUGGACUUCCCAGCCGGAUGCCAAAGGACAUCUUCUUCAUAAAAACAAAGAAGCUAAAAAUGUUACUACUAACUUUUUUGCAUUUUGUUGUCAAUAAAGCUGGCAGAUGUAUAUACUGUCAGCAUUUUAAAAUCGGCCCACACACUCCAUCACAUCAAAUUGGUGUUCCAAAAAUGAAAAAACCACAAAAGUACCAGAAAAGCCACCAAGUUUUUCCUUUUUGUUCCCAAAUAUAACCCUUGGAGGUAUGGAAUGCAAGCAAUCCUCUAUGCACCCGCUCGCUUCAUUACAUAAUUUGUGUUUUAAAAAAAAAAAAGAAAAAGGAAUGACAACAGUACCGAAGUAGGCUUUAAUUUUGUAAAGGGAAAAAAUAAGCCAUUUGGUUGGGCAGGCGGUCACUUAGGUAGGCUAGAUGAUGCUUCGGCAAGUGCUUAAUAUGCGAGGCGCCCAGUGUAUUUAAAAGUGCCUAGGAUGCUAUGCCUAUGCGCCACAGUUUGUUCUAAAUUGAAGACAAUGAAAACAUGUAAUUACUCAAAUGUAAGGUUGUUCCCUAAACUCAAGAUAUCAGCAACUAUACAAAGAGCUUGACUAAAAUUUAUUAAGAAAGAUCUCUCAACAGGUGAUGUUAUCUUGACUGAAAUUUAUUAAGAAAGACCUCUCAACAGGUGAUGUUAUUCCGAUUUAGUAUAGAAAAAGUGUACCAAACAGAAACAUAAAACACCAUUAAAGAAUAUACCGCUAAUAGUGUCAAAGCUAGUAUCGAUAAAGCCCUCCUGCUGUUUACGAAAUUCGAAUAGUUUAUCAGCAACUGCUACUUCUGUAAGCGUCAGAUUGUUCUUAACUUCCUGUUCCAUCCAGCACCAAAACUCUGAUAAAGCAGCAGCAUCUCUGCAACAUUUGGUAACGUUAUCUAUCUUUUCACCUUUAUGACACUAUAUUAAAGACCAAAAUGACAAUGGAAUGUGACUGAUCACGAUAAAUGUCAAAAAACACAGGCCGGAUAAUUACAUAGUCGAUACAUCAGAUAAGUUGAAGUUAGCAAGUAUAAAAUUAUCUUAUGAGAAAAAUAGCGAAAUUCCAUUGUACUAAGCCAGCAUUACUGUGAAUUCUUGAAUAAAAUGUUAAUUCAUUAAAACCUGGCUGCUAAGUAAAGCAUCACUUCAAAAUUUAGCCAUUAGAUCAUAAAAUAGAUUUCAAGUUAAACUAAAACUCUAAUGAACUAAUUAAUGAUGAGAGUGCUUCGCAUUCCAUUAAGAUUUGCAAAUAAAUAUAAAUGCCAUUUAGGAGAACGCUACAACUAGCACUUGCUCAUUAUUUACUAAUACGACCAUUAUCCAUACGCAAAUAGUUGCAUAUUGUGUUCCUAGAGUCUCAAAUAGGUUCAUUAUAACAUGAAGAACUACUCAUUUAUGUAGACAAACUAAGUAUCACUAAUAUUUCAACACAAUGUCUUCAUAAAUUUAACAUCUACUAAGAUUGACAGCGAAACUUACACGGCAAAUUAAAUAAAUAAAUAAAUGCUAUUUUUCUAUCAUCUUUGCUCUCGAUCUCUUCUUUCAGCUCUUAGUAGAUGUUAAAUUUAUGAAGACAUUGUGUUGAAAUAUUAGUGAUACUUAGUUUNAAAUAAAUAAAUAAAUGCUAUUUUUCUAUCAUCUUUGCUCUCGAUCUCUUCUUUCAGCUCUUAGGAUAUAUAUAACAAGAAUACAAGUUUAGAAGAAAAAAAAGGAAAAAGAAAAGAACAGAAAAGCUAAAAAAAAUUUUCUUCCCAAAGAUCAGCACCCUUCAGAAAUCAUCUUGCCAACUCUGCAAGAGUGAAAAAUGACGCAUAGCAACUUGUUACAGCAAUCACCUAAUAAGAGCAAGUGCACAGUAGCUGCCAAUUAUUCCAACAUGAAGACUAACAAAAUACAUGCUUAUAUCAUUGUAUGUUUAUCACUACAUAUAUAACUGUGUAAACAACUAGCGCACACUUUCAGACCUUAAGUUCCUUUAAGGACUUUAUGAGCACCUGAGUUUAAAUUCUCCUCACAUAAUUUGCACUCUACAAGUAAAACCAUUAGAAAUAUAGCAAUUCACAGAUAAAUAUUAGGUUACCUUAAAUGUGAAUUCUUCAUUCCCUCAAUCUCUGCCUUGUUUUUCACUGCUUUAGCAAUGGCAACAGGGGAAACUUUGUACAAGCCAUUAGGUAUUCCAUUCCGAAUAUCUUCACUCUUGAUUGAUAUCAAAUCUGAAGAUGCUCCAUUGUUGAGUUGCUUUCUUGAUUUUGUUGCAAGUCUUGUAAAAUGUCUCUCACAGGCAGAUCUAAAUAUACUAACAAUUGCAGCAUUUACACAUGAUGUGUCCAGCCAGAGCUUCGCACCUUUUGCUGCUAAGCUGUAGAAUGGUGCACUUAAGAAAAAAAGAUAAUACAAAGGAGGUGAUAUCAAAGAGCAGAGCUGAAAGCUAACAAAUGCAAUUGUUGAAGAAUGUACCCGACCCAAUCAAAUGAUCAAAUCAAACCAAUUGACCUUGCAUGACAUUGCCUUAUUUGGAGCAUAAAAUUACUCAUGAAUCUAUGUUUUGAAAAUUUUAUUUUAGUAGGAUAUGAGAGCAAUCAAUGUUUGGAGAAUUUUCAAAAACAUGUAGGAAGAGCACCACACAGAGUACUUAUUUCAGGACAAAAGAAGAUGCUUACGCAGUUGUUUACAAAGUAAAUUGUGUUCUAGACAAUCUUAUCAAAUGUAUCUGAAAUGGGAGACAAUUUUACAUAUUUAGUUAUAGGGUAUAGAAGGAAACUACUAAUAGGGGGGAAAAAGAAAAAGUUGCAACACAUAAACUAUCUAAGAGAAAACAGGAGAUUUACAAACUUAAAUAUAAAUGAAACAUUAGAUACAUUUUAGACAAAGCAGGGAAAUUCUGAAAAAGAGUCUCAUGCAUUGCAACUAUGUCAUCACCUUUCUACUUCUGAUAAAAUUUCUUCAUAUGGUUUCAACUCUACUCCAGCACUUUUCAGGUGAUCCAGUACUCCAGGGGUAACUUUGUUGUUAUCAACAAAUAGUGUAGCAUGGCUAAUCUCCACAAUCAAGUAGCUAUAGAAUACAGGUGAAUUUGGAACAUCGCUUCCUCUCUACAUAUUAAAAGGUGAUAUGCAUCCAUUAGCAGAUUUUUUUAGGAAACCGCAUAGAACUAAGGUAAACACUAAAAACACAAUAAACCACAAAAUCUACUUUUAAUAGAAAGUAGAGUCCUAAUAUUAGGCCUUGUUUGGCAUCUUUGCCAUUUUCAUUUUUUUUUUUUAAACACAAAUUCUAUAUGACUGGAUAUCCUGGUGGGUGAACUUCUCUAUCUUCUUAUGGUUAAAAAGCUUGCCACGAAUCCUGACCAGGUGAGGGAUGACAACUUGAAAAAACAAAAAAUAAUAAUAAUAAUUCCGAGACAUUGUUUUUUGUUACUAAACAAAUACCUUGGAUGCAAGAAUUACAAGCAAAUUCUCCAUCCAAGCAAUUCUCCAUCCACUCCGACAUAUUUUCAUUUGGAAAUUCUAUUGGGGAAAAAAACAAAAAAGGGGAAAUGAUACCAAGGCCUUACCUAGUUGUUGCAAGGUUAGAUGUCCUACUACUAAGCACGAAAAUAGCCAUAGCAUUCUGCUCUUCCAUUACUUCUAGAUAGCAGAAAAAAAAAUGCAAGAUUUUAAGUGCCCGUCGGCACGGGCCGUAUCCACCGUACCGUACCGUGCCAACAAGAUACCGGCACGAUACAGACUCCGUGCCAAUGGCACAGCUCAAAGCCCUCUAUUCUUUAAAUUAGUAAGUAAUUUCCUCAGUAAAGUUCAAAAAAUGUGAUAAAAAGACAUAAUAAAUAGUUAGAAUAUUUCGUUGCUAAAGAAAAUAAAUAUUUCAUGCUAUUAUGUGUCGGCACACAAGAAUUUUUUUGACCGGCACGCAUCGGCACAGCUCGGCACGCACUGUGCCGGCAAAUUUCUGGCACGACCCCGUGCCACGACACUUAUAUCCUUGGUCCAGUGUGUAAGAGAAAUUUCUUGUUUAAUGCAAGAUAACAGUAACUAGCAGCGCUUAAAGGUGGUGAUUCUUUGAAAAGAAAGAUAGAACAAAGAAAAAACAAAACAUAGAGAACAAUAACAAAUGUGCAGUGUAACAUUGGAAGAAAUAGAUCAAUAAUCAAGGCAACACAGUCUUGAACCAAAAUAAGCUAUACAAAGAUGCAGUUCCUACUAAAUCAUAUCAGCACCCCAUUUAAAAAAUGAAAUCCACUAGAGAUACCUCGAUAGAGUUUCCAUGAAUUAUAUGUUAAAAAGCAAGGUUUUAAGUGCCCGUCGGCAAGGGCCGUAUCUACCGUGCCGUACCGUGCCAACAAAAUACCAGCACGAUACAGACCCCGUGCCGAUGGCACAGCUCAAAACCCUCUAUUCUUUAAAUUAGUAAGUAAUUUCCUCAAUAAAGUUCAAAAGAUGUGAUAAAAAGACAUAAUAAAUAGUUAUAAUAUUUUGUUUCGAAAGAAAAUAAAUAAUUCAUACUAUUAUAUGUCGGCACAUAAGAAUUUUUUUGACCGGCACGCAUCGACACGGCUCGGCACGCACUGUGUCGUACAGUGCCGGCAAAUUUCCGGCACGACCCCGUGCCACGACACUUAAAUCCUUGUUAAAAAGCCAUGGUUUUCUUUUAUCAUUGAGCAAUUAAAUAUCUCUCUCAAUUUCGUUUUAAGACCUCUUCUCCUAGAAGUGAAAGAUUGGGGAAUCAUUUUCCCUCGAAGUAUAAAGGCACGAGUUAAAAGGUAGUUACUCUGCAAGUUCAAAUCACUUAAUUUUGGGUUCCUCUGACAUUAUACUUUUUCUUGUAAGUUGAAAACAAUGUUAUAAAUAUUUUGUUCUCCUUUCAUUAAACUACAAUAUUCUUCUCUUUUACUAAUCUUCUUCUCAUCACUCAUUCUUUCCUCUAGUAUUGAUCACGAGCAUCAAACUGUUUCAGCCAGAAAAGUAAUUAAAAUUAUGUAAGAUGUUCAUCUAAGAAGUAAAUCCGAGAUGAACAAGUCGUUGUCCUUAAUCAUUUCUUGGAUAAACAUUUGUAAACAAAUUUUACAUGAGCAUGAAAAAAAUGGAUGUACACAUACACAUUUGUUUGCACAUGGGCGUAAACAUCUUAAAAUAAAUGGCAGACCACACACACUUGUAUUUCAUGAGCAUAAUGUAUGCAUACAUCUAUAUAUGACAAUAAAUUCAUGCAUAUAUAUACUCUAGAUGCCUGUAGAGGUAUACAAAGGUAUAUGAAAGAAAAUUCUGAAACUCUUUAUUUCUAGAUCAAUAACUUAUAUUGCAUGUCAUAUGUGUAUUACUUAAUAUCAAUUGAUGUGCGAUAAGGUAGCAGCCAAAGGUAACAUUGAUCACCAUCCAAGUUAAAUAUGUUGUCUAAGAUGCAUCAAUCAAGGAUUGAAGUGCCGUCCCGUGCCGUACAGCACGGGGCGGUACGGACCCCCCCUCCGUGCCGCUGCACGUGGGGCCGUGCCGCACGAGACAGAGCGGCACGGCGACGCCUGCCGUGGCACAAUGCCGUGCCGGCACUGUGCACUUUUUUUUUUGCUUUUUGUUUUUUUUUUUCUUUUGUUUUGUUUUUUGGGGUAUCUUAAGUAUUCUGGGUACCCCACAUCCCCCAAAGACAUUGCAAAUUAAAAAUAUAUUUGUAGGCAAAUCAAAAGAAUUAUAAUUUAAUUUUUUUUGUUUAUCAAUAUAGGACAAAUUUUUAAUUUACAUAUUCGAUUGGCCCGAGCCCUCCGCUUCCACCACAAACAUCCAUUUUUUCUUCACAAAUUAUUUAUCAAAAUUUGUUGCACCGCAAAACUUUUGCCGAAUUAAGAGAGCAAAUUUGAACUCAAUAAAUAAAUUUUGAGGCACAUUAAACAUAAAAUUUUAAUUUUGCUUAGAAGAUUGAAAAUACUGAUAAAAUUAAAAGUUAAAUUAAAUCAAUUGAUACUUAAAUUUAUUUAAUUUAUUUGUCAUAUAAUUUAUCGCUUAAUUUUUUUGAUAGAUCUAUUAAUUUUUUGAAAAAAUUAAUNUAUUAAUGAUAUAUCUUUUCAUAAAUUUUUAAAUAAUUUAUAUUUGAUUGAUUAUAAAUUAUUCAAACAUAUAGGCAAUCUAUAUGUAUGAAUCAACAGUUUAAAAAUAAAUGAAAAAAUUAUUUUUUUGUAUCUUAUAAAAGAAAGACUGUAAUACUAGUGUAGUAACCCCUGCGAUGCGACGGGCAGAAAAUUAGAAAAAAAAUAAAAAUAUUAAUGAUAUAUCUUUUCAUAAAUUUUUAAAUAAUUUAUAUUUGAUUGAUUAUAAAUUAUUCAAACAUAUAGGCAAUCUAUAUGUAUGAAUCAACAGUUUAAAAAUAAAUGAAGACAUUACAUGUUUGCUAAAUAUACUUUAUCAUCAUAUUUUAUAUCAAUAUUAAUAAUAAAUUAAUACAAAUAUCAGUUAAUUUUCUUUUUUUCUAAAAAAAGUCCUAAAUGAGAAUUUCUAUAAAAAAAAGAGAAGAGAAAAAGGCAUAGAUUUGACCGAGCUCGGUUCAAGCAAGAAAGAGGGCACCGGUUCAGUUCAAGCAAAGAAAAAGAAAUCUGAUUCGGUUCAAGCGAAAAAAGAAGAGAACUUGAGCUAGUUCAGGGUGGAGCUCUUAUUCAAUAAUUAUUGGUUCGGUUCAGAUAAAUUAAAAAAAAAUCUGGUUCAAAGAUAGUAAUAUAUAGAGCAAUUGGUUUGGUUCGAUCUAAUGAAGUAAGUUGACCCGAUUCAGCAUUAUUGGUUCGAUUCAGAUAAUUAAAAAAAAUAUAUGGUUCAAAGAUGAAAAUAUAUAGAAUAAUUAAUUCGGUCCAAUGAAGCAAGUUGAUCCGGUUCAGUUCAAGCACAAACAGAGAAAAAUUAUAUAAUUAUUUGGAAGACUUGAGCCGGUUCAAGGUGGCACCCAACAACCUGGUUUGGUUCAAACAAAAAAAGAGAAAUUGGUGGAGCCCACAUUUAAUUUAACAACGAAAGAGAAUGAUGCCAUGUAGCAAAGUUUAAGAGACAUAAUGUAUAGGUAAAUAUAUGAGUAGGGCUACUAUACUAUUAUGAGUAUUGGGCCCUUCGUACUCAUAAGUUGUUUUCGAUGAUGGAGCUUCCGAAUCGACGAUCCACUCCGUUAAAUAUGAUCUAGAGUAUUUGAAACUUCUAGAAAAUAAAUUUCGUAAUUUUUCGAAAUCAUAAUAAAGUCCAUCAAGCGGGCAUAAAAUGAACGGUCAAAAUCGAACGAUGUCUUAAAAAUGAAUGAUCGGAUCCUCAAUUUAAGAUCAGAGUUAUUGAUCUUUAUCUAGGUAGUGAAUAGAAUUUUCUAUCAAAAAUUCAACCUAUUCGGAUUCUUUUGCACUGUUAAACUAGCAAGUAUUCCAUACCGGCCGUUAAAAAUUGUCAAUUUUGUGAGCUUUUGAUCGUAAGGUAAAUGAUGUCGAAAAAUUAUGAAAUUUGAUUUCUAGAUGUUUCAAGUGCUCUAGAUAACGUUUAACGGUGUGGAUCGUCGAUUCGGAAGCUCUAUCAUCGAAAACAACUUAUGAGUAUGAGGGCGAUCGUACUCAUAAUAGUAUAGUAGCCGUACUCGAUAUAGAUGGUCAAAAGAAAAAAGAGAAAAAGAUGUUCGCAUUUUAAAAAUUCUAACUGGUAAAAAUUUCGAUUCUGCAUCAGAAAUAGUUGUACUUUACAUGCAAAAAAGAUUACAAGUAUAUAUUAUUUGAUGAGUAUAGUAAGCUAUACAUAUCAAAUAUUCAUAAUUAUUUGAUUAAAUCUUUCAAAAUAACAUUAUAAGAGUUUAUUGAAACCAAAAAAACUGAAAUAAGUUCGUACCAAAGCGUGCCAGUAGGAAGUCUUGCGUAUCCAUCGGCACGUAAGCGUACCAUGUGUCGGCAUAGAAAUGUGCCGAUACAGUACCGUGUCAAGCAGACAGCGGCACGAUCCCGUGCCACAGCACUUUAAACCUUGGCUUCAAUAUAUUAAAUUUGGUUUAUGCUAAUCAAGAGGAAAAGGAUCUUUCAGAAACAUUGAUACCAGGUUACUAUGCAAGAAAUGCUAACCUAAAGAUUAGCCAUUGAGAAGACGGAUGAAAGAGUUUUUAAAUCAAAUGCAUUCAAUGGCAUAAUACAGCACAGCACAAUAAAGUCUAGGGACUAAUUCAACUAUUAUAUAUAGGGGUGUCAGAAUAAUACCAUAUUUAACAGCCAUGCAACUUCGUCGAGCAUUGAUAUAACAAUAGCUGUACAACCAUUUUCAACAAGUACAGAUCUCAAGGAAGACAAUUUUGAUAAGACGUCAACACCAGCAUACUUGAUAUCAUGCACCCUAGUAGGUUUGCCGGGAGGUUUUGGCCUUGAUUUCCAAAUUUCAUCAACAAGGUUAAAAUCCUUUAUCAAAAUCAGUUCAUGAUUCUUCUUAGAAAUUGCUUCUUUCAGUUCCUCAGCUGCAUCAUGAGAAAAGAGGAACUGCUCCCUUCAAAAAGUCAAAGAGGACACCAGAUUAGAUAUUGGGCAAUUGAACUAGACAGAGAAAUAGAGUGAAAGUUUGAAUAAAAUGACUAAAUAAACAUAUUAUCCAGGAUAUUUCUAUAUCUCUAUAUAAGAGAAAUCUAUACGCCCUAUAUACUAUUGAAUCUUUGCUGGAACUUAAUGAAAACAAAUGGAGAGUGCACAAUAAUCAUCAGCUAUGCAUAUAGAAUUUCCUAUUUAGCAUUGCUCAAGUAAACUCCAAGCACAAUCAUGCUCCCAAAAUGUGAAAGAUAUGAAGAUAAAAAUGAGAACAUUUGAAGAACAAGAAGCAGAAACAAAAAAGAUAGUAAGGUGAAAUCUCCAACUACAGCUUUUAUUUAAAAAAUAUAUAUAUCAGUACAUGCAGCAUUAAGGUGAAUUCUCUGAAUUCAACAUAUAGAGAAAGAGAGAGUCAAGCUACUAUACUUUUAUGAGUUCGAUCAACUUCGUACUCAUAAGUUGUUUUCGAUGAUAAAACUCCCGAAUCAAUGAUCCAUACCGUUAAACACGAUUUAUAGCAUUUGAAAUAUGUAAAAAUCAAAUUUCAUAAUUUUUCGACAUCAUUUACCUUACAAUCAAAGACCUCAAAAUUGAUAACUUUUAACGGCCGGUAUGGGAAACUUGCUAGUUUAAUAGUGUAAAAAAAUCGAAAUUGGUUGAAUUUUUUAUAAAAAAUUCUAUUCACUAUUUACAUAAAGAUCAAUAACUUUGAUUUUAAAUUGAAGGAUCCGAUUAUCUAUUUCUAGGAUGUCAUCUACGUAUCACGGACACUUCUAUAAGCCUCGCAUGUCCGUGUCGGAUACGCGCGUGUCCAUGUCGGACACGUGUCCGACAUGGACGCUCCUUGGACGCCCGUUUAAUGCCGAUUCAUAGCGCAUACAACUAAAAAUGCCGAUUCAUAGCGCAUACAACUAAAAAAUAUAUAUACCUAUUUUUAUGUUACAAUUUCUAUACAUAUGUAAUGUACAAUAAUAAAUAUUUUAGCUUUUUGAUGAAUACAUAUAAUUUUUUUUGACAAUAUCAAUAAAUUAUGUAUGGUGGGGAAUUUUUUUUCUUAAAAUAUAUAAACUAUCAAUAAAAAUUUUACUAACUUUCAUUCGUAUGAGAAAUAUAACAAUUUUUUACCAAAAUUAAUAUUUUAUAUAUAAUAAAAAUAUAUUAUUAUAUUAUUAAUAUUAUAUUUUAUUAACGGUGUUUAUGUCGUGUCUGUGUCCUAAUUUUUUGAAAGUUGCAGAGUUGUGAUGUCCGAACCGUGUCGUGUCUCGUGUUGGUGCCCGUGACGCCCAGGAUGUCAUUCAAUUUUGACCAUUCAUUUUAUGCCUGCUUGAUGAACUUUACUAUAAUUUUAAAAAAUUACAAAAUCUGUUGUUUAAAAGUUUCAAAUACUCUAGAUCAUAUUUAACGGCAUGGAUCGUGGAUUCGGAAUUUCCAUCAUUGAAAACAACUUAUGAGUACAAAGAACUCUAUACUCAUAAGAGUAUGGUCGCAUUAAUAUAUAUAUAGUACCGGGGCUCUCUAGAGAGAGAGAGAGAGAGAGAGAGAGAGCUAGUCUUCUAUACUAUCUAUAGUACCGGGGCUCCGGUACGAUAGUCUCGUUUUCGAUCUUAGGGUGUUCAAAUCAACGAUCCACACCGUUAAAACUGAUCUAAGGUAUUUAAAGGUUUUAGAAAUAAAAUUUUAUAUCUUUUCGACAUAGUUUACUUUAUGAUCAAACCAUUUCAAAAUUGUCAAUUUUCAAUGGCUACUAUGGCGAGUUUGGAGUUUAACGGUGUAAAAGAAUCUAAAUUUCUUCAAAUUUUGAUAGAAAAUACUUUGAACUAUCUAGAUUAAGGCUAACAUUCUUGAUCUUGAAUUUAAAAGUCCUAUACUCAAAUUUUAAAGAUUAUUCAAUUUCCACCGUCCAUUUUGACAUAAUUUAUUUACUAAGUAAACGAUGUCGAAAAAAACUAAAAUUUUAUUCCUAAGAACUUCAUAUACCCUAAAUCAUAUUUAACGGUGUGGAUCGUUAAUUUGAACACCCUAAGAUCGAGAAUAAGACUAGAGUACCGGGGCUCCGGUACUAUAGAUAGUAUAGUAGCCUAAUUCUAUAUAUAUCUAUAUAUAUAUAUAUAUAUAUAUAACAUAACAAUGGCCAUUAAUUUAAAUAACAUUGCAUACUGCAAAAGCUUAAUUGAUUACAAGUACAGAUGAAAGUGAGAAGUAGGCAACCAUAAUAAGUGAUCACAGGGUGUGCACAGUCCAUGUAGCACUAUAUGUUUUUCAAAUAUAAUAGAACAGUAAACAACAUAAACAAACAACGGCUGGAGAAUGUUCUUUCAAACCCAUUUAUCUCAUUCUCCAGUAGUAGAUUAAGAUUUCACCGCCUCUUUCAUUCUCCAGUAAAUUAAGAUUCAUCCCCUCUUUAAGGAUUACAUGCAAAGGCCGUUAGCAUUGACCGAGUCUAGUGAAUGGAGAUAAUAGAAGCAAGAUGAUAUAAAUAUUAGAUUUCACCCUCACAAUAACCUAGCUAACUUUUCAUAAAUUUAGAAUAUGCGCUCAAAGCUAACUUAAAAGUUACCGAGCAAGGAUUUAAGUGCCCAUCGGCACGGGCCAUAUCUAUCGUGUCGUAUCGUGCCAUAUCGUGCCAAUAAGAUAUUAGCACGAUACAGCCCUCGUACCGAUGGCACAGCUCAAACUCUCUUUCUUUAAAUUAAUAAGUAAUUUUCUCAAAUAAAGUUUAAAAGAUUUGAUAAAGACAUAUAAUGAGAAAUUAGAAUAUUUUGUUGCUAAAGAAACUGAAUAUUUCAUUCCAUUAUGCGGUCCAUAUGUAUUUUCUGUGACCGGCAUGCAUUGGCACAGUCUGGCACACACCUUGUCGUACUGUGCCGAUAAGUUUUCAACACGACCCCGUUCACGACACUUAAUCCUUGUUAUCGAGAAAAGAGCUCACUUAGUCCUUUUCGAUUGUGAAGUCCACAUUUUGGAUUUGCAGUUAUGGAACAAAACUAUCAGCAACAACAAAUACAAAAUCCAAGAUUAAGUUUAUAAUGAUUUGCCCAAGCAACUUAUAGAUAAGUUCCAAUUUUGUUAGCAUUAUUAUCUUUCCCAAAGUAUUGUCCUGUUGUAUUGUAUCUCUCUAUUUAAAUCAUUAAAAUCAUAUUCAAUCUUAUCAAGAGUUUUGUACAAUUGGAAAAAGAUAACUAAACAUUUGUCCGAGCAAAAAUACAGGGAUAGUUUUGUGAUAGAUUUCAACAGAUCGAAUGCAAACAAAUCUGUUAUUCUGCCUACAAUCUACUGACAAUUCUCUAAGAUGUUCACAAUGUCUUAAGACUAAUUAAGGCUUAUGGUUGUAUAUCUCAUAGUAAAGAAAAGUAUUUAUGUAGAAUUGUAUUUUUUUUUAAAAAAAUCAUCAGCUAAACAAAAAGAUCAUAUUAUUUCUUUGACAAUGUUAAAACAUGAUUAGAUGACUGAACAAACAGUAAUAAGAGAGAAAAAUAAUUUGACGAAUGAAAUAAGGAUAAAUCUUUUAUAUAUCACCAGAUAUCAUAUUAUUAGCAAUAAUACCACACAUUUUUAAUUCAAUUUUCUCCUGCAAUAUCGUUAGAGAUCAUAUGAAACUCACAGGGUCAAUACCAAUUCGACAACCAGCAGGCAAAACAUCAUUGAGCCACUCGCUAGUCGUAGGGACACCUUGAUUUCCACUCCGCAUAAGGAUCCAAUCAGGACUCAGCUGCUUCUCAGCCUACUCAGCAUGCGUAUAGUAGUACUGUGAGAAGAUUAAUAGUUGGCGUUGCCAAUACAAAGGAUAUGGAAGAUCUACAUGCCUACCUGGAGGAAGUAACGGCCAUCUGUCCAAAGAGCAGCCUUUUCUUUAGUUACCACAGCAGUACCAGCACUACCAGUGAAGCCCGUCAAGUAUGCCCGCCGCAUAAAACAUUCAGCGAUAAACUCACUCUACAAUUACAAUACAUCAUAAAGGAUUGUAAUAAGAGGUGAUAAAUAGACGGUUUUAUUUUAAGGAGAUCAACAUUGUUAGAGAUGCGUGUGCUUGUGUGCGCACGUGUGUGUGCAUGUGGACGCCCAUCUACAUCUGUGCACUUGUCUGCAUGUGUGUGAGCAUUCAUAUGUUUGAGCCUGCAUGUGCAUGUACAAACUACAUUAUGCAUAUGCUUUAAUGUGCAUGUCAGUGCGGGCAUUCUCAAUUGGUCUAGGCUGCAUAUUGGUUACACAAACACAGACAUGGGACACGGGGCACAACAUGGCUUGAACAUAGACUUGACAACUUCACAACAAAAUUACGACACAGAAACAACAAAGAAAUGACAAAUAACUAUAAUUCCAUUAACAUUUCAUUAUGUAUUACUAUUAUAUAAACAUCAUCUAUUUUUAUAUGCCAAAAUGCUUCAUUAAAGAAGAGAAAAGGAAAAAAAUCUAAAUAAUAAUAUACGUUUAAGAUAUUCUUUUGAAUUUAGUGAUAAGUCAAGAUAAUGUUAGGUAUUAUAACAAUCUUCAAAGAUUUAUUUAAGAAAAAAGAAUCAGAAAAAAAUAAUGAAAGAUUUAACUAAUCUUUUGAAAUCUUUAAAAUCUAAAAUUAUCCAUGAGAGAAUAAGAGAAAUUUCUUUGCAUAUCAAGUUACUCAUUCCUUAGCUUUCUUAGUUAUUAUAAUCUACCUAAUUAGGAUUAGACUCUGAGAAAAGAGUAAGGUGAUUGGAUAGGAUCUUAAAGUUUCCCACUGUUCUCUAAGACGACCUUUAGUUCUCCAAGUAGAUUCUAAGUAGAUUCUAAGUAGAUUCAAAAGAGAGAGAAUAUAUCACAAGAUGGGAACUCAAAAAAGGCAUUCGAGGGUGAGCUGACCAAUUUUUUUUCCUGUAAAAUUGCAGACACACACUGCGGGUGUGCAUCUGCUUAGCAUCCCAAAUUGUGUGUGAUGCUUAUGAGUUACAUGCUAACAAGGCACCUUUUCAAUCACCCCUCUGAUUCCUAAGAUAUAAAAUUUCUAAUACUUUAAAUUUUUUUCAUAUUUCAAUUGAACCUGCAGUCUGAGAUAUGUAAAAUUUAUAGUCGGUGCUUGAAUUUUCAUGCCAAUGCUCCUUUAACUCCAAAUUUUGGCAUCAUGUCUCUAAUGUCCAUACAUGCAAUAUGACUCUGACCUCUAUUAUAUGUCCAACUUUUGCAACAGCUGUUAUGGUAAACAAUUUUUUCAUAUUCCACUUGAACCUGUAAUCUGAGUUACAGAAAGCGCCUGAAGUUUCAUGUGAACAUAGUUAGUUCCUUUAACUUCAAAUUUUUGCAUUACGUACCUAAUGUUCAUAUUAUGCAAUAUGACCUUCUAUUUCUGUCCAACUGGCAAAAGCUAUUAUGGUACGCUACACCAUUGAUCACUAAAGUGUGGUAUGCGAAAAUUAAAAAAAAAGGGACCUAAACCUAAAGUCUAUAGGUUAUUAUUCAAUCUAAUUCUUGUUUUGUUCUUUUUGCCAUUUCACUCAAAGCGAUUGUGUUUCUUUGCAUAAUUAUUUAAGCUGGUGUCACACCCCCUCAAACACAAGAUAAAAAUGAGGAUCAGACCAUAUCAAGCGUAGAGAUUCAAGGACAUUUGCCAAUUUCGAAGUUUGACGAGAGGAUCAAAAUCAAGAACCAUAUCAUACCCAAUUAUCAUAUUAAAACUCUAAUAUGUAUUUUAUUAGUCAUAAUUCUCAGGACGUCUCUUUCAAAGUAAUAGGUGGCUGAGAGUAAAAAUUUACAGACUGAACAAGUAUGGCAACAAAUCAAAAUACCAAAAAGAAAGUGGUUCAAUCUUUAGUACUUGAAUAACGAAAUCCUAGCAAUUCUUGUUGUUCACAACUAACCUCCCAACUUUUGAAGCUCAAAGUCAAAAACUUGCUAUUUCAUAAUAAAAGAAAAAUGGGAAAGUAUUAUACCAUCUGACGCAGGAGAGAUUAGGAAAACCCUAAUCUAUCUUGCAAGUGAUGAGCCCAAAAUCAAUUUAAAACCAAAUUUGGAAUUUUCUAAAAAUUUUAGAUUAAUUUUCAGAUUUUUUUUAAAAUUUUUUUAAAGAUUUAAAUAAAUUAUAAAUUAAUUUUCGUAAUUAAAAAAAGGAAAACAUUAAAAAAAAGUAGUACGGCUUUAAAAAAAGAUUUCGACAUUUUCUUUUAAAAGAAAAUUAAGAGAAGAUUGAAGAAUAAGAGAGAAAUAGAUGAAAGGAGAAAAGAAGAAGAGAAAGAGAAAGAUAGAACCUCUUGGGAAGGAUCUUGCCGAUACACACGGCAGAGAAGGAGAGGGGAAGAAGAUACUAUGACCAUAGUCAAAACACAAACCCAAAUCUUAUUCCAUUAUAACUCCAUCUCUCAAUUACAAAUUAUAGGCUAUUUUUAUAACCUUCCAAACGUAAUCCUAAUCUAAUUCAAAUCCAAAGAUUUUAGGGAUAUUUACCUAAUUCGAAUAUAUCUAAAAAAAUCUAAACCAUAUCCCUAAUUUUUAAAGAUUUAUUCCAUAUGAUAAAUCCUAAAAAUCUUUACAAAAGCGACUAAAACAAAUUGACAAGUAAAAUAAUUCCGAAAAUUAGAAAAAAAGUUAAAACCUAAACGAAUCAAUCCUAUCCACACCCGAUUCUGCAUCACCAUCUCUUACGCUUUUUGUCUUCUCAAACCACUUUACAUAUACUAUUAUUAAGACAAUUACUAGGUUGUUUCUUAUAGUGUUUGAAAAGACACGCCUCAGCGCCUAGGCACGAGGCGCGAGUCUCAGCGCCUCAGGGAGUGAGCCGCGCGUCUCAGACGCGCUUUGUGAUAUUUAUAUUUAAUGUGUAUAGGGUUUGGAUUUUCGGGUUGAGUUUCUUCAAUAUAUUUUAAAAUAUUAAGAAAUUUUUAAAAAAAAUGCUAAUUGAACACUUUCUUUCCCUUUUCUCUUGGCCGUUCUCUCUUCCACCCCCCAGCGGCAACAAGUAGGAGCGGCAAAAAGAAAGAAGCAGCAGCAAGCACUUUUAAACUAAAAGUUGAAACAUAAUCUUUUUAUUUUUAAGCUGAGAAUAUUUAUACAUGCGAUUUUUUUACUUUUUUAUGGUUAUUUUGUUUUUGUAUAGUUAUUUUAAAAUUUUUUAACGUAAAACAUCCAUUUAAAAUAGACUUGUUAAGAGUGUUUUAUUUUUAUUAGACAUGCGCCUCACCUUCUUGAGGCGCGCGCCUCGUGGUGCACCUUGCGCCUAGGCUUCAUGAAGUCUUUGCGCUUUUUUGCGCUUUUUCAAGCACCGGUUUACUAUCAUAUUGAUCUUCUAGAUAAUGUGGUGUUAAAGCUAGUCCCAAACCCCCACAUUCCAUGAGAUCAUAAUUCGAUACCCCACAUCCGCCAGUUGUAAUGUUUCAAAUCCCCAUCCUUCAGCUCAUCCAUUAUCUAACUAUCAGAGCAUACUUAUAUCAUAGCUCACCUAACAUCCACCGUACAUGUAAAGCCUAGUUGUUAAAAUUUAGACGUCGCUCAUUUGGGUGAACGCUACUUAUAUACAGUAAAAUCACUAUUCACUUGUUGAAGACCGAGCUUUCAUCAAGGAGUCCCGUCUCAUCUAUUCCAAUUAUAAUAAAAAAAGUAUUUUAGAAGGGUGGAAAAAACAAGCAUGGAAAGCAAUAGAUUAGUCUUGAGAUAGUUUUAUCAAUGCCUACUUCAAUCCACAGAUUUAUAGCAUUUCCAUAAUUCCAAACAAUUGAAUCAAGAAAUGCCGAAAUCCAGAAGAAAAACCUGGUGAGCGUCUUGGGAAGGGAUGAUAUAGGCAUCGAUCGCUACAUCGGGCCUCGCGAACAGCUCCCGGAGUGACCGGAGCUUCUCGUCGCCGGCGACGCCGGUCCCGCUUCCUCCGGGCCGCCCCAUCCGGAGCUCCGACGAUGGCCGCGCGACGACGCGAUCACCGGAGCUCCGGGAUUCUGCAGCGGAAGCGGCGGCGGCGUCGGCGUCGGCGUAGGCGGCGGGGGAGAAGCGGCGGAGGAGGCGGCGAGGGAGGAGGGGAGGGCCGCCGCGCGGUGGGGGGGAAUGGUGGAUGAGGAGGGAGAAGGGGAGGGAGAGUAAACGGAGGGGUCGAGAAGCGAGAGAGGGAGGAGAGCGGGGGACGAAGGCGGAGAGAGGGGAAGAGGAGAAGAGCGCGGAUUCCAUCGGGAGAGGAGCGGGAUGGGAGUGGUGGGGAGCGAGGAUAAGGUGGCUCCGAACGGCGAGGCGGUUGCAGAAAUUAUACAUACGAGAUGCCCAAGCUCCGACGGCUCUGCAGUCCGAGAUUGUUUUUGCCAACACUCUUUCUUUUGUUUUUUCUACUUUUUUUUUUUUUAUAAAAUAAUUAUCUAAAAUUUUGUAAUUUACAAAAUAAUAUUUAAAAUUUAUAUUUGGUAAACUAAUUCUCUCUUCGCCGUAUAAGCGCCAGGUCGAAUAUUUUUUCUGAAGACGGUGAAUCGUUUACUAUUUUUACUAAGACGAUGAAUAAUUUACUAUCUUUGUAAUAUAACUAUUAAAGACGGUAAAUGAUCAUCGCCUACAACCUCAAUGAAAUUUUUAAAGUCCUAAGAGAUUUUCUCGAGUUCUCGAUCAUGCAUUAUGCCUUGAGAAGGCAGUAAACGGUUCACCAUUUUGAGAAAGUUGUGAAUCGUUCACUGCGUUAUGAAGGCGAUGAACCGUUCACCACUUUAUGAAGGCGAUGAACGGUUCACUCUCUUCUUUAAGUACACCCCACCUCCUAGUCCCGACUUCUCUCUCGCGCUUUCGCGCUCUCUCUCUCUGCCCCUCCCUCUCCCAAAGUUGUCGCCGAUCGCCGCUACCCCUGCUGCCAUCGUCAAUGAGCCAAACAACGAGCCGGCUUGUUAAAGUAUUAAGCUGAAAAAUUCAGCUCGUGUUCGGCUCGUUAAUGGCUCACAAGCUGGCCAACGAACAAUAAGUUAAAAGUAUUAUAUUGGAUAUAUAUAUAUAUAUAUAUAUAUAUAUAUAAAAUAUAAUCUUAUCCAUUAGACUUUUGAUCUAAUAGUUGAAACUUUACAUAUAAAUUAGUCUUUUUAUAAUUGAGCUCGCCUUUAUAUUUUUAUUUUGCUAAAAAUCAAAUAAUAAAAAUAUAUAUUAUAUAUAUAAUUAUUUAUUUAUAUAUAAAUAUAUAUAAAUAUAAAUUAAAUAAAUUAUAUAAAUAUAAAAUAUAUGUAUUCGAGCUAUUAUCGAGCUGAACACAAGCGAGCUGAUCCUAGCUCGUGUUCGGCUUGUUUAUUAAACAAGCUGAAAAUUUUAGCUCGUGUUCGCUCAUUUACUAAACGAACGAUUCGAUCUCGAGCUCAUUUCGAGCCAAACAUGAACCGACUCGUGAACGCUGAGCUGGAUUGCCACCCCUACGCCGUCGUCCCUACCAACCCCGCCGCCUCCCUCUGCAACCCACAUUGCUCUCUCUCUCUUCCCUCCCAUAUUGCUCUCUCUCACCCUCGCUGACGUUCAGGUAGCUCAUGAACUUUUCUUCAAUGUUCUUUGUUGUUUGUGGGCAUUGUUGGCAUUAUGGACACACCACAUGACAACAAGCUAAAAAUGUAAAAACUAGCUAGGCUUUAAAAUUGGGAUCUUGGAUACCAAGUGUUAAGCUAUUAGCCAUUGAGUACGAGUUAUGUUGAGCACAUUGGGAGGAUUUUGUUUCAUGUUUAGUUGACAUUAUGAUAAGACGAUAUCAAGACAUUAUGAUAAGACGACCCCUAGAGCAAGUGGCAAAGGGCUUGGUGGUUGGUACCCGAGAUCCCAAGUUCGAAUCCUAGUUAAUUGACAUUUCCAGCUAAGUUUAUUUCUAUUUGAAAUAAACAAAGCGGGUAGCGUGCUACCUAUCUCUCAAAAAAAAAAAAUUCUAAUUCUUAAUAUGUCAACUCUUUUUCUUAUUGGGAGUAGUAGCCCUGUUCAGAUGCAACUUUUCAGUAAACAUGAGCUCUUUCCUAUUAAAACUUUCAAUGAAUUGAAAUUUAAAAUGUUAAAAUAUUUAUCUCUCGUUCAAUAAUAAAUUGGCGAAGAAUCCAACCAAUAGUCUUUGUUGGAUUAUUGUGUGGGAUAGGGGAGACUCCAUGUGGCCCCUUUCUUUUUCUUUAUUACUUUUUUGCAUUAAAUUUGCCAAAUAUUUUGAGAGGGGAUUUGAAAGUUUUUUCUAUGUAGUUAAAAUGGCUAGUUAUCGGAUGUCUUUAAGAGUCAGUGGGAUGAACAGUUAAUUACGGAUGAAAAUAGUAGCCAAUAUGUCGGCGGUCAAAAAAAAUUGAUCGUGAUUAGUUCAGAUACGUUAUUUACUAAUUUUAAAAUUAGAAUGUAUCGUUUAGCAAAUUGUACUAGAAAAGAAUUUUGUCUCAAAUUCACAAUUCGAUACUCUAUGGGUACGAAUGAAUGUAUAACUCACAAAAUAAUAGAUGAUGAAUCAUCGGAGAGAAUGAUUGGAUUGUUUAAACAUUAUGGAUGUGUGUCGGUAUACAUCGAGAAAGAGUUAUAUGAUAACAAGGCGAGUAAAAUCUCGAGGUUUUGGUAAGUAUUUUUUUUAAUUAUUAAAUAUUUUUAUAAUACUAAAUUAUAGAUAUUGCAGACAAAGUCAGCCUCCACAUCCACAACCCUUGACCUCAUGUGAUGUAGUAAUCGAGGUAUUUUUCUGUGAAUCUUCUAAAGAUGGUGCAUUUGUACGCGAUUAGAUGCGGUUUUUGAUGAAACGAAAAGUGCCACCUUCAUGGUCCGCCAGUAUAGUAAGUCCGGUAAUGGACCACGAUGCAAUUUGGCGUGAUUUGGUGAUAUUUUGGGGAUGAAUUUGCAUGAGUGCAAAUUUGUCGAAUUAGAGUAAUUUUGUGAAAAGCGCGACAUUUCAUGUGUCAAAUUGUAUGAUUUUUUACAAGGAGGAACUUAUGAGCAAAACACACUUGUAGGUGAGUUUUGAAUUUGAAAUUGUGUUCAUGAGGGAUUAAAUUGCAAUUUUUGCAAUUGGUGCAAAAAGGGGCUUUAUGCGAAGGGGUUAACAUUUUAUGAUAUAUAUAUAUAUAUAUAUAUAUAUAUAUAUAUAUAUAUAUAUAUGUUUAUGGUGAUAACAUUGUUAACGUAGAUUGUGGGGAAAACGUGUCUUCAGGGAGGGUGUUAUUUAAAACAUCAAAUCGUAUGUUGUACAGUAUGAAGAGCGUUUUUCUAGGAAGUUGACUAAAAAGGAAGAGGUCUAAGUUGACAUACGGCCAAAAGAGUCUUCAAAGUCUUAAAGCUUUUUGAACUCAGGUGCGUUAGGGAGACUCAGAUCAAAGUGUACUCGGGAAGGUGAGUACUCUUAAAGUCUUAAAGAGUNACCUAAAUUUCACAAAAGACCCGUUCUCACGUCUCGUGUAAUUCCGGGCAAUUGGCCUGACGGAUUCAAAAACAGAUUGCACCAACACCUUCGGAAUUGUAGGACCAUCAGAUUCGAGUUUUUGUUUCAUCAGAAUCGGUCGCUGAUUCGCGAGGAUUCUCACCUCCACAUAUAUACAUAAGUUAUAUAUAUAUAUAUAGAGUUGAGCUAGAAUACUAUCAGUAGUAUCUCUUAAUUAGUUGCAAUUAGUUGUAAAAGCACUUGGUGCUUGUAAGUUUUUUACCAUUAGAUCUACUCCUCGGAUCAUUUUCAACCAUUAGAUUAUACUAUUCAACCAACCACCCACUCAACCCUAGGGGGCCCACAUCAUUCUAACCGCAUAUCUCUUAAUCCAAGGGCUAAAAAUCUACAAGCACCAAUAACUUAGUACUUUUAAAAGUAUAGGAGCUCAAUUCUAUAUGGAGUCCAGCUAUGAUGCUUGUAAAAGCACUAAGUACAAUCCAAGAAUUGAGAUGAAACAAUGAGCAACUUUUUAUUUUUUUGCUAAAAUACUCUUUCCUACUUCAUAGGAUAUGACAUCAUUGCAGUAGCUUUGGGUUUCACUCCCUUUUUUUUUUUCCCUCCAUUGUAAAUCCACUAUAUAAUUAGUUUUUCUCUACUAACUGAGACGACUUUAUACGAACAUUUCAAGCACAGUUUGGUUGAUAAUUUCUAAAAUGAGCAAAAUUUUUACAGCAAAAUAAUUUAUAUAAAAACUGACAAUAGUUAGAAAAAAAAUUAUCAACAUUUUAUUUCUUUCGAUGCUUUUGAAUGGUUGCAAUUGAUUUUAAUACACUGAAAUUUAAUUUUAUAAAAAAUUUAAAAUUUAAUUGACUGCAACAAUUCAGAUUAAAAAAAACGAUUGUUUUAUGCGCACAUAAAAUUAAUGUAAAUAAUUAGAGUAACAAACCUUAUACCUGAGUAUGGGAUAAAAAAAUUUAUGUAAACUUUCAUGCUCAAAAACCCAAAAAAAAAAAAGAAAAACUUCAUAAGUUUCACAUUUACACUAUUUCAACCAAAUAUACAGUUUCACAAUAUUACUUAAUAUGAAAUCCAAGGCUAUUAAAGUGCUGUCACAUCCUAUAGAGUAGGGAAGAGUAUUUUGACAUAGAAAUAAAAAGGUUGCCAUUGCUUUACCUCGAUCCUUGGAUUAUAUUUAGAUCUACGGUCCAAAAAGAGUGUAAUACUAUUCACAAUUACACUUAUGUUAUUUGAACUUGACUCAUAUAAAAUUAGGGAUGCCUAAUUAACCUUAGCCCGUACACCAUCCUACCUGGUGUCGUCGCCACCACCCCUCUUGUAAUGUACCAGAUUUUAAUAUAAAAGUAAAUAUAAAUAAAAAUAGUGUGAGAUACUAUUUUUAUUUGACUUAAAGAAAUAAAAUAUAAGUCGGGAACGACUUGUGCUGAAAUCGGAAUGGAAAUAGAAGAUUUAAAAUUUUCUGUGAGAAACAAAACUAAUAUUAUAGCAGAAAAUUCACGGUGUUAGAAAAUUAUGAAAACUUGGGAAUAUGUCGGAAUUAUUUUUAUGGGGCUAGAUUUAAAGUUUCAUAUCAUUCCGACACCCGAAAAGUGGAAAAUAAAAUCCGACUGCUAUCUGCUAGAGAUUUCAGUUCGGUAGAGCUUUCGGUGACCAAAAAUUGUCCAAACUGAAAAAUUAAGAUAUAUUUCUUUUAUUUAACUUAAACCGAGCUUGACUGUCAAAUUUGAGCAUAAACAGACAUUCAUAAGGGCUCCGGCGAAAAGUAUCAGUUUCUGAGCUGCUAAACUGAAAGUAAAUUGCAUUUUGUUGAGGGGGCUGUUUGUGUAACAAUGGGUUUUCCCAUUGUGCUGGUCAACCCGAGAGAGAGAGAGAGAGAGAGAGCUCUUUCUCUCUUGCUCUUUAGCCCACUCCUCACAUCUCUCUCCCCUCGCUUUCUCUCUAGCAAGUUUCUCCAUUAAAGAUGAAGUUGGAGAAGAUGAUGUUGGAGAUGAAGCUUGAAGCUCUCCAAUGGUGAAGCAAGCUCUUUACUGGUGGAAAGCUAUGUAGCCAUGGUGAGUUUUGUGAUUUAAGCUAGGGUUUGGAUUAAAUCUUUUGUAAAUGAAAUGUUUAGGAUCUCUAGAUGAUUCUAAACUAGUUUGGUUAAAGUUUAACAAUGAGAUUUGGUGUUCUUGAAGAUUCAUGAAACCCUAGACUUAGAAAAUGGGGGUUAUGGGUAAAUGAGGGUUUUGAUCUCAUUUAACCCUAUUGUUUUCUAAUUGAAGGUUAGAGAUGAGCCAUUGAAGACCCUAGGUUGCGGAUUGUUGGGCGUUCGGCGAUCGAUUGCGAGUUGGAGCCGAACCGGAUCACGUGUGCCGCGGGAGCCCGAUUGCAAGUGACUACAAGCAAUCGGAGACCAAUAUUAGGUGGGUUGUGCUCUACCGAAGCGAUUAGGCCGCUUCCAUGCCAAAGUAGUGUAUGUCUCAUUAUUGAUGCAUGAAGUGGCAGCUAAUUACUAAGUGAAUAAUGCAUGAACUAGCUGCUAAAUAUAUGAGCUAGUUGCUAAAUAAAUAACAUGAGCUAGAUACUAAUGAAUGUAUAGAGUAUAUAUUGAAUGAAUGCAUAAGCUAAAUACUAAAUGAAAGUAUAACAUAUGUGCUAGUAAGAAAUGCAUGUAAUGGUAGUCCAAUUGGUAAAUGAUGCAUGAAAUAUAUACUAAUUAUGAAUGCAUGAGGCAUGAGAUACAUGUUAAAGAAUGUAAGAGUUGUAUGCUAAAAUGUAUAUUGACUAUCACUUUGAUAAGAACCUAGGCAUGUGCAUGAGAUGCUAUAUGAAUGCAUGAAGUAGAGGCUAAUAAAGAAUGCAUAGAAUAUAUGCUAAGUGAAUGUAAGGGCUAAAUGCUAAAUGAAUGUAUAAGAUGUAUGCUAAGGAAUGCAUGGGAUAUAUACUAAUGGUGAAUGCAUGAUACAUAUAUGCUAAUAAAGAAUGCAUGAGACAUGUUGAUUACCAUUGAAUGAUAAAGACAUAGGCACGAGUAAGCAUAAAAGGUAUGUAUGCCUAGAUGUAAAUGUCAACUAAGAAUCCUAGGUAUGGACAAUUAGGAAAAUGUGAACAUUGUGUGGCAUGUCAAUUAAGAAUCCUAAAUGUGAAUAAUUAGGAUGACAAGUGUGGCGAAUAGCAAUGAAACCUAGUGUCAUUGAACAUAAGUUAAGAAUCAAACCUAGAGUCAAGUAAACCUAGGUUAUGAACAUAGUGGCAUUUAAAACCUAGAGUCAAGUAAACCUAUGAUAUGAUACGAGUGGCAUUGAACCUAGAGUCAAAACAACCUAGGUAAUAAAGAACAUCGAUACUAGUGUUAUGGAACCUAGGCAAUGAACAUAGUGACAUUGGAUCUAAUGUUAUUAGACUUAGGUUGAGUAAUGGCUUGGACCUAAAUAGGUCGAUACUAUAGGGUGAGACGUGAAAGUUUUGAGGAGCCCAAGGAUCUAUCUAGAUUGUAUCUAUCACCUAGAGGGGGGGUGAAUAGGUGUAACGACCAAAAACCACAAAUCUCGAUGCAAUAAAAAUAAAUGCGGAAAAUAAAAAGCACACCGAGAUUUACGUGGGAAAACUCCAACUUGGAGAAAAACCCACGGGACCAACACGCGAAAAAAUAAUUCACUAAGAGAAAAGAUUACAAGGUGAUUACCGACUCCACGGACUUAACCUUUCUUAACCUCCUAUGAAUCUUCGCGCUACCCUCCGGGUUGUCCACGCCCUCACGUCCGAGUCCACGAAUGCCUCCACUUCGAAUCCACGAAGCUUCAAUCACGCCGAAUCCACGACGCCACUCGAAUCCACGAGCCCACGAUCCGAAUCCACGAACCGCCGUNACAGGUACACACGUGUGCGGCGCGGCGGCGCAAGGCGAGGACGUAGUUCUGCAGAUAGCGUCCUACCCAGAGACUGAGAUAGCAAUACCCAAGUUAGUGGUCUAGCUUGGGAGGUUUAAAGACAAGAACAAACUUUUGUUUAAGUUGUAAAAGAAUCUGUAAUAAUUAUGAUUGUAUUUGAAGAUUGAUUGUAAAAGAAAAAUUAUGUUGUAAAAUGCAUCUAAGUUGAAUGCUGUAAUAACUUAGUAGUUUAUGUUUUUUAUACUCCUUAUGCAAUCUAUGAUUGAAUACCUGUUCCUGGUUGGAACCUCUCGUAUUGUAUUGAUUGCGAUGCCUUAAAUGUACAGGGGAGACUCUGUCCGUAGUACAGGGGAAACCCUGUCCGUUCGGCGGUCUGUCGGCGGCGCCGCGACCCGGCCAAAUAGGCGGGUGGUCGCGGGUCGUGACAAUAAAGAACGGCUAAUGUUAAAGAAUAGCAAAAAAUAAAGAAUGUCAAAGAAUAAAGAAUUACAAGUAAUAACAAAGAGUAAUUAAUAAGAAUGGCUAAUAGUAAAGAAUAACAAAUGAUAAAGAAUAGAAUUAAAUGAUCUACUUGCAUGAGUUGCAUGAUUGUAUAGUUGCAUGUUGUGAGGCAUGGAUAUGAUUUACAUGAUGUUAUAUAUAUAUAUAUAUAUAUAUAUAUAUAUCUGUUGGACUAACAUAUUUGCAGUGCUUCCUUUGGACCUGGUAGGUCGAGCUCUUCCCUUGGGUAGCCGUACCCACUGGAAACUAUGAACAAUAGUUCUCACCCCCGUGUUGUUUUUGGGGAUGUAGGUUCACACGCGAGCGGCGCGAGGAAAGGGCGUAGCUCCGUAGUUAGCGCCCUACCACUGAGACCAGAGAUAGUAGUACCUUAAGUUGGCCUGGCUAGGGGUAUAGAAAAGAAGAAAGAACUUGUAAUGUAAUAACUUGACUAUAUAUUGAAAGUUGGGAAUCAAAAUGUAAUGUAAUAUGUGAAAUGAAUGUGGUGAAUGCUUAUAAUAGCAUAGUGGUUAUGUCUUUGAUACCUUCUUUAUGCAAUCUUUGUUGUAUGCUCUUCUUGAUUGGAACCUCACGCAUUGUUUGGAUUGUGACGCCUUGGACGUACAGGGGAGACUCUGUCCGCGGUACAGGAAAAAUCCUGUCUGUUCGGCGGUCUGUCGGCAUGCCCAAAUUCGACCAAAUAGGCGGGCUCGGGGCGUGACACCUCUGUUCUUCAUCGACGUUCGACGUGCUCUGGCGAGACUCCGGCCGAGAGUCUCUCCAUCUCUCUUUUCCUGCAUUUGAUACCUAUAUAGAGAGAGGUGACCACACCCCAUUCUCCCUCCUUACUAGGCUUGAAGCCGACACCGUCGACGUCUUACCGGCGCCUCGCUGCCAUUACGUCGGAGCGGGAGAACCCCUGCGGCCACCCACCACAGCCGCACCAUCCCCGCGCGACGGCAGUGCACGACCCGUUUUGGGCCGCUGCUCCUGUUGCUGCCGCCGUGGCCCCGAGUGCCACCGCCGUCCGUCGGACCUCCGAUGGCCUCCCCCUGCGGGUUAGUGUCCCCCUACAACUCUUCCAACCCUCCAUUAGGCUUGCUAACCCCCAGUUGAAGCUAUUUUAUUGCUGCUGCCCUGAUCUUGGCCGAAGCACUGUCCCGACCAUCCGGCUUCUCCGGUGACUGGUGAGCACGACACUUCUUGGCGUUGGUGCUAACCCGUGUUCUCCUAAAUUUCAGGUAACGAUACCCCGAACCACUAUUUUCAAUAGCGCCCACCAUUCGGCAAAUUGACAAUUCUUGUUUUGAAUGUUCCGAGCAAUUCGGUGGUCAGAUUUGGCAAACCUUGGGAGCACGACGAUCAGCGGACAUCCAUCUUCGCGGUGCUCACCUCAGUGGAGUGAUCUGGACAUCUGGCUGAGACGCGCAUCUAUCUAUACCCGUUUUGACUUCACGCGGUCGUUUCUUGUCUUUGGAUUCUUCAUGGUGGCUCCGCUGCUAAUCUGUGGCAGUAGCAACACGUCAUAUACCUCAGUGCACCAUUGGUUGACUCCCGAUUCAUGCAAAGUUGGUAAGAUUUCCGAAAACUCCGUUUUCUACUAUUAUUGAUGCUUUGUAUGAUUUUUGGGUCGACUAGGGCAUGUUGAUGAUGUUCGAAUCGUGGAAUGUGUUGGGCAGUAUUCCUUGAUGGUAUUAAAUGUUUGGACUUAGUGUUCGAGGUUUAGAAACAUUCUAUGGCCGAUUUGGUGCGAAAUGAUUGUAUCGAUAGCGCGGUUCUCGACUUCGUUAUCACGAAGUUGAUUAUGUGGCUGUCCGGAAUGUUUGUUGAGCCCCGUUGGCUGGUAUAUCCUCGUGUUUUGUGCCCCUCGUGGCAGCGAGUGUGUUGUAGGUGGUUCGAAUAUCGAAACAGGUACCGUCAGACCCACUUUAAGCUACAUUUGGAGCUACAGCUCUUGUUUUGUUGGCGGCUGUCCCAAUACCUAAAAUAGGGUGUUUAGGGACAGCGAAUACGAGUUAAAGAUGUUUUGGGUGUAACUUGGAAUGCUUCUUGACCAAAGUGGCAUCCCGGUCGGUUUAUAUGAAAAUCGACGGGUUCGGCAGAAUGGUAGGAAUGUCUAAUGUUCUGCUUGUGUCGUGGCACACUGUGGGUGACUUUUUGUCACCAAUUGGUGAUGUUGCAAUAUUGCGAACAUCAUUGGGCCAAUCGUACUCUGUGUGCAUGGUGCGGCACCAAAGUGGUGUUCGGAUCAUCGGAACGACACUUAUAGGUUCGGUCGUAGCCUUGUGCGGCAAUUGUCGUUUGAUUUAUCGAGCACUUGAUGUGCGUUUAUCUCAUCACCUAAAACGGUGAAUCUCGAGAUUGUGGUUGUCACUCCUUGUUGAGUCGGCUCGGCUUGGGCUUAGUUAUGUAUGCCGGUUUGUAGAACUAUCGUUUCGGUCGUGUGGCGGUAUACGUAGUACAAAUUGGAUGUGUCGGAUGCAUAUAGAUGACACGCAGAAUGUUGAUGACGAUUUUGUUGGUAUUUUCUGGGUACAGGUGACUUCUAGAAUCAUCAGUCGAGUUGAGGACUCGGGUACUUGGUGAGGUGGGUGCUCCAUUUCGAAGUCGGUAAAGUUGUAUCUUACUCGGUUUUCUUUCCGCUUGAUCUAUUCUAUUAAUUGAGAAGGACAACUUCCGUUGACUUCAUAUUGGCUCGUGCUUUUACUCGACAUGCCUAUUGUUUGUCAUGUUGAUUAUCAUAUAGAUAGGUAGACUCUUGAUUGAGCUCUCUGGUAUCUUGUGUGUGACAUGUAGAGUAGGUGAUAAUUUAGUAGAAUAUCUACCUAUGUGUGAUUGGAUCUGAUAGAUCGGUGUGUACUCCUUGUUGAGAUAUGAUCAUGUUGAUCGGAAAGUUACUCCAUGAGAUUGACCUAGUUGGUCAGUGUUCACUUCCACAGAUUUUUAACCUAAGGGUCGGAUGAUGUAUUCCAUCGUGAUUGGGUCUUUAGCAUACUCACCUCUGUCACUUGCAUUAUCUUUAUCUUUCCUAUAUACUCGUUUAGUGUAGCAUGCUAGUCGACCUGGUUAGUUUGGAUCUUGAUAUUUUCAUUGGCAUCCGGUGUGGUUAUCUCUUAGCUCCUAUUAUCGCCUACGGGCAGUGAUUUGACUGUUGAGUCUAGGUUAUCGGAGCUUUGAGCAUACACAUGUGACUAUAGCUUGUACGACACUGAAGGAGUCCUAGACAGGGUUACUAACCCAGGGUACUUCAGUUGCCAGCUUAGUGGGAGGUGAUGUUUCAUAGAUAGGGUUCGCCACCCUGAGUUCUCACCUCCAGAUUUGAUAUACACCGCGUUUAGACAGAGUUAGCGACUUUGGGUGCUGGUUGAUGUGUCCCUCUGGAGUGGUACUUGAUUUGCGGUCCUUGAGACCUAUGGGAGAGCUUAGACCAGGUCUUUAUGAUAGGCCACAGGGAUUAGGUAUACCUUGGACUACUCGUAUGUCCAGUUGAUGCAUAGUCUCUUGAUUUUAGCCUUGCAUGGAAUCUAGUAGUUGUUUAGCCUACGGUAGUGGCUUCCAUCAUAAGUGGGUCAUGUUAUUGUGCAUUCUCCAUCUUGCUACCGUAGUUGGUGAUCCUUCAUUUUAGCAUAUGACUUGUUUAUAGUAGCGGUACCUCGUACAUGAUUGUUCGUAAUGAUUACUCACUAGUUUUCUUUACUACUGUGGUUGAUUUGUAUUCUUCGUUUCAGUAUCUGAUUCAUGUUACAGUAGUGAUACUAUUCUUGUAUUCAGUUCAUGAUAUCUGUUUGUCUAACCUUUUUGCUACUGUGGUUUUUACUCGUUUACAGUUACCUUGCUUAUCGUGCUCCUUGGUUUGCCAGUGAGUGAACAUAUUUAUAUGUUUCUCACCCUAUUGUUUUUACAAGUGUUGCUCACAGUGCGGGGUGGGGCGCGGUGUGAGGACACGAUUAGUUAGCAUCUAGAUAGCUCGAUCGUGCUAUGGAAUCUCAGUGUAUAGUUUCAGAUUCUCCUUAUCUCAGUACCUUGUGAUCUUGUGGUAGUUAUGCGAUAUCAUAUGUAUUUGAAUUUAGUUGCUUUGGGAUUUUUCCUAUGCAGUGGUUUAGUCGAUUCUAAAUUUUGGUUUUGGAUUGACUAGUAGAUGUACAAUUAAACUAUUUUGUUCUAUUUGAUUGCAGUUCUAUAUCUGUGCUCCUACGCCAUGCAUGUACAGGGAGGACUUUGUUCGCAUGGACAGAGGAUGCCCUGUGCGUGUGGUGGUUCUGUGUAUGUCUCGGGCAAGGUUUACAAAAAAUAAAUUUACUUUUUUCGCAACUCUAUUUUCAAAUUGGAUGGUUUUCUCAAAAAUUAGCUUUCCAAAAAAGGCCCGAGGCAUGACACGUGCGCAAUCCACGACCCCACGUGGACAAACCAUGAUCUCUUCUGUGGAACCCAAGAUAUUCCAUGCACUACCGAUGACCUCCUGUGCAGAACGUAUCAUGUCUCAUAUACAAUUGGAACCUCAUGAUUGGGGGUAAAAAAAAUUCUAUUUUUUUUUAUUAAUAGUAUAUGAAAAUAUACCUAAUAUAGUAAAAUUUUGGGACCCAUUGCAAGCUAUCUAUGCCCUAUGAACAUUGGAAUGAAGUUCCUACUAAUAUUGUUGAAAAAGGAGGUGAUAAUGAUAGUAAUCAAGAGGAUGUACCUAUUCAUAAUGAUGAUCAUUAUAACAGUGAGGACGAUGAUUGGAAUUGUUUAGCUGCAGACAUUGAUGAUGAUCAUGAUGGUGGGUUAAAUUGUCUUGUGAAUGCUAUUAUAGUGAAAACGACGACCCAUAUGUAAAUAAUGAAUAUGUAGACAAUCCUGAUGAGUAACUUGAUUUUAUUGAUCAUUGGAGCACUUUCCUACAAAUAAUAAUUGCAUAAAUCAGUAUUAUCACGCCCCGGGACCGCCGACUUAGUCGGUUCGGGCACGUCAACAGACGCCGGACGGACAGCACCUCCCCUGUCAGCCCAAGGCUCAACACAAGUAUCAACAUGUAUAUAAUUUAGCGCAAGCGAAAAUAUAAAUAUACAUGGCUUACACGAAUGCAAACAACAACCAAAGUGAAAGUUCUACUAUCUAUACAUCCACAUAUGUAAUUUGAUUUCAUGCAACCAAAUGCAAGUGUAAGAAAGUGAAUUCUCGAAAUCCGAGAGUUGGAUUUCGCUCAGAAUCUACUAAUUGUCGAGUUGGUAUGCUUCGAAAAAGCCGAGGAAGUCAAAAACCCAAAAAGUGCAUUGCAACGGACCCGCGAGAGCAAGUUAUGCAAAAAUCUGCACUUGGCAGAAAUUGCUCUCGGGGACCGGUCCCUGGUGGGAGGGACCGGUCCCCGUAAGCAGUGGGUGCGUCAGAGGGGCUCUGCGCACAAGUCUUGCCCUCGGGGACCGGUCCCUGGCGGGGAAGACCGGUCCCCGUACACGUAGAAAUUGGCUGAGAGCCUCUGCCCGCAGGAAAGGCUCUCGGGGACCGGUCCCUCUAGGGACAGACCGGUCCCCAAGCACGAAAAUUGCCCAGUUUGGGCAGUAUGAGAGAGGCAAAGUGGAGGGGCUAUUAUGCAAUUAUUGCAUUAGUUGGGGGUAUAGAUGGGAGAUCACCCUCUCUCCCUCUCAUUUCCACACCAAAACACAUUCCUCUCUCUCUCUCUAUAAGCUCUCUCUCUCCCUCUCAUGAAGUGAAGAAGGAGAAGAAGAAAAAGGAAGGAGAAGAAGGUAGAAAAGAAGGAGAAGCAAGCUAGAGAAAGACUUUGGUCAUCUCCCUCUUCCUCUCCACACCAUUGGAGCUAGCUUAGAGGUAAGCUUCCAAGCUCAUUAAUGAUAGAAACCUAGGAUUUGGAUUUAUAGCUCUAGAAAUGGUUUGAUUAGAACCCUAGCAUGCUUAAUAGAUGCUUAAUGCUAGAAUCUAGGGAUUGUUGGAGUAGAUUUGCAAUAGUGCAAACCUAGGGCUCCGUAUUGGGGCUUUGCUUAUUAAUGAGGUGUGAUCUCAAUUGAUGGCCUCUUAACCUAAUUGCUAGGUGUCUAAACGCGUUGGCGAAGACGGAUUGACGAUUCGUCGAGUCGUUGAAAAGUUAUCGACAAAACAAGACCGAUUGAGCUUCGUUUCCACCUAGGAGGUCGAAGCGACGUUGAAGCAAAUGCCGAGUAGCGUUCUUAGCACCCCGACAUCGUCGAAAGGUGGGUGAUGUCAUCCUGAAGCAACCGGGUUCCUCUCUAUGUCUUAGUAUACCAUGAUUCUUGCAUCUCUUGCAUGUUGCAUUGUAGGAUUGUAUUGUAUUCCAUUCCUUAUGCUUUCUAAUUGAUAUCAUAGUGUGAGUUGAAUGCUUGGUAUUACGGAUAGAUAAGGAUUAGGUCGUGACAUUGAAUCCUAUAGUGUUGAGGAAAAGAGAUGGACUCGAUGGUUUCCUAGUGACAUAAUGAGUGGCAUGUGAUCGACAAAUGAACAGAACGAGUGGCAUAUAAUGUAGUGUACAAUGACACUAGUGACAUAUGAACUUAGGGAUAGAUGGACUUUGUAGUGUUGACUUGUUAAACAAAGAACAUAGUGUAGUUAAACACUUACACAUGGACAUUGGGAUAGGUGGAUUCUCGAGUGACUACUAGCCCUAGUUGAUAGGAUAUCCUCGAGUUGAGAGGAUGGAUCAUACUUACAGUCUGUUUAUACUUGUGGUGGUCGCGCCACACAAGUCGUCAUGCACUCCGGAGUUUGGUACGAGAGGGGCAGAGUUGAUGUCCCACAGACGGUCCCGGGUUUGAGAGCAAGGUGAGUCUCCUUACCAUACGGGAUGGCGAGGUGAGUCGCGGGCGAACCCGAGGGAUCGCCAAGGAUUGAGUAAACAAGAGAAUAGCACUGUUUAUUGAACAUUUGCUUAUUGGACAUUGAUAGUGGGCAUAGUGGCAUGUUAGUAAAACUAUUUACUAUAUGAUGCAUGCAUACAUUACUCUUGAUUGGGCAUAGUAGCAUAUUUUUCUUACUAUGUCAUUUACAGCUUUCAUAUCUAUCUAUCUAUCUAUCUGGCUUUGCUCACUCAGACCUAGUGGGGAGAUCGGCGGAGUCGGCGGCCGAACCCACUGGAAACUAUGGACAAUAGUUCUCACCUCACUUUGUUGCAGGGCCUAGAACGAGUGCGCCGGGCGAGGACCGCGGCAAAGGCAUCGCGCCCGAGCAGUAGUACAUAGUAGCUUUCCUUUUGCAUUAGCAUCACCCUAUGUAUAUGAGUGAAUUAUGUAGGUAAGGAUUUGGAGAGCUAUGGAUGUAUUUUGGUGGUUAUCUAGUAAACCAUGUAUUCAUUUUGGAAAAGAUGUAAGUGUAACUUGAGGUAAAUGAAUGUAAUGUGAUGUAAUAGCUAGUAGAUCUCUCUUUUGUUUACUUGUAUGCACGUGUGACUCUUGCUCUUAGUUGUUGGCACUUGUCGUGCCCUUCGUUGAUUGUGUAUGUAUAGAAUUUCAUAUCCUGGGCAAAUUCUUAUACACGAUCUGGUUGUUUAGCCUUGGACGGAAAGGGAAGGUGCUGUCCGUUCGGCGUGUGUUCGACGCACCCGAACCGGACCAAAUUGGUAGCGGUCUCGGGGCGUGACAACAAGCUUCUACGUAUCAUUCUUUCAUAUAUACAUCACAUGAUCAUCAUCCAAAAUGUAUACUAUUUAUGAAUUUACAUCAUUUAUACAAUAUUGUUCAUCAUAUAAAAAAGAUGAUAAUAAUAUGGUAUGAACUAUACUCGGGUAGCUACUAUUUAGGGUACGAUGCCUUUACCGCGAUCUUCAGUCGCCUUUCUUGGACUUGGAUCUGUAAAAUGGUGGGGUGAGAACUACAAGAAAGUUCCCAGCGGGUUCGGCCGCCGACCCCGCCGACUUUCCCACUAGAUCUAAACCAGGUAUAAAUAGAAGAAACAGAUAAAUAGAUAACCAUUCUAAAUAAAUGCAGCUAUUAUGUCUGAACAAGAAUGCUAACAAAUAUAUGAUGCUCAUGAUGCAUGCCGAUUGCCAUUCUCAAUACCCAAUCCUCUCGGCUAACCCAUAGGUUUCGCCCCAAAACUCACCAACUCAAAUCCCUACUAUCGAGGAGACACUCGCAACAACCCGACAGGACUGUCUUCUGGGGAGAUACUCGCUACGACCCAGUGAUGACUACUCUGGAGCUCAUCGCUCGAGGGGGAGUGACCGCCCUCAAGCCAAGACUUACAGGUGAGUAUGAUCCAAUCCACAACUAUGAGGAUGCCAUGUUCACUAAUGCCACACACACAAAGUGUUCCAUUCUCUAGCAUUCGAUGCCACAAGGUGCUAUUUCAAUCAUUUGUCACAAUGUCACUAUGUUCUCUAAUUCGGCUAGUUCAUGUCUCAAUUUAUACAUCUAUAAGGUUCAUAAAUGUCCAUAUCUCAUUUCCAAUGUCAUAUGCAUCUUUAUAUUAAAAGCAUGCAAGAAGUAUUCACAUAUUAUCAUUUAACCCUACAAUGCAUGAAUCCUACACAUACACAUACAUGCUUAAUGGUGAUCCAACUGUUUCGGAUAGCACCACCCCCCUCGUAGGGAUGCCGGAAGGCUAUGAUUCAAGUCUUGUGAGUUAUGGCCACCUAUUUUCCUCGACCACGGCAAACGAAGCCGAAACGAAGUUUUUCCUCAAUAUCUUGGCGUAGACUCGUCGGAACUUCAACCCGAGUCUCCCAACACGUCGAUUUACUCUCCAAUUAGGGCUACAAGAGACCAAUUCCAACUUAGAUCUCAAUUCCACGAAAACCCUAAUUUGACCCUAGGGUUUCCAAUAACCCAAACAUACCCACUAAUUCAUGGAUAAACAUGAGGUAAUCUACCAUAAUAGCUUCUAGGUCUAUCAACUAGAAGAAUUAAUUAAAACCUUAGCUUACAACCAUAAGAACUCAGCUUGAGUUCAAGCUUUCUCUUCCACUCCUUGUACAAGAGUUAGCUUCACCCUUCAAUAAGUCUUCUUCUCCACCAAGCCCCCCUCUUGGAGCAACCCUAGUGAGAGAAGGAGAGAGAGAGAAGUGUGAGAAACUCCUAGAGAGAGAAAGAGAGUUUCUUCUCUUUUGGUCUCAAGUGACAAGAAUGAGGAGAAGGGUGUAGAACCCUCAAAUAAACUCUCCCACAGCACAAUUGCAACUAGGCCCCUUACCAAAAUAACAUUUUGGACCAACCCAUGCUUUUGCGGGUACGGGGUCUGGACCUUGCACUCAGGGUCCGGACCCCGAGAGCAAAAACACUCUCAAAUGAUUCGAAACUUUCUAAUUUACUCUCUAAGGUCCCUCAUAUCCUCCAAACCAUUUCGAAACAUUCAGAACACCUCACAGACCUCACCAACUGUAAUGUACCGAAUUUUUAAUAUAGAAGUAAGUGUAAAUAAAAAUAGUGUAAGAUACUAUUUUUAUUGGACUUAGAGAAGUAAAAUAUAAGUCGAAAAUGACUUAUGCUGAAAUUAGAAGGGAAAUAGAAGAUUUAGAAUUUUCUGUAAGAAACGGGAUUGAUAUUUUAGCAGAAAAUUCAGUGUCAGAAAAUUAUAAAAAUUGGAGAAUAUGUUGAAAUUAUUUUUAUGAGGCGAGAUUUAAAGUUUCAUGUCAUUCCAACACUCGAAAGGUGGAAAAUAAAAUUUGACUGCUAUCUGUUAGAGAUUCGGGUCGGUAGAGCUUUCGGUGACCAAAAAUGGUCCAAACUGAAAAAUUAAGAUUUCGUUCUUCUUAUUAAUUUUAACCGAGCCUGACUGUCAAAUUUGAGCGUAAACGGACAUUCAGAAGGGCUUCGGCGAAAAGUAUCAGAUUCUGAAUUGGGAACAGAUUAGUAAAAAAAAAUUAUAGCUUGUAUAAGGGGUUAUGUGCUAUUGUCCGAGCUUAUCUUUAAGUCCAGGCCACUCCACCAGCUGCUGCGUGCAGGAACACCAGCACCCUCUCCUCUCAUUCUUAUCUCUUUUUUCCUCUCUCUCUAAAAGAACCUAUACGAAGGGGUUGAAGGAGAAGUUGGUGGAGUUGAUACUUUGGAAUGUGAGGGAGUUUAGGAGCAAGGAAAUCAGCUGAUGGAGCUUGAAACUAGAGGUAAGUUGGCUAUGUUUCUUGGUAGGGUUAUGUUUUUUGCUUUAAAGAGGAUUUAAUUUGGAAUUCCUGGAUUGUUAGAGCUUAGGUUGCCAUGAAAAAGCUUAAAGAAGAUAUAUUGACAGCAUGUAUACACUUGAGUUGCUAGCCCUAUAAUAAAGUUUAGGAUGAUUACUCUAUAAAGAAGUUUUAAGCAAUGGAAUUAUUGGAUUCCAAAGCUUAUAAAUACUGUAUGAACUAGGAAAUGGACAGCGUAAGUAUAAACUGUUGGUUAGACAUGGAACCUGGAGAAGAACUAUAUGUUGACAGCAUAUAUGUAUACUUGUGAAUUAAUUGUUAGAGAAGAACUCUAUGUUGACAGCAUAUAUAUAUAUAUACAUGUGAAUUAAUUAUUAGAGAUGAAACCUGAGGUUAGGUGAUGGUAAUUCUAUGGUAAGGUUUGAUUUAAUUAACCUAAGAAAGGAUUACUCUUGGUUUUCUUGGAUUCUAAAGCUGGUUUUGUUAUAGAAUCCUAAGAAAAAGCUAUAUGUGUUGUGUGUUAAUCUUGGCAGCAGGGAAUUGAACUAAGCUACUAUGCAGAUUUUUAUAAUCUUUUGUUAGGGAUUGAUGUAAAUCCUCUAAAUGAAUUAGUUUUGAGGUUCUUAAGUUGUUGGAGCUAAAUUUCUUAUGUAUGUUCUUAUAGAACUUGUGUAAAAGAGGUUAUGUUGAACUAAAGCCUAGAAAUGCAAUUUUGUAGGGUUUGAGACCUAGCUUAAAAUUGAUCGCGUGGAAACCUAAUUGAGGAUAAAACCGACGCGUUGGGAUGCUCGGAUCGGCAUUCCGAUGAGCCUACGGCAAGCUAGUAAGAAAAAAUCUCAUUUUAUCUUUAUUUGUCGCGAGCGAGGGUUGUGAUCAUUCAUAAAUCGUGGGAAGUGUAUUUCUCGCAUUCCGGCAUCAUUUAAAGGUGGGUUGUGCUUCGCCGAAGUGACUAGCUCACUUCCAAGCCAAAGUAAAGUGUUAUUAUUAUUGAUGCAUAUAUGUAUAGUGGUAGGUUAUGAAUGAUAAUAUGAAUGCAUGAAUCAUAUUAUGCUAAGUGGAUGUUACCUACUAUUGGAAUAUGUUAGAUAAAUAUGUAUGUUGACAUAUUAUAGAUUAUGUUAGAUAAAUGUGCAUGUUAACAUAUUGUAGCACGUGCUAAAUUCAUGUAAAUGUAAACUUGGAUCGAUAACUCUAGGUUUGCUAAAUUCAUGUAAAUGUAAACUUGGAUCGAUAACUCUAGGUUAAUUAGAGAACUCGACAUUGGAAAGCAAGAAUGUGUAAAUUACAGUCCUAGGUGUGAACAACUAGGAUGACAGGUAGAUCGAGUGGCAUUGGAACCUAGUGUCAUGGAACAUAGGUUGAACAAGUGAGCCUAGAAUUGAGAUUUAGGUGGAAAUGAUGUAGAACCUAGCGUGGUUACCUAGGUUAUGAUAUAUAGUGACACUUAGUGUGCUUGAAACUAAGUUGUGGAUUAUAGUGGUAAAAGGACCACUAGGAUGUGAAUGGCUUAAACCUAGAAAGAUUAACAAUAUAGUGUAUGUGGUAAACCCUUAAACCUUGGAAGUGGAUUCCGGAAUCCCUAGGAAAGAUAGCUGCAAGUGCAGUGGUUGAGACUUGCAGUUGAAUGCAAGUGAAUCAGAACUGCGGGUAUGUUUAUUCUCCUCGCCCGACAGUGAUUCAACGGGUAUAUUGGUUCUCCUCGCCCGGUAUGAGCUCGGAAUGGGUAUGUUGGUUCUCCUCGCCCGUUGAGCUUAAGCGACUUAUGGUCUAGGGUUCGACGGUUCUCCUCACCCUGUGGUAGACCUAUAGUCGAGUGGACUUAAGACUGAGGUGCUUGUGAGACGUCCUUCACCUCAAGCCUGACCUUACGCGGUAUUCCGCGGAUGAUUGACUCGAGGCCGAGUCGGGUGGAUAGCUUGGUUAAGGUAGAUGAAACCUUAAGAACGAGUGGUAAAUGGCAUGGAUCUAAGGUAAUAGAAAUUUUAGAAGCUAGUUGGAUAUGAGCUAUGGAUAGUGAGAUAGAAAGUAAAUCUAGAGAUCUACUUAUGUAUUGUUGCAUAAUUUGCAUAUUGCAUGUCUUGAGGCAUACGCAUAUAUUUAAUAUUUGCACAAAUUAUCUGUAGAUAUCUAUUGGACUAGCAUGGUUGCAGUGCCUCCUUUAGACCUGAUGGGUCAAGCUUUUUUUCUUAGGUGGCUGUACCUACUGGGAACUAUGGAUAUAGUUCUCACCCCACGUUGUUUUGAGGGAUUUCAGGUUCACACGCGAGCGGCGCGGCGGCGCGAGGAAAGGGCGUAGCUCCGUAGAUAGUGCCCCUACCGCCGAGACCAAAGGUAGCAGUACCCCAAGUCGGCUUAGCUAGGGGUAUAGAAAAGAAAGGAACAAACUUGUAGUAAAUUUGUAGUAACUGAUUGUAUUUGGAAGUUGAAUGUAGAAUUUAAGGGUAAAGUGUAAAAUACAUGUGAGCUGAAUGCUUGUAGUAGUUUAGUAUUUAUAUUUUUCUGAUAUCUUCCUUAUGCAAUCUAUGCUUGAAUAUUGUUCCUAAUGGGAACCUCGUGUAUUGUAUGGAUUGUGAUGCCUAGGACGUACAGGGGAGACUCUGUUCGUUCGGUGGUCUGUUGGCAUGCCCGAAUCUGACCAAAUAGGCGGAGCUCGGGACGUGACACCAACUAAUCCAACACCGCACCUCGGUCAAUUCGAUUGAAGUUCGGUACAACCUACCAAAGUUUCGCGAUAUUACAAGUAUGUUAUGGAUUCGAUUGAGUUCGAUGAUAGACGGACUAAUAUCGGUCAACCUAGCAUUGACGGGACUUGGGUUCGUCAAAUCUUUUAUGAUAAGGUACUUUAGUGGACACUCUAGAUCAAUGGUGUAGAAUACUGAAUUUGCCAAUUAGAUAAGGUUGCAGUGUGGGGUGCUGGGUAGCACGUAAUUACGGAGCUUGAAUGAAGUGGCCGGAAACUUUUUGGCGUGAAAUUGAUGCAAAAAUGGAUGUAUUACAUCGAAGUUUCUUCUACGGAGGACUAAAUUGCAAAUACCAAUUUUUUUUGGAUCAAGUUGCAAUUGUGCAACAUAAGUGGAAUUCCACUAAGAUCUCCAUCCUUAUCUCUUUCUCUCCUCCCUCAACCUGGUUGCAAGAGAGAGAAAGAAAAAAGAAGAAAAGAGCGAAAAUAAAGGAAAAAAAAAGAAAAGAAAAACAAAGAGAUGGAUUGAUCCGACGUGCCGAUUGAAAUUGAUUGCGUGCGCGUGGCCUGCGACAUGGUAAGUUUCUUCCCUUCUCCUAUCUUCCUUUCUUUCUUCCUUCCUUUAUUUCCUCCUUUUCCAUGUGUCGGCAAUCGUAGUAGCAGCACCAGCUGCUGCCACGUACUACAGCUGCUGCUAGCUGCAGUCGCAAUAGCAGAAGUUGCUGCUGGCAGCAGCUGCAGCAAAAGCUACUUGCUGUAGCUAUAGAAAAAAAGAGUAGGAAAAAAAGAAGGGAACAGAAGAGGGAAAGAGAAAAAGAAAUGAAAUAUUGAAAAAGAAAGAGAGAAGAAGAGAAAGAGAGAUUGAAACGAAAGGAAAGUUGGCGCAAUUUGUGCCUCCAAUAUUGAAAUUGGUAGUCGCUGGUUGGAAAGGGGCGUAGAGAAGUUCUCGAAUCACGUCGUGUUAAUUGAAUUAAGGGGUAAUUUGCAUUUAAUUGAGGCGAAUCAAAAUUAGUAAGAGAAUUGGAUGUUAUAUAUGUAAGGAAAUGUAUGCAGCGAAAAUAAAUUUUAUUUAUAAAAUAUGAUCCAAUCAUGUAUACUUUAAUAUCAAAAUAUUUAUGAUAUUACCGACCGUCCCUAGAGCAAGUGGCAAAGGGCUUGGUGGUUGGUACCCGAGACUCAAGUUCGAAUCCUAUUUGAUUCACAUUUCUAGCUAAGUUUAUUUCUAAAUGAAAUAAACAAAGCGGGUAGCGUGCUACCUAUCUCUCAAAAAAAAAAAUUAUGAUAUUAAUAUAUAUAUGUACCAAGAUAUCUUGUGUGACACAAUCUAAUUAAAAGAAGGGUUCGAAUUUCAACCUGUGCAAAUUACUGAUAUUAUUUCACGGUAGAUAUUGGAUCUGAACUUCUUCUGGCCCUUUGAGCCGCACAAGUGUUUGGCCUCUAGUAUCCACACAAGGCUGCUCCGGGAUUUGUGCUUCACACGAUCACAGUGUAAUCUCGAAACUCCUUUCGUACGUGAUCUCUUGUGUCAAUGUGAAGAAAAAUUAAUCCUCAAAAUUGUGCUAGCAAUUUGAAGAGGAUUAACUAUAGAGACCAACUAAUAUAGGAGGACCACUCUCUUAUGAUUAAAAGAGAGCUAUAUAUAAUUGAAAAGCUUUCUCUCUUUGUUUUUGUAUUCUACUUCAAAUCAUCUAUGAUGUUAUAUAAUACUCAUCAUCAAAAAAUGUCUUUAUUUAUAGGUGGGGCAAUAUACGAGUGGAGAGAAACGUAAGAGGUGGGGAGACGUUCCCUGUGCAAUUAAUAAUGCAUUUCUCCCUCUGCAAAAGAGAAGAUUGCGCAGAGGAGUGCCAUAAAUGGAAGAAGUUAACUCCUCUCAUUUACUGCAUGGAGUGAGAAGAGAAUGAAGAGAAAAAGACGUUUUCUCUUCUACGUAAUAAAUGCCAGAGUUUCUCUUCUCAUUCUCUCUUCCACUUUCACUUCGUAAUUCUUCAAUUAAUCUUUAUUAAUUGAGGAGUUGAGAGAAAAGAUGGUAAACUCAUUUUAGUAAUUUCAGUGCAAGUGCACCGCAUGCAACAAUUGCAUUUAACUAUAUAAUUUUCAAUUUCACAAAUUGGUCACUCUUGCUAACCAACUUAGCAAGUAAAUCCUUUCUUUGCUACUUUAGCUAAAUGGUCUCUAUUAAUUUUUCAAGCACUUGAUUACACGCAGUCUUUAUUGUGUGUGACCACAUCGGUUCAAUUCUACCUGGUAGUGAGAUGUGACCCUGAACUCUUUUAGUGUCACCAUCGGAACUCUUUUCGAUAGACCAAAAUAUUUUUGUUUCUCCCAACUGAGUGUAAUUAACUAUCUUAAUCACUCUCAUAGUGUCACGUCCCGCUACAGCCAAUUUGGUCGGUUCGGGCAAGUCAACAGACGCCGAACGGACAGCACCUCCCCUGUCCGCCCAAGGCUCCACCAGCAUGUACAAUCAUAGCAAUUCAAUACAAGAUGAAUGCAAUUAUACAUGAUUUGCUCGAUGGCAAACAACAACCAAUCACAAGUGAAAGUACUAUGUACUAAACUAAACCAUUCCACACACAUGUCAUUUGAUUACAUUUUAACUAAAUACAAGUAAACUAAACAUAUUACAUUUAUUCUUUGUUUUUCAUACAUGUAUAUACAUCACAUAGUCACCCAACUCCAAAACAUAAGGAUUACAUCUCAUUUACAUCAAAUUUCAACAUACAAAAGUUGAAUGUACAUAGGGAAUGACUACAACUCCGGUGGCCGCUAACUACGACGCUAUACCCUUGCCCCGAUCCUCUGCCGCCCCGCUCGCGCUAGGAUCUACAGGGUUAGUGGUGUGAGAACUAAAAGAAGUUCCUAGUGGGUUCGGCCGCCGACCUUGCCGACUCGCCUACUAGGUCUAUUCAGGCAUAUGUAAUGAAGGAAAAGAAAAUAUCAAACCACCCUAAUGUUAUUACAAUGCCUACAAGAAAACUGAUCAACAGAUAGAUAAUUAUAUAUAUGAUAAAUGUAUGCAUACUUUACAUUCACUUGGCUUUUACCCAAUCAUUACGAAGUGCUCUUGGUUUAUCCCAAACUCAUAACCAAAAUCCCUGUCGAUUCGGGGAGGCUCCAAGCACUACCACUCGAGGGACCGUCUUCAGGGACCGCUCUCCCUGUGGUGUCAAUUCCGGAACGCAUCGCUUGAGGGGGAGCUACCGCCCUCAAGCCAAGACCCAAUGUGAGUAUAGUCUCGUCCUCAAUUUUGAGAAUGCGUAGCCAUACCUGUUAUAAGCCACAAUGCCACAAUGCUACAAAGCCUAAGGCCACUCUUGCCUUGAUACCAUAAUGUCACAAUAGGUUUUUACCUCGUUUAAUAUCACUUACUUGGCCACACUUGCCAUAAUGUCAUAAUGUCACUAAUAUCAUAGUUCGACAUGUCACAAUGAUCUAGGCCACACUUGCCACAAUGCUACAAUAGGUUUAACCUUGUUUAGCCAUUCAUGUUCUUGGUGCCAAUCUUGCCCGCUAAUGUCAAUGUCACCUUUGUUUAGUAUUGUCAUAGUCCACAUCACACAAUCAUAGGGUUCUAACACACAUGGUCCAUUUCAAUUCAUAUGUUUUCUAGCCUAGAAGCAUACAAAUGAUUCUCAACUAUAAACACAUAUCUCAUAGCCCUAUGAUGCAUGAUUUCUACUAUACAUAUAUGCUCAAAUGAAGGUAACAUAGACAUAAUAGGAAAUUCAGAGAUUUCAGAUAGCACCCCUCACCUUGUAGGAAUGCCGAGAUGCUACGAUUCAAUUCUCGCGAUUUUUAGACGCCUAUUUCAUCCGACUGCGGCAAAACUGAGCCAAAACAGGCUUUUUCCUCGAUUUCUCCGCGUACACUCGUCGGAUCGCCGAACCGAGUUCACCAACGCGUCAGAAAACCUAACAAUUAGGGUUACAAGAGAUCAAUCCCAGCAUUGUACAAAACCCCAAUAUAACCCUAGCAUUUAUCAUCUUAUCCAAAUACACCCCUAAUACAUGGAGAAACAUGCUCAAAACCUCCAUACAAACCUCCUAGAAGUAGAUACUAGAAGGAAACACCAAAUCCUAGUGAGAAACAUGGAAACCUACCUUUAGGUUCCAAACUUUUCCUCCAAAGCCUUUGCUCAAGCUAGCCUCCACCUUGUAGGAAGCUUCUUCUCCAACCCAAGCUCCUCUAAAGUCUUCUCUUGCCCAAGCUCUAGAGAGAAGGAGAGAGAGAGAGAGAAAAUGGUUUUUUAAAGAGAGAGAGGAACCCUAGUGUGGUGGGUGUGAGAGUAAUGAGGCUAAAACAUAAGCCCUCACACUUAAAACCAUUCACCAUGCCACAAUAGCAAAUAACCCCCUCUCAUUUCACCAAUUCAUGGCAGCCCGAACUGGGUUGUUUUCGCCUACGGGGUCCGGACCCUGCACCCCGAGAGCAUAAAUUCCAGUACUUAGCUAAAAUUUUCAGCUUUGCUCUUAUGGGUCCAUACACCCUAUGCAAUGGCUCCAAAACACUUAGAAUCCAUUGCAGACCAUUCCAACUCGUCCAACUCCGCGCUUCGCUCGUUUUGACGGAAGCUCGGCAUCACACGACGGGGAUGCGAUACAUUACAUUCCCCACCCUUUAAAAAUAGUUUCGUCCGCGAAACUUAACACAUACCUUAGUGUAAGUUAUGAGGAGCCCUAGGAUCUAUUUAGAUUGUUUCAAUCACCUAGAGGGGGGUGAAUAGGUGUAACGGCCAAAAACCACAAAUCUCAACGCAAUAAAAGUAAAUACGGAAAAUAAAAAUCAAUGACAAAGACGACACAAAAAACUUUUCAACACUGAGAACCGGUUACAAAGUCAAUGCAGUACCGGAACCAUAUCAGUACCGGUACUUUUUCAAUGCUGUACCGGUACCAACUGCAGUUUCUAGAAAUUUUAUCUUCUCGAGUUUCACAAAGUUCCAAAACACUUUCUAAUCUACUAAACAUUAUUUUUUAUGAUUCUAAUGUCUAUAACUAAGUAUGAAUCACCAUAACAUGAAGUAAAAACAUACCUGAGCAUCGUGAUUCAUAUUGUGAGAUAUUUCUGAUUUCUUCGAAGUCUUGGAUUCUUCGAUCUUCGACAAUAUGCACCGAUCCUUCAAAACUCCGACUCUCAUCACAAAACUUGCCAACACAAAAUACUUAACACUUAGCUUAUUUGCUCGAACAAAUGAGGAUAGGUCUCGCGCAUCUUCUCCUCGAGUUCCCACGUGGAUUCACGCCUCGAGUGAUUGCUCCAUUGGACCUUCACAUACGGGAUGGUCCGAUUCCGUAGCUUCCGCUCCUCCCGAGCAAGGAUACUCACCGAAAACUCUUCAUAAGUGAUAUCCUCAUGUAGUUCUACCGGCUCAUAUUCCAACACAUGUGAGGAGUUACGAAAAUACUUGCGGAGAUUCGAUACGUGAAAUACAUUGUGCAUUCCCGCAAGCUUCGGUGGUAAUGCAAACUUGUACGCCACCAGCCCAACACGUUCCAAGAUCUCAUAGGCUCCGAUGUAUUGGGACUAAGCUUCCCCCGAAUUCCGAACCGCUUCACCCCACACAUGGGCAAUACUUUUAGGAACACACGGUCACCAACUGCGAACUGUAAAUUCUUUUGGCGCUUAUUCGCAUAGCUUCUUUGCCGCGAUUGUGCCGUCAACAACCUUUGGCGAGCAAGGCGAACCUUUUCCUUCGCCUCUCGCAACACAUCAGGACCAAGGGUGACUCUUUCACCCACUUCGCUCUAAUGGAUAGGGGAGCGACAUUUACGUCCAUAGAGUGCCUCGAAUGGCGCCAUCGCUAUAAGUUCCUGAUAACUGUUAUUGUAAGCGAACUCCGCUAUCGGUAAAUACUCGUGCCACCCACCCUUAUAGUCAAGUACAUACGCCCGAAGCAUAUCCUCGAGUAUCUGAAUUGUCCUCUUCGACUGACCAUCACUCUGAGGAUGAAACGCUGUACUGAAGUCGAGCCGUGUGCCUAGAGUAUUUUGCAAGCUCUUCCAAAAAUGAGAAGUGAACAGGGGGUCUUGAUCUGACACAAUCGAUGAUGGAACCCCAUGCAAUCUCAUUACCUCAUCCAAGUAUACUUGCGCUAGCUUGUCUUAGGACCACGUGGUGUGAAUCGGCAAGAAAUGAGCUGACUUUGUCAAACGGUCCAUAACCCCAUGUUCGGCUUGCGAUCGGGGUAGACCGACCACAAAGUCCAUCGUAAUAUCCUCCUAUUUCCACACGGGUAUAGAUAAGCUCUGCAACUUUUCCGCGGAAAAUCGACGUUUCGCCUUUACUUGUUGGCACGUAAAGCACUGCGCCACAAACUCGCCAAUGCCUUUCUUCAUGCCCGGCCACCAAUAAUGUAGUUUCAGGUUCUUAUACAUCUUAGUGCCACUUGGGUGCACACUAUACGGGGAAUGAUGCGCUUCUUGCAACACCGCCUUGCGAAUCUCAUCGUCCUUGGGUACACACAACCGGUUCCUAAACCUAAGUGCACCGUCAGAUCCAACGCCGAAAUCACCGGCGCGUCCGCCCUCAACAUCACUCCGCACCUUCUGGAGAUAUGGAUCCUCAACUUGCCGCUCCUUAAAUUUCUCCAACAAGGUCGGUUGAACCACCAACGCUGCUAAAAUAGUCGGAACCUCCGGCGUUACUACCCCGAAUCCAAACCGCUGCAUCUCUUUUGGCAACAACGGUUGACUAGUAAUUGCCGUAGCUAAAUUUUCCACCAACUUUCUGCUCAAAGCAUCGGCGAUCACAUUAGCUUUCUCGGGGUGGUAUAAGAUAGUGACAUUAUAGUCUUUCAACAACUCCAACCACCGCCGCUGCCACAUGUUCAACCCUUUAUGGAUAAACAAGUACUUGAGGCUCUUGUGAUCGGUAUACACCUCACAAUGCUCACCAUAAAGAUAGUGCCUCCAUAACUUUAGCGCGAAUAUGACGGCGGCUAGCUCAAGGUCGUGUAUCGGGUAGUUCUUCUCACAGCUCUUCAAUUGGCGCGAAGCAUAUGCAAUGACUCGCCCAUCUUGUGUAAGAACACACCCGAGACCACUGUACGAGGCAUCACUAUAUACCACAAAGCUCUCCCCCGGCAUCGAUAAAGCAAGUACCGGGGUUGACGUCAACCUCUCCUUUAACUCCUUGAAGCUUCGAUCGCAACCGUCAUUCCACACAAACUUCACCCCUUUGUGCGUAAGGCGUGUGAGAGGAGUAGUCAACUUAGCAAACCCCUCCACAAAUCGCCGAUAAUAGCCCGCUAAUCCAAUAAAACUGCGGACCUCCACAACACUCAUCAGGCGAGGCCAAUCUCUAAUCGCCUCAACCUUCUUCGGGUCGACAGAAACACCGCUCCCCGAAAUCACAUAGCCAAGAAAGGCAACCUCGCGAAGCCAAAUUCACACUUUUUAAGCUUAGCAUAGAGCUUCUGUUCAUGAAGAAUCUGCAUCAUAGAUCUCAAACGCUCUUUGUGCUCUUCGUAACUCCGCGAGUAGAUCAACAGGUCGUCGAUGAACACCACGACGCACCUAUCCAACAACGGCCGAAACACCCGAUUCAUCAAGUCCAUAAAUGCUGCAGAGGCAUUAGUAAGUCCAAACGACAUUACUGUGAACUCAUAAUGGCCGUAUCGCGUAUGAAAAGCUGUUUUAUCACAUCCUCCUGCUUAAUCCACAAUUGGUGAUACCCCGACUGAAGAUCAAUCUUAGAAUAUACCCGCGACCCUUGCAACUGAUCAAAUAGGUCGUCUAUUCUCGGCAACGGGUAUUUGUUCUUGAUCGUCAUUUUGUUUAGCUCGCGGUAAUCUACGCAAAGCCGAAGUGAUCCAUCAUUCUUUUUCACAAACAACACCGGAGCACCCCACGGUGAUACGCUCAGCUUUACAAAGCCUUUGUUGAGCAAAUCCUGUAAUUAUGCUUUCAACUCUUUAAGCUCCGCCGGUGCCAUUAUGUACGGGGCCUUAGAAAACAGCGCCGUCUCGGGAACUAAGUCAAUGACAAAUUCAAUCUCCCGGUCUGGUGGUAAUCACACUACCUCGCCGUAGGGGAGAUUCUUCCCCCUUCUCCCAACUUGCCUCGUCGUAGGGGAGAUUCUUCCACUUCACCAAGUACUCAGGAUUCGGCGUAACUCCACGUCGCCGAAUGAGUCGAGUGUCCAAGAUGGACUCCACUUGUUUAUCGAAUGAAGUCACCAUGGUCGCAGGUGCUUGCUGCGACACACCACGGCUCGGAUCCUCCGUGUCUUGGUUGUACAGUUUCAACCUGCUGACAUGAAAGACAGGGUGGAUCUCGAGGUUUGCGGGUAGCUGCAGCUUAUAGGCCCCUUUGCCCACACGCUUGACAACGGUAAAUGGGCCUUCGUACUUUCGCAGCAAUCCCUUGUGCACCUUCCACGAGGCUUUGAACUGCUGUGGCUGAAGCUUGACCAUCACGCGGUCGCCCUCGACAAACUCCCGAGGCUGCCGCUUUUCGUCAGCCCACUUCUCCAUCCGUCGUGCUGCUUUCUCCAAGUUCGCCCUUGCAAUUUCACCUUUUUUCUGCAAGUUAGUGGUAAACUGAAGAGCAACUGGGCUACAGAACAGCUCUCCUGCAGGAGCCGUGUGAGGGGCAAGUGGUUGCCACCCGAUCACCAACUCGAAUGGGCUGCAGCCUGUAGACUCGCUGCGCCGCAAGUUGUAGAAAAACUGGGCGACAUCUAGGUGAUGCACCCAAUCUUUCUAGUUGGCACUCACAUAGUGCCGCAAGUACUCCUCCAACAGAGCGUUCACCCGCUCUAUUUGCCCGUCCGUCUGUGGAUGCCAACUGUUGGAGAAGAGCAACUCCGACCCUAAGAUUUUGAACACCUGGGUCCAAAACUUGCCAGUGAACCUGGGGUCGCGGUUGCUCACGAUACUCGCAGGGAUCCCCCAAAGCUUGACGAUGNAAACUUACCAGUGAACCUGGGGUCGCGGUCGCUCACGAUGCUCGUGGGGAUCCCCCAAAGCUUGACGAUGUGGCUGACGAAGAGGCGUGCCGCUUUUUCAGCCGUAUAAUCGGUCGGCGCAGAAAUGAAGGUCCCGUACUUAGAAAAACGAUCAACCACCACCAGAAUGGACCCAAGCACCCCCACCUUUGGUAAGGCGGAGAUGAAGUCCAUAGAAAUGCUCUCCCACGGACGGCUAGGCACAGGUAAAGGCUCGAGGAGUCCGCCAGGUCGCUGGUGCUCAACUUUGUCUUGUUGACACACCAAGCAAGUUCGCACGUAGGCCUCAACGUCUUCGUGCAUCCGCGGCCAAAAGUAGGCGGCCUCGAGCAACGCCAGGGUUCGCUUCUGACCUGGGUGGCCCGCCCGCUUGGAGUCAUUGUAAUAUACUGAGAAUUCGGAAAAUAAAUAUCGAACUUUAGUCAAAUUGACCAAAGUGCGAGGUUGGAACACUUCGGAAAGUCCGAAGGUGUUAAAAUGAUCAAAAGUGAGUUACGGGAGGUUUUCGAGAGCUAAAAUUGUGAAAUCUGCAUUCUGCAGGUUUUUAGCUCUCGGGGACCGAUCCCUGAAGGAGAGACCGGUCCCCGAACGGGUGAAAAAUGAGAAAUGAGGAAAAAUGGCUAAGUCCUGAAAAACCAGCUCUCGGGAACCGGUCCCUGCCUGAGAGACCGGUCCCCGAGAGACCGGUCCCCCAAAGGAGAGACCGGAUGCAUCGCGCGCAGCAGCUCUAGCUGCGCGGGGAGAGCCUUCGGGAACCGGUCCCUGAAGGAGAGACCGGUCCCCGCCUGCGCGAACUGCCCAGUUCGGGCAGUGUAAUGAGAUAAAAGCUGAGGGACUUAUCUGCAAAAAUGCAUUAUGUGGGUUAUGUUUAGGGCUGAGAGAGCCUCUCCCUCUCAUUCCCUCACACCCAAACUCAUCCCUCUCCCUCUCUCUCUCUAGAAGACAAAGGAGAAGAAGAGGAAAGAAAGAAAAGAAAGAAAAGAAGGAAAAGAAGGUGAAGAAGAAGAUCAAGUAGUGAGCCUACCUCUUCUUCUUCCUCCUUGGAGCAACUUAGGGAAAGCUUUGAGGUAAGCUUUGAUCCCUAGUAUAGUAAAACCCUAGAAUGAGUUUUGAAUGACCUAGAAAUGGGUUUCAAUGGAAUGUUUGAAGAGUUUUGAAGCUUUCUUUUGCUUCUUAUGAGAUCAAGACCCUAGAAAUGGUGAAGCUUGAGCUGAGCUUCAUCACCUCUCAUGGUGAAACCCUAAAUAGGGUUUUGAUUUGUCUAAAGAUGGUUCUAAUGGACUUUUUAUAGUAUAUUGAAGCUACUUUUGCUUCUUUUUGAGAUCAAACCCUAGGUUUGAUGAUGCUAUGGAGCUAGGGCACCCAAAUUGGGGCUUUUGCUCAUAGGGAUUUCUAAGUGCAAUUGACCCUCUAGAAACCUAAUUGGGGGUAUUUCCGACGCGUUGGUGCGCUCGGAUUAGCGUUACGAAAAGCUAAAGUAAAGGUAUGAGCAAAAUGGCCUAAUAAGGCUUCGUUUUGCCGCAGGUAGUGAACCGGGUGUCUAAAAAUCCCAAAAAAAUCGUCGGAGCACCUAAAGAGGCCUACAAGGUAGGUGGUGCUUCUCAAACUUAUUGAACUUCUCUCUAUGCCUAAUGUGUCAUUCAUUUGAGCAUGUGUAUAUAUAUUGUUGCAUGCAUUUUAGGGUAAAGUAAUGAUGAAAAUGUGAUGAUGCAUGAUUGUGAGUACAACUUGCAUAAUAUGAUGAAUGAGAACUAUGUAAACGUCGAAAACCCUAUGUGUACGCAUGAGAGAAAAGUGAGCACCCAAAGUGAGCAAAAGAACAGAGUGACACAAUGACAUAGAUCGAGUGGCAUUCGAUAAAGUUAAAGUGAAAUGACACUAGAGAUAGUGUGAGGUAAAGAACCAAUGUAUUGCAAAGAAUAAGAAAAAUGACAAUGUUUAAAGUUAAAGCAAUGUGGGGAGUAAAGAAUAUGAAGUGCCAGAGGUAGCCAAAAAUAAAGAAUGUAAAGAAUGUAAUUGCUAGAGUGGCAACAAAAAGUGAUGAAGGAACACUAGAGCUAGUGUAAAGUCAAGAUUAAACUUAUAAAUCCUUUGAGUUAAGGAUAUGAUCACACUUGCUAUGAGUUCCGUACUCGAGGGCGGUCGCUCCCCCUCGGGCGAUGCGCUCCGGAGUUAUGCAUCACGGGUUGGAGUAAACCCGAAGGACGGUCCUAGCGGGUGAGUUCUUGCGAUGAUGGACUUAAUGUGAAGCAAGUCAAUGUAGCGAUACCCCCGGGUUAGCCUUGAGAUUAAAGAACAAAGAGCAAAGAACAAAGUGCAAAGAACAAAGAACAAAGAAUAAAGUGAAAAGAACAAAGAAUUUGCAUAAUCUGCAUUUAUUUAAUGUUGAGCAUACUCCUUGCUUUAUUGUUCAGGCAUAUUAGCAUCAUGUAUAGAUUGGUUACUAUAUGCAGCUUAUUCUUUCUAUUAUGCCUGAGUUAGUCCUAGUGGGAAAGUCGGUGAUGUUGAGGCCGAACCCACUGGAAACUUUGUUGUAGUUCUCACCCCACUAUUUUCACAGAGCCGGGACCGAGCGAGCCAGCGAGCGACCGAGGUAAAGGUAUCACGCCUUAGUCAGAAGGCACCAAAGUUGGGUUUCAAUUUGUAGUAAAGUACCCUAUGAUCAUCUUUGUACUUGAUAAGAAAUAAUGUAAAGAAAAGAAUGUAAUGUGUAUUUUGAGGUAAAUGUGAUGUAAGAAAGAAAUGAUGAAAUGAAAUGUAAGGAAUUUGAAAAUGUACAAGAUGAAUGCAGUGUAUAUGAUCAAAAAUGAAUCAUAGUACAAGUGAAUGUUUAGUU
rnacentral:lncRNA from 1 species